ACCCACUGUUAUCCUGUAACAAGGAUCUGCUGCCCUUGGCUUGUUGCAUAGAUGGCGCUCCAAGUGUUUUGCUUCCAAGCUGGACUGUCUAAGUAGUUACCAUGGUCAAUGUUAGUAUGUUUAAUUUACAGUGUGGCAGUUGAAACAAGGACAAAAGUUAUGUAAUCACCGGUCAGUUUAGUAUGUUCUCUUUGCAGUUGUGAAGCUUAAGCAAGACAAUGAUGCUCAAUUAGUAUUUAGUAUUGUAUCUUUGAGUAGAUUGUGCAAGCUCCUGUGGAAUUGAUACUGCAGAGUAAGUUACAAUGCAGAUUUGUUGAUCUACUCUCCAGUUGUGACUAUAAUACUGUCACCGCAAAAGAAAGUGACUAUGAUACUGGUCAUUUUGGCGUACAUUUGCUGCUUGUUUGAGUUCUUUUAAAUAAUAACUGAUACAUGUGCGUUUGUUUAAUUUUUCAUUCGGAACAAGGUUAUCCAAGUAAUAUUUUUUUCAGUUGUUUUGAAUCAUGGAAAUAUUUUUUUAGCCGCUUUGAAUCAUGGAAAUAUUUUUUAGCCGCUUUGAAUCAUGGAAAUAUUUUUUUCAGCUUUGCUGCACAAUAUUGCUCUUACCAAAUUGUAGAAUUUAACAGAGAACUGUGUUAGCCAAAUUUAGAGCCAAAUACUAUGGGAAACAUCCAUGGGCCAAAGCAUGAUCAUUCUUGAUUGUGCCAUCAUUGAAGUUCCAGUGGCAGCUGGAGGUCCUAGUUGCUUUGUGACUGUGGAUUGGCCCCGCCAUUGUCGCCGCCUAAAUAGGAGGUGAAGGAGGAGCCGCCCUUCCUGCGCUACUGUGGCGUCUAAAUUGGACUCCGCGUAAGGGAUGAAGGAGGAGCUACCCUCGUCGCCGCGCAACACAUUAGGCGGCUUAGAUCGGUCGACAUCACCGCCGAGACAUCUUUCGCGCGACAAGGAGAGGGCACGACCAUCACCACCCUGUUGUUGUGAAGGAGCCAUCCCUGGGGCUUGCGAACACGUGUGGGCCUCUUGCAUUACCUCGACCACGGAGGCGGCAACAUGUCAUCGCGCAACACCAUGACGGAGGCCGAGUCGAUGGUGCAGCAUGAAGCGCCAGGCCGCAUUCGUGAUGUCAGACAUUGCCUCGAACUAGGCCCUUGCUGGCCUUGCAUUGGCCUGGGUGGAGGACCUAUCUAGGAUCAUCACAGAGAUGUCCACAAGCUGACGGCAGCGCCUUAGUGACCAACUUGUCACGAUUGGCACGGACGAUUCGCUAUGUGCCGCCGUUCUCGUCGCACGCAAUGGCAAGACGAGGGGCAAGCGAAUUGGGGUAACGUCCGUAGUCAUGCACGCGACGGUGGAGGAAGUCGAGCGGCCAAUUAGGGAUGCCACUGCGCCUACGUGUCCUUCUGUCGCUGGAAGGGCCAUGGCGACUCCGACGAAGAAGGUCCCGUCGGCCAGGGAGUCCAUGCGUACGAGGUUAUCAUACGAUACCUCGUUUAGUUUUUUAGGUAUUAAACCAUUUAGUUGAACAUGUUAAAUAUCGUCCGAUUUAAUGUAAUAUGUCCAACUUUGCAUGAAUUAGGUCCAGUUUGCAUGAAAUUCGUUCGAUUUGCAUGAAAUUUAUCCUUUUAGUUUCAUUUUCAUCUGAAAUGUAGGCUGAUGUUUUAGACAUGUUGUUGGGUGGCCGGCUCCCAUAUCCGUCCAUGGACCCAUCAGGAUGCAUUCACGAACGGAUAGUGCCAAUUUAUGGGCAGCCUGUUGAAGACAAACUUGGCCACAUGGGUCGCAUGUCAUGUGGCGGUCCGUUGUCAUGCAUGCUCGGUCCGUCACAUGCAUAAACUAGUUGUGCCGGCACGCGACACACUUCGGGCUGUGCCUGGGCUGUAAAGCCAAUUCGACAUGCAGGCACGACACGAUGCACCGAAAUCAAUCCAAAUAGCCCCCAAAACAAUCAAUUAGAUCGAAAAGCACGACCAUGCAGGUUAAACGUGUGUCGAGCCAACCCGUUUACUAGAAAGAGGUUGUGCCUGGGUCUAAGGGCAUGGCACACGGUCCGACACGACAUGGCCGUGUAGAAACCAUGUCGUGCCAGGCAUGUUUAGCCCUUGGCCGGGCCAUGACUAGCCGUCCCCAUCUUUUUUUUGACGGGAAAUAUUUGGAGCUUUAUUCAACAAACGAAGCCUCUGCAGAAUUUGCAAGAAGGCUAGUUACAAUGAUGCUAGGUACAGAGUCAAACCAACAUUCUGUUACAUCCAAUGUGCUUGCAUGUCUAGCACAUAGGUGAGCAGGGUAGUUGGCUAAUCUAGGAAUAUGUUGAAUACAAAAAGACCUAAAACUAGUAGAGUGUUCCAAUAUUUCGGAUAGGAUAGGCGCCACAACUGUCCUAUCAUCAUGACGUGAGUUCCAGAGAUUAAUGACCUCCAAGCAGUCGGAUUCCAUCACGACUUUCUUGUAGCCCCUGAGCUUUGCAAAAAUGGCGCCGUCCCGGAUUGCUAGGGCUUCAGAGAUGAGGGGGUCAGCAAUCCCCUGAUAAGGUUUACACCACACAGCUCUAAAAGUGGAGAGGGAACGAGCGAUUCCUCCCACCCCUCCUCUUCGAGCUUCCAAAGCAACACUGCCAUAAGUGUUUAUCUUGAUCUCACCCUCCUCGGGUGGCCUCCAACCAUGACCUGGAAGCAAACGAGCAUGUUCCUUAGGUAGAUCAAGCAAAGCUAAAGUAUCUCUGGUCAUUUUCAUGGACUGUAUCGGGUCAAGACCACCUUUAUCAUGAUUUGUAUUGUUUCGAGAAGUCCAUAUAGCCCACAUGAUCGUCACCAACUUGGCUCGAUCCGACUCAAAGAACUUGGGAUCACAAGUAAUGCCCUUUGACCAUGUUGUGGGGAACGUAGCAUGCAAUUUCAAAAAGUUUCCUACAAUCACGCAAGAUCUAUCUAGGAGAUGCAUAGCAACGAGAGGGGGAGAGUGUGUCUACGUACCCUCGUAGACUGAAAGCGGAAGCAUUAGGUUAACGCGGUUGAUGUAGUCGAACGUCUUCGCGAUCCAACCGAUCAAGUACCGAACGUACGACAUCUCCGAGUUCAGCACACGUGCAGCUCGAUGACGUCCCUCGUCUUGAUCCAGCAAAGUGUCAAGGGAGAGUUUCAUCAGCAUGAUGGCAUGGUGAUGGUGAUGGUGAUGUGAUCCGCGCAGGGCUUCGCCUAAGAACUACGACGAUAUGACCGAAGGAGUAAACUAUGGAGGGGGGCACCGCACAUGGCUAAGAGAACAACUGAUGUGCUUUGGGGUGCCCCCUGCCCCCGUAUAUAAAGGAGGAGAGGGAGGAGGCUGGCCAUAGGGGGCGCGCCAUGAGGGGGGGAGGAACCGACUAGGAUCCUAGUCCUAGUUGCCCCCUUCCUUUAUUUUGGAGGGGGAAAAGGGAAGGAGAGGGAGAGGGGGAAGGAAAGGGGGGCCGCGCCCCCUCCCCUUGUCCAAUUCGGACAGCCCAUGGGGGGCACCCCUUGCAGGCUCCCCUCUCUCUCCCCUAUGGCCCAUGUAGGUGUUGGUGAACGUAGCAUGCAAUUUCAAAAAAUUCCUACGAUCACGCAAGAUCUAUCUAGGAGAUGCAUAGCAACGAGAGGGGGAGAGUGUGUCCACGUACCCCCGUAGACCGAAAGGUUAACGCGGUUGAUGUAUUCGAACAUCUUCGCGAUCCAACCGAUCAAGUACCGAACGUACGACACCUCCGAGUUUAGCACACGUUCAGCUCGAUGACGUCCCUCGAACUCUUGAUCCAGCAAAGUGUCGAGGGAGAGUUUCGUCAGCACGACGGCGUGGUGACGGUGAUGGUGUUGUGUGAUAUGCCCAUUUUGCAUCAUGUUUUUUACUGUUAUUUAUAAUGGUUUUAUCCAUAAUAAUGCUUUUUGGAGUAAUUCUAAUGCCUUUUCUCUCAUAAUUUGUAAGGAACACACCAAGAGGGAGAAUUCCGGCAGCUGGAAAUCUGGACCUGUGAAAGCUACGUCAGGCCACCUAUUUUGCACAACUCCAAAUGAGCUGGAACUUCAUGGAGAUUUUUUAUGGAUUAUUUAAUAAAUACUUGAGCCAAUAAACACCAGAGGGGGGCCACCAGGUGGGCACAACCCACCUGGACGCGCCAGGCCCCCCAGGCGCGCCCUGGUGGGUUGUGGCCUCCUCGGCCCACCUCCGGUACCCAUCUUCUGGUAUAUAGGUCAUUUUGACCUAGAAAAAAAUAAGGAGAGGACUUUUGGUACAAAGCGCCGCCGCCUCGAGGCGGAACUUGGGCAUGAGCACUUUUGCCCUCUGGCGAAGCGAUUCCACCGGAGGAACUUCCCUCCCGGAAGGGGAAAUCAUCGUCAUCAUCAUCACCAACAACUCUCCCAACUUGGGGAGGGCAAUCUCCAUCAACAUCUUCAACAACACCAUUUCCUCUCAAACCCUAGUUCAUCUCUUGUGUUCAGUCUUGUUACCGGAACUAUAAAUUGGUGCUUGUGGGUGACUAGUAGUGUUGAUUACAUCUUGUAGUUGAUUACUAUAUGGUUUAUUUGGUGGAAUAUUAUAUGUUUAGAUCCAUUAUGCUAUUUAAUACUCCUCUGAUCAUGAACAUGUUUAUCAUUUGUGAGUAGUUACUUUUGUUCUUGAGGUCACGGGAGAAGUCAUGUUGCAAGUAAUCAUGUGAACUUGAUAUGUGUUUGAUAUUUUGAUAGUAUGUAUGUUGUUAUUCCCUUAGUAGUGUCAUGUGAACGUCGACUACAUGACACUUCACCAUAUUUGGGCCUAAGGGAAUGCAUUGUGGAUUCGUAAUUAGAUGGUGGGUUGCGAGAGUGACAGAAGCUUAAACCCCCCGUUGAUGCGCUAUUUCGUAAGGGACCGAUUGGAUCCAAAAGUUUAAUGCUAUGGUUAGAAUUUAUUCUUAAUACUUUCCUCAUAGUUGCGGAUGCUUUCGGGAGGGUUAAUCAUAAGUAGGAUGUUUGUUCAAGUAAGAACAGUACCUAAGCACCAAUCCACCCACAUAAUAAAUUAUCAAAGUAGAGAACACAAAUCAAACCAACAUGAUGAAAGUGACUAGAUAUUCCCGUGUAUCCUCAAGAACGCUUUGCUUAUCAUACGAGACCGUUUUGGCCUGUCCUUUGCCUCAAAAGGAUUGGGUUACAUUGUUGCACUUUUGUUACUAUUAUCGUUACUUGCUCGCUACAAAUUAUCUUGCUACCAAACUACUCCGCUACUUACAAUUUCAGCACUUGCAGACAAUACCUUACCGGAAAUUACUUGUCAUUUCCUUCUGCUCCUCGUUGGGUUCGACACUCUUACUUAUCGAAAAGAGCUACAAUUGAUCCCCUAUACUUGUGGGUCAUCAAGGCUAUUUUCCGGCAUCGUUGCCGGGGAGUGAAGCGCCUUUGGUAAGUGGAAUUUGGUAAGGAAACAUUUAUAUAGUGUGCUGAAAUUUAUUGUCACUUGUUACUUUAGAAAACAAUCCUUUGAGGGGUUUGUUCGGGGUAUCUUCACCUCGUCCAGAACCACAAUUAGCAACCCCUCAACCUACUGCACCUACUGAAAAUAUUGAAUAUGAAAUUCCUUCGGGUAUGAUAGAACAACUGCUAGCUAAUCCUUAUGCAGGAGAUGGAACCGAACAUCCUGAUAUGCACUUGAUAUAUGUUGAACAAAUUUGUGGAUUGUUCAAGCUUGCAGGUUUACCCAGGAAGUGAUGAAAAAGGUUCUCCCUUUAUCUUCUAAGGGAAAAGCAUUGGCAUGGUAUAGGCUAUGUGAUGAUAUUGGAUCAUGGAAUUGGAAUCGUUUGAAAUUGAAGUUCCACCAAAUUUUUUAUCAUAUAUAUAUAUAUAUAUAUAUAUAUAUAUAUAUAUAUAAUUUUUGGCCUCGUGAAGGAGAAAUUAUCGCUCUAGCUUCGGGGAGGCUUAAGUCAAUGUUAUAUUCAUGCCCCAAUCAUGAGCUCUCAAGAGAAAUUAUUAUCCAGAGUUUUUAUGCUCGGCUUUCUCGUAAUGAUCAAACCAUGUUUGAUACUUCUUGUGCUGGUUCAUUUAUAAAGAAGACUAUUGAAUUCUGGUGGGAUCUUUUGGAAAGAAUUAAACGCAACUCUGAAGAUUGGGAACUCGACAAAGGUAAAGAGUCAGGUAUUAAACUUAAGUAUGAUUGUGUUAAAUCUUUUAUGGAUACCGAUGCUUUUCAAAAGUUUAGCACUAAAUAUGGACUUGACUAUGAGAUAGUAGCCCCCUUUAGUGAAUCAUUUGCUACUCAUGUUGAAAUCCCUAAGGAGAAGUGGUUUAAAUAUCACCCAACCAUUAAAGAACCAAUACCAGUUAAAUAAGAAACUAUACUUUAUAAUGUUGAUCCAGUUGUUCCUUCUGCUUAUAUUGAGAAACCACCUUUCCCUGUUAGGAUUAAGGAACAUGCUAAAGUUUCAACUGUGAUUAACAAAAGUUAUAUUAGAACACCUAAACUUGAUGAACAAAUUAAAGUUGAACCUAGUAUUGCUAUGGUUAAAGAUCUCCUGGAAGAAGAUAUGGAUGGGCAUGUUAUUUACUUCUGUGAAGAAGCUGCUAGAAUUGCUAAACUUGAUAAAAGAGAUAAACAUAGACCUGUUGUUGGCAUGCCUGUUAUUUCAGUUAAAAUAGGAGACCACUGUUAUCAUGGUUUAUGUGACAUGGGUGCUAGUGUGAGUGCUAUUCCUUACACUUUAUAUGAAGAAAUCAUGAAAGACAUAUCACCUGAUAACCCAUGAGUAUAGGGGAUCACAACAGUUUUCAAGGGUAGAGUAUUCAACCGAAAUUUAUUGAUUCGACACAAGGGGAGCCAAAGAAUAUUCUCAAGUAUUAGCAGCUGAGUUGUCAAUUUAACCACACCUGGAAACUUAAUAUCUGCAGCAAAGUAUUUAGUAGCAAAGUAAUAUGAUAGUAGUGGUAAUGAUAGCAAAAGUAACGGUAGCAAAAGUAAUGUUUUUGGUAUUUUGUAGUGAUGAUAACAAUGGCAACAGAAAAGUAAAUAAGCGAAGAACAAUAUAUGGAAAGCUCAUAGGUAAUGGAUCAGUGAUGGAGAAUUAUGCCGGAUGUGGUUCAUCAUGUAACGGUCAUAACCUAGGGUGACACAGAACUAGCUCCAAUUCAUCAAUGUAAUGUAAGCAUGUAUUCCGAUUAUAGUCAUACGUGCUUAUGGAAAAGAACUUGCAUGACAUCUUUUGUCCUACCCUCCCGUGGCAGCAGGGUCCUAGCAGAAAUUAAGGGAUAUUAAGGCCUCCUUUUAAUAGAGUACCGGACCAAAGCAUUAACACAUAGUGAAUACAUGAACUCCUCAAACUACGAUCAUCACCGGAAGUGGUCCCGAUUAUUGUCACUUCGGGGUUACCGGAUCACAACACAUAAUAUGUGACUAUAGACUUGCAAGAUAGGACCAAGAACUCUCAUAUAUUGAUGAAAACAUAAUAUGUUCAGAUCUGAAAUCAUGGCACUCGGGCCCUAGUGACAAGCAUUAAGUAUAGCAAAGUCAUAGCAACAUCAAUCUCAGAACAUAGUGGAUACUAGGGAUCAAACCUUAACAAAACUAACUCGAUUACAUGAUAAAUCUCAUCCAACCCAUCACCGUCCAGCAAGCCUACGAUGGAAUUACUCACGCACGGGGUGAGCAUCAUGAAAUUGGUGAUGGAGGAUGGUUGAUGAUGACGAUGGCGGCGAAUUCCCCUCUCCGGAGCCCCGAACGGACUCCAGAUCAGCCCUCCCGAGAGGUUUUAGGUCUUGGCGGCGGCUCCGUAUCAUAAAACGCGAUGAAUCCUUCUUAUUUAUUUUUUCUCCCCGAAAGCAAAUAUAUAGAGUUGGAGUUGAGGUCGGAGGAGCUCCAGGGGGGCCACGAGGUAGGGGAGCGCGCCCAGGGGGCAGGUGCGCCCCCACCCUCGUGGCUAGGGUGUGGGCCCCCUGGUCUUCAUCUUUUGCAAGGAUUUUUUUUAUGAUUUCCAAAAAGACGUUCCGUGAAGUUUUAGGUCAUUCCGAGAACUUUUGUUUCUGCACAUAAAUAACACCAUGGCAAUUCUGCUGAAAACAGCGUCAGUCCGGGUUAGUUCCAUUCAAAUCAUGCAAGUUAGAGUCCAAAACAAGGGCAAAAGUGUUAGGAAAAGUAGACACGACGGAGACGUAUCAACUCCCCCAAGCUUAAACCUUUGCUUGUCCUCAAGCAAUUCAGUUGACAAACUGAAAGUGAUAAAGAAAAACUUUUACAAACUCUGUUUGCUCUUGUUGUUGUAAAUAUGUAAAGCCAGCAUUCAAGUUUUCAGCAAAGAUUAUGAACUAACCAUAUCCACAAUAAUGCUCAGGUCUCAUGUUUACUCAUAUCAAUGGCAUAAUCAACUAGCGAGCAAUAAUAAUAAAUCUCGGAUGACAACACUUUCUCAAAACAAUCAUAAUAUGAUAUAACAAGAUGGUAUCUCGCUAGCCCUUUCUGAGACCGCAAAACAUAAAUGCAGAGCACCUUUAAAGAUCAAUGACUGACUAGACAUUGUAAUUCAUGGUAAAAGAGAUCCAGUCAAGUCAUACUCAAUGUAAACUAACAGUAAUGAAUGCAAAUGACAGCGAUGCUCUCCAACUGGUGCUUUUUAAUAAGAGGAUGAUGACUCAACAUAAAAGUAAAUAGAUAGGCCCUUUGCAGAGGGAAGCAUGGAUUUGUAGAGGUGCCAGAGCUCGGUUUUGAAAUAGAGAUGAAUAAUAUUUUGAGCGAUAUACUUUCAUUGUCAACAUAACAACCAAGAGAUGGCGAUAUCUUCCAUGCUACACACAUUAUAGGCGGUUCCCAAACAGAAUGGUAAAGUUUAUACUCCCCCUCCACCAACAAGCAUCAAUCCAUGGCUUGCUCGAAACAACAAGUGCCUCCAACUAACAAGAGUCCCAGGGGGAGUUUUGUUUGCAAUUAUUUUGAUUUGAUUUGCAUAAAGCAUGGGAAUGGGCAUCCCGGUGACCAGCCAUUUUCUCAUGAGUGAGGAGCGGAGUCCACUCCUCUUGAGAAUAACCCGCCUAACAUGGAAGAUACGGACAACCCUAGUUGAUACAUGAGCUAUUCGAGCAUACAAAACAGGAUAUUUAUUUGAAGGUUUAGAGUUUGGCACAUACAAAUUUACUUGGAACGGCAGGUAGAUACCAUAUAUAGGUAGGUAUGGUGGACUCAUAUGGAAUAACUUUGGGGUUUAUGGGAUUGGAUGCACAAGCAGUAUUCCCGCUUAGUACAGGUGAAGGCUAGAAAAAGAUUGGGAAGCGAUCAGCUAGAGAGCGACAACAGUCAUGAACAUGCAUUAAAAUUAAUCAACACAGAAUGCAAGCAUGAGUAGGAUAUAAUCCACCAUGAACAUAAAUAUCCCGACGGCUAUGUUGAUUUUGUUUCAACUACAUGCGUGAACAUGUGCCAAGUCAAGUCACUUAAAUCAUUCAGAGGAGGAUAGCACCCUAUCAUACCACAUCACAACCAUUUUAAUAGCAUGUUGGCACGCAAGGUAAAUCAUUGUAAGCUCCUAGCUAAUCAAGCAUGGCACAAGAAACUAUGAUCUCUAGUUGUCAUUGCAAACAUGUUUAUUCAUAAUAGGCUGAAUCAGGAACGAUGAACUAAUCAUAUUUACAAAAACAAGAGAGGUCGAGUUCAUACCAGCUUUUCUCAUCUCAGUCAGUCCAUCAUAUUGUCAUAAUUGCCUUUCACUUGCACGACCGAACAAUGUGGAUAAUAAUAAUAGUGCAUGUGCAUUGGACUAAGCUGGAAUCUGCAAGCAUUCAAUAAACAGGAGAAGACAAGGCAGUAUGGGCUCUUUUGUCAAAUCAACAAUAAUGCAUAUAAGAGCCACUUCAACAAUUUAAUUAUGGUCUUCUCCUAUCGACCCCCAAAGAAAAGAAAAGAAAUAAACUAUUUACACGGGAAAGCUCCCAACAAGCAAAAGAAGAACAAGAAAUAUUUUUGGGUUUUCUUUUUAAUUAAUACUACAAGCAUGGAAAUUAAAACUAGAUAAAAGCUACAACUAUUUUUUUUGUUUUUCUUAAGGUUUAUUAAACACACAAGAAGAAAGCAUAAAAAGGAAAUAAACUAGCAUGGAUGAUACAAUGAAAUGUAUGAGCACCGACAUCUAGCAAUGAGUGUGUGAACAUGAAUAUAAUGUCGGUGAGAAAUACGUACUCCCCCAAGCUUAGGCUUUUAGCCUAAGUUGGUCUAUGGCCACGGUUGGCCUGGCGGAUAUCCAUAGUAAUAGUUGGGGUCAUACUGCGAUGCAGCAGUCAUUGCAUCGUGGGCUGCAGCUUGGAGGCAAGCUAUCUCAGCUCUCCUCUUAUACUCUUCCGCCUCCUCUUUGGUUAUAAAAUAUCUCCUUUUUGCCUGAAAGUCAACGAAAGUAGAAGCAGGGAGAGCGACGUGAUAGGUGCGUCGUCUCUCAAAGAUUAGUCGGUACUGGAGGAACUGAUCGUUCCUCUCAACAAACUGGUGACGAACCAUAGCCUCAUAAUCCAAAUAAGCAGGGGGCAACUCAAUAUCAUCUUCACGUAUGGUUAUACCAAGAAAAUUAGCUAUGCGGGUUGCAUAAAUUCCACCAAAGAAAUCUCCAUUAAAUCUAUUAAGAUGCAACCUACGUGCAACAAUGGCUCCCAAAUUAUAAGAUUUAUCUCCUAACACAGCACUCCUAAGAAUACUGAGGUCAGGGACACACAUGUGACAUGCCUCGUCUUUACCAUUCAUGCACCUACCUAUGAAGAGAGCAAAAUAAUGUAUAGCAGGAAAAUGAAUGUUCCCUAUGGUAGCUUGUGCUAUAUCUCUAGAUUCCCCCACAGUUAUACUAGUAAGAAAAUCUCUAAAUUCAGAUUUGCGAGGUUCACUAGCACUACCCCGUUGUGGAAGUUUGCAAGCAGUGGUAAAGUCCUCUAAGUCCAUAGUAUAAGAAUUUUCAUAAAGAUCGAACAGGACAGUUUGAGAAUUGCGUGAAGAUGGAAAUUCAAACCUCCUCACAAAGGAACUAGGGAGAUAGUGGUACUGACGGCACUUUUCUGCCUCGAAGCUCACAAGAUUAGCGUUACGCAAAUAUGCGUUAAAUUCUUCCUUAGUUCCUGCUCGAUCCAUGAAGUCCUCUAACGGCCAUUCACAAGGCCGCAUUGGGGCGUCCCUUGGUGGUUCAUCAUUAGCAUCACGCAUUGCAAGCCUGGGUCCUUGCUUCCUUGAAGAACCACCUUGGUACAUUUUCCUAAGCAUAUUUUUUCCUCUGAAAUUUUUAGUAACUUCAAAUAAAAGUAAACCAAACUCAACAAUAUUGAUAGCAACUACUCCUACAAGUGCCUAGAGCAUAUAUCAUGCAUUAGAACUACUUGGAACCAUAUAAAUUUGACAUGCAAGCUCAAGAACAUGGUCACCUAGGCAGCACAAAUUUGCAAUGAAUAAAACACUAGAACAAAAACUAAUUGGACCAAUGGAGGAGUCACAUACCAAGGAACAAUCACCCAAAACAGUUUUGUGAGAGGUGCUUUGAGCAAGGAGAUCGAAAAUCGCAGCAAAAUGAGCUAGAACUCGUGCUUGAGCUGGAUGGUGAUUUUUUUGGGAGGAAGAAGAAGUGUGUGGGUGCAGGAAUAAGUGGAGGGGAGCCACCAUGGGCCCACGAGGCAGGGGGCGCGCCCAGGGGGUGGGCGCACCCUGGACCCUCGUGGCCAGGUGCUUGCUCCCCCUGCUGUGUUCUCAGUGCCAGAUAUUCUCAAAUAUUCCAUAAAAAAUCAUAUUUAAAUUUCAGGGCAUUUGGAGAAUUUCAUUUUCGGGGUAUUUUUAUAUUGCACAGAUAAUUCAGAAAACAGACAGAAAUUACUAUUUUUGCUUUAUUUAAUAUAAAUAACAGAAAGUAAAAAGAGGGUACAGAGAGUUGUGUUUUCUAACUUCAUCCAUCUCAUGCUCAUCAAAAGGAAUCCACUAACAAGGUUGAUCAAGUCUUGUUAACAAACUCAUUCCGAGUAUCAUGGAACCAGAGAAUUUUCGAAUAACACUAGAUUACCUCAACGGGGAUAUGGACAUCCCCAACAACAAGAAUAUUAUAUUUCCUCUUGACAGUAGGAAGAGGAAAUUCAAAACCUCCAAAAAUAAUCGAUGGGAUUUCUCCAAUAGAAUUGAUACUGUGAACUUGAGGUUGUUUCCUCAGAAAGUGUACCGUAUGCUCAUUACCAUUAACAUGAAAAGUGACAUUGCCUUUGGUGCAAUCAAUAACAGCCCCUGCAGUAUUCAAAAAAGGUUUUCCAAGAAUAAUAGACAUACUAUCGUCCUUGGGAAUAUCAAGAAUAACAAAGUCCGUUAAAAUAGUAACGUUUGCAACCACAACAGGCACAUCCUCACAAAUACCGACAUGUAUAGCAGUUGAUUUAUCAGCCAUUUGCAAAGAUAUUUCAGUAGGUGUCAACUUAUUCAAAUCAAGUCUACGAUAUAAAGAGAGAGGCAUAACACUAACACUGGCUCCAAGAUCGCAUAAAGCAGUUCUAACAUAGUUUCUUUUAAUGGAGCAAGGUAUAGUUGGUAGUCCGGGAUCUCCUAGUUUCUUAGGUAUUCCACCUUUAAAAGUAUAAUUAGCAAGCCUGGUGGAAAUUUCAGCUUCCGGUAUCUUUCUUUUAUUAGUAACAAUAUCUUUCAUAUACUUAGCAUAAGGAUUCAUUUUAAGCAUAUCAGUCAAACGCAUACGCAAAAAGAUAGGUCUAAUCAUUUCAGCAAAGCGCUCAAAAUCCUCAUCAUCCUUUUUCUUGGAUGGCUUAGGAGGAAAAGGCAUGGGUUUCUGAACCCAUGGUUCUCUUUAUUUACCAUGUUUCCUAGCAACAAAGUCUCUCUUAUCAUAACGUUGAUUCUUUGAUUGUGGGUUAUCAAGAUCAACAACAGGUUCAAUUUCUAUAUCAUUAUCAUUGCUAGGUUGAGCAUCAACAUGAACAUUAUCAUUAACAUUAUCACUAGUUUCAUGUUCAUUACCAUAUUGUGGUUCAGCAUCAGAAAUAGAAAUAUCAUUUGGAUUCUCAGGUGUUUCAGUAAUGGUUUCACUAGAAGCAUGCAAAUUCCUAUCAUUUUUCUUUUUCUUCCUUUUAGAAGGGCUAGGUGCAUCUAUAUUAUUUCUCUGAGAAUCUUGCUCAAUUCUCUUAGGGUGGCCUUCAGGAUACAAAGGUUCCCGAGUCAUUUUACCACCUCUAGUCAUAACUCUAACAACAUUAUCAUUAUUCUUACUAUUCAAUUCAUUGAGCAAAUCAUUUUGAGCUUUAAGUACUUGUUCUACUUGAGUGGUAACCAUAGAAGCAUGUUUACUAAUAAGUUUACCUUUGACAUUAGCCAUAUAAUCACCCAAGUUUUCAAGCAUAUCAGCACUACGUUUUAAUUCUCUACCAAAAUAAGCAUUGAAGUCUUCUUGCUUAACCAUAAAUUUAUCAAACUCAUCUAAGCAUGGGCUAGCAAACUUAGUAAAUGGGAUUUCAGCUUUAUCAUAUCUAUAGAGAGAAUUUACCUUUACUACAUGUGUCGGGUUAUCAAGAUCAUGUAUUUCUUCAAUAGGUGAUGGAUUAAAACUAUGCAUUUCUUCGACAGGCGGUAAAUUAAGACCAUGUAUUUCUCCAAUAGGAGGUAAAUUCUUAACAUCUUCAUCUUUAAUACCCUUUUCUUUCAUGGAUUUCUUUGCCUCUUGCCUAUCCUCAGGGCUGAGAAAUAGAACACCUCUCUUCUUCGGAGUUGGUUUAGGAAUAGGCUCAGGAAGUGUCCAAUUAUUUUCAUUAGUCAACAUAUUAUUCAAUAGAAUUUCAGCUUCAUCCGGUGUUCUUUCCCUAAAAAGAGAACCAGCACAACUAUUCAGGUAAUCUCUGGAAGCAUCGGUUAGUCCAUUAUAAAAGAUAUCAAGUAUUUCAUUUUUCUUAAGAGGAUGAUCAGGCAAAGCAUAAAGUAAUUGGAGAAGCCUCCCCAAGCUUGUGGGAGACUCUCUUCUUCAAUUUGCACAAAAUUAUAUAUAUCCCUUAAUGCAGCUGGUUUCUUAUGAGCAGGGAAAUAUUUAGCAGAGAAGUAAUAAAUCAUAUCCCGGGGACUACGCACACAACCAAGAUCAAGAGAAUUAAACCAUAUCUUAGCAUCACCCUUUAAUGAGAACGGAAAUAUUUUAAGGAUAUAGAAGUAGCAAGUUCUCUCAUCAUUAGUGAACAAGGUGGCUAUAUCAUUUAAUUUAGUAAGAUGUGCCACAACAGUUUCAGAUUCAUAGCCAUAAAAAGGAUCAGAUUCAACCAAAGUAAUUAUAUUAGGAUCAACAGAGAAUUCAUAAUCCUUAUCAGUAACACAGAUAGGUGAAGUAGCAAAAGCAGGGUCAGGUUUCAUUCUAGCAUUAAGGGAUUGUUGCUUCCAUUUACCUAAUAACCUCUUUAGAUCAUAUCUAUCAUUGCAAGCUAAAAUAGCUCUAGCAGAUUCUUCAUCCAGAAAAUAACCCCCAGAAACAACAAGCAAUUCAUAUUUAUUAGGGGGAGAGUCUUCAUUAUCACUUUUGUCAAUAUUAUCAGUUUCAAUAAUUUCAUUCUCUCUAACCCUAGCAAGUUGUUCAUCAAGAAAUUCACCAAGUGGCAUAGUAGUAUCAAGCGUAGAAGUAAUUUCAUCAUAAGUAUCAUGCAUAGCAGAAGUGACAUCAUCAAUAACAUGCGACAUAUCAGAAUGAAUAGUAGAAGCAGGUGGAGUAUUCAACCCAAAUUUAUUGAUUCGACACAAGGGGAGCCAAAGAAUAUUCUCAAGUAUUAGCAGCUGAGUUGUCAAUUCAACCACACCUGGAAACUUAAUAUCUGCAGGAAAGUAUUUAGUAGCAAAGUAAUAUGAUAGUAGUGGUAAUGAUAGCAAAAGUAACGGUAGCAAAAGUAAUGUUUUUGGUAUUUUGUAGUGAUGAUAACAAUAGCAACGGAAAAGUAAAAAAGCGAAGAACAAUAUAUGGAAAGCUCGUAGGCAAUGGAUCAGUGAUAGAGAAUUAUGCCGGAUGUGGUUCAUCAUGUAACAGUCAUAACCUAGGGUGACACAGAACUAGCUCCAAUUCAUCAAUGUAAUGUAGGCAUGUAUUCUGAAUAUAGUCAUACGUGCUUAUGGAAAAGAACUUGCAUGACAUCUUUUGUCCUACCCUCCCGUGGCAGCGGGGUCCUAGCGGAAACUAAGGGAUAUUAAUGCCUCCUUUUAAUAGAGUACAGGACCAAAGCAUUAACACAUAGUGAAUACAUGAAGUCCUCAAACUACGGUCAUCACCGGAAGUGGUCCCGAUUAUUGUCACUUCGGGGUUACCGGAUCAUAACACAUAAUAGGUGACUAUAGACUUGCAAGAUAGGAUCAAGAACUCUCAUAUAUUGAUGAAAACAUAAUAGGUUCAGAUCUGAAAUCAUGGCACUCGGGCCCUAGUGACAAGCAUUAAGCAUAACAAAGUCAUAGCAACAUCAAUAUCAGAACAUAGUGGAUACUAGGGAUCAAACCCUAACAAAACUAACUCGAUUACAUGAUAAAUCUCAUCCAACCCAUCACCCUCUAGCAAGCCUAUGAUGGAAUUACUCACGCACGACAGUGAGCAUCAUGAAAUUGGUGAUGGAGGAUGGUUGAUGAUGAUGAUGGCGACGGAUUCCCCUCUCCGGAGCCCUGAACGGACUCCAGAUCAGCCCUCCCGAGAGGUUUUAGGGCUUGGCGGGGGCUCCGUAUCGUAAAAUGUGAUGAAUCCUUCUUCUCUAUUUUUUCUCCCCGAAAGCAAAUAUAUAGAGUUGGAGUUGAGGUCAGAGGAGCUCCAGGGGGCCCACGAGGCAGGGCACGCCCAGGGAGGGGGGCAGGCGCGCCCCCACCCUUGUGGCUAGGGUGUGGGCCCCCUGGUCUUCAUCUUUUGCAAGGAUUUUUAUUAUUUCCAAAAAGACGUUCCGUGAAGUUUCAGGUCAUUCCGAGAACUUUUGUUUCUGCACAUAAAUAACACCAUGGCAAUUCUGCUGAAAACAACAUCAGUCCGGGUUAGUUCCAUUCAAAUCAUGCAAGUUAGAGUCCAAAACAAGGGCAAAAGUGUUUGGAAAAGUAGAUAUGACGGAGAUGUAUCAGCACCCACUGAGAUAGAAGAAAUAGAUGUCACUAUUAAACUUGCUAAUAGAGACACCAUAUCACCAAUUGGGAUUAUUAGAGAUGUUGAAGUCUUGUGUGGGAAAAUAAAAUACCCUACUGAUUUUCUUGUUCUUGGUUCCCCACAAGAUGACUUUUGUCCCAUUAUCUUUGGUAGACCUUUCUUGAAUAUAGUUAAUGCUAAGAUAGAUUGUAAGAAACAAACUGUUGGUGUUAGCUUUGGUGAUGAGUCUCAUGAGUUUAAUUUUUCCAAGUUUAGUAGAAAUCAUCAUGAAAAAGAAUUGCCUAGUAAGGAUGAAUUAAUUGGUCUUGCUUCUAUUGUUGUUCCACCUACUGACCCUUUAGAACAAUAUUUGCUAGAGCAUGAAAAUGAUUUACAUAUGCAAGAAAGAAAUGAAAUUGAUAAGGUUUUCUUUGAACGGCGUGCUCUGCUUAAACACAAUUUGCCUAUUGAAACUCUAGGAGGUCCUCCUCCACUUAAAGGUGAUCCUGUGUUUGAAUUAAAACAAUUGCCAGUCACUUUGAAAUAUGCUUAUCUCGAUGAAAAGAAGAUAUAUCCUGUUAUUAUUAGUGCUAACCUUUCAGAACAUGAAGAAGGAAGAUUAUUGAAAGUUCUAAGGAAGCACCGGGCUGCUAUUGGAUAUACUCUUAAUGAUUUAAAGGGCAUUAGUCCCACUCUAUGUUAGCACAAAAUUAAUAUGGAACCUGAUGCUAAACCCAUUGUUGAUCACCAACGUUGGUUGAAUCCAAAAAUGAAGGAAGUGGUAAGAACGGAAAUCUUAAAACUUCUAGAAGCAGGUAUAAUCUAUCUUAUAGCUGAUAGUAGAUGGGUAAGUCCUGUUUAUUGUUUCCUUAAGAAAGGAGGUAUUAUUGUUGUUCCUAAUGAUAAGAAUGAACUUAUUCCACAAAGAAUUGUUACAGGCUAUAGAAUGGUAAUUGAUUAUAGAAAAUUAAACAAAGCAACUAGAAAAGAUCAUUACCCCUUGCCUUUUAUUGAUCAAAUGCUUGAAAGAUUAUCUAAGCACACACACUUUUGCUUCCUAGAUGGAUACUCUAGCUUUUCACAAAUACCUGUUUCUCAACCUGAUCAAGAAAAUACUACUUUUACUUGUCCCUUUGGAACUUAUGCUUAUAGACGUAUGCCUUUUGGUUUAUGUAAUGCACCGGCUGCCUUUCAAAGAUGUAUGACUGCUAUAUUCUCUGACUUUUGUGAAAAGAUUGUUGAUGUUUUCAUGGAUGACUUUUCUGUUUAUGGGAAGUCUUCUGAUGAUUAUUUAAGCAAUCUUGAUCAAGUUUUGCAGAGUUGUGAACAAACAAAUCUUGUCUUGAAUUAGGAGAAGUGUCACUUUAUGGUUAAUGAAGGCAUUGUCUUGGGUCAUAAAAUUUCUGAAAGAUGUAUUGAAGUGGACCAAGCUAAGGUUGAUGCAAUUGAGAAAAUGCCAUGUCCUAAGGACAUCAAAGGUAUUCGUAGUUUCUUGGGUCAUGCUAGUUUCUAUAGGAGAUUUAUCAAAGACUUUUCUAAAAUUUCUAGGCCUCCUACUAAUCUUUUGCUAAAGGAUAUUCCUUUUGUUUUUGAUGAUGAUUAUUCAGAAGCCUUUGAAACACUCAAGAAAGCCUUAAUAUCUGAACCUAUUGUUCAACCACAUGAUUGGAACUUGCCUUUUGAAAUUAUGUGUGAUGCUAGUGAUUAUGUUGUUGGUGCUGUUCUAGGACAAAGAGUUGAUAAGAAACUUAAUGUUAUUCAUUAUGCUAAUAAAACUCUAGACAGUUCUCAAAGAAAUUAUGCUACUACUGAAAAAGAAUUCUUAGCAGUGGUGUUUGCUUGUGAUAAAUUUAGAUCUUAUAUUGUUGAUUCCAAAGUAACUGUUCACACAGACCAUGCUGGUAUUAAAUAUCUUAUGGAAAAGAAAGAUGCUAAACCUAGACUUAUUCGUUAGGUUCUCUUGUUACAAGAAUUUGAUUUGCGAAUCAUUGAUAGAAAAGGAGCCGAGAACCCCAUAGCUGAUAAUUUGUCUAGGCUUGAAAAUGUGCUUGUUGACCCACUACCUAUUGAUGAUAGUUUUCCUGAUGAGCAGUUAGCUGCAAUAAAUGUUGCUAAUAGUACUCCUUGGUAUGCUGACUAUGCUAAUUACAUUGUUGCUAAAUAUUUACCACCUAGCUUUACAUACCAGCAAAAGAAAAAAAAUCUUCUAUGAUUUAAGACAUUACUUUUGGGAUGACCCACAUCUUUAUGAAGGAGUAGAUGGUAUUAUUAGACAUUGUGUACCUGAGCAUGAACAGGGACAAAUCCUACGGAAAUGUCACUCUGAGGCUUAUGGAGGGCAUCAUGCUGGAGAUAGAACUGCUCACAAGGUAUUGCAAUCUGGAUUUUAUUGGCCUACUCUAUUCAAGGAUGCCCGUAAGUUUGUCUCUUUUUGUGAUGAAUGUCAAAGAAUAGGUAAUAUCGAUACGCGUCAAGAAAUGCCUAUGAAUUAUUCACUUGCUGUUGAACCAUUUGAUAUUUGGAGAUUUGAUUACAUGGGACCUUUUCCUUCCUCUAAUGGGUAUACACAUAUUUUGGUUGUCGUUGAUUAUGUUACUAAAUGGGUAGAAGCCAUUCCAACCAGUAGUGCUGAUCACAACACCUCUAUUAAAAUGCUUAAGGAAGUUAUUUUCCCAAGGUUUGGAGUCCCUAGCUAUUUAAUGACUGAUGGUGGUUCACACUUUAUUCAUGGUGCUUUCCGUAAGAUGGUUGCUAAGUAUGAUGUUAACCAUAGAAUUGCAUCACCAUAUCAUCUUCAGUCUAGUGGUCAAGUUGAACUUAGCACUAGAGAAAUAAAAUUAAUUUUACAAAAUACUGUUAAUAGGUCCAUGAAGAAUUGGUCUAAGAAAUUAGAUGAUGCACUUUGGGCUUAUAGAACAACAUAUAAAAAUCCUAUGGGUAUGUCCCCUUAUAAAAUGGUUUAUGGAAAAGCUUGUCAUUUGCCUCUUGAGUUAGAACAUAAAGCAUAUUGGGUAGUUGAAGAACCCAAAUAUGAUUUCAAACUUGCUGGUGAAAAGAGGUUAUUUGGUAUAAGCUCCUUAGAUGAAUGGAGAACCCAAGCUUAUGAGAAUGCAAAGUUAUUCAAAGAAAAAGUAAAAAGAUGACAUGACAAAAGAAUUCAAAAGCGCGAGUUUAAAGUUGGAGAAUAUGUUCUUUUGUACAACUCUCAUUUUUGAUUUUUUGCAGGAAAGCUCCUCUCGAAAUGGGAAGGCCCAUACAUCCUCGAGGAGGUUUAACAGUUUGGAGCCAUCAAAGUAAAUAACUCCGAAGGUACUAACCCGAAGGUUGUCAAUGGGCAACGAAUAAAGCAUUAUAUCUCAGGUACACCUAUCAAUGUUGAAAGUAAUAUUAUCUAACUUUGACACCGGAAGAACACAUAAAAUAGUCCUUCCGGAACACUCUAGAAUCGUGAAAUAAAGAAGUACGUGAUACGGUAAGUAAACAGACUCCGAAAAGUCCACAAAAAUAUUUUUUAUCAGUUUUGGAAUAUUUUAAAAUUUUGGAAAUAAAGAAACUUCCAGGAAGCGUCCCCUGGUGGGCACAAGACACCAGGGCGCGCUAGGCUGGCAUGACCAGGUGGGUUGUGCCCACUUGGGACACCUUCCGUACUCUGUUUUUCUAUCAUAUACUUGUCCUCCAAGAUAAAAAAUCUAUAUAUACUUCCCAAACCUGUUGAUCACCGUAUUGUGAAGAAAUCCUCUGUUCUCUUUCCUUGCUGUUUCUGGUUAGAUUUAUCAAGCCAGGCAUCAUGUCUUCUUGCUCCUCCAACAACAUGGAAGAAGAUGCUUGGCUGAUGAAGAUCAAGAUGAAGCAGGAGGAGCCUACGGACGCCCUCAAGGGAGACAAGGGCAAGAAAGCUACCUUGGAUCCACCCCCGGUGGCAGCACGAGAUCUGCUGGCCGAGGAGGAGGAAGAGGAUAUCCUUAAAACCUACCUUCCUCAUCUUACUCCCACUGAGAUUGAGGCUUUUCGCGUCAUUGAAAUAGUUCGCAUGCAGAAUAAGUAUCUUACUCGUGAAAAUAUUUUGCAUCAAGAGCAUAUCAUCCAUCUCCAGAGUGUCAUCCAAUGGUUGGAGAACCUCUUGAUCCUUAAGGAUAGGAUCGCUUCAUCACCACCAUCAUCUUCUUCACCACCAAAGGAGAAUUGAGUAUCGGGUAUGGGCACUCCCCUUGGCUUCCGCCAAGCUUGGGGGAGGUGCCCCUGUAUCGUAUCAUCCCACUAUCUCUUUGCUUUUACUUAUCCUAGUUCGAUCAUUUGCUUUUAGAUGAAAUAAAGUUUACUUCGAUUCUUUCUUCUUUGAGAUUUUGCUUAGUGAUCUAUCCUUGUAAUCGUGUGCAAGUUAUAUAAUAAAGUUAGUUUGAGUUUUUGCUUUCUUUACUUUCAUGUUGCAAAUAAAGAAAAGAAAAAAGAAAAAAAGAGAGAAAGGAAAUAAAUGAAGAAAGGAAAUAAAUCAAUAAGAUUAUAUACUAAUCCUAUGGUAGGUGAUGGCACCACAUAAGGAAAAGUAUAAAUAGAAAAUUUUAUAGAGAUUGACAAACAUAGAAUUAGUCAAUGAUGCAAUUCAUGAAAGAAUUAAUAAGGGAAGAGAAGAUUCACAUAUAGAUAUACUACACUAGAAAUCUUUUGUGAUUGUGAGCCCCCAUAAAAAUAUUAUAUGUCAAAAUUGUUGACAUUGGACAAGGAAGACAACUUAAUGGUUUAUGUUUGUUUAUAUUCACAUAGAAGUCAUAUUGUCAUAGAUCCUUUAACAUGUGAUGCUUGCCCCCUGUCUUUGCUAGCCAAAAAUUCUGUACUAAGUAGAGAUACCACUUGUGCAUCCAAAAACCCUUAAACCCAAAUCGUUUUCAAGUGUCCACCAUACCUACCUAGGGAUUGAGCAAGAUCCCUCAGGUAAUUUGUCAUCGGUGCAAAAAGGCAAUAAAUAUUGCUUCUAAAAGUGUGAGAUCAUUUAGUGUAAGAGAAAAUUGAGCGUUGUACGAACUUGGAUGACAAAGAAUAAAAGCGACAUACUGCAUAAUAAAGGUUGUCAUCUUAAGGGUCAUUACAACGUGACAUUCUCUUGCACUAAGGGAUUGAGCAUACAAACAAAUAAGCGCAUGGCAACUGUCGGUGUCAAAACCGGCGGAUCUCGGGUAGGGGUCCCGAACUGUGCAUCUAGGAUUGAUGGUAACAGGAGACGGGGGACACAAUGUUUACCCAGGUUCGGGCCCUUUCUAUGGAGGUAAUACCCUACUUCCUGCUUGAUUGAUUUUGAUGAAUAUGAGUAUUACAAGAGUUGAUCUACCACGAGAUCGUAAUGGCUAAACCCUAAAAGUCUAGCCUGGCUAUGAUUAUGAGGAUCUAUCUACGGACCUAGCCCUCUGGUUUAUAUAGACAAUGGAGGGAUAUAGGGUUACACAAGGUCGGUUAUAAAGAAAGGAAUCUUCAUAGUUGAUCGCCAAGCUUGCCUUCCACGCCAAGGAGAGUCCUAUCCGGACACGAGUAGAGUCUUCGGUCUUCGUAUCUUUACGGCCCAUCAUUUCGGCCCAUAUCCAAUAGAUCGGACACCCGAGGACCCCUUAGUCCAGGACUCCCUUAGUAGCCCCUGAACCAGGCUUCAAUGACGAUGUGUCCGGCGCGCAGAUUGUCUUCGGCAUUGCAAGGCAGGUUCCCUUUUUCGAAUACUCCAAGAUAGUCUUUGGAUGAAACAAAAUGUGUCCGGAUCUACAACACAAGUACCCCACACAGCCAAGUAGAGCAUAAUAUUUCACGAGUCCAACCUGCUGACAACUUUUUGUAACGUGGCAUCAUGUUUGCCCGGUCGUUAUUUCGAACCGUUUCCUGUUCCACGUUUCGAGGCAUGGUUUUUAUUGGCACGUUCUGUCGAAGCAGAGAUCGUGUCCCCUUAUUGUGGGAUCCUCAUUAAUACAAGCGUGGGUAACCCAACCGUUCCACUAGAAAGAUUUCUUAGGAAUGGGUAGGUUUUUAGGCUUAGGAGGAGGCGUUCGAUACCCGCUGCCUUUGUAAAGGAACCAAGGGCCGUCCUUUCAUGCCAAACCACUCCUCAACCUUUCCAACCUCGAGCUCUAGCACCCAAGAUUCAACUUCAUUGCUUCAAGCUUCCCCAUCAUGUCCGGACCCACCCAUCAAGGUCGAUAGGUGGCUUCCUCCGUCACGGAGGAGGAUAUUGCAAAGCUUCGGGCGGCCAGAUACCUGACCGCGGAGAUCCACCACAGGCUCCCUGCUCAAGGACAGUGUCGUGGAAUUGUCACAGCAGAUGUCCUAGUAGAAGGACCUGGUCAUAGGGCCAUCGCAACUAGGAAGCUUAAAGGGGUUAAUCGGGACAAAGGACACGAGAGGUUUUAUACUAGUUCGGCCCCUUACGAUGAAGGUAAAAGCCUACAUCUAGUUGUGUUGAGAUUGCUGGGGUUUCGAUCACCAAGAGGCUAGUUCACCGGCUUGGUUAUCGAUCUCUUGUUUCUUGCCCUAAGCCACCACCGGGUCGUCCCCUUAUAUACACGCGUUGACGCCUGGUGGCCUACAGAGUCCUGGCCAGCUCAUAAAUCGUGUCCGGCUCGGUGACUUCUUUUACAUUCCUUUCCUUACAAGUCUUUCCUUACAUACGGUGGUUUACAAUAUUGGGCCUUAAACCACCUCUAGGCCUUUAGGCCUUCUAUAAGAUUUAAUAAACUAUCAUCUUGAAUGUCUACUGGGCUUCCUUUGUGACCCGCCAUUGGGGCUGACCCGGCCCCUCCUGGGCGGGUCAUAACUGAUAGCUAUAUCCCCAACAUUAGGCCCCAGGUUGACUUUGAACUUUGUUCUUUGUCAAUCUUCAACACUUAAACAAAAUCCAUCUUCUUAUCCUCGUAGAGGUUUUUGUAACCCGCCAUGACAUCAUCUCUUGAAAACACGAAAAAAAUUUAUGACGUCAUCUCCCAACGGAUCUUCAUAUUUAAUGCCUUCCGAGAAUCGAGGCGUCCAUUUAGUUAGAUAACCAUUAUCCGGGUCUUCCUUGAUUUUCGUGCCCACCUGUUCGCUUAUGCCCUUAUAAAUAGGCACGCCCCGGUCUUUUCUCAUUCCUCUCUCUUCUUCGUCUUCUUCCUCUCGCAACUCCACUGCAGCUCAAGCCCCGCCGCCAUCGCAGAGCAUCUCGUCGUCGUCGACUUUGGCCGCUGCAUCAACCAGAAUCGGUUCAGAGAACGGCGGCGAUCUUUCAUGGAGGAUCCGUGGCCGUAAGUAUUUGCCCUCCAUUCCUCAGAUCCACAUUUAGAGCUUCUAGGUUUUCCUGCAUGUUCUUUGUAGUUCUUCGCGGUUCUUCGCAGUUCUUCCACUGCCGCCUCUUCUUGAUCCAAAAAGAGAUGUAUGCUUAUGCGGUAGUUGUUUUGUGCUUGCUCUUGACACUGGUAGAUCCCUUUUCCCCAAUCUAGGGCCUCAUUAGGACUUACAAAUUCAUCUGCGCUAAACUUUUUAGGUCUAGAAUUUUUUCCAUUUUUGAACAGCCAUUUGAUCUAGAAUAAUACCAAGCAAUUUGGGAAACUUGUUUGUCUCAACACUUAGCUGAAUCUGCUUUCUCAAAUAUCUAUAGUCAUGGUGGCUUACUGUGCCGGCUUACUUUUCCUUAUAUGACAUUAUCCCUUACUUAAGCCGCAAUUACUCCCCUGUACCAUUACCACUUAAUUUAACCAUUAUCAUUGAAUUGAACCGGCAUGCUGCUUUCCUUUCAGUCCGUUUUUGAACAUCAUGCCGUCCAAAGCGCCAACUGUCUGCAACUGGGUUCCCUCAAUAGUCACCGAGGACACUCUGAAGGAAUUCUUUACCAUAGGUUUUUUGCCAGGGAAGAAUGUUAUGUCCUACCGUGCGCCUGACCCGGAGGAGGAACGGCCCAAUCCAAAAGAUGGUGAAGUUAUCGUCUUUUCUGAUCACAUGAACUGUGGCUUUUACCCACCCGGCUCAAAGUUCUUCAGAGAUGUCCUCCAUUUUUUCAAACUCCACCCUCAAGACCUCGGGCCUAAUUCCAUAUCCAAUAUUUGCAACUUCCAAGUUCUCUGCGAGGUGUACCUUCAAGAAGAACCGACUGUAGAACUCUUUAGAGAGUAUUUUUAUCUGAACCGCCAGAAUGAGUGCACCAAUGGCCCUAGCCUAGAACUUGGAGGUAUCUCAAUUCAGCAUUGACAAGGCGCCGUCUUCCCCCUAAUAGUCUUGCCAAGUCAUCCCAAGGACUGGAAUCAUACUUGGUUCUAUUGUCAAGACACUUCACCAGCAAAUGAGCAUCCACUGCCGGGUUAUCGCUCAGAGCGUCUUGAUUCCAAAUUUGCACUCCCUGACAAACUCACUGCCGCUGAACGCACGAAGCUGAUACCAUCCAUUAAAAGGAUUAAUGCUUUAUUGGGGAACGGCUUAACUGGAGUUGACUUGACCCGUUGCUGGGUUGCGUGGCGGGUCAUCCCUCUAAGUCGUCGAUCAAAAUUGAUGUAUGAAUAUGGUGGAGGCCCAGAUGACUCUCUUCGUCACAGCUCCGUUCAAUUAACUGAAGAAGAUAUUGUUUCAAUGUCAACCUUUUUGGUGAACGGAAAAUACGAAGACUGCAGUAAAGUCGGGUUAAACCCUUUCUGCAAGCUUAACCCGGUGCCAGAGGUAAAGAACCUCUGCUCUCUUCCUCUUUGCAUUUUUCUCAGCUGUUUUAAAUACUUGCAUGGCCUUUCAUCUUGCUUGUUUAUUUAUAGGCCAAAUCUGAUUUCUGGAAAGCCAAGUACGAUCACGAAGCCGCCAAGAAAGCCAGAGCCGCCGCCAUAACCACCAAAAAGACGACCCGGAGAUCUAAGAAGAAAAAGAAAAGCACCGCUGAAGAUCCGUUGAAGCUUGAUGAUAAUUCUUCUGAGUCGGAGGUAGCCCUUGACUCCCUUGGCCAGCUUUUUAACAAUCUUAUUAACACUGAUCAUUGCCAGGACGACACGGGGGCCUGUCAGGCCAUGGAAGAAGAGGUAACUAUUUCCUCCGACUCAGCCCAUUUGCCAAGACUGAAACUUCGAGUCGUAACCCGAAAAGUAAGGUUUUCACACCCUUUGGCUUAUCUGGACCCUCAUUUUCUUUUGAAAAAGCAGCAACAUGAGAGCCAUCGGCAGACCCAGAAUGAUGAUGAACCACCUGUUGUUCUUCAACAGACUCCUCAAAAACGCCUGAAUGAGGUUUAUUUCUUUGUCUUUGACUUUCUGUUAAUGGAUCUUCUCCCUUGCAUUACUUAUUUUGUUUUAACUUUGUAGGAGGUGUCUCGCUCUUCUGGCGACUCAUCUUAGACCCAAUUUCCGGCCUUCAAGACUGCCCCUGGGUAAGGAAAAAAAAUACUCUUUCCUCCGUGUUUUCAAAACUGUCUCUUUAUACUGACAGUCCCGUAACAUUUCUCUUAGUGGUCAAGCUAAGUCCAAGAAGGCCAAGGUAACUAAGCCGGUGGAAGACCCGCCAGUCCUUGCACCUGAACCGGCAAUGCCACCUUCUCCUCCAUUAAUUGAAGCUCUAGAAGAUCCGCCUGUCAACGCUGAAGUAAAUCCUCCUGAGCCGUCAGUUGACGAUACCACCGUUAAUCCUUCUGCAACUGGACCAUCCAGCUCAACCAACCCGCCAUCACCAUCUGCGUAAGAUGUUCUGAUCACCGGAAGCCGCUUUGUUGAGCCGGGGAAUCCCACCGUGUUGGCUCGUCACACGGCGAAACAAGAGGCGUUGGAGAGACAGAAAGUGCGUUUUGAUAUUUCGCAUUAUGGCCAUCUGAAUGCCAACGACAUAUUAUCCGACUAUCUCAGCCAUGUGCACUCCAGCCGUGACUCAGAGAUCAAAAUGGUCAAGCAGUUGUAGUUGAAGUACGAGGUAUGUUCUUCCAGCUUAUUUAUAUUCUGCCAGCCCCAAGUCUUCAGAUUAUGAGAAAACCGGAAUGAUAUGUAGACUUUAUGAUAUAGGCUAAGACUUUACCUUUAGAUUUUUCUGAAGUCCAAUAAAAUAGAACAAAGCUUCACCUGUAGUCCCCAAGGGCCGGUUCACUUAACCAUAAAUGAGCCGGUACUUUGAAUUUCAUAACUGUCUUGUACCGAAUCCAACAAAUAUUGUAAUCCGGCUUAACCUUGAGAGACUUUGCUGAAUAUCAUACAUUAGCCCCCAAGUGCCAAGUGUUGUUACUUUGUAAAGUACUUGGGACUUGAAGUAUUUUAGAGUCAUAAGAAAUUGUUUUGGCAUACAUUAGCCCCCAAGUGUCAAGUGGUUUUGCAAUGCAAAAGUACUUGAGACUUGAAUCUUGACUCUUGGACUUUAAUUGAAACCUUGACACAUCUGUGUAUAUUUUGUAGAAUGCCUUAUCUGAAUUGAGCUCGCAAUUAACUGAUGUAAAGACCCGGCUGGCGGAUCAGGAAGCAGAAAUCAAGUCCGUUGACUCCAAUCUGCAACUGAGUCUUGCUGAGACGGAAAAUUUGAAAACCAGCUUGACUAUCAAGAAAAAAACCUGGGCUGAGGAAAAAACGUUGCUGACACAACGCGUCGAGAAAGCUGAAGCAGCCCUUGAAGAGGUUACGACGGAGCUGACCGGAUUAAUAGACCGGGUGUCUCAAAUGGUGUCCGCCAUCUUCGGUAAGUCAUAUGUACUGACCUUUUUGACCUUCUUUUGACCUGGAAUACAAACCGCUAGCCGACCCUUUGUCUAAAAAACCAUGUGCAGGCCCACGAAGCAAGAACCUGAGCCAAGACAACAUGACUAAACUAAAGGUAGUGUAUACCUUAGUGGAGCAAUUGUACAUUGGCACACAAUGGGCACUCGCCGCUAUCUCUCCUGCCAAUCAAGGACCCAACUGGCUUAGUGAUGUCUUAAAGAAGCUGUCAAUCUUACCCGCCAGGUUCCAAGAAGUCAAGCGCUCCUGUGCUAGAGCCGGGGCUUUAACUGCCCUAAGCCGCUCAAAGGCUUGGGUGCCAUAUAUAGACCCGGCGGAUGUAGCCAGAGGGUACCCCACGGUAAAGGAAGACGGGUCACUGUUUGAACAGGAUGACUUCGUCACUUGUGUGAGGGAGGUGCGACCUUAGGACACCAUUCUUGGAGAUGAAACAAAUAUCGAUAAAUACCAACCGGGUUUUGACUUGGACAAUAAGAAGGUGGCGACUCUCUCCUACAAAGUGACCGACCUUAUCCCGCCGGUUCGUCAACAUACUUUUGCUCCGGAUAUUGAUCCAGCUGGCUUGAUUGAUGAAGAAGCAGAAUUUACUGCUGUAGACGGUUUUGACUGGUCAAAACCUAACUUCCAAUUAGUAGAAGGCGGUGAGCCGGCGAGGGAGGAGUGAAGACCAUCUUCAUGGGCUUUUAAAAGCCUUAUAAUAGAUUAGCUGUGAAAACACUGCAUAAUUUGCCUAUGCCAUCACGCAUAAGACACCGUGUGUGAUUCUGUGUUUGCUGAUGUCAAUAUAUGCAUUAUAUUUAUGGCUGUCCCUGCAAUAUUUCCGCUCUGUUCCUAUAGAUAAAAAGAAAAAACUGGCUUGGCGGCUUAGUACCGAACGGGUCAGAACACCCGGUUUAUAGCCAAUAUUUUUUAUCAUAGUAGAAAAUAGAACCAGACGUAAAAAGAAAACAAGGUUGAAAUAACUUUUGAUUAAUACAGAAGGAAUCUGUUUAUAAACAAUAGCCAUACCCGUAUCUUUGACCUCCAGACCAUCGGUUUUAUAUGACCCGGGUGAUGAGGUUGAUAAUCAAGUCUUUGCGAGAAGUCAAUGCUUCUGAAUACCUGAUGAUUAUCAUGCCCUGGCGGCUUAUUGUCAAAUAGUCAAGCCGGUGAAAAGACCAUGAUUGAUUAUUUUGAAAUUGAGACAACAAAAAACCAAUAAGACAAAUAACAGGUGGUAAACAAAAUUAGCCUUGUAACUAAAGGUUGGGGGUUUUCUGAUUCGAAUACGAUCAGUAAACCGGACCAAAGGGGUUAAGCUAAGAUUCGAAUACGAUCAUAUAGCCCCCAGUGGCUUUGGCGUUGCGUCGAUCAAGAGGGUACCGACAUCUAUGUUCUCUUUGGUUCGAAUACGACCUAUGUUUGAACAGGAGCCCCCAAAUGACCUUGAGAGGUUUUUAACAACCCUGAUUCGAAUACGAUCCAAGUCGGAUCCAAAAGUGGUUAAGCUGUGAUUCGAAUAUGAUCAAGUGACGUGGAUUAUCAACCCGGGGAGGGUGAUCCUCUCUGCUCCACACAAUAGGCUGUUCUGACCACCGUAAGUAACGUGGUAUCGCCGGCUCAACAGAUUGACAACCCUCUUAUAAAGUUUCUGGUCCCUCUUGCACAAACUAGUGGUAAAUACAUGGUAUUGCCCACUAUUCAAUUGUUUUGGGUUGCUCUGAUAUCUGGACUGUUGCUGCUGAUUGCCUUGGCCGGAUUGUUGAUUGUAACUUCCCUGGUUACCUGCAUGGCCUUGACCGUGAAAACCACUUCCACUUGAACCGGCGCCCGGGCCCUGAAAGCCGCCUCCACCUGAACCGCCGCUCGGCCCGUGACCUCCGUCAAACGCGUUUGAAUUCUUAAAUGCCUUCAUGAUCGUAUAGUCUUUCCACAUAUGAGUUGCUGGCUUCUCCCGAGUGCCGUGUCUUGGGCAAGGUUCAUUCAAUAGUUGCUCGAGGGUGGGACCUGACCCGCCUGACCGAGGGGUUUGCCUGCCCUUGCGAUGUUGAUUGUUUCCCUGUGUAUUGGUGUUAGCCACAAAUUCGUCAGCCUUACGUUUAUUACCUCCUUUAUUUGCCGGGUUAUGCUGGUGACCCUUUCCGUUGCCGUUCUUCUUUCCCUUCCCUGCUUUCUCCUCGUCAGACAAGGGAUCCUUGGUAUUAUUAGAAUCAGCAUAUUUAACCAGAGCCGCCAUCAACUGGCCCAUGUUAUUGCAGUCACGCUUGAGCCGCCCCAGCUUCUGUUUCAGAGGUUCAAAACGGCAAUUUUUCUCCAACAUUAAGACUGCCAAUCCGGCAUCCAUCUUAUCAGAUGAAUGUAUUAUCUCCUUGACCCGACGCACCCAAUGGGUUGUGGACUCCCCUUCCUCUUGCUUACAGUUAGUCAGGUCCACGAUUGACAUAGGUUGCUGACAUGUGUCUUUGAAGUUUUGGAUGAACCGGGUUUUCAUCUCCGCCCAUGAGGCGAUGGAAUUGGGUGGCAACCCUUUCAACCAAGUGCGAGCCGUUCCAUCCAACAUCAUGGUGAAGUACUUAGCCAUUGCUGCAUCACUGACCUCCAAAAGCUCCAUUGCCAUCUCGUAACUCUCAAUCCAUGCCCCAGGCUGCAAAUCGGUCGUGUAAUUAGGCACCUUACGAGGCCCCUUGAAGUCCUUUGGCAAACGCUCAUUACGUAUGACAGGCACCAGGCAAGGGACACCUCCGGUUCCCGUGGCCACUCCUGCCUCAACCGAGCCGCCUACUCUGCUGCCAGUUGAACCGCUCGCUCAGCCUCUUGUCGGAUCCUCUCUUGAUUCGCUAGGUUAAGGGCUCCAGCCUGUACCGGUUCAUGCCUGUGCGGCCGGUUGCGGCGUUGAGCAUUGCUUGACAUAUCAACUGAGUCCAUAUAUCUACUGUAGCUUGGGCUCCGGCUCAGGCGAGGGGUUGAAUGGAUUUUGUCUCGACUGUAAGAGUAUGCAUCCUGCUAUGCCAGAGCUGUUUGAAGAAGUUCCCUCAUCCAUCGCGUUUCGAUCACCGCCGGAGAGUCGCCUUCCAUCGGGAGAGCCGCCAAACGAGCCGACGCAACAAUAAGGUUUUUCAAGGGAUUGGAGAAGUCACCGGGUGGUGUUGGCACAUAAUGAGGCGGAGCGGUAUUGUGACGCCCAGAUAAUUAAGCUACAAUAAACCUCUACUAAUUAUGCCAUGUCACAGACGUGGAGUAUGUGAUCGCGAGCUCACAGGAGCUCGCUAUCUGUGCCGUCGAGUAUAGCUUUGUGAUUUGAUAUUUUGAAUGCGUGUGUCAGUAUGACGUCCACUUGGUACAGAUAAGUCCAGAUAUACAUCGCUGAACCGACCUGUCUUGUGGGUCCUCGGCUGCACGGGCGUUUGGACGCCGUGGACGGCGCGAGCCAGAGCCGUGGCUCGACUUGUCGCCGGCGUCCUGAUCCGUGGAUCAGCUCCGGUGCAUUCCGGUAAACGACGGUAGAGGCUGCAGUAAAUGCUCGAUCCGGGUCGCUCCGAGCACCUGUCUCCUACCUCCAGACCUAGGUCAUCCAUUGUUGGGAGCGGCGACCGCGGUGGACAAAUCUGGUGUGGCAAGGCGACUUGGGGUGAGGCAACCAUGGAGUUCUUGAUGCAGCCGAUAAAUAGGUACGAAUCUCCUUCCCAUUGCUUGUUGUUCGCCCAUGAAUUUAGGAUUUGGUACUUUCAGAUAGAUCUCAUUUUCCAAACUGCGGAUGCAGCAGAACUCUCCUAGAAGAGAAGAGGUGGACGAGAACAACACUUGGAUCCUGUUCAUUAUCCUGUAAGCACGCCGCCCGUAGUACAGCUGCCAGCCAGGUCCGCGUCGAGUGCUAACAGCAAGAUUUGUGCUAAAAUGCUGUUCCAGGGGCAGGCAGUGCAGACAAAGAACAAACUUCAGAGCACUCCAUCGAGCAGGUUGACCUAAAAAAACCUGGAUGAUGCAAAGGUACUUCAGUUAGUGGUAGAACCUAUUUUAAAGUAAACUGAUAUACUCCAAUACAGUUCUGAAUCAGCUGCCUUGCAUCUGCUGUUGUUACGAAGUCUCUGAAAAAAGUAUAAGAAGCGUGACUAGAGGGCAAACUGUUAUCUGAACAAACUUGCAUAGCAAAAAAGAAAGUAUCUGGAAGCUUGGCCAUGGGUAUGGGUACAUAAAACUAAAUUUAUUAUGCUGCGCAUUAGAAAUGAAAUAAUUUAAGCGAUUCCUGUCCAAACAACUUGUCAACAAAGUUUUCUGAUGGGGGUGUGUGGUGAGCAAGUAUUCAUUAUUAUUAUGACAUGCAUAGAUUUUGCUCGGUGGUCUCUUUAACUGUAAUACCAGACUCUUUAGGUUAAGACACUUUCUUUGAAUUGCAGAGUGUGGGUUGGGGCUGCUGCGCUUGGCAGGGCGCCGUGUGCUAAUAGAGUUUCCGCACUACGGAAAACUGUCCAGCAAUUUGCUGAAGAGCCUGGUGACGUUGUCACUGUGCCUAAACUAGGAACAAGUUUUGACACACUUGGUGAGGCUUAUGAUUUCUACAACUUAUACUCAUGGAGAAAGGCUUUGGUAUCGGAUAUGGAAAAGGCAUGCUGAAUGUAAACCGGACAAAAUGCAUGCAGGAGAUUACAUGUGGCUGUGCGGUAGUAAAAAAUUUCUUGUUCCACAAUUCAAUUUUUUUUAGCUGGUCAUGAAGGUAUUAAGCUGUUGUUAACUGACUUAUUGUUUAUAAAACUGUUUGCAGGGCAAACCAAUAACAUUGUGGAGCAUCCAGAUGAGCACAAUCAUUCAUUGUCCGCGACCUAUGGAUAGACUAUACACUGGCCAUCCCACAAGCAUAUUGACAUGUACAACACAGACCUUGUGAAGCAAUUGCGACAGAACAACGUCAAUCUCGCGAAGGUCUACAACAUAAUUGGGAGCUUCUUUGGUAGGAUGGAGAAUGUACCAUUCACGAAGAGAGCAUUACAUAAUCUGUGUGAUAAAUUUAGCCGUGAACAAGCAGAAGAUGAUGUCAGGAAAACAAUGGAGGUGUUUUAGGAGCUCUUAUCAAAGGAUUCACAAUUCAUCUAUCGAGUUCAGGUUAACAAAGAAGGGAGGAUUAGCACUCUAAUGUGGGCUACUGGAAACAGCAGAUUCCAUUAUACCUUUUUUGGGGUUGUUGUGACAUUCGAUACGACAUUGACUAAUCCAUACGACAUGUCAUUUGGUCUUUUUGUGGGUGUUAACAAUCAUUUCCAGAGCAUUGUACUAGCUGGGGUGCUGAUUCGUGAUGAGAAGGUUGAAACAUUCGAAUGGGUUUUUGCAGAAUUCAUUAGGAUAAUGGGUGGAACUGCACCGCAAAACCAUCCUUACAGGUAAUAUAUUCUGAAUUACUACUGAAUCAUAUAAGAAGGGGAGCCUUGGCGCAGUGGUAAGGCUGCUGCCUUGUGACCAUGAGGUCAUGGGUUCAAGUCCUGGAAACAGCCUCUUACAGAAAUGUAGGGAAAGACUGCGUACUAUAGACCCAAAGUGGUCGGACCCUUCCCUGGACCCUGCGCAAGCGGGAGCUACAUGCACCAGGUUGCCCUUUUUCUUUUUUACUGAAUCAUAUAAAAACUAUAAUCAGUUUAGCAAGAAUAAUAAUGUGUUGUUGAUGAUUUUCAGAUCAAAAUUGAGCGAUGGAAGUAGCAAUACAAAAUGUCAUGCCUGACACAGCUCAGUGGUGGUGCAAGUGGCAUGUGCUGAAGAAGGCCAAAGAGUCUUUGGGUCCUCUGUACUCCAAGAAGAGUGACUUCCACCCUGAGUUUCACAAGGUUGUUAAUCAUAUGCUAACAAGUAACAAUAGAUGAAUUUGAAGGAGCAUGGAAGUAUUUAGUAGAGAAGCACAACCUGAAGAAUCACACAUACAUGACACAAUUGUAUGAAAUCCGUCACAAAUGGGCGAAGCCUUAUUUCAAAGGUAUAUUCUGUGCAAAGAUGACAAGUACGCAGCGGAGUGAAAGUACAAACCAAAUGUUGAAGAAUUAUGUCCCUCCUGGAUGCCCCAUGCAUAUGUUUGUCAGGAAGUACAUGAGAUUGCUCUUUUCACAGAGAAUCUGAAGAAAAUUACAAGGAGAAACGGACCAGAAUUGUAAGGCAGAGACGCCACUUCUUUUUGUACCCCACAAUAAUUUUCUGGACUAAGUAAUUAAUGAUUUUGCAGGGGAGGCCACUUCUGCGUGCAAACAUGGCAACUGAACGGCAUGCUGGGAAGAUAUACACAAGAGCUAUCUUUGAGCAGUUUGGGCAUAUACUAUAUGAGUGCGGUGCAUACCAGGUGGAGGAGAUUGAGAAAGGAAAAUCAUAUGUCGCAAUACAUACUGAAGCGGAUCGCAGGGAGAAGUGGUGUAGGACUUCAUACAAAUUUACAGUGUUAGAUGGUGGAGAUGAAUUUGAUUAUGAAUGCAGACAGUUUGCACACAUGGGUUUGCCUGGCAGCCAUGUGUUAAAGAUAAUAUCAGCAGAUCAUAUUCAUGCAUAACAUUUGAAAGAAAAAAGCAGACUUGUAAUCACUAGAUGGUUGUUGACUCUUUUUAUGCAGGUCCUGGACUUUAUAUGCGUUACUGAAAUCCCUAAGAAGCAUAUAGUAAAACGAUGGGCACAAGAUCCACGUGAUAUCCUCCCGCCGCACCUGACACUGCUGGAGGGACCAUGCUCAAGAGAACCCAUUCAGUUUCAGGCAUUUUAAUUAAUAUGUGUACGCACGCAAUGGAGCUUGUGCGGAUGGGAGACAGCAACGUAGAAGCAUAUGAGCAUCUGAUAAAACUGUUCAGCUGAGAUGAAGCCAUUCAUUUAGAUGAGAGACGGGUUGGGAUUGGAGGACCGAUUGGCCGAAAAUGGAGGUGUUUUGAAUCAGGUUCAGUGAGAAGGAGUUGUCGUAGCUGCGGCAGUAGGGACACAUGUUGACAUGGAUAACGACAAGAAUAGUUCAGUAAAUGAGUCUGGGAAUAUGCUGGAAGCGUUAUUACCUCCGGCUAAGCGCAAGGAGAUGGGUAGGCCUACCACAAGUAGGGAGAAGGCACCGUACGAAGGAUUGAGUAAACGAACCAGAUUCUGCAGCAUUUGUUGAUGACAAGGACACAAGCGAGUCUCAUCAUGGAGAUGUACCUAAACAACCUCGGAAGCCUGCGAGAUGCAAGAAUUGUGGUGUGGAAGGUCACCGUCGGAACAAUUGUCAUAAGGUGGUUGAGCUUAGACUUAUGUAAUUGUGUGCACUUUCAGUGAAGGCAACAGACAUAACUUUGCGACAGUAUCCAGGAUGCUUGUGUACAAAGAUGGCAUGAUGACCAGAUUCUUAAAUCAUCCUGAUGUGUUUUAUGUUGAACUCAAGAAGUGUGAAUAAGCAACAAAGCUUCUGAAGAGAUCAGUGCAUCAUCUCUUAUGCAACUGCUACUGCAGUUGACUCCUUUCCAAGCACUGGUAAAAUCUUUCUACAGAUCUUAGCGCUCUUCUUAAAUUUACCGGGAUUUUAUAUAGUUGUUUUUCCUCUAAUAAGGUGCAUCAUGCUUACUGUUGAAUCUUUGCAUCUUUAAUCAGACCAUGCUUAUUGUUGGAUUUGCACAUGAAUAACUAAAAACGCCAUUGCAUUACACAGUUCCUUCAUUUUAGCAAUUAAACUUACUUAUGUAUCUGGUGUUAAUUUAGUAUGAUUUCUUGUUCAAAGUGUAUAUUCAUAGGAAGGUCUUUAUGUGGCUUUGGUCAUCCUAAAUUUUGUGUGGAUUAUUUUUUCAGCCCUGGUUAGCUUUCAUCUGCACACGCCCAAUUUCCUUAUGCACUGCUGAUGUUGAAGGACGGCGACAUGUUUAACUCGUGUUUAAUAUUGUCAGAAGAGAAAAUGUAGAGAAAGGGUUGCUUGCAUGCCAUCCAUGUCAUAGAGAAAAUGUUAAAUUCCCUCUCUCCAUUUCCUUACCAUGAAUCCAACGCUUUAUUAUUCUGUUUUUAGCUUCUAGAUGUUCUGCAAUUAUAUAAACAAUGAGUAGUAUGCCAAAUAAUAGUUACUGUCUGUCUGAACUGUAGUUCCACUCCAUGAGAAGCUGAAAUAAACUGAGAAUGGGGCAAACAAAUUCCAACGCUUCCUGCUCGUAGGCGGUGCCCGCUAUGAUUCUACCGCAGCGGCGCAGGCGGAGUCGACAUCAACCACGACCUUCCACCGCCGCCCCUGCGGGUAAAGCCGGAGGCUGAGGAGGCGGAGGCAGUCGACAUCAACCACGACCUUCCACCGCCGCCCCUGCGGGUAAAGCCGGAGGCUGAGGAGGCGGAGGCGGAGUACCAAGACGCCCUCGAGGAGGCCCUGCAUCAUGCGCUGGAGGCGAGCCGGCUUGAGGAGGACACCCAUUGGGAUGGGCUGGAGCAAGCCCUAGCUUUGUCCGCGGCGGGGGACUCCGUCUAGGCGCCCUUAUUCGUGCCUCCACUGCCGUCAGCGCGGCCCCUCAUCGGGCCCAAGGCUGAGACGGAGCCGGAGCGCGAGCCAACUCCCACGCGCAAGCGUUCACCGCCGGCCCCCACUUGGCAGAGUCCUAUUCGUGGACCGGCCAGCUCCGCGAGUGGGUGAACGCGUCUCCCUGCCACUACGCCGCCACGACGGAAGAAGAGGCGGCCCACCUUGAGCGCUGGAAGGCGCAUUGGCUCGCCGAGGAGGGGGCCGAGGGCGAGCGGCAGAUGCGAUAUGAGAAGAUGAUGCGCCGCAAUGAGGAGGCUCUGCGGCUUGAGGAGGAGGAGCGCGCCCGCCUCGCCGCUAUGCCGCCGUCCCAGCAGACGCUGGAGGAGGCUGCCCUGGCGGUGUAUCAAGCCGCGUUCGGGUGGGCUGGGCCUCCCCCCGUGUUCAUUGACCUCACCGGCGGCGACGACGACGACGGGAAGGGCAAGGGCAAGGCGGUCUACUAGGGCACCGUGCUAGCGUUUAUUAUAGUUUUUAAAUUUGUAAUUAUGUUUAAGUGGACUUUGGCCGGCGUUUGACCGGCCAUUUAUGUAUAAUUAUGCUUAAUUCGUCUGUUUCGGCCACGUUGGUAUAAAUGGGUCGACCCCCCUUUGAACGCACCUACAUACCUAAAUAAAAAAGCAGUUGCGCACGUCUAUCUGACCGACUCAAACGGACGAAAAACGGACAAAGCGUUCAUCCGCUUGGAUCGGCGCGUUGGAGUUGCUCUAAGUUUGCGGCAGUGUCUAAGAUGCUCGUGUACAAAGAUGGCGUGAUGUACAGGGACUGGGAAAUAAAAAUGGCGUCACAUUUUCGAUUUGGGUUUUGUGGUGAGUUCUACUGAAUAUUAUAUUGUUUUUAGACAGUACUGAAUAUUAGAUAAACCAUGUUUUUUUUUGACGGGUAACUAGGGACUUUAUUAAUCAGUAAUCAACAUCGGAAUACAAAUAAUGUCUGGUACUGUCCCUAGCCAAAUGUGGCGGCCUAUAGCAAAAGAAGAUACCGCUUUCGCCAGUGCAUGGGCUUCGAAGUUAUUUUCUCUAUGUUCAAACUUGAACUUGACAUGGUGGAAAUCCCUUCUCCUCUCCGAUAUUUCAUGUAACACCGAUGCAUAGUGUGUCGCCGAUGCUGUUUCUAUCCUGUUCAGCACUUCAAGACAAUCGGAGGCAAUCAGCAAUCGGGUUAGAUGCAGGUCCGUAGCCAAGGCAAGAGCCUCAUUGCAUGCGUGUGCCUCCAGAACAGCCGCAUCGUUCAAACCGUCAAAAACCAGUGCCGAAGCCUCCCAGAUAAACCAUGUUCGUAGCUGCCACAGUGCGUAUUAAUAAAUGGGCUUAACGGGACAAGUUAGUCCAGAAUCUACAGAGAGCCGGCCCAGUACAUCCAUCUCCGUCCUGAUCCGUGACGAUGCUAACCAACGGAAUUAGCAGGGCGUCAUCUGACUUGUGGGCCAUAUCCGGAACAGUGGAAAACCGUAACCUGUUCCGAUUCCUGUAGCUGCACUUAUCACGAGUUGAACUGGCGACACAGAUUCCGGGAGCACAGCAGCUCGGGCUCACAUUAGUAUUUUCGCCAUGUCACUGCUAUUACUGUUAUUAAUCUCACGGUGGUUCAAAAACAAUUUAAAUUUCAAAUAACAAGUUAAAUUCUUAUUUAUUCAAAAUCUCAAAUAAAAAUGUUCGAGGGUUUACAAAUAUUCACUUAGUAUUUAACAUGUAGGAACCAACAUUAAAUGGAUUUUAAAAUUUCCCCUAGGAAUAAUUAAUGUUGACAAGCAACACUUAUUAUGCCCAUUUAAAUAUAAACCUAUUUUCAAACAUUUUCCAAAUAACCUCAAACUUUUUAGACCACCAAGAUAUCAGUAGGUAAUGUUGUGGGAAGUUUCAACUUUAACUAAAAUCAUUUAGUAUUUAGGCUAAAUACAAAACAGUGGCUAAAAUAGAAAAUAGAAAUAUAUAUAAAACUAAACUACUCUUUGGACUCACGGCCUACUAGCUACAGGAACCAGCCCAGCCCAACUUGGGCCAUCCCCAACCUCGCUACAUGAGACAUGGGAAUCGUGUCGGCCAUCCACCGGCAUGGCCGCGCCAUGCCGUGCGUGUCGGCCAUCCAGCACACCUCGGUGCCCUACAAAACACCGCCGCACCCCUUGGCCGAAACCCUAGCUCCUAAUUCUGUCCCCCAUUUCCUCGUUUGAUCUAGAACUCGCAUCCGAACGUAGCCGUCACCGCUUUGCCGUUGUCGUCGUGGCCACUUGCAUCCCCGCCGGCUGAAACUUCGCCAGGAGACGCGUCGGCCUUGUCUACUUCGACUACGACCACCAGAUCGAGCUGGGGCGCCGUCAAGCUUCGGGAUCGACGGCUUCUUCGCGCUUCGGUCGCCGGAGUUCCUCACCGAAUCCACCACCUCUGCUGCUCCUAAGCCACUCGACGGGCCUCCUUGCGCCUGCUCGGUGAGCACCUCCUCUCCCCUCCCGUUCUUGCGCCGUAGGCCGCCGUCCCCGAGUUCGCCCGAGCCCCCCGCGUACGCAUACACGUAUGUGUGUGCGUGUUGUGCUGCUCCUGUGCCGCUGCUCCGUCGUGGUUGCCCGCCUACGCGUCGCGAGCGCCGCGACCCGCGUCGUCCCUAGCCCUCUCCUCUGCCUUGCCUCGCUGCGCUCGCCUACUCGCCCACACGCGCUCGCGCUCACCGGCGCCCUGCCCGCGUCCGCCCGCUUGCUCUGCUGCUGUACUCGCCCCAGCGCGCCCCUUCCCCUCCUCCCCUCCCACGCGCGGCGCUAUUGCUUCUGCAUCUGCUGCUGCGGCCGCCCCGUUCGCGAGCUCCACCGGUCGCGGCCUCGCCUUGUGCAUGCAUCGUGUGCUCGUGCGCGUCUCCUGCAGCCACCUGCGCCCAUCGCCGCUGCCGCUUGCGCCUGCCUACGUGUGGCUUCGCCCGCGCCCUCGCGUGACCCAAGCUGCUCUGCCUGUGGCUGCUGUUGCGCCUCGCUCGGUUGCAGCGCCCGAGCCACGCUGUUGCUUACUGUACUGCUGAUGCUAGUUACUGUAGCGGCUACUAGCUAGCUUUUCUGAUUAUACAUUGACUAACCCUCUAGACAUCCUCUUAACAACGUCUAAACAGCUGUUAACUUGGGUGAAAUUAAUAUGAGUAGAAAGUAUACUUGACAAACUUCAUUUUAUCCCACUGGACCAAAUCCUUUCGAUGCAUGGUUUAAAUCCUACAAAAAUCACAAAAUGCUAAGUUCCGUUAAGUGAAAAAAACCGAAAACAACUUUAUUUUCAUAGCUACUUUAGAGCUGUUGAUGAUCAAGCAAAUGAACUCUAAUUUGGACGAAAGUGCUUCUAUCUUGUAUAUGACAGAAAAAUGCUCAAAAUUGAUAUAAGGCAUAUAAUCAUAGGAGGUAUAGAUCCAUAGUUGUAGCCUUUUGAAAACAGCUAAAAGACGUUUAAAACUGAUAAAUUCUCACACUUAGCAAAAUUUCAGGAAUUUUCAGAAUAUGGCUAAAACUUCGGAAAAUCAUAAAAAUUAAUCCGUAACUUGGAUGAAAAAGUUUUCUACAUGAAAGUGGCUCAGAAUGACGAGACGAAUCCAAACACAUGGUCCGUUCAUCUGUCACAUGCCGCUAGCAUAGCGAACACGCAACUUUUCCCCUCCGAUUCAUCUGUCUGAAAACGUGAAACACCGGGGAUAUUUUCCCUGAUGUUUCCCUCCUUCGUCGGUAUCCCCUCCUACUGUGUUAGGUCACCCUAGCACCACGUAUUGCCAUGUUAUGCUUUGGGAAGCCUUGAUUGCUCUGUUAUUUAUUGUGUUCCCCCUCCGUUAUUUCUUUACGAUAGACCCCGAGACUGCGGUUAAACCAGUGAUCGACUACUUCACCUUCGAGGGUCCGUUUCUGUCUGCAGAGCAACCAGGCAAGCCCCCCCUUGAUCACCAGAUAUCGCCUACUCUUCUCUAUACUGCUUGCAUUAGAGUAGUGUAGCAUGUUACUGCUUUCCGUCAAUCCUAUCCUGAGGCAUAGCCUGUCCUUGCUACUACUGUUGUUACCUUUACCGCAAUCCUAAUGCUUAGUAUAGGAUGCUAGUUUAUCAUCAGUGGCCCUACCUACUUGUCCAUCUGCCAUGCUCUACUAUCGGGCCGUGAUCACUCGGGAGGUGAUCACAGGUAUAUACUAUAUACUUUAUACAUGAUACAUGUGGUGACUAAAGUCGGGUCGGCUCGUGGAGCACCCGCGAGUGAUUCACGGAUUGGGGGCUGAAAGGACCUUUGUCCCAACGACCCUCUGUGUGGAUCUUUGUGGCGAAGCGACAGGGCAGGUUGAGACCACCUAGGAGAGAGGUGGGCCUGGCCCUGGUCGGCGUUCGCGGUUAUUUCAAGAUAACACGUUUAACGAGAUCUUGGUAUUUGAUCUGAGUCUGGCCACUGGCCUAUACGCACUAACCAUCUACGCGGGGACAGUUAUGGGCACUCGACAUCAUGGUAUCAUCCAAAGCCUUCGUGACGUCAGCGACUGAGCGACGCGUGUCGGUGUUCUGGGAACGGGGGUCCCCAGACUUGCCUGCCUGCGGCCCGCGGCGUGGCUCAAAAGGGGGCCCAGCGCGGCCCAUCUUCAUCAACAUAGACCCAAGACCCUCGCGAGGGGCCAAGCCUCGCGGGGCGGAUGACACGGAGCUUCCUCAGGCAUGGCCUCUUCAGGCUGGCUCGUGAGGAGGCGGAGAGAUCAAGGCGGGGUACCUCACGAGGUGCCCGUGACGCAAGCCAUGACGACCAAAGGCGCCAGGCGGGCGCCUGCCGCGCAGUGUCCUCCUUUCCUAUUUGGUGCAAAGGGAGCAAGCGCAGGCGAGAGCAUCAAGCAAAGGCACCCGUUUCGGUGCAACGAGACCAAGACCAGUCCAACGGCAGGGAGGAAGUCCUUGUGGAGUCCAAGCCAGCGUCAUCACCAGAGCCUUUGGCAGGCGAGGACCAACUUUAGUUAGGUAACUGUACCAGAUGUUCCCCUUCAAAAUGGCCAAUUGUUGGCGCCCUUCCCGCUCAAUAUUUGGGAAGAGGCCCAGGGCCUGUGCCUAUAAAUAGGACUAGCCACCCACAGGGGAGAUGGGAGAUCACAUCGAAAUCGGAGGGAGAAUCAAGAAGGGAGAGAGAGAGAAGGGCGACUGAACUCCUCCUAGCAGUUCAUCCCCCCAGCAAAGAAUAGACCCUCGUGAGGCUGUUCUUCCUUGUAUUGCUCAUCAUCAUCAGCCCAAGAGGCAAUCCACCACACCACACACUAGAGUAGGGUAUUACACCACAACGGUGGCCCAAACCAGUAUAAACCCUGUGUCUCUUGUGUUGUUCUUUCCAUAGCUUAGAUCUUAGCGAGGCGGAGGGGUGCAGGUAGGUAGAAGGCGAAAUCUCCGCGCGCACCCCAGUGUUCGAACCUCAAGGGUCUGCCGGAACCCGAAAUCCGACAUUUGGCGUGCCAGGUAGGGGUGCGCCAGAAUUCGUCUUCCACCACCCCAUUCUCCUCCGACCAUCGCGUCCAUGUCUAACGCUCGUCGAGCCCGCGCCAAGUGCCGGGCCACUCUUGCUUCCCGCGUCGCCCAGACGGCUCCUGUCGGCGGGUGUCCUCGCCGUUCCCCGUCACCUGCCGUCAACGCCGCCACCGGCCCGGCGGGGGACGAGCAGCAAGCGUCGUCUCAGCAUCCGUCCGUGCGGCAAGACAGCCGCACCGCUACUCCCUGCUCACCCCAGCUAGUUCUUCGUCCCGCACGCUCCGCGCACCCAUGGAGGCUCGAGCUGUGCUCAUCGCGGCAAAUGAGCUCCUGCGCUACCGUCCCGUCGACGAUGUCUACGAAGAAUGGCUCGACCGCGUCGUCGAGCUCGUCCGUGCCGCAGGGGGUUCUCCUGCGCCGUCUGUUCCGCUGCACCGCACCCCGCCCCGCAUGGGCGACGAAGCUCCGGCGGUGCCCCAGCCGCCUCCUCCUCAAGAAGGCGCCAUGGCUCCAAGGCGCGUGGCCCCUGGGCGGAACCCGCCCCGUCAGGUGCCAACGCGGCAAGAGCAGAGCUGCCAAGAAGUCCCUCGCCCGCAAGAAGCUGCCCGGGCGCUCCCUGCUCCAGCACGUCACGACCAUGCUCCUGCUCCCGCACGUCAAGACCCCGCGCUGCUCCCAGCUGCAGCGCGUGGGGACAUGCAAGACCAAGCUCUCCGUCACCCAAGGCCUCCCGUGGCCACAACAGGCUGUCGUGCCUUCACCAUCAAGCUACGCAGCGUCACGUGGCCCGGUAAGUUCAAGCCAGACCUGCCUCCUCAUUAUGAUGGCACGGCCGACCCUGCGGAGUUCCUCCAGCUCUAUGAGCUGGGCAUCGAAGCUGCCAACAGAGACGAAAAGGUCAUGGCGAACUGGUUUCCCAUGGCGCUCAAGGAUGGGGCCCGCACCUGGCUCCUGAACCUGGCUCCAGGCACGAUCUCCUCCUGGGACGAGAUGCGCACCCGCUUCAUCGCCAACUUCCAAGGUACUCGCGACCGGCCACCCGCCAUGAGCGACAUGCGCCGCAUCAAGCAACAACCCGGAGAGACCCUACAGAAGUACAUCCAGCGCUUCAACAACGCACGCCUCAAGAUUCCCAAGGUGACCGAGGAGGCCAUCAUCUCAGCCUUCUCUGACGGCGUGCGCGAUCUCAAGAUGAAGGAGGAGCUGGCGAUGCAUGAAGACUUGUGCACUUCCUUGGAGUUGUUCAACUUGGCAACCAAGUGCGCCAGGGCUAAAGAAGGGCAUCUCUCCCUCCUCGAGCUGCCUGCCGCGGACCCAGAAGAGAAGAAGCCCAAGGCCAAGGAUGUGAAGCGCAAGGGGGCUGCCGUGCUUGCGGCAGAACCAGACACCAAGCGGGGCAGAGAUCAGCCCGAAUCUUCCAAGGGCAGUCGGUAUUGUGUGUACCACGACCUCCACACCCACAACACCAACGAAUGUCAAGAGCUCCGAGCCGUGCGAGAAGGAAGGAUCGGCCGUCGCCCCGACCGCGGUGACCGGGGCUACGGUCGAGGAGGAGGAAGGAACGCAGGACGCUGGGAAGACCGCUGCCCGCGCCAAGGGUGGCGCGACUGACCUCGCGAGGAUCGAUGGCAAGACCCGCCUCGCGAGGGAGACUGGAGGAAUCAGCCUCACGAGGAUCGCCCGCCAGGCAACGCAUGCCUCCCUCCGCUGCCGCCGCAGCCAAGGAGAAACGAGGACCGCCAUCAGGACGAGGGGGCUGGGGGCUUCCAGGAGCCGCGCGCGAUCGCCUGCAUCCUGGGCGGGGCUCAAGCCCCAGCCUCUCAACGCAUCUUCAAGCAGUUCGCCAGCGAAGUGAAUGCAGUCCUCCCCAAGCUCGAAGCCACACGCCCUCUCAGGUGGUCGGCGUGCGCCAUCACGUUCAUCUCAGCAGAUCAGCUCAAGUGUGUGGCCACGGCCGGAGUCCUCCCGAUGCUUUGUUCCCCAAUCAUCAGCAACGUGGUGGUCACCAGGACCCUCAUCGAUGGCGGGGCAGGGCUCAACGUCUUGUCCAUGGAAACAUUCAACAAUCUCCAAGUGCCCUACAACCAGCUUCAGCCAACCAAGACUUUCUCCGGAGUCACCGACGGCUCCACGGUCCUGAUUGGGCAGGUCCGCCUCCCUGUCACCUUCGGGGCACGCGACAACUACCGCACCGAGCUCAUCGACUUCGACGUCGCUCACAUUCGCCUGCCGUACAAUGCCAUCCUUGGGUACCCAGCGCUGUCCAAGUUCAUGGUUGUAACUCACCACGGCUACAACGUCCUCAAGAUGCCAGGAAGUGGUGGAGUCAUCACGGUGCCGUGUGAAGAGAAGGACGUGGUGUGUUCCCUGGAACGAGCCUUUUAGGCCGCAUCGCUGGAAGACCCGGAUCGCGGAAGCAGGAGGCUUCCCGAGACCGCCCCCAAGAAGAAGAAGACAUCGUCCGGCCCGGCCCCUCAGGAGGCAGGCCCCUUAGGGCCCGCGCCUGCCCAGGGGGAACCUCCUUCCAUCGCAUAGGAAAGCGCGCCCGGCGCCCUCCUCAGGCAGGGCUCGGGGGCUCUCCCCUGGAGGGCCACUGACCUGGCUAAGGUCACGAGGGAGGUGCAUGGGCACCACAUGAAGGCGUGUUUCGAAGCACGUUUCCCUCAAGAAGGAGUAAGGCAAGGAGGGCCAGACCCUCAGGAGUUCGUCAGUAAGGCCAUUCAGGAGCUACAGGAGUCAAGAGUCAUGAGAGGCGGCCGCCGCCUACCAGCUGUGGCUCCCCAUCCAGGCGAGGAUGGUGGGCUGCGCGUCUGCAUCGACAUACCAGGGCUCAAUCGAGUCGCCUCUCUGGAGCGCCUCUGGCCCUCGCGAGUGGGGCACUGCGAAGGUCCACCCCACAGCUACGUUUGCAUGCCUUACGGCUUGCCGAACGCGGCUGCCACGUACCAGCACCUCAUGAGGGGCAUCAUGGAGGCUCAAGAGGCCAGGCGUUCCGCAGCCCUGGCGGAGAUGGAGAUGGUUCGCGAGGAGCCACCAGCGCCUCCGGAGCCUCCCGAGGCCCCUGGGCCUGGGGGCUCAUGAGGAUCGGCUUCCGCAGCCCACCGAGUCUGCUACGCCAAUACUCCUUCGUCCUCAACAUCAUCAGGUGACAUCUUUCAAGAUUCAUUUCCAGCUGGGAGCGGCCCCCAGGGCUGCAUUAUUCCCAGGCCACGUGGGUCCGUCCCUGCGGCAUGUAUCCCUUUUAUUUUAUGUUGUUAGCUUACCUUGUUGGGGACGCCCCUCGGGCUGCAUCGUCCCCCAAGUCGCUCGGGCCAGACCCAGCGGCAUGUAUCCCCUUUUGCGUUUAUUUCCGGCUAUGCGUUCGACCCACCAUGCUUGAUUAUUUGAUGCCUGUCCACGGCACUUCUUCUUCUCCAUGCCGACCACUUGCACGUUAAAGGGGGGGGGGUACCUGAGCAUCGCGACUCAGGGCUCUUACUGGCUCUCCAGCCCUCACCCUCUGGCCUUGUCCACAGCAUCGCGACCUGGCAUACCAGCGACGACUGAGACCAGCUCGAGGGCCGGGACCCGAGGACGUAGAGUGCCGGCAUCUAACCAAAUUUGUAGGGACACAUCACAAGAUAAGGCCCAGUGCCAGGUGCAACCCGCCUAGAGGUAGGGCCCCGUGAGUCCCGCGCUGGCUCACGGGUGCCCAGAUACACCUCGCCAGGCCCUACCAUGCCAGCCACGUGUCAGGGCAGGGCUGUACACGUAGCCCCCUCCCACGUACCAGUGGAAGCACCAUGCUCUGCGCUGGCUGACGACACUGCCGAGGAGCGGCUAUGCCCGUACACAUACGGAAGCGUUAUGCUCCGCGCUGGUGAUAAACAACUGAGGGCGGCCCCCGGGCUGCAUCAACCUCAGGGAGCCCAGAGCUCAGUGUCUAGCCUCAUCGUAACGCCUCCCCUCGGGAGUGCCGCACGAGGGGGCUGGGCACGGGGGCUGCGCCUGGGUCACGCCCAGACGCACGCCACCCAGCCAGGCCCCCCCGGGCCUGGUUCGUCGCGCGUCUCUCCCCGAGCGGAGCCAAGGUAUGAAGGCUGUUUGAGCGUCAAGGGGGACUCCUGAGCAUCGCGACUCAGGAGCCUAACUGGUCACGUAGCCCCUCACUCCUUAGUUCCGAAAGGCUAACGGCGGUUGAGGUAUGCGCGCGGCCGGGCUCUGUAGACGUAGAACGGUAGAUCCACCCACAUCACACCUCCCUACUUGAUGUUCGUGCGCCAAGGGGGACUCCUGAGCAUCGCGACUCAGGAGCCUAACUUGUCACGUAGCCCCUCACUACUUGGUCCCAUCCUAGUUUCCGGUCGGGGCUAACGGCGGCUGAGGUAUGCGUGGGGCCGGGCUCUGCCGGCGUAGAACAUAAGCAAGUAGGAAGGAAAAGCGUAAAUUUCAAGGAAUUCAAAAGCAAAUAUUACAGUCCACACUGUUAUCUCAAUGCCAAACGCAAGGUUAAACGCCUCCCCGAGGCAUGACACAUGUGCAGGAAUUAAAGGCAGGACAGGAGCCACAACGGAGUCACUUGUCGGUGGUGGAGCAGCGCAGAGUGGGUUCGCCUCAUGGAGCAGCAGGGUCGGCAGCGCCUUGCUUCGGCUUGGUGCUGAAGGCCCGGAACUUCCCCAGCAGAGCCUCCGCGCGACCCUUCACGGCCUUGGCAGCGGCAGCGGCACGCUCACCGCUUACUGGCUCCAGCAGGCUGUCGAGGUCGACGCCGGGAUCGCGAAGGUAGAUGUGGUGAGGACCCGCGUCAGCGCUGCAGAAGACAAGACACGCGCCUCGGCCUCGGCUGUGGGGCCAAGGCCAAGGGUGACAUCUUCAAGAGCGCGAACCAGGAAGGGAAGCAUCUUGGCGGGGCCGUCCUCGGCGCCAGCCAGCGGGCUCUCCAGGCCGCUGUCGUAAAGCGUCCUCAGCGAGGAGCGAGCCUUCGCCUCCAUCUCCGCGAAAGCCACGCGGUCCUCGACAAGAACCUGGGCCUUGUCGUCCAGCUCGACCUUGCUCGCCCCCAACUCCUGAUCCAGCGUGCCUAGGCGGUCACGGCGCCUCCUGAGCUUGACCUUCCUCCCCUUGACGGCCGCCUCGCGAGCCUUCAUGCCUUCUUCCUGCUCCUGGUGAAGGCGGGCCUCUUUCGCGAGAUGGUCCCGCAGGCCUUGCAGCUCGUCCUCCAGCGCCUUGUAGCGACCACGGACGUCGACCACCUCCCCCAGUGCUGCGUCACGAGCAGCCUUCGCCUCAAGGACGGCCUGCCUCUCCUCAUCGCAAGCCGUCGAGGCCUGGACCAGCGCCGCCCGAAUCGAAGCGUCGGAGAGAAUCCAUCCUGAAGCCAUCUCCAAGCGCCCGGCCACCAAGCGAGGGUCGGCGCCAAGAAGAUCCUGCCGCAGCCGGUCCAGCUCAGCAGCAGGACGAUCCAGAACGGUAGGAGGAGUCGGAGAGACAACAGUCGGUGGAGUAGGAGGAGAAGGCGGCAGCGCGACCACAACAUCCUGAGGCGGAGCCUGCUGCGCCCCAACGGAUGUAGUGGCGGCAGCAGGCAAAGGCACCUCGGGAGUCACUUGGGCCAUGGGGGCUGAGCUCACCCCAGCCGGCUCAGCCAGGCCUCGCGAGGACGACCGGGCAGGAGAAGCCCGUGCGUCGCGGUCACCUUCCUUCGCGGGCAGAGGCGCUGCCACAGAUGGAACCUCGGGAGCUCCCUUCGGCUUCUUUGCUGCGGGCGCCAGCCUGUCCAAAAGAUGUGGACGUCAAGCCUCAGUAGUAGAACAAGAAAUAAAGACAAGAAUCAAGCGCUUAUGGGUCGUCGCCAGUGAGCUCAGGCAGCCUCCGGCCAAAUUUGAAGCCUGAAAGCCGGCUGGAAGGGUCAACCUUGGGAAGCUCGGGAGCGGAAGGCGCGUCUGUGGUCCGCCUCGGGGCCGGGGCAGACCCGCGGGAGAUCAGCCCGAUCCUGUCCUUCUUCGGGUUCGGGGGCAAGCUCCCGCCGCCCUGCUCGUCAUCAUCCUCGUCGUCAUCGCUCGGAGAGAGGCGGAGAGCGCGGGACCUGCGCCGGGGGAGAGGAGCCCUCGACUCUCCAUCAGUCGCCUCGGAGUCAGGCCCUUUUUCCCGCUCCCCUCCUUCCUCCUCUUUGCUGGAGUCGUCGGAGGACACGUCCAUCGAUUCCCUUGGAGUUUCGAUGGGCACGGGCCCGUCCCCGUUGAAGACGGGCAUGGACUCCACUACCUGCUCCCAGUCGUCGCGGAGGAACAAGGGCGUAGGAGCGCCCUCCAACCUCGCCACAUCGCCCCCGACCAGAGAUUGGAGGACCGCAGCCGGAUCUUCGUCGGCCAAGGCCGCGGUGCUCGGAUGGGGCCUCCACAUCGGAAGUGAGUACUGCCGAAGCGGAGCCAGCUGGUGCUCCAGGAAUUCCCUCAGCAGUGACGCGCCGGUCAGCUUCGCCGCCGCCAUGUUGGCCGGCCUCAGAUCCGCGUCCAUCUUCUCCAACACCAGCUUCGCACGGGGGUCCGUGAGCUCCACUCGACCCCAAUCGCUGGAGCUCGUGGGUUGCUCCGUGGGCAAGAUCAGCCGAGGGUGGAUGCGCCUAGCAUCUGCGAAGACCCACUUGCUCCUGAAGCCCUCAAUCCUUUUCCCGGGGUUCGAAAUGGCAAUGGCGCCACCAUACGCGAUGAAGCUCGCGCACGCGGAAGUAGGACCGCGAGAGGUCCGGAGGUAGAAGUAGUGGCGCAGCAAGGCCACUGAGGGCUGCACCCCAACGUGAGCCUCGCAGUAAUAGGCGAAGAUUGCCAGGAGAAGGACGGAGUUGGGGUGGAGAUGCAAAGCCUGUAGCUUAUAAUGGCGGAGGACAAAGAAGAAGAACUCCGAGAAGGGAGGCACCAGGCCAGCAGCAAUGGCGCUUACAAAGAACGGAUAGAAGGUGCUCCCUUGGCCCUCAGGGGUGGCGGAGCCGGCCUUGAACACCUUCGCCCCGUCGAAGCCCUGCGCCACCGCCAUCCGGCGCAACCGGGCGAGGCUCGCCUCAGACACGUUCGACAAGUCCAGGGCAGACGAGUACCAAGCUCCGGCCGGGGACCGAUGAGGCGCCAUGGCUUCCUAGGUCACGCGGUCGAAGUAGAUCUGGAAAUUUUAGAGGAAGGAAGGAGAGGCGCAAGAAAGGGGAUCUGAGCAGCAACCGGAGAAAGCAAAAAGCAAAGCCUAGGCAGAUGCCACUCCCUUAUCAACUCACGCGGUUGCUGAGGCGCCCACGUCCAGUCAACCGCCACGCGGCGCCCAAGGUCGCAGGCUGUUAGGGCCCGCUGCGCUUCGCUCUUGCCCUUUCGCCUCCCUGCACGGCCAAGUCCGGACGCGCCUUGGGCCCGGGGGCUACUGUCGGCGUUCUGGGAACGGGGGUCCCCAGACUUGCCUGCCUGCGGCCCGCGGCGUGGCUCAAAAGGGGGCCCGACGCGGCCCAUCUUCAUCAACACAGACCCAAGACCCUCGCGAGGGGCCAAGCCUCGCGGGGCGGACGACACGGAGCUUCCUCCGGCACGGCCUCAUCAGGCUGGCUCGCGAGGAGGCGGAGAGAUCAAGGCGGGGUACCUCACGAGGUGCCCAUGACGCAAGCCAUGACGACCAAAGGCACCAGGCGGGCGCCAGCCGCGCAAUGUCCUCCUUUCCUCUUUGGUGCAAAGGGAGCAAGCGCAGGCGAGAGCAUCAAGCAAAGGCACCCGUUUCGGUGCAACGAGAUCAAGACCAGUCCAACGGCAGGGAGGAAGUCAUUGUGGAGCCCAAGCCAGCGUCACCACCAGACCUUUGGCAGGCGAGGACCAACUUUAGUCAGGAUAAGUGUACCAGAUGUCCCCCCUUCAAAAUGGCCAAUUGUUGGCGCCCUUCCCGCUCAAUAUUUGGGAAGAGGCCCAGGGCCUUUGCCUAUAAAUAGGACUAGCCACCCAUAGGGGAGAUGGGAGAUCGCAUCGAAAUUGGAGGGAGAAUCGAGAAGGGAGAGAGAGAGAAGGGCGACUGAACUCCUCCUAGCAGUUCAUCCCCCCAGCCAAGAACAGACCCUCGCGAGGCUGUUCUUCCUUGUAUUGCUCAUCAUCAUCAGCCCAAGAGGCAAUCCACCACACCACACACUGGAGUAGGGUAUUACACCACAAUGGUGGCCCGAACCAGUAUAAACCCUGUGUCUCUUGUGCUGUUCUUUCCAUAGCUUAGAUCUUAGCGAGGCGGAGGGGUGCAGGUAGGUAGAAGGCGAAAUCUCUGCGCGCACCCCAGUGUUCGAACCUCAAGGGUCUGCCGGAACCCGAAAUCCGACAGCGCGCGCCGAGUUGGACCGCGUAACGCAACUUCCUUUGUAAUGGAGGUUGCUAGGUCUGCUCUCCGGCCGCCCUCGCAACGUGCAGGUGUGCAAUGGGCGAUGGGCCCAGACCCCUGCGCCAUAGGAUUUAGACCGGCGUGCUGACCUCCCUGUUGUGCCUAGGUAGGGCUGCGACGUGUUGAUCUUCCGAGGCCGGGCAUGACCCAGGAAAGUGUGUCCGGCCAAAUGGGAUCGACCGUGUUGGGUUAUGUGGUGCACCCCUGCAGGGAAGUUGAUCUAUUCAAAUAGCCGUGUCCCUCGGUAAAAGGACGACCCGGAGUUGUACCUUGACCUUAUGACAACUAGAACCGGAUACUUAAUAAAACACACCCUUCCAAGUGCCAGAUACAACCGGUGAUCGCUCUCUCACAGGGCGACGAAGGGAGGAUCGUCGGUUAGGAUUAUGCUAUGCGAUGCUACUUGGUGAACUUACCAUCUACUCUCUUCUCUUGCUGCAAGAUGGAGGUUACCAAAAGCAUAGUCUUCGAUAGGACUAGCUAUCCCCCUCUUAUUCCGGCAUUCUGCAGUUCAGUCCACAUAUGAUACCCUUAUUCCAUUUGAUACCAAUGCAUACAUAUGUAGUGUGGCUCCUUGCUUGCGAGUACUUUGGAUGAGUACUCACGGUUGCUUUGCUCCCUCUUUUCCACCUCUCUAUACCCGAUUGCUGCGACCAGACGAUGGAGCCCAGGAGCCAGACAUCACUAUCGAUGACGACUACUACUACUCGGGAGGUGCCUACUACUACGUGCAGCCCGCUGACGAUGACCAGGAGUAGUUUAGGAGGAUCCCAGGCAGGAGGCCUGCGCCUCUUUCGAUCUGUAUCCCAGUUUGUGCUAGCCUUCUUAACCAAACUUGUUUAACUUAUGUCUGUACUCAGAUAUUGUUGCUUCUGCCGACUCGUCUAUGAUCGAGCUCUUGUAUUCGAGCCCUCGAGGCACCUGCCUUGUAAUAUGAUGCUUGUAUGACUUAUUUUAUUUGUAGAGUUGUGUUGUGAUAUCUUCCCGUGAGUCCCUGAUCUUGAUCGUACACGUUUGCGUGUAUGAUUAGUGUACGGUCAAAUCAGGGGCGGCACAAGUUGGUAUCAGAGCCGACUGCCUGUAGGAAUCCCCCUUUCCAACUCCUUGGCUGAAGUCAAGUCUAGUCAUUGAAAACCUUUUACUAACAUGGUUGUGUGGCUUAUGGGCCCACGUCGCCAUUGGGUGGUAUUAGGAUCUUUUACUCCUUGUUUAUACUCUGGGACUCUGAUCUCUCUUCUAUUCGGGUUAAAUGAAUUUUGCUAAAUCUAACAUUAGGAUCUCGUUAUCACUUCCACCCGGAGAGCCCCUUAUCACAAAUGAUCGCCUGCUGCACCAGAAGAUUCCAAAAAUACUCUCCGAUGUUCUCCCGAGAACAUAUGCUCAUCCUCUUUGCAACUCCCUACCACCGUAAUAUCCUUAUGUAUAACUACAUACACUUGCUAUUCAUACAAUCAUUCCCUGUUGAUCUUGUUAUUACAAGAUACCCCGAAUUUCUCCCUAUUGUUCCGAGAAUACUUGUGCCUACUGCCUUGUAGUUCCUUGCCACGGAAAUACCCCUAUGGAUAAUUCCUUGCACUUAUCAAGUAUCCGCUCAUCCCUCAUUGAUCAUGAGUUUCACAAAAUUCUUUGAAAUGCUAUUCGAUCUUCCAAAUUCCCGAGCAGUCUAUUGCUUUUAAGACUCUCGCUUGCUUGCACUAUGGUUAAUACCAUAAGUCUAGUAAUCUUAUUGUCAUCCUUUGUCAUUAUCAUUUUGAGUCCGUUGAUACAAUAUGUUGCGAAUGCUCGCAAUCCUCAAUCAGAUCCUAGAAUUCAUCCUUCCGGCUUAGACGUCAUUUUAACAUGAGCUGGAUCUCAACCAAUCAAAUUGCCAUCGAUUGUACCCCUAAGGCUAUUCAACUUAUCCAUCUCUAAUUAGAGCAUUGCUAUUGAUCCCUUGUCUUGGAAUUCAUAAUUCCUUUGCAUUUGAGCUUUGAGUUAGUCAGUUGUUUCUAUAAUCUGAUCUCCUUGCUUUCUUUCUUCCUCUUGUUGAGUACCGAUGCUCACAUUGGAUCCCUUGUGGACCACCACACCCUUUGGCGGAUUUUAUCCAACAACGUCCUUCAUAUUCAAUAAGCUUGUGAGCCUUUCCUUGGAUACAUAAUGCCUUUGGUAAAUUGUAUCCUCUGCUUUCUCAAGCAUGCUGUAUUAUCGAGCUUGUGUUAUUUACUCUGAAGUUUGUGGUAUAUGCUCCUAAGAUGCCCUGAUGGGUUGAACCUACGCCUUCCCUAAUCUGUGUGAACCUAAAAGAUUUCACGGGUCAUACUUAUCUGGUAUUGCACCAGGUAAAAACUUUCAACAACUAAAUCAUUUUUAUUUAGAGCAGUGAAUGAAUGGUCAUGCAUUGGAGAAGUGGGAGUCGACCUUGAACCUUGCGUUCAUGCCCAUGGACACGAUGCUAAUAUUAUCAUGGAUGCUUCUCUUAAACCCUCUUUGGUAUAAGUUCAUCUUAUAUAUGGGAAUUGGUCUUUUGCAACCGUGCUUCCGACCAAAUUUUUUUUCUUGAUUCCAUCUCUUGGACAAGUUAGAGUACUUGCCUUCUGCAGAUCAAUACACCUGCCCAACCUCUAUUUUUGAUCUGCUUUCUUGUAUUACCCCCAUGGUAUCUCGAGGAUAUAUCUUAUGAAUUUCUGAUGAAGUAGUACCUUCCCUGUCAUAGUGACUCCACGGGUUCUGGGUUGUCGUCAACCGAGAACAUCGAUAAGUGAAUCGAUUCCGCGCUCCGAUACGAUAACUCUAAGUAAUUUUUGUUGCUUAUGAGUUUAAUAAUCCUUCAAGUCAUGCCUAGCCUAAUUGGCUAUAUCCUUAUCGUGCUAAAUUGUAACUGUGCUACCUGGUCCUUCUUCCCAGAGCACAACUAUCGAUGAUGAGCUAAGCUUACGUCGAUCUUCCUCAUCUUAUCAUUUCGCCUUGAACCGCAAGCUUGGUCUCGAGUUUGUGUCGUACCCGUGGUUCCAAUAAUCUUUCGCUUCAUCAUUCCUUUGACUUUAUGUCAUCGCCGAUCGAUUACAUCUUCAGGUAACCUCUCGACAAAUGUGUCUUGAUCAUCAUCAACAUAUUGAUCUCUUUCAAGAUACCCAUCGAAUUCAUGAUGAGCAAUACCAUCCUUGCCCCUCGAUGAUGUGUGUUAUCAUCGACAACAUUCUUGCCUUCCCACAACACAAACUUGUUCAUGUUAUGAAUGCAACUUGCUAUCCAGCUUGUAUGAUGUUCCACCUUGAAGUAUUAAUGUCCUUUAUGACAAGGAUGUUGUGAGGAUUGCUCCACCUCUUAAGAAUUCUUGGUAUAGUGAUGCUUCUCACCAUCACCAUUCUUUCUUGGUCCUUGUGUUGAUUCCAACCAGUGUACCAACAAGUGAACGGUGCUGUUUGGAUUCUGCCCUUCUAGCAACCCUAUUGCUUUGAAGUUGAUGGUCGAUAGUUCGUUCUUAGACUAUUGGUUGUUGAACCACCAUUCUAACGUUGAUCAUGCUACCUAAGCCCAUCUUUUGUGCGCACCUUUCAACCAAUGUUAAUUAUGUGUGUUUUCCUUGAGCAUACCUCAUUAUAUCAUUUGAUGUGACAAAUGUUAUCUCCUUGUUCACCUAAUUGUGGAAAUCCAUCUUUUGGAAAUCUCGAUGAAUUGUGGCUGAGUUCAUCAGCCACCUCCUCAUUCUCUCCUUGGUUUAAGGAUGUUUCGGAACUCGUUUCCAUAGUUCAUUUCCCGAGAAUCUUACAAUGUCAUCUUGUCAAUUUGUGUUGCACUUUUUCUCCUCAGGCAUCCUGAGUCUGAGGUAAUUUGACACCAACCGGAUCUGAAUCUCGGUCAGAUAUGAUGGUUGGGACAUAUUUCCAAGAGUUAUAACAUUCGUCUUCAUGUGACCCGGUAAGGUGAUGUCAUGCCUAGCACACCUGGCCGGAGGACCUGCUGUUAUAGUUUCCUUUUUAGCAAGGUUAACCAUUCUUCCAUGAGGAAAUUGAAUGACUUGUUUAAUAAGUUUUUCCCGAUGGAUCCUUUGUGUAUCAAGGUCCGACCUUUGCUUGAAGACCUUCUCAGUGCGAUCUCGAAGCAUGUUGGUGGUACUCCGAUUUUCAAUAAGAGCAUUUGAAGAACAAUGCUAAAUCUUCUUUGUCCAUUAUCCAAACACCGUUGUUUGGGUUAUGUCAUGAAAUUCCUCUCCCCUUACCUAAAUGGUUUUCUACUUUCUAUCUUGUCAUGGAUAUCAUGCUCUGCUUGUCCUUUGGAAGGAUAUAUCCCUGAAACAUGUGUUUAAACACAUUUUCCUUUCCAUUGUCUGUUUAAUCUGAUGAUCACCUUUUCCUUUCCAUUGUUUUAUUUAAACUUACUGGUGAUCAAUAUGAUCUAAGUAGUAAUAUUCUCCUGCUUAGGUAAGCACCUCAUUGAACCACUCUGUCAGUAAGACCCUGUUAAUAUUGUUGAUAACAUUCCGGUAACCACCGAUGGACGAGAACUUUACCUAUUGGUCCGCCUCGUUCAACGAGCAGGAAGAUGGUUCUCUUCGUCCCUCGCCCUUGGUACCGAUGUUGUUGCCGACAUAACUGACAGACUAUCCUCUAACAUGCCUGGCUUACCUGAUUGUACAAGAUGUCACCGACCUUCCUACUUGUAAACCACAUGGUGGGCCCAUAACCCACAGUUCCACAGGGUCGAAACCUGACUCUCCUGUACAUCCCUGUUUCAAAGUUAUCCCUUGCGCUUCAUUUCGUAUGUAAUUCGCGAGCCACCCUCCUAGUUAUAAAUUCUAGUAUCGGACACAAUACUUAUUCCCGUUGCUCUGAACCCCUUUCACACUCUGUUUCAGGCAAUAAACGAUUGCCUAUCCGCUCGAAACUUCUUAUUGCACUGUCUUACUUGCUCUCGAUGUUUUCUUAAGUUUCAAUUCGAGAGUUACUUUCCGCCACCUUCCCUGGUGUUAUCUACCGGCUUAGCAACCUUGUAGAGUUUUGUUCUUCCGAAGCUACCCAUUAUCCUUUUCGUAAGUACGAUGGAGUUCCCGAAGAAAGGAUGCCGACUUCAUCAUGAUGACCUCAAGCUGAAGUAUGAAAACAUCAGCAUUAUGGAUCGACCACUUCGAGGAGAGCAACUAAGACCGAGUACACUCUAUAGAAUUUCGUAACUAGAACCCCCCUUACGCCUCUUAAAUCUCGGGACGAGAUUUCUUGUAGUGGAGGAGAAUUGUGACGCCCAGAUAAUUAAGCUACAGUGAACCUAUGCUAAUUAUGCCAUGUCACUACUAUUACUGUUAUUAAUCCCGUGGUGGUUCAAAAACAAUUUAAAUUUCAAAUAACAAGUCAAAUUCUUAUUUAUUCAAAAUGUCAAAUAAAAAUGUUUGAGGGUUUACAAAUAUUCACUUAGUAUUUAACAUGUAGGAACCAACAUUAAAUGGAUUUUUAAAUUUCCCCUAGGAAUAAUUAAUGUUGACAAGCAACACUUAUUAUGCCCAUUUAAAUAUAAACCUAUUUUCAAACAUUUUCCAAAUAACCUCAAACUUUUUAGACAACACCAAGAUAUCAGUAGGUAAUGUUGUGGGAAGUUUCAACUUUAACUAAAAUCAUUUAGUGUUUAGGCUAAAUACAAAACAGUGGCUAAAAUAGAAAAUAGAAAUAUAUAUAAAACUAAACUACUCUUUGGACUCACGGCCUACUAGCUACAGGAACUAGCCCAGCCCAACUUGGGCCAUCCCGAACCUCGCUACAGGAGACAUGGGGAUCGUGGCGGCCAUCCAUCGGCAUGGCCGCGCCAUGCCGUGCGUGUCGGCCAUCCAGCACACCUCGGUGCCCUACAAAACACCGCCGCACCCCUCGGCCGAAACCCUAGCUCCUAAUUCUAUCUCCCCUUUCCUUGUUCGAUCUAGAACUCGCAUCCGAACGUAGCCGUCACCGCUUCGCCGUUGUCGUCGUGGCCACUUGCAUCCCCGCCGGCUGAAACUUCGCCAGGAGACGCGUCGGCCUCGUCUACUUUGACUACGGCCACCAGAUCGAGCUGGGGCGCCGUCAAGCUUCGGGAUCGACGGCUUCUUCCCACUUCGAUCGCCGGAGUUCCUCACCGAAUCCACCACCUCUGCUGCUCCUAAGCCACUCGAUGGGCCUCCUUGCGCCUGCUCGGUCAGCACCUCCUCUCCCCUCCCAUUCUUGCGCCGUAGGCCGCCGUCUUCGAGUUCGUCCGAGCCCCCCACGUACGCAUAUGUGUAUAUGCGUGCGUGUUGUGCUGCUCCUGUGCCGCUGCUCCGUCGUGGUUGCCCGCCUACGCGUCGCGAGCGCCGCGACCCGCGUCGUCCCUAGCCCUCUCCUCUGCCCCACCUUGCUGCGCUCGCCUACUCGCCCACACGCGCUCGCGCUCACCGGCGCCCUGCCCGCGUCCGCCCGCUUGCUCUGCUGCUGCACUCGCCCCAGCGUGCCCCCUGCUCCUCCUCCCCUCCCACGCGCGGUGCUGUUGCUUCUGCAUCUGCUGCUGCGGCCGCCCCGUUCGCGAGCUCCACCGGUCGCGGCCUCGCCUUGUGCAUGCAUCAUGUGCUCGCGCACGUCUCCUGCAGCCACCUGCGCCCAUCGCCGCUGCCACUUGCGCCUGCCUACGUGUGGCUUCGCCCGCGCCCUCGCGUGACCCAAGCUGCUCUGCCUGUGGCUGCUGUUGCGCCUCACUCGGCUGCAGCGCCCGAGCCACGCCGUUGCUUACUGUACUGCUGAUGCUAGUUACUGUAGCGGCUACUAGCUAGCUUUUCUGAUUAUACAUUGACUAACCCUCUAGACAUCCUCUAAACAACGUCUAAACAGCUGUUAACUUGGGUGAAAUUAAUAUGAGUAGAAAGUAUACUUGACAAACUUCAUUUUAUCCCGCUAGACCAAAUCCUUUCGAUGCAUGGUUUAAAUCCUACAAAAAUCACAAAAUGCUAAGUUCUGUUAAGUGAAAAAAAAACCGAAAACAGCUUUAUUUUCAUAGCUACUUUAGAGCUGUUGAUGAUCAAGCAAAUGAACUCUAAUUUGGACGAAAGUGCUACUAUCUUGUAUAUGACAGAAAAACGCUCAAAAUUGAUAUAAGGCAUAUAAUCAUAGGAGGUACAGAUCCAUAGUUGUAGCCUUUUGAAAACAACUAAAAGACGUUUAAAACUGACAAAUUCUCAGACUUAGCAAAAUUUCAGGAAUUUUCAGAAUAUUGCUAAAACUUCGGAAAAUCAUAGAAAUUAAUCCGUAACUUGGAUGAAAAAGUUUUCUACAUGAAAGUGGCUCAGAAUGACGAGACGAAUCCAAACACAUGGUGCGUUCAUCUGUCACAUGCCCCUAGCAUAGCGAACACACAACUUUCCCCCUCCGAUUCAUCUGUCCAAAAAUGCGAAACACCGGGGAUAUUUUCUCGGAUGUUUCCCUCCUUUGUCGGUAUCCCCUCCUACUGCGUUAGGUCAUCCUAGCACCGCGUAUUUCCAUGUUAUGCUUUGGGAAGCUUUGAUUGCUCUGUUAUUUAUUGUGUUCCCCCUCCAUUAUUUCUUUCCGGUAGACCCCGAGACUGCGGUUGAACCAGUGAUCGACUACUUCACCUUCGAGGGUCCGUUUCUGUCUGCAGAGCAACCAUGCAAGCCCCCCCCCUUGAUCACCAGAUAUCGCCUACUCUUCUCUAUACUGCUUGCAUUAGAGUAGUGUAGCAUGUUACUGCUUUCCGUUAAUCCUAUCCUGAGGCAUAGCCUGUCCUUGCUACUACUGUUGUUACCUUUACUGCAAUCCUAAUGCUUAGUAUAGGAUGCUUGUUUAUCAUCAGUGGCCCUACCUACUUGUCCGUCUGCCAUGCUAUACUAUCGGGCCGUGAUCACUCGGGAGGUGAUCAUGGGUAUAUACUAUAUACUUUAUACAUGAUACAUGUGGUGACUAAAGUCGGGUCGGCUCGUGGAGCACCCGCGAGUGAUUCACGGAUUGGGGGCUAAAAGGACCUUUGUCCCAACGGCCCUUUGUGUGGAUCUUUGUGGCGAAGCGACAGGGUAGGUUGAGACCACCUAGGAGAGAGGUGGGCCUAGCCCUGGUCGGCGUUCGUGGUUAUUUCAAGAUAACACGUUUAACGAGAUCUUGGUAUUUGAUCUGAGUCUGGCCACUGGCCUAUACGCACUAACCAUCUACGCGGGGACAAUUAUGGUCACUCGACAUCGUGGUAUCAGCCGAAGCCUUCGUGACGUCAGCGCCUGAGCGGCGCGCGCCGGGUUGGAAUGCGUAACGCAACUUCCUUUGUAAUGGAGGUUGCUAGGUCUGCUCUCCGGCCGCCCUCGCAACGUGCAGGUGUGCAAUGGGCGAUGGGCCCAGACCCCUGCGCCAUAGGAUUUAGACCGGCGUGCUGAACUCUUUGUUGUGCCUAGGUAGGGCUGCGACGUAUUGAUCUUCCGAGGCCGGGCAUGACCCAGGAAAGUGUGUCCGGCCAAAUGGGAUCGAGCGUGUUGGGUUAUGUGGUGCACCCCUGCAGGGAAGUUGAUCUAUUCGAACAGCCGUAUCCGUCGGUUGAAAGGGACGACCCGGAGUUGUACCUUGACCUUAUGACAACUAGAACCGGAUACCUAAUAAAACACACCCUUCCAAGUGCCAGAUAAAACCGGUGAUCGCUCUCUCACAGGGUGACGAAGGGAGGAUCAUCGGUUAGGAUUAUGCUAUGCGAUGCUACUUGGUGAACUUACCAUCUACUCUCUUCUCCUGCUGCAAGAUGGAGGUUACCAGAAGCAUAGUAUUCGAUAGGACUAGCUAUCCCCUCUCUUAUUCCGGCAUUUUGUAGUUCAGUCCACAUAUGAUACCCUUAUUCCAUUUGAUACCAAUGCAUACAUAUGUAGUGUAACUCCUUGCUUGCGAGUACUUUGGAUGAGUACUCACGGUUGCUUUGCUCCCUCUUUUCCACCUCUCUAUACCCGAUUGCCGCGACCAGACGAUGGAGCCCAGGAGCCAGACACCACUAUCGAUGACGACUACUACUACUCGGGAGGUGCCUACUGAAGGAAAUAUGCCCUAGAGGCACUAAUAAAGUUAUUAUUUAUUUCCUUAUUUCAUGAUAAAUGUUUAUUAUUCAUGCUAGAAUUGUAUUAGCCGGAAACAUAAUACAUGUGUGAAUACAUAGACAAACAAAGUGUCACUAGUAUGCCUCUACUUGACUAGCUCGUUAAUCAAAGAUGGUUAUGUUUCCUAACCAUAGACAUGUGUUGUCAUUUGAUUAACGGGAUCACAUCAUUAGGAGAAUGAUGUGAUUGACAUGACCCAUUCCAUUAGCUUAGCACCCGAUCAUUUAGUAUGUUGCUAUUGCUUUCUUCAUGACUUAUACAUGUUCCUAUGACUAUGAGAUUAUGCAACUCCCGUUUACCAGAGGAACACUUUGUGUGCUACCAAACGUCACAACGUAACUAGGUGAUUAUAGAGGAGCUCUAUAGGUGUCUCCAAAGGUACAUGUUGGGUUGGCGUAUUUCGAGAUUAGGAUUUGUCACUCCGAUUGUCGGAAAGGUUCUCUGGGCCCUCUCGGUAAUGCACAUCACAUAAGCCUUGCAAGCAUUACAACUAAUGAGUUAGUUGCAAGAUGAUGUAUUACGAAACGAGUAAAGAGACUUGCCGGUAACGAGAUUGAACUAGGUAUUGAGAUAUCGACGAUCAAAUCUCGGGCAAGUAACAUACCGAUGACAAAGGGAACAACGUAUGUUGUUAUGCGGUCUGACCGAUAAAGUUCUUCGUAGAAUAUGUGGGAGCCAAUAUGAGCAUCCAGGUUCCGCUAUUGGUUAUUGACUGGAGACAUGUCUCGGUCAUGUCUACAUUGUUCUCGAACCCGUAGGGUCUGCACGCUUAAGGUUUUCGAUGACAGUUAUAUUAUGAGUUUAUGAGUUUUGAUGUACCGAAGGAGUUCGGAGUCCCGGGUGAGAUCGGGGACAUGACGAGGAGUCUCGAAAUGGUCGAGACGUGAAGAUCGAUAUAUUGGACGACUAUAUUCGGACAUCGGAAAGGUUCCAAGUGAUUUGGGUAUUUUUCGGAGGACCGGAGAGUUACGGGAAUACGUAUUGGGCCUUAUUGGGCCGUACGGGAAAGAAGAAAAAGGCCUCAAGGGUGGCCGCACCCCUCCCCUUGGUCUGGUCCGAAUUGGACUAGGGAAGGGGGGCGCCCCCUUCAUUCCUUCUCCUUUUCCCUUCCUCUUUUCCUAUUCCAUAUGGGAGGUGGAAUCCUACUAGGACUAGGGAGUCCUAGUAGGACUCCACACUUGGCGCACCCCCUCCUAGGGCCGGCCUCCUCCUCCCUUGCUCCUUUAUAUACGGGGGCAGGGGGCACCUCUAGAUACACAAGUUGAUCCGCGUGAUCAUAUUCUUAGCCGUGUGCGGUGCCCCCUUCCACCAUAAUCCUCGAUAAUAUUGUAGCGGUGCUUAGGCGAAGCCCUGCGACGGUAGUAAGAUCGUCACCAUGCCGUCCUGCUGACGGAACUCUUCCCCGACACUUUGCUGGAUCGGAGUCCGGGGAUCGUCAUCGAGCUGAACGUGUGCUAGAACUCGGAGGUGCCGUAGUUUCGGUGCUUGAUCGGUCGGGCCGUGAAGACGUACGACUACAUCAAUCGCGUUCUGCUAACGCUUCCGCUGUCGAUCUACAAGGGUACGUAGAUCACACUCUCCCCUCUCGUUGCUAUGCAUCACCAUGAUCUUGCAUGUGCGUUGGAUUUUUUUUGAAAUUACUACGUUCCCCAACAGUGGCAUCCGAGCCUAGGUUUUAUGUGUUGAUGUUAUAUGCACGAGUAGAACACAAGUGAGUUGUGGGCGAUAUAAGUCAUACUGCUUAUCAGCAUGUCAUACUUUGGUUCGGCGGUAUUGUUGGAUGAAGCGCCCCAGACCGACAUUACGCGUACGCUUACGCGAGACCGGUUCUCCCGACGUGCUUUGCACAGAGGUGGCUAGCGGGUGACAGUUUCUCCAACUUUAGUUGAACCGAGUGUGGCUACGCCCGGUCCUUGCGAAGGUUAAAACAGCACCAACUUGACAAACUAUCAUUGUGGUUUUGAUGCGUAGGUAAGAUUGGUUCUUGCUUAAGCCCGUAGCAGCCACGUAAAACUUGCAACAACAAAGUAGAGGACGUCUAACUUGUUUUUGCAGGGCAUGUUGUGAUGUGAUAUGGUCAAGACAUGAUGCUAAAUUUUAUUGUAUGAGAUGAUCAUGUUUUGUAACCAAGUUAUCGGCAACUGGCAGGAGCCAUAUGGUUGUCGCUUUAUUGUAUGCAAUGCAAUUGCGCUGUAAUGCUUUACUUUAUCACUAAGCGGUAGCGAUAGUCGUGGAAGCAUAAGAUUGGCGAGACGACAACGAUGCUACGAUGGUGAUCAAGGUGUCGCGCCGGUGACAAUGGUGAUCACCACGGUGCUUCGAAGAUGGAGAUCAUAAGCACAAGAUGAGGAUGGCCAUAUCAUAUCACUUAUAUUGAUUGCAUGUGAUGUUUAUCUUUUAUGCAUCUUAUCUUUCUUUGAUUGACGGUAGCAUUUUAAGAUGAUCUCUCAAUAAUUAUCAAGAAGUGUUCUCCCUGAGUAUGCACCGUUGCGAAAGUUCUUCGUGCUGAGACACCACGUGAUGAUCGGGUGUGAUAGGCUCUACGUUCAAAUACAACGGGUGCAAAACAGUUGCACACGCGGAAUACUCAGGUUAUACUUGACGAGCCAAGCAUAUACAAAUAUGGCCUCGGAACACGGAGACCAAAAGGUCGAGCGUGAAUCAUAUAGUAGAUAUGAUCAACAUAGUGAUGUUCACCAAUGAAACUACUCCAUCUCACGUGAUGAUCGGACAUGGUUUAGUUGAUUUGGAUCACGUAAUCACUUAGAGGAUUAGAGGGAUGUCUAUCUAAGUGGGAGUUCUGAAGUAAUAUGAUUAAUUGAACUUAAAUUUAUCAUGAACUUAGUCCUGGUAGUAUUUUGCAAAUUAUGUUGUAGAUCAAUAGCUCGCGUUGUUGCUUCCCUGUGUUUAUUUUGAUAUGUUCCUAGAGAAAUUUGUGUUGAAAGAUGUUAGUAGCAAUGAGGCGGAUUGGAUCCGUAAUCUGAGGUUUAUCCUCAUUGCUGCACAGAAGAAUUAUUUCCUUGAUGCACCGCUAGGUGACAGACCUAUUGUAGGAGCAGAUGCAGAUGUUAUGAACGUUUGGCUAGCUCAAUAUGAUGACUACUUGAUAGUUUAGUGCACCAUUCUUAACGGCUUAGAAUCGGGACUUCAAAGACGUUUUGAACGUCAUGGACCAUAUGAGAUAUUCCAGGAGUUGAAGUUAAUAUUUCAAGCAAAUACCCGAGUUGAGAGAUAUGAAGUCUCCAACAAGUUCUAUAGCUAAAAGAUGGAGGAGAAUCGCUCAAGCAGUGAGCAUGUGCUCAGAUUGUCUGGGUACUACAAUUGCUUGAAUCAAGUGGGAGUUAAUCUUUCAGAUAAAAUAGUGAUUGACAGAAUUCUCUAGUCACCAUCACCAAGUUAGUAGAACUUCGUGAUGAACUAUAAUAUGCAAGGGAUAACGGAAACGAUUCCCAAGCUCUUCAUGAUGAAAUCGAUGAAGGUAGAAAUCAAGAAAGAGCAUCAAGUGUUGAUGGUUGACAAUAUCACUAGUUUCAAGAAAAGGGCAAAGGAAAAAAGGGGAACUUCAAGAAGAACAGCAAGCAAGUUGCUGCUCAAGUGAAGAAGCCCAAGUCUGGUCCUAAGCCUGAGACUAAGUGCUUCUACUGCAAAGGGACUGGUCACUGGAAGCGGAACUACCCCAAGUGAUUGGCGGAUAAGAAGGAUGGCAAAGUGAACAUAAGUAUAUUUGAUAUACAUGUUAUUGAUGUGUACUUUACUAGUGUUUAUAGCAACCCCUCAGUAUUUGAUACUAGUUCAGUUGCUAAGAUUAGUAACUCGAAACGGGAGUUGCAGAAUAAAUAGAGACUAGUUAAGGGUGAAGUGACGAUGUGUGUUGGAAGGGGUUCCAAGAUUGAUAUGAUCAUCAUCACACACUCCCUAUAAUUUCGGGAUUAGUGCAUGAAUAUGAUUUGAUCAUGUUUAUUAUAAUACGGUUAUUCAUUUAAGUAAGAGAAUAAAUUGUUGUUCUGUUACAUGAAUAAAACCUUAUAUGGUUACACACCCAAUGAAAAUAGUUCAUUGGAUCUCGAUCGUAGUGAUACACAUAAUCAUAAUAUUGAAACCAAAAGAUGCAAAGUUAAUAAUGAUAGUGCAACUUAUUUGUGGCACUGCCGUUUAGGUCAUAUCGGUGUAAAGCGCAUGAAGAAACUCCAUACUGAUGGACUUUUGGAACCACUUGAUUAUGAAUCAUUUGGUACUUGCGAACCGUGCCUCAUGGGCAAGAUGACUAAAACGCCGUUCUCCGGUACUAUGGAGAGAGUAACAGAUUUGUUGGAAAUCAUACAUACUGAUGUAUGUGAUCCGAUGAAUAUUGAGGCUCGUGGCAGGUAUCAUUAUUUUCUAAUCUUCACAGAUGAUUUGAGCAGAUAUGAGUAUAUCUACUUGAUGAAACACAAGUCUGAAAUAUUUGAAAAGUUCAAAGAAUUUCAGAGUGAAGUGGAGAAUCAUCGUAACAAAAAUAAAAAUUUCUACGAUAUGAUCGCAGAAGUAAAAUAUUUGAGUUACGAGUUUGGCCUUCAGUUAAAACAAUGUGAAAUAGUUUCACUACUCACGCCACCUGGAACACCACAAUGUAAUGGUGUGUCCGAACGUCAUAACCAUACUUUAUUAGAUAUGGUGCGAUCUAUGAUGUCUCUUACCGAUCUACCACUAUCGUUUUGGGGUUAUGCAUUAGAGACAGAUGCAUUCACGUUAAAUAGGGCACCAUCUAAAUCUGUUGAGACGACACAAUCUGAACUGUGGUUUGGCAAGAAACCAAAGUUGCCGUUUCUUAAAUUUUGGGGUUGUGAUGCUUAUAUGAAAAAGUUUCAUCCUGAUAAGCUCAAACCCAAAUGGGAGAAAUAUGUCUUCAUAGGAUACCCAAAGGAGACUGUUGGGUACACCUUCUAUCACAGAUCUGAAGGCAAAUUAUUCAUUGCUGAGAAUGGAUCCUUUCUAGAGAAGGAGUUUCUCUCGAAAGAAGUGAGUGGGAGGAAAGUAGAACUUGAUGAGGUAACUGUACCUACUCCCUUAUUGGAAAGUAGUUCAUCACAGAAAUCUGUUCCUGUGACUACUAGACCGAUUAGUGAGGAAGCUAAUGAUGAUGAUCAUGUAACUUCAGAUCAAGUUACUACCGAACCUCGUAGGUAAACCAGAGUGAGAUCCGCACCAGAGUGGUACGGUAAUCCAGUUCUGGAGGUCAUAUUACUUGACCAUGACGAGCCUACGAACUAUGAGGAAGCGAUGAUGAGCCUAGAUUCCGCGAAAUGGCUUGAGGCCAUGAAAUCUGAGAUGAGAUCCAUGUAUGAGAACAAAGUAUGGACUUUGAUUGACUCGCCCAAUGAUCGGCGAGCCAUUGAGAUUAAAUGGGUCUUCAAGAGGAAGACGGACGCUGAUAGUAGUGUUACUAUCUACAAAGCUAGAAUUGUCACAAAAAAAAUGUUUUCGACAAGUUCAAGGUGUUGACUACGAUGAGAGUUUCUCACUCGUAUCUAUGCUUAAAUCUGUCCGAAUCAUGUUAGCAAUUGCCGCAUUUUAUGAAAUGCGGCAAAUGGAUAAACAAAACUGCAUUCCUUAAUAGAUUUAUUAAAGAAGAGUUGUAUAUGAUACAACCAGAGGUUUUGUCAAUUCUAAAGGUGCUAACAAAAUGUGCAAGCUCCAGUGAUCCAUCUAUGGACUGGUGCAAGCAUCUCGGAGUUGGAAUAUGCGCUUUGAUGAGAUGAUCAAAGCAUAUAGUUUUAUACAGACUUGCGGUGAAGCCUGUAUUUACAAGAAAGUGAGUGGGAGCACUACAACAUUUCUGAUAAGUAUAUGUGAAUGACAUAUUGUUGAUCGGAAAUAAUGUAGAAUUAUUCUGCAAAGCAUAAAGGAGUGUUUUCAAAGAAGUUUUUCAAAGAAAGACCUCGGUGAAGCUGCUUACAUAUUAAGCAUCAAGAUCUAUAGAGAUAGAUCAAGACGCUUGAUAAGUUUUUUCAAUGAGUACAUACCUUGACAAUAUUUUGAAGUAGUUCAAAAAUGGAAUAGUCAAAGAAAGAGUUCUUGGCUGUGUUACAAGGUGUGAAAUUGAGUAAGACUCAAAGCCCGACCACGACAGAAGAUAGAAAGAGAAUGAAAGUCAUUCCCUAUGCCUCAGCCAUAGGUUCUAUAAAGUAUGCCAUGCUGUGUACUAGAUCUAUUGUAUACCCUACACUGUGUUAAGCAAGGGAGUACAAUAGUGAUCUAAGAGUAGAUCACUGGACAGUGGUCAAAAUUAUCCUUAGUGGAAUAAGGAAAUAUUUCUCAAUUAUGGAGGUGACAAAAGGUUCGUCGUAAAAAGUUACGUCGAUGCAAGUUUUGACACAGAUCUGGAUGACUCUAAGUCUCGAUCUAGAUACAUAUUGAAAGUGGGAGCAAUUAGCUAGAGUAGCUCCGUGCAGAGCAUUGUAGACAUAGAAUUCGCAAAAUACUUACGGAUCUGUAUGUGACAGACUCGUUGACUAAAAUUAUCUCACAAGCAAAACAUGAUCACACCUUAGUACUCUUUGGGUGUUAAUCACAUAAACGAUGUGAACUAGAUUACUGACUCUAGUAAACCCUUUGGGUAUAGGUCACAUGACGAUGUGAACUAUGGGUGUUAAUCACAUGCUGAUGUGAACUAUUAGUGUUGAAUCACAUGGCGAUGUGAUCUAGAUUAUUGACUCUAGUGCAAGUGGGAGACUGAAGGAAAUAUGCCCUAGAGGCAGUAAUAAAGUUAUUAUUUAUUUCCUUAUUUCAUGAUAAAUGUUUAUUAUUCAUGCUAGAAUUGUAUUAACCGGAAACAUAAUACAUGUGUGAAUACAUAGACAAACAAAGUGUCACUAGUAUGCCUCUACUUGACUAGCUCGUUAAUCAAAGAUGGUUAUGUUUCCUAACCAUAGACAUGUGUUGUCAUUUGAUUAACGGGAUCACAUCAUUAGGAGAAUGAUGUGAUUGACAUGACCCAUUCCAUGAGCUUAGCACCCGAUUGUUUAGUAUGUUGCUAUUGCUUUCUUCAUGACUUAUACAUGUUCCUAUGAGUAUGAGCUUAUGCAACUCCCGUUUACCAGAGGAACACUUUGUGUGCUACCAAACGUCACAACGUAACUGGGUGAUUAUAAAGGAGCUGUACAGGUGUCUCCAAAGGUACAUGUUGGGUUGGCGUAUUUCGAGAUUAGGAUUUGUCACUCCGAUUGUCGGAAAGGUAUCUCUGGGCCCUCUCGGUAAUGCACAUCACAUAAGCCUUGCAAGCAUUACAACUAAUGAGUUAGUUGCAAGAUGAUGUAUUACGGAACAAGUAAAGAGACUUGCCGGUAACGAGAUUGAACUAGGUAUUGAGAUAUCGACGACCGAAUCUCGUGCAAGUAACGUACCGAUGACAAAGGGAACAACGUAUGUUGUUAUGCGGUCUGACUGAUAAAGAUCUUCAUAGAAUAUGUGGGAGCCAAUAUGAGCAUCCAGGUUCCGCUAUUGGUUAUUGACUGGAGACGUGUCUCGGUCAUGUCUACAUUGUUCUCGAACCCGUAGGGUCCGCACGCUUAAGGUUUUCGAUGACAGUUAUAUUAUGAGUUUAUGAGUUUUGAUGUACCGAAGGAGUUCGGAGUCCCGGAUGAGAUCGGGGACAUGACGAGGAGUCUCGAAAUGGUCGAGACGUAAAGAUUGAUAUAUUGGACGACUAUAUUCGGACAUUGAAAAGGUUCCGAGUGAUUCGGGUAUUUUCAGGAGUACCGGAGAGUUAUGGGAAUACGUAUUGGGCCUUAUUGGGCCAUACGGGAAAGAAGAAAAAGGGCCUCAAGGGUGGCCGCACCCCUCCCCUUGGUCUGGUCCGAAUUGGACUAGGGAAGGGGGGCGCCCCCUUCCUUCCUUCUCCUUUUCCCUUCCUCUUUUCCUAUUCCAUAUGGGAGGUGGAAUGCUACUAGGACUAGGGAGUCCUAGUAGGACUCCACACUUGGCGCGAGUCUCGAAAUGGUCGAUACGUAAAGAUCGAUAUAUUGGACGACUAUAUUCGGACAUCGGAAAGGUUCCGAGUGAUUCGGGUAUUUUUUAGAGUACCGGAGAGUUACGAGAAUACGUAUUGGGCCUUAUUGGGCCAUACGGGAAAGAAGAAAAAGGGCCUCAAGGGUGGCCGCACCCCUCCCCUUGGUCUGGUCCGAAUUGGACUAGGGAAGGGGGGCGCCCCCUUCCUUCCUUCUCCUUUUCCCUUCCUCUUUCCCUAUUCCAUAUGGGAGGUGGAAUCCUACUAGGACUAGGGAGUCCUAGUAGGACUCCACACUUGGCGCGCCCCCUCCUAGGGCUGGCCUCCUCCUCCCUUGCUCCUUUAUAUACGGGGGCAGGGGGCACCUCUAGAUACACAAGUUGAUCCGCAUGAUCAUAUUCUUAGCCGUGUGCGGUGCCCCCUUCCACCAUAAUCCUCGAUAAUAUUGUAGCGGUGCUUAGGCGAAGCCCUGCGACGGUAGUACAUCAAGAUCGUCACCACGCCGUCGUGUUGACGGAACUCUUCCCCGACACUUUGCUGGAUCGAUCCGGGGAUCGUCAUCGAGCUGAACGUGUGCUAGAACUCGGAGGUGCCGUAGUUUCGGUGCUUGAUCGGUCGGGCCGUGAAGACGUACGACUACAUCAACCGCGUUGUGCUAACGCUUCCGCUGUCGAUCUACAAGGGUACGUAGAUCACACUCUCCCCUCUCGUUGCUAUGCAUCACCAUGAUCUUGCGUGCGCGUAGGAAUUUUUUUGAAAUUACUACGUUCCCCAACACCUACUACUACGUGCAGCCCGCUGACGAUGACCAGGAGUAGUUUAGGAGGAUCUCAGGCAGGAGGCAUGCGCCUCUUUCGAUCUGUAUCCCAGUUUGUGCUAGCCUUCUUAAGCCAAACUUGUUUAACUUAUGUCUGUACUCAGAUAUUGUUGCUUCCGCUGACUCGUCUAUGAUCGAGUUCUUGUAUUCCAGCCCUUGUGGCCCCUGCCUUGUAAUAUGAUGCUUGUAUGACUUAUUUUAUUUGUAGAGUUGUGUUGUGAUAUCUUCCCGUGAGUCCCUGGUCUUGAUCGUACUCGUUUGCGUGUAUGAUUAGUGUACGGUCAAAUCGGGGGCGGCAUAGGUAUGUACACGAGGUGGUUCCAUGGCGCGCGGCUAAACCGGUGCCCCAGGUGUCAUGAUCCGAUUUGCCUCCGGCGGGUUACUUGUCCCGGCCCCGGGUGUAUGAAAUAGGUUCCUAGGAUCGAGCGUCAGAGGUAAACGUGACUGAGUUUUCCGAUGCCUUCUCCUCAUGACCUCGUUUGACGUGUUCAGAUCCACCGAGAGCCGGAAAGUCUCCGCUUGAAGCUGUUGAGCACGAGCGUCCAAAGCCGCCCGCUCCGCAGCCAUCCUGACCUCUUCUGCUGCUAAAUUUUCUUUAGCUUGUACCAUCUCUUCAUGUACGCGUACCACCUCUGCAUCAUGCUGAGCUUUAUCUGCCGGCUCUACCAUGGCAGUCAACAGAGUCGUCAGUUUAUCCAUGAGGUCCAUUNNNNNNNNNNNNNNNNNNNNNNNNNNNNNNNNNNNNNNNNNNNNNNNNNNNNNNNNNNNNNNNNNNNNNNNNNNNNNNNNNNNNNNNNNNNNNNNNNNNNNNNNNNNNNNNNNNNNNNNNNNNNNNNNNNNNNNNNNNNNNNNNNNNNNNNNNNNNNNNNNNNNNNNNNNNNNNNNNNNNNNNNNNNNNNNNNNNNNNNNNNNNNNNNNNNNNNNNNNNNNNNNNNNNNNNNNNNNNNNNNNNNNNNNNNNNNNNNNNNNNNNNNNNNNNNNNNNCCGGGCUGCGUGAUACGUCUCCAAUGUAUCUAUAAUUUUUGAUUGUUCCAUGCUAUUAUAUUAUCAACCUUGGAUGUUUUAUAUGCAUUUAUAUUAUAUUUUAUAUGAUUUUUGGGACUAACCAAUUAACCCAGAGCCCAGUGCCAGUUUCUGUUUUUUUCCUUGUUUUAGAGUAUCGCAGAAAAGGAAAAUCAAACUGAGUCCAAUUGACCUGAAACUUCACAGAACUUAUUUUUGGAAGGAAAGCAACCCGGGAGACUUGGAGUCCACGUAAGGGAAGCUUCGAGGAGGCCACAAGGUAGGGGGGCGCGCCCUCCACCCUCGUGGGCCCCUCGUGGCUCCCAUGACGUACUUCUUCCUCCUAUAUAUCUCCAUAUACCCUAAAAACAUCCGGGAGCACAAUAGAUCGGGAGUUUCGCCACCAGAAGCCUCUGUAGCCAUCAAAAACCAAUCUAGACCCGUUCCGGCACCCUACCGGAGGGGGCAAUCCCUCUCCGGUGUCCAUCUACAUCAUCCUGGUGCUCUCCAUGACGAGGAGGGAGUAGUUCUCCCUCGAGGCUGAGGGUAUGUACCAGUAGCUAUGUUUUGAUCUCUCUCUCUCUCUCUCUCUCUCUCUCUCUCUCUCGUGUUCUUGAGGUGAUACGAUCUUGGUGUAUCGCGAGCUUUGCUAUUAUAUUUGGAUCCUAUGAUGUUUCUUCCCCCCUCUACUCUCUUGUAAUGGAUUGAGUUUCCCCUUUGAAGUUAUCUUAUCGGAUUGAGUCUUUAAAUAUUUGAGAACACUUGAUGUAUGUCUUGCCGUGCGUAUCUGUGGUGACAAUGGGAUACCACGUGAUUCACCUGAUGUAUGUUUUGGUGAUCAACUUGCGGGUUCCGCCCAUGAACCUAUGCAUAGGGGUUGGCACACAUUUUCGUCGUGAUUCUCCGGUAGAAACUUUGGGGCACUGUUUGAGGUUCUAUGUGUUGGUUGAAUAGAUGAAUCUAAGAUUGUGUGAUGCAUAUCGUAUAAUCAUACCCACGGAUACUUGAGGUGACAUUGGAGUAUCUAGGUGACAUUAGGGUUUUGGUUGAUUUGUGUCUUAAGGUGUUAUUCUAGUAUGAACUCUAGGGCUGUUUGUGGCACUUAUAGAAAUAGCCCAACAGAUUGAUUGGAAAGAAUAACUUUGAGGUGGUUUCGUACCCUACCAUAAUCUCUUCGUUUGUCCUCCGCUAUUAGUGACUUUGGAGUGACUCUUUGUUGCAUGUUGAGGGAUAGUUAUGUGAUCCAAUUAUGUUAUUAUUGUUGAGAGGACUUGCACUAGUGAAAGUAUGAACCCUAGGCCUUGUUUCAAUGCAUUGCAAGAGCAUUUGUGCUCACUUUUAUCAUUAGUUACCUUGCUGUUUUUAUAUUUUCAGAUUACAAAAACUAUUAUCUACUAUCCAUAUACCACUUGUAUCACCAUCUCUUCGCCGAACUAGUGCACCUAUACAAUUUACCAUUGUAUUGGGUGUGUUGGGGACACAAGAGACACUUUGUUAUUUGGUUGCAGAGUUGCUUGAGAGAGACCAUCUUCAUCCUACACCUCCUACGGAUUGAUAAACCUUAGGUCAUCCAGUUGAGGGAAAUUUGCUACUGUCCUACAAACCUCUGCACUCGGAGGCCCAACAACGUCUACAAGAAGAAGGUUGUGUAGUAGACAUCAAGCUCUUUUCUGGCGCCGUUGCCGGGGAGGUUAGCGCUUGAAGGUAUAUCUUUAGAUCUUGCAAUCGAAUCUUUUUGUUUCUUGUUUUAUCACUAGUUUAGUUUAUAAAAGAAAAUUAAAAAAUGGAAUUAAGUUUGCCUCAUACGCUUCAUCUUUUUAAUAUCUUUUCGUGAGUAUGAUGGAAAGGAAAAUUGUGCCAAAGUGUUAGAAGAAGAAUGCAUUAGAAUCUUUGGCACUAAAUAUUUGAAUGAUGAGCAUGAUUGCAAUGUUGUUUGUAUGAAUUCCUUGAAUAUCCAUGAUGCUAAUGAUAUGCAAAGCCACAAGCUUGGGGAAGCUAUGUUUGAUGAAGAUGAUAUUUUUUGUCCCCCAAGUUUUGAUGAGCAAAUUUAUUAUGAUGAAUGAAUGCCUCCUAUUUAUGAUGAUUAUAUUGAUGAAAGUGGAUUUGGAGAGGUCAUGAGUUUAUUUGGUGAUGAAUCCACUAUUUCAGAAGAGGUUCCAAUUGAUUAUGAGAACAAAGUUGCUAUCUAUGAUGAUUAUUGCGAUGACUUGUAUGCUAUAAAGAAUAAUGAUAUCCAUGAAACUUGUCAUCAUGAUUUUAGUUUUCAAUUGGAUUAUUCCUCACAUGAUAAUUAUUUUGUUGAGUUUGCUCCCACUAUUAUUCAUGAGAAGAAUUUUGCUUAUGUGGAGAGUAGUAAAAUUCCUAUGCUUGUAGAUCAUGAAAACAAUGCUUUAGGUGCUGGUUAUAUUGUUGAAUUCAUCCAUGAUGCUACUGAAAAUUAUUAUGAGGGAGGAAUAUAUGCUUGUAGGAAUUGCAAUAAUAUCAAGUUUCCUCUCUAUGUGUUGAAAAUCUUGAAGUUAUGCUUGUUUUGCUUUCCUAUGCUAGUUGAUUAUUGUUCCCAUAAAUUGUUUGCUCACAAAAUCCCUAUGCACAGGAAAUGGGUUAGACUUAAAUGUGUUAGCAAUAUGCUUCAUGAUGCUAUCUUUAUAUUUCAAUUCUUAUCUUUUAUGUGAGCAUCAUUGAAAUCAUCAUGCCUAGCUAGGUGCGUUAAACGAUAGCGCUUGUUGGGAGGCAACCCAACUUUAUUUUUGUUAUUUGCUUUUUAUUCCAGUUUAGUAAUAAAUAAAUUAUCUAGACUCUGUUUUGGUUGUGUUUUUUUGUGUUUAAUUAGUGUUUGUGCCAAGUAGAACCUUUGGGAAGACUUGGGUGAAGUCUUUAUGAUCAUGCUGUAAAAAACCGAAACUUUAGCGCUCACGAUAAUUGCUGCCAUUUUUAUUUGCAGAGUGAUAUUUAGUUAAUUCAUUUUUCAUAUGAUUAAUAGAUAAAUUCCUUACGUCCAGCAAUUUAUUUUAGAAUUUUUGGAGUUCCAGAAGUUUGCGUUAGUUACAGAUUACUACAGACUGUUCUGUUUUUGACAGAUUCUGUUUUUCGUGUGUUGUUUGCUUAUUUUGAUGAAUCUAUGGCUAGUAAAAUAGUUUAUAAACCAUAGAGAAAUUGGAAUACAGUAGGUUUAACACCAAUACGAAUCAAUAGUGAUUUCAUUACAGUACCUUGAAGUGAUUUUUUUUUCUUUCGCUAACGGAGCUUACGAGUUUUCUGUAAGUUUUGUGUUGUGAAGUUUUCAAGUUUUGGGUAAAGAUUCGAUGGACUAUGGAAUAAGGAGUGGUAAGAGCCUAAGCUUGGGGAUUCCCAAGGCACCCCGAGGUAAUAUUCAAGGACAACCAAAAGCCUAAGCUUGGGGAUGCCCCGGAAGGCAUCCCCUCUUUUGUCUUCGUUCAUCGGUAACUUUACUUGGAGCUAUAUUUUUAUUCGCCACAUGAUAUGUGUUUUGCUAGGAGCAUCAAUUUAUUUUGUUAGCAUUUGCUUGAUGUUUGAAUAAAAUACCAAGAUCUGAAAUUCUUAAAUGUUAGAGAGUCUUUACAUAGUUGCAUAAUUAUUCGACUACUCAUUGAUCUUCACUUAUAUCUUUCAGAGUAGUUUGUCAUUUGCUCUAGUGCUUCACUUAUAUCUUUUUAGAGCACGGUGGUGGUUUUAUUUUGAAGAAUUAGAUGAACUCUCGUGCUUCACUUAUAUUAUUUUGAGAGUCCUAAACAGCAUGGUAAUUUGCUUUGGUUAUGAAUUUAGUCCUAAUAUGAUGGGCAUCCAAGAGGGAUAUAGUAAAAACUUUCAUAUGAAGUGCAUUGAAUACUAUGAUAAGUUUGAUACUUGAUGAUUGUUUUGAGAUAUGAGGAUGGUAAUAUUAGAGUCAUGCUAGUGAGUAGUUGUGAAUUUGAGAGAUACUUGUGUUAAAGUUUGUGAUUCCCGUAGCAUGCACGUAUGGUGAACCGUUAUGUGAUGAAGUCGGAGCAUGAUUUAUUUAUUAUUUGUCUUCCUUAUGAGUGGCGGUCGGGGACGAGCGAUGGUAUUUUCCUACCAAUCUAUCCCCCUAGGAGCAUGCGCAUAGUAAUUUUUUCGAUAACUAAUAGAUUUUUGCAAUAAGUAUGCGAGUUCUUUAUUACUAAUGUUGAGUCCAUGGGUUAUACACACUCUAAACCUUCCACCAUUGCUAGCCUCUCUAGUACCGCGCAACUUUUGCCGGUACCAUAAACCCACCAUAUACCUUCCUCAAAACAGCCACCAUACCUACCUAUUAUGGCAUUUCCAUAGCCAUUCCGAGAUAUAUUGCCAUGCAACUUUCCACUGUUCCGUUUAUUAUGACACGCUCCAUCAUUGUCAUAUUGCUAUGCAUGAUCAUGUAGUUGACAUCGUAUUUGUGGCAAAGCCACCGUUCAUAAUUGUUUCAUACAUGUCACUCAUGAGUCAUUGCACAUCCCGGUACACCACCGGAGGCAUUCAUAUAGAGUCAUAUUUUGUUCUAAGAAUCGAGUUGUAAUUCUUGAGUUGUAAGUAAAUAAAAGUGUGAUGAUCAUCAUUAUUAGAGCAUUGUCCCAGUGAGGAAAGGAUGAUGGAGACUAUGAUUCCCCCACAAGUCGGGAUGAGACUCUGGACGAAAAUAAAUAAAUAAAAGAGGCCAAAGAAGCCCAAAUAAAAAAAAGAGGAGAAAAGAGGCCAUAAAAAAAGAGAAGGCCCAAAUAAAAAAAAUAAAAAUGGGAGAAAAAGAGAGAAGGGACAAUGCUACUAUCCUUUUACCACACUUGUGCUUCAAAGUAGCACCAUGAUCUUCACGAUAGAGAGUCUCCUAUGUUGUCACUUUCAUAUACUAGUGGGAAUCUUUCAUUAUAGAACUUGGCUUGUAUAUUCCAAUGAUGGGCUUCCUCAAAAUGCCCUAGUUCUUCGUGAGCAAGCAAAUUGGAUGCACACCCACUAGUUUCUUUUGUUGAGAUUUCAUACACUUAUAGCUCUAGUGCAUCCGUUGCAUGGCAAUCCCUACUCACUCAUGUUGAUAUCUAUUGAUGGGCAUCUCCAUAGCCUAUUGAUACGCCUAGUUGAUGUGAGACUAUCUUCUCCCUUUUGUCUUCUCCACAACCACCAUUCUAUUCCACCUAUAGUGCUAUAUCCAUGGCUCACGCUCAUGUAUUGCGUGAAGAUUGAAAAAGUUUGAUAACAUCAAAAGUAUGAAACAAUUGCUUGGCUUGUCAUCGGGGUUGUGCAUGAUUUAAAUAUUUUGUGUGGUGAAGAUAGAGCAUAGCCAGACUAUAUGAUUUUGUAGGGAUAGCUUUCUUUGGCCAUGUUAUUUUGAGAAGACAUGUUUACUUGGUUAGUAUGCUUGAAGUACUAUUAUUUUUAUGUCAAUAUUAAACUUUUGUCUUGAAUCUUAUGGAUUAGAAUAUUCUUUCCACAAUAAAGAGAACUACAUGUAUAAAUAUGUUAGGUAGCAUUCCACAUCAAAAAUUCUGUUUUUAUCAUUUACCUACUCGAGGACGAGCAGGAAUUAAGCUUGGGGAUGCUGAUACGUCUCCAACAUAUCUAUAAUUUUUGAUUGUUCCAUGCUAUUAUAUUAUCAACCUUGGAUGUUUUAUAUGCAUUUAUAUGCUAUUUUAUAUGAUUUUUGGGACUAACCUAUUAACCCAGAGCCCAGUGCCAUUUUCUGUUUUUUCCUUGUUUUAGAGUAUCGCAGAAAAGGAAAAUCAAACGGAGUCCAAUUGACCUGAAACUUCACGGAACUUAUUUUUGGAAGGAAAGCAACCCGGGAGACUUGGAGUCCACAUAAGGGAAGCUUCGAGGAGGCCACAAGGUAGGGGGGCGCGCCCACCCCCCUGGGCGCGCCCUCCACCCUCGUGGGCUCCUCGUGGCUCCCCUGACAUACUUCUUCCUCCUAUAUAUCUCCAUAUACCCUAAAAACAUCCAGGAGCACAAUAGAUCGCGAGUUCCGCCGCCAGAAGCCUCCGUAGCCACCAAAAACCAAUCUAGACCCGUUCCGGCACCCUGCCGGAGGGGGCAAUCCCUCUCUGGUUGCCAUCUACAUCAUCCUGGUGCUCUCCAUGACGAGGAGGGAGUAGUUCUCCCUCGGGGCUGAGGGUAUGUACCAGUAGCUAUGUGUUUGAUCUCUCUCUCUCUCUCUCUCGUAUUCUUGAGGUGAUACGAUCUUGAUGUAUCGCGAGCUUUGCUAUUAUAUUUGGAUCCUAUGAUGUUUCUUCACCCCUCUACUCUCUUGUAAUGGAUUGAGUUUCCCCUUUGAAGUUAUCUUAUCGGAUUGAGUCUUUAAAGAUUUGAGAACACUUGAUGUAUGUCUUGCCGUGCGUAUUUGUGGUGACAAUGGGAUACCACGUGAUUCAGUUGAUGUAUGUUUUGGUGAUCAACUUGUGGGUUCCGCCCAUGAACCUAUGCAUAGGGGUUGGCACACGUUUUCGUCGUGAUUCUCCGGUAGAAACUUUGGGGCACUCUUUGAGGUUCUAUGUGUUGGUUGAAUAGACGAAUCUAAGAUUGUGUGAUGCAUAUCGUAUAAUCAUACCCACGGAUACUUGACGUGACAUUGGAGUAUCUAGGUGACAUUAGGGUUUUGGUUGAUUUGUGUCUUAAGGUGUUAUUCUAGUACGAACUCUAGGGCUGUUUGUGACACUUAUAGGAAUAGCCCAACGGAUUGAUUGGAAAGAAUAACUUUGAGGUGGUUUCGUACCCUACCAUAAUCUCUUCGUUUGUUCUCCGCUAUUAGUGACUUUGGAGUGACUCUUUGUUGCAUGUUGAGGGAUAGUUAUGUGAUCCAAUUAUGUUAUUAUUGUUGAGAGGACUUGCACUAGUGAAAGUAUGAACCCUAGGCCUUGUUUCAACGCAUUGCAAUACCGUUUGUGCUCAUUUUUAUCAUUAGUUACCUUGCUGUUUUUAUAUUUUCAGAUUACAAAAAGUAUUAUCUACUAUCCAUAUACCACAUGUAUCACCAUCUCUUCGCCGAACUAGUGCACCUAUACAAUUUACCAUUGUAUUGGCUGUGUUGGGGACACAAGAGACACUUUGUUAUUUGGUUGCAGGGUUGCUUGAGAGAGACCAUCUUCAUCCUACGCCUCCUUUGGAUUGAUAAACCUUAGGUCAUCCACUUGAGGGAAAUUUUCUACUGUCCUACAAACCUCUGCACUUGGAGGCCCAACAACGUCUACAAGAAGAAGGUUGUGUAGUAGACAUCACUACGUGCCUACCAUGAAGACUCCGGCCCGAUUCGGCGGCUCAGAGGGGUCUGGAAUACUGCUGCCAUUGGAACAGCCCCCGAGCAUGCCAUCCUGCAGAUGAUACAAAGAGUCCGUUUCGCCCGUUGAUGAUGUAGCGUCAGAACAGAUGGCCGUCUCACCGCCAUCCACCGAUCCUUCAGAAUAUUCACCGCCGUGGAUGCAACCCACAAAGGCAUGCUUCAUGACAGAUUGAACACGGGCGGACCUCGCGCGCUGAGCCGUUUCGGCGAGGUUAGUGUGGACGUCCGGCUCAGGGCCUGACUCACCGAUCCGGCCGAUGAAGACAUGAAUUCCGCUGAAGGGGACCCGGUACCCAUACUCAAUUGAGCCGGCCUCGGGGCCCCAGCCUUUGUCGUCGAUGUAGAGCUUGCCGCGACGACUCUUGGUCAUCCAGCCCACAACGUAUCCCUUGAGCCCUUCGAAGUUGCCCUUCAAGAACUCAAAUCCACCGCGUGCUGGCCCCACGGUGGGCGCCAACUGUCGUGGAAUUGUCAUGGCAGAUGUCCUAGCAGAAGGACUUAGUCGUAGGGCCAUCGCAACUAGGAAGCUUAAAGGGGUUAAUCAGGACAAAGGACACGAGAGGUUUUAUACUAGUUCGGCCCCUUACGAUGAAGGUAAAAGCCUACGUCUAGUUGUGUUGAUAUUGCUGGGGUUUCGAUCACCAAGAGGCUAGUUCGCCGGCUUGGUUAUCGAUCUCUUGUUUCUUGCCCUAAGCCGCCAUCGGGUCGUCCCCUUAUAUACACGGGUUGACGCCUGGUGGCCUACAGAGUCCUGGCCGGCUCAUAAAUCGUGUCCGGCUCGGUGACUUCUUUUACAUUCCUUUCCUUAGAAGUCUUUCCUUACAUACGACAAUUUACAAUAUUGGGCCUUAAACCUCCUCUAGGCCUUUAGGCCUUCUAUAAGAUUUAAUAAACUAUCGUCUUGAAUGUCUGCUGGGCUUCCUUUGUGACCCGCCAUUGGGGCUGACCCGGCCCCUCCUGGGCAGGUCAUAACUGAUAGCUAUAUCCCCAACAGACAGGUUAUUCCAACCCCCAGAUCUAGCGAGAGGGUUGUAUUUAUCUCUCACUUCCUCCGAGGGCUAGGGUUUGCUCUCCACCCCUUUGUCCGGAGGCUAAUGUUUUAUUACGAACUAGAUUUUCAUGAUCUAGCUCUGGAUUCUUUCCUUCACGUCUCGGUGUUUACUGUCACAUGCGAGGCCUUUCUCCGACNNNNNNNNNNNNNNNNNNNNNNNNNNNNNNNNNNNNNNNNNNNNNNNNNNNNNNNNNNNNNNNNNNNNNNNNNNNNNNNNNNNNNNNNNNNNNNNNNNNNNNNNNNNNNNNNNNNNNNNNNNNNNNNNNNNNNNNNNNNNNNNNNNNNNNNNNNNNNNNNNNNNNNNNNNNNNNNNNNNNNNNNNNNNNNNNNNNNNNNNNNNNNNNNNNNNNNNNNNNNNNNNNNNNNNNNNNNNNNNNNNNNNNNNNNNNNNNNNNNNNNNNNNNNNNNNNNNNNNNNNNNNNNNNNNNNNNNNNNNNNNNNNNNNNNNNNNNNNNNNNNNNNNNNNNNNNNNNNNNNNNNCUCAAGACCUUUGGUGUGAAGCCAAAGUUAGUCGACGGGGAACAAGUGGAGUGCGGCGGUGUUGUAGUAAGACGGCUUACCAACACUCCCUGGCCAAAAGGCUCUUUCACCGAAGCUUCCAAUCAAUGGCAGCGAGAGUGGUUUUACGUUACGGAACCCCGUAGCACCAAGUGGGCAGCUACACCUACGUUCCGUUCCGUCCCUCCAUUACAGAUUGCAUCAUGAGUCAAUAAGGGGCUGGACUGGGGAUCAGUUGAUGAAGUGCGACUCUAUAGAGCCUCAUCCGAGCCCUCCUCAGGAGGGACAUCAAUCUUGUCAACGUGAUUCAAGUAAUGCUGAUCCGCCGAAUCCUGCCAUGCCAGCGUAGGCCUCUCCGCAUGUGGGAGUUUAAUCCGGAAGGGCCACAAACCCUCCAACACUUCUUCGGUGCUACGCACAAAGGGAUGUGGAAGAUGUUUUUUGGGAAACGAAAACAUUGGCCGGACACCUCCGAAGACGUCGGCCUUGACUGCAACCGUCCGAACACCCCGGUAAGCACUUGUCUUUCGAACACUUUGUAGUUAAGUAUGUCGUGGUAUGUUACUGAGCAAACUAUAUUCUUUCAGGGAUGGAUAAAGAAAGCGGAACUAAUUAGGUGUUCAGCCCCCCUCCCCGAAGCUUUAGCGGAUCCCGUAUUAACAAGGAUGCUGGCCCCUGCACCAUACCAGAUGUCUGCGAAGGAGGACAAGACGGGGAGCGGGAGGACCAAAGAAGGCCUCCAUCCCAAAGAUAUUUUAGACACCGUGUCCGGGGAGAUGAAAAUCCCAUCGCUCGAAGGCAAAAGUAAAGGAGAAGCCAACAUUCAUUCCCCCUAUGGUAAGAAAAGGGCCGUCUCCGAAGAUUGGGAAGGAAAGGCUCCCAAGCGAGGUAAGAUGCCCCUGUCAGGUGACUCGGGCUUGAAGGACGACAUUAUCGCGCAGUCCUCCAGUGAGGCCAAACCUAAAUCAUAAGUGAACAAGGGUGUUUUACACAUACUUCGUUCCUCUCCUGUGACCAGGGUAACAUCUAAAAUGUAUGAUUUUUUGCAGCUCGGCGCACAAUCUUUCUCAACAAUCAACUUCCUCGGGAGAUCUUCUCCCAAAGAUGAUGGAAAGCGAGAUACCUCCACCAGUCUCCUCGCCUAAUAAGGCGGAUGAUUUCGAGGUGUCAUCCCAGAGGGUUUCUCCUGAUCCGCAAGUGAUGCGAGGUGUGAUGAAAACACGAACCGAAUACGAUACUUUGGAAGCCCAGGGUCCAGGGGCCAACAAUAAAGGCCCCGAACUGUCCGACUUUUAGCCGGAGACAACUCCGGGGGCGAAUGAACGAAUCCAUUUGAAGGAGGGCCGUUGUCGGUGUCAAAACCGGCGGAUCUCAGGUAGGGGGUCCCGAACUGUGCGUCUAGGCUGGAUGGUAACAGGAGGCAAGGGACACGAAGUUUUACCCAGGUUCGGGCCCUCUUGAUGGAGGUAAAACCCUACGUCCUGCUUGAUUAAUAUUGAUGCUAUGGGUAGUACAAGAGUAGAUCUACCACGAGAUCGGAGAGGCUAAACCCUAGAAGCUAGCCUAUGGUACGAUUGUUGUUUUGUAUGUUGUCCUACGGACUAAAACCCUCCGGUUUAUAUAGACACCGGAGAGGGUUAGGGUUACACAAAGUCGGUUACAAUGGUAGGAGAUCCACAUAUCCGUAUCGCCAAGCUUGCCUUCCACGCCAAGGAAAGUCCCUCUCGGACACGGGACGAAGUCUUCAAUCUUUGUAUCUUCAUAGUCCAGGAGUCCGGCUGAAGGUAUAGUCCGGCCAUCCGGACACUCCCUAAUCCAAGACUCCCUCAGUAGCCCCUGAACCAUGCUUCAAUGACGACGAGUCCGGCGCGCAGAUUGUCUUCUACAUUGCAAGGCGGGUUCCUCCUCCAAGUACUUCAUAGAAGAUUUUGAACACAAAGAUAGUGUCCGGCUCCGCAAAAUAAGUUUCCACACAUUGCCAUAGAGAGAAUAAUAUUUACACAAAUCUAAUCUGCUGACGUAUUCCGUAGUGUGACAUCGCACCACGGCCAAGCCUUUAUUCGAAUCGUUUUAUUACCCCACCUCAGCGUGUCAUGCAAGGCGGUUUCCUUGGCACGCCUUGUUAAAGCAGAGAUCGUGUCCCCUUAUUCCAGGAUUCUCAUCGGUACGGGCGUGGGUAACCCAACCGCUUCUAGGACUCCUAGACUAUAGGCAAGUCCAAACGACCACGGAGAGGACGCUUGAUACUCACCCUCUUUAUAAAGGGACAAGGCUUUUAUUUCUUCCCUCCCGUGCUCAAUCGAAUCCUUACCCCACCUCAAGCUCAAACACCCAAAGUUCAGGUCAGGUGCUCCGAACCUUCAAUCAUGUCCGGAUCUAGCCUUCAAGGCCGAUGGAUGCCUUCCUCCGUCACGGAAGAAGACAUCAAAAAGUUGAGGGAGGCCAGAUAUCUGACCGCCGAGGUUUCGCAUCGGCUGCCUGCCCGAGGGCAGGCUGUCCCCUCCCCCGAACCCAACGAGAACGUCGUAUUCCUCCGAGGUCUAGGCCUUGCUCUGGAUCCUUUCGUCAGGGGUUUGAUGUUUUUUUAUAGGCUAGAUUUCCAUGAUCUAGCUCCGGACUCCUUUCUUCAUAUCACGACAUUUAUUGUCAUGUAUGAGGCCUUCCUCCGGGUUACCCCUCACUUUGGCCUGUGGCUCAAGACCUUUGAAGUAAAGCCGAAGAUGAUCGAGGGGCAACAUGCAGCGUGCGGAGGUGCCUCAAUAUUCAAGAUGACGGGAGCUCCAUGGCCCAAAGGUUCCAUUCCAGAGGUGCCUGAAUUGUGGCAACAGGAGUGGUUCUACAUCACGGCUCCUAGAAGUGCCAAGUGGGUGGCCGCCCCUGUUUUCCGCUCAGGCCCUCCACCACAAGUAAUGUCAUGGAUCAGCAGAGGUCUGAGCUGGGGUCCAGCCAAGGACGUGCCUAUACUGCAAAGCCGCAUUCGAGAUCUCUUCAGUGGAGAUUUUAGUUUGGUUGCAGUAAUACAAGUUAUGCUGGUUCGUCAAGUCCAGCCUUGCAAACGCCGGCCCCUUCGCUUGUGGGAGUCCAAUCUCGAGGGACCGCGUGUCAUUCAAAAUUUCCUCGGCCUGACGGAUGAGGAGAUGUACAAGUCAUUCUUCGGACCUCAGGUAGAGUGUCCGGAAAUCACCGAGGAUGUGGGCCCGAGAAGUAAUCGCGCCGCUGAACAGGUAAUGAAUCUUUCGGCCGAUCAUACUAUCUCUCAUUUGUUACGAAGUUAUUUCUGAGAGUUUGCUUUUUGACCAGGACUGGCUAACAAAGGCGAAGUUGAUUCGGUGUUCGGCCCCCCUCCCUGAGGGUUUGGACAAUCCGGUAUUGGAAAAGAUGCUCCAGGUCGCACCUUGCCCGGAGCCCUUGAAGGAAGAUACUGGGGAGGAUAAUAUGGGCAGACACGGGCCCCCAACGCUGCCCAUUUUAACCGAGGGAGCGAGCGUCUCCAUGAAGGAAGACGACCGGAGGAGGAAAAGGACCGCGCCCGGGGGUUCAGAAGCUGAAGCUUCCAAACAGGAGAAGAAGUCUCCCACAGAGGGUCCUACCUUGGGGGGUGCUUUUGCCGCACAAAGUCCGCGGGGGAUCAAUUCUCCAGCGAGUCGUAAGUGACCCGAAAUACCUUAAUAGUACAGGUAUGCCAUCUUUUUCUUCUGAGAAAAUAACCACCGCAUAUAUCUUUGCAGUUCGGGCCUUAGCCCCUCUCAAAUGAACUCGUCUUCGGGGGAUCUUCUUCCAGAGAUGAUGGAGAGCGAAACGCCUCCUCCGGACUCCUCCGCUCCUGAAGUGGGUGACCCCGAAGUGUCGUCGUGGAGGGCCUCUCCGAGUCUGGUGAGGCCAGAAGAUAAUCCCAUUGACCCCCAAGCUCCCAGUGUCCGGCUCCCGAAGAGAGCAGACAAAAGAGUCCGACACCGUCUGGUGUGCAAUCGGAUGUUCUGAGGGAGUUGGUGGGGCGAGCGGCCAUCUCAGAUGAACACCGUAUGCUGAUGAAUACAGUGAUGGAGAGAAUCUCGUCCGCCGAAAGUGGAUUGCAUGAAGCUUUUAUGAGUCUACUGACAGGCUUUGAGGUACGUAAAAUAAUGUAUGAUAGUCCUGCACAUGCUAGGUGUGCCCUAUGUAGAUGGUAGCCCCUGAGACUCUGGUUGUCGUCGGAAAUGACGACGAACAGAGGAUCAUAUUCCCAGGUAAUAACCAUACCGCCUCUAUGUGCAUGUGAUGGAAGCUCCGGUGGCUAGCCGGACUAGCGAGUUUGCCCAUUUAAAACGGCAGUUGGAUGCGGCAGACGCCAACAUCGAGCUUGUUAACAAAAGGCUUGACGAGGCACAGGGUAAGUGUCAUUAUCUGGUAAACACCACAUAGUAAGAGCAGCAUGAUGCCAGUAUCUUUAAUAUGUUGUGACUGUAGAUGGAGCUGCCACUGUUGAAGCCUUGAGGGCAGAACUUGCCCGAGCCAAGGAACAAGCAAGGUUUGGUAAUGCGGCUGCUUUGAAGGCGUACGAAGAGUUGAUAGCCGAGAAGGCCGUUCAUGGCGAGAGUCGAGAUAAGAUGGCCAAGAUGGCCAUAGAAUUAAAAGCCACCGCCGACCGUUGCCGGGUUCUUGAAAAGGAAAACCUAGCGAAGGCAUCGGACCUUGAGAAGGCUGCUGCGACGAGAAAAGACAUCCACUCUGCUAUGAGGGCAAAGAAGGAGGAGCUGCGGGAAGCCGGGGAUAUUGUAGCUGGGAAAUCCUUUAUGUUGCGGAGGAAGUUCGGAGAUCCACGGUAUGCCCCUCUGGAUCGGCUGUGGAGUUCGGAGGAUGUGUAUAUGGAUUUGGCGGCGAGCGCUGCCGAUGCGGCCAAGUACUUCCAGGGUCAGACGGACCGUGAAGUGGACCAGCUGUUUUGGACACAAUUCCAUUCUCCCAAGCAUCCGCUUUCAUUGACUGACCAAUUAGCCGAAUGGGCCGAACUGAAUAGGUUGUCCGGACUCGCCAUGAGGUCUGUUGUGGAUCAGCUAUGGCCGAAAAGGCCAAAACCGAACAGCUAUUUCAGCUUGGUGCAGCAGUUCCUUGACAUGGUGCCGUGCAUUAAUGUGAUGAAGAGGUCGGCGUGCAUAGAGGGCUCAUGGAUGGCCUUUGCUCGUGUUAAAGCAUACUGGGCGGAGAUGGAUGCUACCACUGUUGUAGCGCGGGAUUCGGCCAUAGGCCGAAUGGUUGCUGAGCACUAAUUUGAAGAAGUUCUUGAGGGUGCUCGUUUGAUAGAGACCCAGUGCUCAAAAAAUAUUAUGUUUGAGUGAUAUGUAAUCUCAUUGUAAGCGAAAUGCUUUUAUAAAUUUUUAUAAGGCUAUUUUUAUACUUUUGCCUGAAAGUAAUAUGAUGCCUCUUGGGCGGCCGUUUAUGUAUACAUGUGUAUAACCUGAAAGAUUGCAGCCGUCGGCUUUGACCCCCACACAUAUAAUGCGAAGGUGCUCGCAAAAAACACACGUUCACACUUAACCCAACGUCUUGGUCCUAUUAAGGAGGUGAUAGCGGAGCGAGCGAGGCAACCGAACUAUAAUGCUUUAGCACUUUCACUUAGCCAUAUGAGUUUGACAGUGGGGCUACUAGAUAGCCCUCGGUGGCUCCGCACUCUCCCGAUCCCGGGGUGCGUACAUGCCUGGCCGGAAAACGGCCCUUUGUUAAGGCGGAGGAAUUCUAACAUUCCAACAGGUCAUCGAGUGGUUGACCAGUCUCAUGCUAUAUCAUGACAGUCAGUUUUCGGCUUUCUCUACUGAGGUGCUCGUCCGGAUGAACCAGGGCACAGUCGCAGUAGUUCUCCUGGUGCUACCUUAGCCGGUAAAGCGGAACAUAAGGCACCAAAACACAGGAGCUAGGCAAACCCAACAUUUGACCAAAGACAAUGAUUCAGAGCUGAUGCAUAUAGGGCCAAACUCGCGACGCCGACACUCCCUAAGGUAUUCGGUCUUUGUGGUAUAAACCGGGCCUAAAUAAUGGCCUUUGUAAGAAGCCCCUUGUGUCCAGGUACGUGCAUUGUUCUGGUGUGGCCACAUGCCAAGACGCCAACAUCCUUCUCAACGGUGGAUAUGUAUCAACAAGAGACAGUAAAAAAGGUUUACGCAGGGUCUUAAUCUAAAAAGAAUCCUUGGAGCGGGUCCCUGCUGCACGUCUACGCCUAUGUCUCCGUUGUGCCAUAUCCUGGAUGGGUGUAGCAUGAUGAUCAUCUGUAUAAGAGAGGAAUUUAGGUGAAAAAGUUGUCGUGCAAAAAGAUAGUUUUUAAAGAAACCAUGUAUAAUUCAAGAUGAGAAAAAAAUUGCCACUUGUCUGCGCGUGUUGAGCCCCUUGUAUUGACAAAUAGGGGUGUGACCAUUUAUUCGGCAUAAAUAGCGUCGCCGGACUUGAUUAGUUGUGUCUGAGGUCUUGACGACCUAUUGGAUGCUUUCGCUGGUCCGGGCGCCUCUAGUGUGCGGCUGCCAAGGCAGCCGCACUCUCUUCGGCAUGCAGAGAUCACUUGAUAUUUCCGUUCACUGAAAUGAUGCCACGUGGACCGGGCAUCUUGAGUGUGAGGGAGGCAUAGUGUGGUAUUGUAUUAAAGCGAGCAAAAGCUUCGCGUCCGAGCAGUGCUUGAUAGCCACUUUGGAACGGAGCGAUGUGGAAGGUUAAAUGCUCGCGACGGAAGUUAUCGGGGGAGCCAAAUAUAACUUGUAGUAGGAGGGAGCCCGUACAACGAGCCCCUGGGCCUGGCGUUACUCCUUUAAAGGUAGUAUUGCUAUGGCGAAUUUUUGUUGGGUCUAACCCCAUCCCGCGGAUUGUAUCCUGAUAUAUUAGGUUUAGAUUGCUGCCAUCGUCCAUCAAGACUUGUGUGAAGUGAUAUCCGCCAAUUACUGGGUCUAAUACCAGGGUAGCCCAUCCUGCGCGUCGGAUACUUGCUGAGUAAUCGCGAUGGUCGAAAGUGAUCGGUUGAGACGACCAGUGGCCGGACUUCACGGUGACAGGCACUUGGGUAUAUUUUCCUGGGAGUGCCGCGUUGUUUUUUCCCUUGAUCAUGUGUAACACGUUUACUGUUUUGACCUCUGGUGGAAAUUUCUGUUGUUCCCCAGUGUCUUGCUUGGGAGGCUCGUCCUCGUCUUCACUUGGUGUAUCCUCCCCCUUGUGUACGACGUUGAGCUUGCCAGACUGCUUGAAGACCCAACAUUCUCUGUGGGUAUGAUUAGCAGGUUUACCAGGGGUACUAUGGAUCUAACAUACUUGGUCCAAAAUUUUGUUGAGGCUGGACAGUUCAUCCUUGGUGCCUUUAGAGGGCGGCUUUUGCUGACCUGGCCGAGAGAUUUUGGAUCCGGCGUUUACUGUCGUUCCCUUCGUGCUAUCUUCUUUAUUCCAGCGUUUGUUAUUGUUGUUGCGCCGUGAUUUCCCGUUUCCAUCUCUAACUUCAGAUGUACUGGGGUCGCUGGUGCUGCAUCUGGCUAGCCAGCUGUCCUCACCCGCGCAAAAGCGGGUCAUGAGGCUUGUCAACGCGGCCAUUGUUCUCGGCUUAUUUCGGCCGAGGUGUCUGGCGAGCCAUUCGUCACGGACGCUAUGCUUAAAGCUGCCAAGGCUUCGGCAUCCGGACAGUCGACAAUCUGGUUCUUUUUAGUAAGAAACCUGUUCCAAAGCUUUCGGGCUGACUCUCUGGGCUGUUGAGUUAUAUGACUCAAAUCGUCUGCAUCCGGAGGUCGGACAUAAGUCCGUUGAAAAUUUGCCCGAAAGGCGUCUUCGAGCUCUUCCCAACUUCCAAUGGAGCUUUCGAGGAGGCCUUUAAGCCAGUGACGAGCUGGCCCUUUGAGCUUGAGGGGUAAGUACUUGAUGGCAUGGAGAUCAUCUCCUCGAGCCAUAUGGAUAUGAAGGAUGUAGUCCUCAAUCCAGACCCCAGGGUCUGUUGUUCUGUCGUAUGACUCUAUGUUUACGGGUUUGAAUCGCUCUGGAAAUUCAUGGUCCAACACCUCAUCGGUGAAACAUAGGGGGUGUGCGGCACCCCUGUAGCUGGGUGUACCGCGUUGUUCGGAUGUUUGUUGUGUUGCAUUGUAUGCUGGGGCGCGCUUGCGUGGUCCAUAGAUGGAUCUUGUUGCGCCGUCCUUUGGGUGCGAGCCCUCGCAUGGCUCGCGUGUUGUAUUGUGAGUGGCGUUGUAUGCCGCUCUGUGUUGGUAGAGGGGUCGUCUAUCCGGCUAGGUGGUUGCUUUGAUAUUUGGUUGUGGGGGGUCUGAGGCCUCCUCAUCGAAUUCAGGUAGCAGCUUCCGCUUUGGGUAGCUCUUGGAGGGUGAUUGUCGCCGUACCUUGCUGCUGUGUUGAGUAUUUUAUUCCAUCUGAUUUGGAGUGUGUCUUGUGCAGCCUUGAGCCUUUGCUUCUGCAUUUUAAGACUUCUCGCGGUGGCAACAAGCCUUUUACGGGCAUUCUGCUGCUCCAGGUGCCUGUGCGGCGUUAUGUCGUCCGGACUAUUAUCCUUGAUAGAAUUUGUUUGUUCAGUUUGAUUAUCCGGAUUGCUGUUGUCCAGCAGCGGUUCGCCCUGCUCCAGCACUGGGUCUGUGUGAUCGUUAUUUCUGUCGAGGCGGGAUUUGGGGCGGUGCUUGCGUCGCUGCUUUGACUGCUUCUUGAGGGAACAAGCCUUCGGUGUGUCCUUCCGCUCCUCGUCGUCAUCUUUUGGUGCAUCCACCAUGUAUACGUCAUAUGAUGAGGUGGGCGUCCAGCGCCCUGUGGGCAGUGGUUCUUCUUCGCCUCCCGCAUCGUCGUCCAUACCAUCGAUAUUUUCAGAGUCGAAGUCGAGCAUGUCAGUUAAAUCAUCGACAGUGGCUACAAAGUGGGUGGUGGGUGGGCGUCGAAUUUCUUCGUCUUCCGCAUCCCAAUCCUGCUGGCCAUGAUCCGAGCAGGGCUCUCUUGACAAAGAGAGAGACUUUAGUGAUUUCAUAAUAUCGCCGAAGGGCGAGUGCUGAAAGAUGUCCGCGGCGGUAAACUCCAUGAUCGGCGCCCAAUCGGAUUCGAUCGGUGGGGGCGCGGAAGGUUCGGAUUCCGGGGAGGAGUCUGGCUCCUUGGAGUCAUGAGUCUCGUGGAGGGCGGGGCUGGUGUUCGGCUCGAUCGUCGUUGGGAUCGCAGCCCCCGAGGCGGCGUCCAACCACCCAUCCUCGAUUGGCGCAGUUGGCUCCGAAUUAAGGGUCGAAGCCGAUGCGGGUGCGGCCUCCAGGGCACUGUUCGGCAGCAGAGCUAGAUCAUGCCCGUCGUGAUAGUGCAACACGUUCGGCAGUGGCUCGACUCCGUCGAAGAUCAAGUCCCCGCGGAUGUCAGCCGUGUAGUUUAAACUUCCAAACCUGACCUAACGGCCAGGGGCGUAGCUUUCGACCUGCUCCAGAUGGCCAAGCAAAUUAGCCCGCAGUGCAAAGCCACCGAAGACAGAGAUCUGUCCGGGUAGAAAAGUUUCACCCUGGACCGCAUCACUAUCAAUGAUAGUAGGAGCCAUCAAACCUGAGGGCGACGACAUAGAGGAACUCUCAAUGAAAGCACCAAUGUCGGUGUCAAAACCGGUUGAUCUCGGGUAGGGGGUCCCGAACUGUGCGUCUAGGCUGGAUGGUAACAGGAGGCAAGGGACACGAAGUUUUACCCAAGUUCGGGCCCUCUUGAUGGAGGUAAAACCCUACGUCCUGCUUGAUUAAUAUUGAUGAUAUGGGUAGUACAAGAGUAGAUCUACCACGAGAUCGGAGAGGCUAAACCCUAGAAGUUAGCCUAUGGUAUGAUUGUUGUUCUGUAUGUUGUCCUACGGACUAAAACCCUCUGGUUUAUAUAGACACCGGAGAGGGUUAGGGUUACACAAAGUCGGUUACAAUGGUAGGAGAUCCACAUAUCCGUAUUGCCAAGCUUGCCUUCCACGCCAAGGAAAGUCCCUCUCGGACACGGGAAGAAGUCUUCAAUCUUUGUAUCUUCAUAGUCCAGGAGUCCGGCUGAAGGUAUAGUCCGGCCAUCCGGACACUGCCAAAUCCAGGACUCCCUCAGUAGCCCCUGAACCAGGCUUCAAUGACGACGAGUCCGGCGCGCAGAUUGUCUUCGGCAUUGCAAAGCGGGUUCCUCCUCCAAGUACUUCAUAGAAGAUUUUGAACACAAAGAUAGUGUCCGGAUCCGCAAAAUAAAUUUCCACACAUUGCCAUAGAGAGAAUAAUAUUUACACAAAUCUAAUCUGCUGACAUAUUCCAUAGUGUGACAUCGCACCACGGCCAAGCCUUUAUUCGAAUCGUUCUAUUACCCCACCUCAGCGUGUCAUGCGAGGCGGUUUCCUUGGCACGCCUUGUUAAAGCAGAGAUCGUGUCCCCUUAUUCCGGGAUUCUCAUCGAUACGGGCGUGGGUAACCCAACCGCUUCUAGGACUCCUAGACUAUAGGCAAGUCCAAACGACCACGGAGAGGACGCUUGAUAUUCACCCUCUUUAUAAAGGGACAAGGCUUUUAUUUCUUCCCUCCCGUGCUCAAUCGAAUCCUUCCCCCACUUCAAGCUCAAACACCCAAAGUUCAGGUCAGGUGCUCCGAACCUUCAAUCAUGUCCGGAUCUAGCCUUCAAGGCUGAUGGAUGCCUUCUUCCAUCAUGGAAGAAGACAUCAAAAAGUUGAGGGAGGCCAGAUAUCUGACCGCCGAGGUUUCGCAUCAGCUGCCUGCCCGAGGGCAGGCCAUCCCCUCCCCCGAACCCAACGAGAACGUCGUGUUCGUCUCCCACUUCCUCCGAGGUCUAGGCCUUGCUCUGGAUCCUUUCGUCAGGGGUUUGAUGUUUUAUUAUGGGCUAGAUUUCCAUGAUCUAGCUUCAGACUCCUUUCUUCAUAUCACGACAUUUAUUGUCGUGUGUGAGGCCUUCCUCCGGGUUACCCCUCACUUUGGCCUGUGGCUCAAGACCUUUGAAGUAAAGCCGAAGAUGAUCGAGGGGCAACAUGCAGCGUGCGGAGGUGCCUCAAUAUGCAAGAUGACGGGAGCUCCAUGGCCCAAAGGUUCCAUUCCAGAGGUGCCUGAAUUGUGGCAACAGGAGUGGUUCUACAUCACGGCUCCUAGAAGUGCCAAGUGGGUGUCCGCCCCUGUUUUCCGCUCGGGCCCUCCACCACAACUAAUGUCAUGGAUCAGCAGAGGUCUGAGCUGGGGUCCAGCCAAGGACGUGCCUAUACUGCAAAGCCGCAUUCGAGAUCUCUUCAAUGGAGAUUUUAGUUUGGUUGCGGUAAUACAAGUUAUGCUGGUUCGUCAAGUCCAGCCUUGCAAACGCCGGCCCCUUCACUUGUGGGAGUUCAAUCCCGAGGGACCGCGUGUCAUUCAAAAUUUCCUCGGCCUGACGCACGAGGAGAUGUACAAGUCAUUCUUCAGACCUCGGGUAGAGUGUCCGGAAAUCACCGAGGACGUGGGCCUGAGCAGUAACCGCGCCGCCGAACAGGUAAGGAAUCUUCCGGCCGAUCAUACUAUCUCUCAUUUGUUACGAAGUUAUUUCUGAGAGUUUGCUUUUUGACUAGGACUGGCUAACAAAGGUGAAGUUGAUUCGGUGUUCGGCCCCCCUCCCUGAGGGUUUGGACAAUCCGGUAUUGGAAAAGAUGCUCCAGGUCGCACCUUGCCCGGAGCCCUUGAAGGAAGAUACUGGGGAGGAUAAUACGGGCAGACACGGGCCCCCAACGCUGCCCAUUUUAACCGAGGGAGCGAGCGUCUCCAUGAAGGAAGACGACCGGAGGAGGAAAAGGACCGCGCCCGGGGAUUCGGAAGCUGAAGCUUCCAAACAGGAGAAGAAGUCUCCCACAGAGGGUCCUACCUUGGGGUGUGCUUUUGCCGCACAAAGUCCGCGGGGGAUCAAUUCUCCAGCGAGUCGUAAGUGACCCGAAAUACCUUAAUAGUACAGGUAUGCCAUCUUUUUCUUCUGAGAAAAUAACCACCGCAUAUAUCUUUGCAGUUCGGGCCUUAGCCCCUCUCAAAUGAACUCGUCUUCGGGGGAUCUUCUUCCAGAGAUGAUGGAGAGCGAAACGACUCCUCGGGACUCCUCCGCUCCGGAAGCGGGCGACCCCGAAGUGUCGUCGCGGAGGGCCUCUUCGAGUCCGGUGAGGCCAGAAGAUAAUCCCAUUGACCCCCGAAGCUCCCAGUGUCCGGCUCCCGAAGAGAGCAGACAAAAGAGUCCGGCACCAUCUGGUGUGCAAUCGGAUGUUCUGAGGGAGUUGGUGGGGCGAGCGGCCAUCUCAGAUGAACACCGUAUGCUGAUGAAUACAGUGAUGGCGAGAAUCUCGUCCGUCGAAAGCAGAUUGCAUGAAGCUUUUAUGAGUCUACUGACAGGCUUUGAGGUACGUAAAAUAAUGUAUGAUAGUCCUGCACAUGCUAGGUGUGCCCUGUGUAGAUAGUAGCCCCUGAGACUCUGGUUGUCGUCGGAAACGACGACGAACAGAGGAUCAUAUUCCCCGGUAAUAACCAUACUGCCUCUAUGUGCAGGUGCUGGAAGCUCCGGUGGCUAGCCGGACUAGCGAGUUUGCCCAUUUAAAACGGCACUUGGAUGCGGCAGACGCCGACAUCGAGCUUGUUAACAAAAGGCUUGACGAGGCACAGGGUAGGUGUCAUUAUCUGGUAAACGCCACAUAGUAAGAGCAGCAUGAUGCCAGUAUCUUUAAUAUGUUGUGACUGCAGAUGGAGCUGCCACUGUUGAAGCCUUGCGGGCAGAACUUGCCCGAGCCAAGGAACAAGCGAGGUUUGGUAAUGCGGCUGCUUUGAAGGUGGCCGAAGAGUUGAAAGCCGAGAAGGCCGCGCAUCGCGAGAGCCGAGAUAAGAUGGCCAAGAUGGCCAUAGAAUUAAAAGCCGCCGCCGACCGUUGUCGGGUUCUUGAAAAGGAAAACCUAGCGAGGGCAUCAGACCUUGAGAAGGCUGCUGCGACGAGAAAAGACAUCCGCUCUGCUAUGAGGGCGAAGAAGGAGGAGCUGCGGGAAGCCGGGGAUAUUGUAGCUGGGAAAUCCUUUAUGUUGCAGAGGAAGUUCGGAGAUCCACGGUAUGCCCCUCUGGAUCGGCUGUGGAGUUCGGAGGAUGUGUAUAUGGAUUUGGCGGCGAGCGCUGUCGAUGCGGCCAAGUACUUCCAGAGUCAGACGAAUCGUGAAGUGGACCAGCUGUUUUGGACACAAUUCCAUUCUCCCAAGCGUCCGCUUUCAUUGACUGACCAAUUAGCCGAAUGGGCCGAACUGAAUAGGUUGUCCGGACUUGCCAUGAGGUCUGUUGUGGAUUAGCUAUGGCCGAAAAGGCCAAAACCGAACAGCUAUUUCAGCUUGGUGCAGCAGUUCCUUGACGUGGUGCCGCGCAUUAAUGCGAUGAAGAGGUCGGCAUGCAUAGAGGGCUCACGGAUGGCCUUUGCCCGUGUUAAAGCAUACUGGGCGGAGAUGGAUGCUACCGCUGUUGCAGCGCGGGAUUCGGCCAUAGGCCGAAUGGCUGCUGAGCACUACUUUGAAGAAGUUCUUGAGGGUGCGCGGGAUUCGGAGGAUCAAAAAUAGUUAUCCAGGGAAUAAUCUAACUGUUUGGAACAUAGGCUAUUACCUCCCCUACAACUGCCCGAUCCGCGGAGGUUGCGGAUCUGCAGCGGAAGAUUGAUGAGGUGGGUGAUGACAUCACGCUGAUCAAUAGGCGUCUUGACGAGGCGCAAGGUAUGUUUUCGGGUCAGCCAGUAUAUUUAUGCAUGAUAAUCUGAGCAUGAAGUUGGAAUUGUAUACCGAGACAUGCAUCACUACAGACGGUGCUGCUGCGGUGGAGGCCCUUCGUGCUUAGCUUUUCCUUGCCAAGGAAUGAACCCAGAUGAGUAAUUUGGCUGCCCAUAAGGCGGCUGAAGAGUUAAAAACCGAACAGGCUGUUCGGCGCCUAUGUGAGGAAAGAAUUACUACCAUUGCGCGCAAGCUGGAGGAGGCCACCAUCCAGUGCGAAUUCCUUGAGAAGGAUAACAAGGCCAAAGCGGCCGAUCUCGACAAGGCCUUACAAGAGGCGAAACAAGCGAGGCCUGAGUCUAGAGCGGCUCUGGAAGAGAUCCGGCAAGCUGGGGAGAUAGUGGCUGGUAAGCCUUUCUUGUUACAGACGAAGUUCGAAGAUCCGAAGUAUUCCCCGCUUAACCAAAUGUGGAGUUCUCCGGACACCUUUUUGGACCUACCGAAGAGUGCCUCCGAUGCGUCGUAGUUUUACCAAGUGCAGGAAGGGUGUGCCACAGAGAAGCUUUUUUGGUCACAGUUCGGCGCGCCAAAGCGUCAGUUGUUACUAAAUGAACAGAUGGCCCAGUGGGCCGAGCUCCAUAGGAUAUUUGGUUCCGCCAUGAAGGACAUCAUAGUCCAGCUAUGGCCUACUGAGCCCAUUCCGAAUAGUUACUUCGGUUUGGUGCAGCGGCUUGUGGAUGCGGUGCCGCGUAUCGACGUCAUUAAGCGUUCAACGUGCAUUGAAGGUGCACGGAUGGCCUUUGCCCAUGUCAAAACAUACUGGGCCAAGAUGAAGGCCACUGACAUUGCAGUGAGGAGUCCCCCCAAGGGUAAGGAUCAUCACGCACCCGAACAUUAUUUUGAGGAUGUCUUAAAGGGUGCCCGCUUGAUAGAGGGCCAGUGCUCGAAAGAUAUGAUAUUUGAAUGAAAUGUAUUGAAUUGUAAAAGAUAGUAUGAUGAUAAUAUUAUGAUUUUUGCUUAAAAGUUUUUGGUUCCUCCUGUGCGACCGUUGUUUGCAUAAUCUGAAAGUUUUCUAGUCGUCGGCUUCAGCCCCCACAUAGAAAAUACAGGGGUGUUCGGAAAAGCAUUUGAUCACUCUUAACCCAAUGUCUUGGUCCAUGAAUGGAGGUGUCAAUGCAGUGAACGAGGCAACCGGACUAUAGGGCGUUAACACUUUCACUUGGCCAUAGGAGUUUUAUGGUGGGUCUAUGAUAUAAACCCUGGUAUGUACGCUGUUAUCCCAAUGUGGUGCGUUCACAUGUAUGACUUAAAGAAAGGUCCUUCGUGUAAUACGGAGGGAAUCACGAAAGAUUCUGAUAAGUUGUCGAGUGGUUGACCAACUCUCGCGGCAUCAUGACAGUCAGUUUUCGGCUUUCUCUACUGAGGUGCUCGCCUGGGUAAACUAGAGCACAAUCGCAGUAGUUCUCCCUUUACUACCUUAGCCGAUAGAGCAGAAUGUAAGGUAGCAAGCACAAGAGCCGGGCAACCCAACUAUUGACCCAAGACAUGAUUCAGAGCUGAUGCAUAUAAGGCCAAACUCGCGACGCCGAAGUAUGCUAUAAAGCUGUUCGGACUUGUUGGCAAUUUAGCUUGUUCCCAUAUCGAGCCCCUGGCGGGGCAUGUGAAAUAACACAAGGAGCAAAAUACAAUUUUUUAGAGGAAAGUGAAUAAUUAUAUUCACUAGAACUUGAGUGACAAGCCAAUCAUUGUUUUGUAUAUAAUAACGCCACCACCCUGGCUAUUUGACAUGCCAAGUGUCGAUGGCUGAGGUAGAAGGCACUUUACAGGCUCGCAAAAUAGAGAGUACGGUCUAAAAAAGUUGUUUUGGACCUCCUUUCGCACGUCUGCGCCGCCUUUCCUUGAUGAAGGGGCUCCUUAAGGGGAGUAACUUUUGGAUGAAUGUACAAACCGGAACUCCGAUGGAGUCGGUGAGAUGACCAGCCUAUGAGUCACCUAUGAUAAAACGAUAAUGAAAAAAGAAAAAGUCAUCAAAAAAGAAUUGAAAAGAAGGGGGUUAUAGAAGUACUUGUAGGCCUGUCCGUAUUAUGCCUCCGCCGACGCCCAUGGUAUUUUAAGUGCAUAGUUAUGUACGCCCAGUAUAGAUUUCGCAGGUGUAUGAGGUGGACGGCGGAGGCCGAACUGCUAGUCCAGCUCCAUAAUUUGUCGGUCCUGCCGAAUGGGGACCGACGACUUUAUGGCCGACAAGGUACAUGGUUUAAUAAGGCCGACUUGUACUCCGGCUGGAGGGAACGUAGUAUGGUCCUCAGUCCGGAGGGAGUAUGUCUCGUGCUCCUCUGUAGGGGCGUGUGUCAAGUAUACCAUGUUCACCGUUUUUACCUCGGGGGGAAAUUGCUUCUGACCCCCGGUAUUUGGUUGGUGAAUCUCUUCGUCAUUGCUAUCACUGGGCGGUCUUUUCCCUUAUGUUCGGUGUUGAGCCUGCUAGCCUGCUUGAAGACCCAACAACUUCUGUUGGUGUGAUUGGCUGGCUUAUCGGGAUUGCCAUGAAUCUGGCAGGGUCGAUCCAAUAUCUUGUGUAAGGUGGAUGACUCGUCUCUGUUUGCCUUGAAUGGCUUUUUCCGUUGACCGGAUUUGGGGCCACUGAAUCCGGCGUUGACCGCUGUAUCGCGCAUUCUCUCAUUAUCAUUGCGACGUUUGAGUUUGCUACGUCGUGGUUUGCCAUUGCUGUCUCGGACUUCGGAAGUGCCCGGAUUGCUGGCACUGUUACUUCUACGAGCGAGCCAGCUGUCUUCUCCAGCGCAAAAGCAAGUCAUCAGAGCAGUAAGGGCUGACAUGGAUUUUUGGUUUUUCUUGACCGAUGUGGCGGGCGAGCCAGUCGUCCCGGACGCUGUGUUUGAAGGCCGCUAGGGCUUCCGCGUCUGGAUAGUCGACGAUUUGGUUCUUUUUAACUAAGAACCUAGUCCAGAGCUUCCUGGCUGACUCUACGGGCUGUUGAACUAUAUGGCUUAAGUCAUCGGCGUCUGGUGGCCGGACAUAUGUACCUUGGAAGUUGUCGCGGAAGGCGUCUUCCAAAUCCUCCCAGCUGCCAAUAGAGUCUUCGGGCAGACUGUUUAACCAGUGCCGAGCUGGACCAUUGAGUUUAACGGGAGGUAUUUGAUGGCAUGAAGGUCAUCUCCACGGGCCAUGUGGAUAUGGAGAAGGAAAUCCUUGAUCCAUACCACGGGAUUAGUUGUUCCAUCAUAUGAUUCGAUAUUCACGGGUUUAAACCCUUCGGGGAAUUCGUGCUCCAUUACUUCGUUUGUGAAGCAAAGAGGGUGUGCGGCGCCUCUAUAUUGGGCCACAUUGCGACGUAGCUCUGAUGGAGUCCGUCUGCGGUUUUCGGCCCAGGUGUGACUAGGCUUGUCACGUCCGAAUAGAUAGCCGUUGUCAUGUGUCGGGGCACAUCCUCGCGAUCCGUAGACUGAUCUGGUAUGUCCUGCUCUAUUGUCCAGGUCUUGCUAAAGGUCAUAUGUGUGACCACGAGCUGUGUUGUCUCUGCCUUUAUGGUGAGGAGGGGCGGGAUGGUGUUCGGCUUGAGUUGCCGCUUUGUCCCGACCACGUGGUGGUCGGUUAGCCGCAUUGCGCGGUGAUGGUAUGGGCUCCGGUGCCUCGUCAUCGAACUGAGGUAGCAAUUUGUGCUUUGGGUAAAUUUUGACUGGGCGCUUGAGGCCGUGUUCUUCGGCUGCUAGGACAUUAGUCCAUCUAUCGUUGAGCAGAUCUUGGUCAGCUUGAAGCUGCUGUUGCUUCUUUUUCAGGGUCCUUGCAAUGGCUAUUAGCCGGUGCUUAAAGUGCUCCUGCUCCUGAGGUUCCUCAGGCAUGAUAAAAUCCUCGUUGCCAAGACUCACCUCAUCCUCGGAGAGUGGAAGAUAAUUACUGUCCUCCAGGUCGUUGUUUAUGGCAUGUUCGUCAGGGCUAACUUGCCCGUUUUCGCGAUCGUCCUGUUCGGAAGUUCGUUCGUCGGGAUCUUCUCUGUCUUCGGCACCGUCCGGAGUGUUGUCCUCUCCUGUGUCCGUAUCGCUGUUUAUUCCAUGACUUGACUUAGAGCGGUGCUGCUGACGCCGGCGUUUUGGUUGUAUCACAGGAGGUUUGUCCUCAACUAGAUCUGCCUUCUCAUUGUCAUUAGUUCUCUUAGGUGUAUCCACCAUGUAUACGUCGUAGGAAGAGGUGGCUGUCCAGGGUUCGGUAAACGGUGGGUCUUGGACCGGUUCCUCAUUGGCAUCAUCCUCUAUACUGUCGAUGUCUUCGGAGCCGUAGUCGAGCGUGUCGGUUAAGUCUUCGACAGUGUGUAUGAAGUGGGCGAUGUGCGGGAAGAAAAAUUCUCUGUUAUCAAUCUCUAGUUCGAACCGGAUAGAGUUCGGAUGUGAGCCCCCCGCUAAAGAUAGUGCUCUUAACGAGUUUAGCACGUCGCCCAGAGGCGAAUGCCGGAAGAUGUCCGCGGCACUGAAUUCGGUGAUCGAUGAACGAUCGUGCUUGAUAGGCGUGGACGUGCAUAGUUCGGAACUUGUAGCCGGAGACGGGUCCGUAGUUCUGGUGACAUAGAUGUCACUUGAAGUUAAGUCUAUGUGCGGCUCCAACGCCGCUGAGACCACGGCUUCCGCGGCGGGGUUGAGCGUCCCGUCUUCGGAUGGCGCGAUUUGCUAUGGAUCUAUGGCUGGAGCAGCUACAUGUACUAUCUCCUGCGUGUGGACCGAUGACAGAUUUAGGUCAUGUUCAUCGUGGUGGCAGAGAGCGACUGCCGUGGUCUCGAAUCCGUCGUAGAUCAAGUCUCCACGGAUAUCUGCGACGUAGUUCAAGUUUCCAAAUCUGACCUGGUGGCCAGGUGUAACAUCCCAAAAUUCUAAAUUUUGGAAUGUUAUAUUAAUUAAAUAAAUUUUAUUGUUUGUUUGAUUGAUUGACUGAAAAUGAGUGGAAUUUGAAACAAACAAAAAAUCGAAUGAGAGGGAAUAAAAGGACUUUCCCAAUUUUUUUUCUAUUUGAAUCCCUAUUUGAUUUUUAGUUUGAAUCUUGUAAAAAUUCACUGAUAAAAAAUAAUAUGAGAGGAGGAAAAUGACACUCCAAAAGAUCAAAGACAAUGUUUGGAUUGAGAUUCAAAUUUGAAAAAAAACAUUUGCAAAUUAUUUGAAACUCAAUUCUAUUUUGGAGUUAUUUAUAAAACAAAUGUUUUUUAGUAUUUUAUUUGGCCGCCUAGAUAUGUUCAUGUUUUAGAAAAUCUUUUUCUGAAAAUUUUGGUAUAUAAUAUGCCUAUAUAACAUAUUUUGUUUUUCUUCAGUUUAUUGGUUUUCCUCGCUGUUAAAAGGCUGAAAAUGUUUUUUUAUACGACCGGCCCGAUCAGCAGGCCAAGGCCCAGCCCAACGCUGGCGCUAGCGCUAGCGCACCCGUGCAUGUACGCUCGAACUGCCUCCAGCGCUGCGGCCACCUCUCCCUCACGUGCGCCCUCUCUCCCUUUCCAUGGCGCUGGACCCCACCCGCCAUCUUCUCCCGUCGCACGAAACAUGAGGAUCCCAGCUCGGGCACGGUUGCCAUGCCGCACGCGCAAACGACGGAAACCCUAUCUAUGGCUUGCCCUCUGCCUCAAGAACAUGUCCUAUAAAUACCCAGCCACCUCCUCGUCCCACGCCCCCAAAACGCCACGCCGAAACCACUUCUACCGCACGUGAUCUUCAUUUGGAUCUCGCUGGAGCCGAGACGGUUCACCGUAGUUCCCGAUGUCGGUGAGCAACCCCGAACCACCAAAUCUUGUCCAACAUACUUCUCUCGUCUUUGUGCAUCUCCUUGACAUCGUUUCCUCAUCUAGGGAGCACCGGAGCCUCGCCAUGGACCUCGCCCGACAUUGCCGGAGCACUGAGUUCAUCUCGACGCUCCGCUCAUGUCCGUCAUCCCCGACCUUCACCUUCAACUAAAAAUCGGACCCCCUCGGAGUCCUCCACCCGCUGGACAUCGCCGCCUCCACCGCGAGCCGCCGGAGCAAUCGCCCUUGCCGGCGCUCUUCUUCUCUCCCAUCGACACCCUCUCUGUAAGCAACGAGUGCCUCCCUUCAUUUGUUUUUUGGAAACAUUAAGUGCAAAAAAAAUAUUAGAUCGGUUUAGUAGAUCGGUUUUCCUUAUAGAUCGGUUCCUCGAUUUAGAUCGAACCGGCUCCCCGGUCUUCUGUUAAAUAAACGCACGUGUACGUAUUUAUAAGUUUCGCCCGAGUGUUUGGUAGCUACAGAUCGCACCCCCCUAGGCCCGAUAGCGCCCGUUUUUUUCUUCUGUAUUUCCGUUUCUGUUUUUAAAACAGAAAAGUUUCAGUUUCGUAAAUUCUAUAUCUCUUAGGUUAUUUGGAGUUUUUGAUUGAUUCUUUUUGCUCUAGUCUGAAAAUUUCUUAAUGUUUCUGUAUAAAAUAAUUUCGGCCAUGUUUGUAGUUUUAAAAAUUGUUUUAUUUGGGUUUUAGUCAGAUUAGUAUUUCUGCUAUAAAAUGAGCUAGAAUUAAUAAUUUUUGGCGAUUCAUUUUGCCACUGCUUUGUUUUGACCUUGCCUAACAGUAGGAUUAAUUUGGGUAUUUAUAGAUUUUUUUAAAAUUUGUUUUUCACGAAAACAACACAGUGCUGGUUAUUUUUAACUUGCUGCUGUUUUCUGUUGUUUUAAUUAUUUUUAAAACUUAUUUUAACCUCUGUUAUAUUUUAUUUCAGAUUUGUUUCUGUAGUUAUAGAGGGUGAAAUUUUAUUUACAAAAAAAUAUAAUGUUUAUUUCUUUUUCUUGUUUUGUUUUAAUCGUAACUAGAGUUUUUUAAAAAAUAGUUUUUAGGUGUUUCUUUUUGCUAAUAAAAGUUUAUGAAAAAUACCUUCUAUUAACUUAAUUGUUUUUCUUUGUAUUUUAUGUUAAUUUAUUAUUUUAUUGUUUUAAUUGUUGUUAAGUUUUUACUUAGGACAAAACUGUUUUGUGAUAUGUCUUAGAGUUUUCUUUAGUAGUUUCACUGUGUAGUUUUCCUUUGUUCUUAUUUGGUGUCCCUUGUUGUUUUGCAAUUUAUUUGUUGGUUUAAUAUGAGUGUUAGAAUUGCUUGCUAGUAUGUUUGCUUAUAUGAAUGAUAUGUUUGAAUACAUAGAUUUUCAAUGGAGUGAAGAAUAGUUCUACUAAGUCAUUAUUCUGAGAGCGUUGUUAUCUUCAUCAAGUAAUACGAGGCAAGUUCACUUUGACCAUGUUUUCCAUACCUAUGUUUAUUUGCAUGUAGUAGCGCCCUUUCAACAACCCCUCCAGUAAUGUUAUUGAAUCUUGUAGAUGAGUAGAAUGCAUGAGGUAGAAAACCAUCUCCCUGUUACCAAACCUGGGACGUUACAUAGUUUUAAUGCUACGCUAUAGUAGACGGGGUUUGGUAUGAGUGCAUGAGAGUGGUGUGAAGAAGGACUCUACGUCAAUGGCGACAACUUCAUGAUGGCACCGACAAGGACUGCAUCUUCAGGAUUUCGAGACUCGAGACAAGAAUUCAAUACACACUACUGGGUGAAGGACGGUUGACGGGCACCCUGGAGAAACCAGUGGUUGGCCGGGAUGCAUGGAGAAGCGCCAUGACAUCUUGCGGAAAGCUUCACCCAGACUCAAAGAGACGGAAGGAUACUUCAUCCCCGGAAGCUUACUUGUGCAACCGCAAGUCACUAUGGGCUCUGGCUUGGUUGACCUUAGUGGUGACUCUGGCUGGGACGGUGCUAGCAGAUGUAGAACUACGGUAGGAUUGGAUGAGCACCGGACAGUGGUCAGAGGAACUCUUUGGAAGACCAUGUUUCGGUCAUCUUGUUCUCAAACACCCUGAAGUGCGAGAAUGUAAAGAGAGGGAUCGAAUCUUGCGGGUAAAGUGUACAAACCUUUGCAGAGGGUUAAAACCUAAUCGAUUAGCCGUGUCCCCGGUUACAGACAAUUUGAGCCUCUAGACUUGGAUCUAUCUCGGAACUCUCAACACCGGACUGAUAACAUAAUUGUGGGCAACUUAUGAUGAUUUGGGUAUGAGACAUCGGUUGGCGGAACCAUGUCAUGACAGAAAAAUCCGUAGUACAGACUCCUGAUAUUCCUUUGUUGUAGGGAAAAUAAAACCAGCUUUUACGCAAAAACAUCAGACACAUAGCCACAAGGCCAUAUUGCAUAUAGAAUAGUUUUAUCAUCUGCUUUCUCAUAUUGUGAUCUUGCCGGAACAUUCAAUGUACUGACCUACACGGCUGCAACAUCUCAUGUUGCAGAUAUGUUCCUUCCGACGAGUAAGAGUACGGUAGAGGGUUACAGUCUACACUCAACCUGCCGAUGGCGUUGAUGGGACUCCACACCCGAUUGUUUGUUUCCGCCGAGACCUAUGAGGUAUAUAUCAGUUUUACAUUAUUUAUACAUGUGAUUGCACUUUGAUAUAUACAUUGAUGUACUAUGUGUGCCAGCAUACCGAUCCAGGGAUGGCACAGAUACACAGAGGCUUGACCGUCUGAGGUCGGGUUGCUACACCAGGGGCGUAGAUUUCGAUCUGCUCCAUAUGGCCAAGCGAGUUGGCCCACAGUGCGAAGCCGCCGAACAUGAAGAUCUGUCCGGGGAGGAAGAGUUCUCGUUGGACAGCAUCGUUGUAGAUGAUUGAAGGAGCCAUCAAACCUUUUGAGGACGACAUAGUGGAACUCUCAAUGAAAGCACCAAUGUCGGUGUCAAAACCGGCGGAUCUCGGGUAAGGGGUCCCGAACUGUGCGUCUAGGAUUGAUGGUAACAGGAGAGGGGAGACAUAAUGUUUACCCAGGUUCGGGCCCUCUCUAUGGAGGUAAUACCCUACUUCCUGCUUGAUUAAUCUUGAUGAAUAUGAGUAUUACAAGAGUUGAUCUACCACGAGAUCAUAAUGGCUAAACCCUAAAAGUCUAGCCUAGCUAUGAUUAUGAGGAUCUAUCUACGGACCUAGCCCUUUGGUUUAUAUAGACACAGGAGGGAUCUAGGGUUACACAAGGUCGGUUAGAAAGAAAGGAAUCUUCAUAGUUGAUCGCCAAGCUUGCCUUCCACGCCAAGGAGAGUCCUAUAUGUACACGGGUAGAGUCUUCGGUCUUUGUAUCUUUACGGUCCAUCAGUCCGGCCCAUAUCCAAUAGAUCGGAAACCUGAGGACCCCUUAGUCCAGGACUCCCUCAGCAACAUCUGCUUCCCUCUGCGAAGGGCCUAUCUUUUCUUUUAUGCAAAGGGUCAAAGUUUUUCUCUCUAUUACUUUUAUUUUUCUCCUUUGGCAAGCCCCUAUCUUUCUAUGUGUCCGGUUGAAACGUUUUGCUCAUGGGUACGAGGUGAGUGUUAGCAAUCAUUGAAGACUAUAUGAUGGUUGAGUAUGUGGACUUGCCUAAAGGCUUCGACACGCGACCCUUCCUGAAAAGAUGAUGAAUUGUAGUUGCAAAGUUGACUGAUAACAUAGUUUGUCGGUUUCUAAUAGAGUUUUGCUUUAUACUUUGAUUGUGUGAUGAACUAUUACUUAUGCAUGAGAAGUAUAUGAUAAAAGUUCUAUGAUAAAAGUCCUAUGUUUAAUGUUGUUGCUGUUAUAAUAAUCAACAUGAUGCUUCUAUGUCCGUAUUUUGUUUUUAUCGACACCUCUCUCUCAAAGCAUGUGGACAUGUUUUUCAAUUUAGGUUUUCGCUUGAGGACAAGCGAGGUCUAAGCAUGGGGGAGUUGAUACGUCCAUUUUGCAUCAUGUUUUCUUACUGUUAUUUAUAAUGUCUUUAUCCAUAAUAAUGCUUUUUGGAGUAAUUCUAAUGCCUUUUCUCUCAUAAUUUGCAAGGAACACACCAAGAGGGAGAAUUCCGGCAGCAAGAAAUCUGGACCUGGAAAAUCUACGCCAGGCCACCUAUUCUGCACAACUCCAAAUGAGCUGAAAGUUCAGGAGAUUUUUUAUGGAUUAUUUAAGAAAUACUGGAGCCAAUAAACACCAGAGGGGGGCCACCAGGUGGGCACAACCCACCUGGGCGCGCCCUGGUGGGUUGUGGCCUCCUCGUCCCACCUCCGGUGCCAAUCUUCUGGUAUACAAGUCAUUUUGACCUAGAAAAAAUAAGGAGAGGACUUUCGGGAUGAAGCGCCGCUACCUCGAGGCAGAACUUGGGCUGGAGCACUUUUGCCCUCCGGCGGAGUGAUUUCGCCGGGGGAACUUCCCUCCCGAAAGGGGAAAUCUCGUCAUCAUCUUCACCAACAACUCUCCCAUCUUGGGGAGGGCAAUCUCCAUCAACAUCUUCAGCAACACCAUUUCCUCUCAAACCCUAGUUCGUCUCUUGUGUUCAAUCUUGUUACCAGAACUAUAGAUUGGUGCUUGUGGGUGACUAGUAGUGUUGAUUACAUCUUGUAGUUGAUUACUAUAUGGUUUAUUUGGUGGAGGAUUAUAUGUUCAGAUCCAUUAUGCUAUUUAAUACUCCUCUGAUCAUGAACAUGUUUAUCAUUUGUGAGUAGUUACUUUUGUUCUUGAGGUUACAGGAGAAAUCAUGUUGCAAGUAAUCAUGUGAACUUGAUAUGUGUUUGAUAUUUUGAUAGUAUGUAUGUUGUUAUUCCCUUAGUGGUGUCAUGUGAACGUCGACUACAUGACACUUCACCAUAUUUGGGACUAAGAUAAUGCAUUGUGGAGUAGCAAUUAGAUGGUGGGUUGCGAGAGUGACAGAAGCUUAAACCCUAGUUUAUGCGCUAUUUUGUAAGGGACCGAUUGGAUUCAAAAGUUUAAUGCUAUGGUUAGAAUUUAUUCUUAAUACUUUUCUCGUAGUUGCGGAUGCUUGCGGGAGGGUUAAUCAUAAGUAAGAGGUCUAUUCAAGUAAGAACAUCACCUAAGCACCAGUCCACCCACAUAUCAAAUUAUGAAAGUAGCGAACACAAAUCAAACCAAAAUGAUGGAAGUGACUAGAUAUUCUCAUGUACCCUCAAGAAAGCUUUGCUUAUCAUAAGAGACCAUUUUGGCCUGUCAUUUUCCUCAAAAGGAUUGGGCUACCUUGCUGCACUUUUGUUACUAUUAUCGUUACUUGCUCGUUACAAAUUAUCUUGCUAUCAAACUACUCUGCUACUUACAAAUUCAGCACUUGCAGACAAUACCUUACCGGAAACUACUUGUCAUUUCCUUCUGCUCCUCGUUCGGUUCGACACUCUUACUUAUUGAAAAGAGGUACGAUUGAUCCCCUAUACUUGUGGGUCAUCAAUGUGAUCCGCAGAGGGCUUUGCCUAAGCAGUACGUGAAUAUGACGGAGGAGUAAACCGUGGAGGGAGACGCCGCACACGGCUUGGAACAAUUGGUGUGUCUCCAAUGGGUGCCCUGCCCACGUAUAUAGAGGAGGGAGAGGGAGGGGGCCGACCAGGGGGCGCGCCAUAGGGGGGGGGGACUGACUAGGACUCCCAAUCCUAGUCGCCCCCCUUUCCUUUCUUUCAGAGGGGGGAAAGGGAAGGAGAAGGAGAGGGAGAGAAGGCCGCGACCCUCCCCUUUGUCCAAUUCGGACUCCCUUGGGGGGGGGCACCCCUUGCGGGAUCCCCUCNNNNNNNNNNNNNNNNNNNNNNNNNNNNNNNNNNNNNNNNNNNNNNNNNNNNNNNNNNNNNNNNNNNNNNNNNNNNNNNNNNNNNNNNNNNNNNNNNNNNNNNNNNNNNNNNNNNNNNNNNNNNNNNNNNNNNNNNNNNNNNNNNNNNNNNNNNNNNNNNNNNNNNNNNNNNNNNNNNNNNNNNNNNNNNNNNNNNNNNNNNNNNNNNNNNNNNNNNNNNNNNNNNNNNNNNNNNNNNNNNNNNNNNNNNNNNNNNNNNNNNNNNNNNNNNNNNNNNNNNNNNNNNNNNNNNCCUCCCGGUACUCCGAAAAAUACCCGAACCAUUUCGAAACCAUUUCGGUGUCCGAAUACCAUCGUCCAAUAUAUCAAUCUUUACCUCUCGACCAUUUAGAGACUCCUCAUCAUGUCCGUGAUCUCAUCCGGGACUCCGAACAAUCUUCGGUCACCAAAACACAUGACUCAUAAUACAAAUCGUCAUCGAACGUUAAGCGUGCAGACCCUACGGGUUCGAGAUGGCCGAGACAUAUCUUCGGUCAAUAACCAACAGUGGAACCAGGAUGCUCAUAUUGGUUCCUACAUAUUCUACGAAGAUCUUUACCGGUCAAACCGCAAUGACAACAUACGUUAUUCACGUUGUCAUCGGUAUGUUACUUGCCCGAGAUUCGAUCGUCGGUAUCCUCAUACCUAGUUCAAGCUCGUUACCAGCAAGUCUCUUUACUUGUUCCGUAAUGCAUCAUCCCACAACUAACUCAUUAGUCACAUUUAUUGCAAGGCUUAUUGUGAUGUGCAUUACCGAGAGGGCCCAGAGAUACCUCUCUGAUACUCGGAGUGACAAAUCCUAAUCUUGAUCUAUGCCAACCCAACAAACACCUUCGGAGACACCUGUAGAGCAUCUUUAUAAUCACCCAGUUAUGUUGUGAUGUUUGAUAGCACAUAAGGUGUUCCUCCGUUAUUCGGGAGUUGCAUAAUCUCAUAGUCAAAGGAAUAUGUAUAAGUCGUGAAGAAAGCAAUAGCAAUAAAACUUAACGAUCAUUAUGCUAAGCUAACAGAUGGGUCUUGUUCAUCACAUCAUUCUCCUAAUGAUAUGAUUCCAUUCAUAAAAUGACAACACAUGUCUAUGGUCAGGAAACUUAACCAUCUUUGAUUAACAAGCUAGUCAAGUAGAGGCAUACUAGGGACACUUUGUUUUGUCUAUGUAUUCACACAUGUAUCACGUUUCUGGUUAAUACAAUUCUAGCAUGAAUAAUAAACAUUUAUCAUGAUAUAAGGAAAUAUAAAUAACACUUUAUUAUUGCCUCUAGGGUAUAUUUCCUUCAGUCUCUCACUUGCACUAGAAUUAAUAAUCUAGAUUACAUAGUAAUGAUUCUAACACCCAUGGAGUCUUGGCGAUGAUCAUGUUUUGCUCGUGGAAGAGGCUUAGUCAACGGGUUUGCAACAUUCGAUUCUGUGUGUAUUUUGCAAAUCUCUAUGUCUCCCUCCUUGAAUUGAUCGCGGAUGGAGUUGAAGAGUCUCUUGAUGUGUUUGGUUCUCCUGUGAAAUCUGGAUUCCUUCACUAAGGCAAUUGCUCCAGUAUUGUCACAAAAUAUUUUCAUUGGACCCGAUGCACUAGGUAUUACACCUAGAUCGGAUAUGAACUUCUUCAUCUAGACUCCUUCAUUUGCUGCUUCCGAAGCAGCUAUGUACUCCCUUCACACGUAGAUCCCGCCACGACGCUCUGCUUGGAACUGCACCAACUGGCAGCUCCACCAUUCAAUAUAAAUACGUAUCCGGUUUGUGACUUAGAGUCAUCCGGAUCAGUGUCAAAGCUAGCAUCGACGUAACCAUUUACGACAAGCUCUUUUCCACCUCCAUAAAUGAGAAACAUAUCCUUAGUCCUUUUCAGAUAUUUUAGGAUGUUCUUGACCGUUGUGCAGUGAUCCACUCCUGGAUUACUUUGGUACCUCCCUGCUAAACUUAUAGAAAAGCACACAUCAGGUCUGGUACACAACAUUGCAUACAUGAUAGAACCUAUGGCUGAAGCAUAGGGAAUGACUUUCAUUUUCUCUCUAUCUUCUACAGUGAUCGGGCAUUGAGUCUGACUCAACUUCACACCUUGUAACAUAGGCAACAACCCUUUCUUUGACUGAUCCAUUUUGAACUUCUUCAAAACUUUAUCAAGGUAUGUGCUUUGUGAAAGUCCAAUUAAGCGUCUUGAUCUAUCUCUAUAGAUCUUGAUGCCCAAUAUAUAAGCAGCUUCAUCGAGGUCUUUCAUUGAAAAAUUCUUAUUCAAGUAGCCUUUAUGCUAUCUAGAAAUUCUGUGUUAUUUCCAAUCAACAAUAUGUCAUCCACAUAUAAUAUUAGAAAUUCUACAGAGCUCCCACUCACUUUCUUGUAAAUACGGGCUUCUUCAAAAGUAUGUAUAAAACCAUAUGCUUUGAUCACACUAUCAAAGCGUAUAUUCCAACUCCGAGAGGCUUGCACCAGUCCAUAAAUGGAUCACUGGAGCUUGCACACUUUGUUAGCACCUUUAGGAUCGACAAAACCUUCUGGUUGCAUCAUAUACAACUCUUCUUUAAAAUGCGGCUUUGACGUCCAUUUGACGUCCAUUUGCCAAAUUUCAUAAUCAUAAAAUGCGGCAAUUGCUAACAUGAUUCAGACAGACUUAAGCAUCACUACGGAUGAGAAGGUCUUGAUAUGUCUCCAACGUAUCUACUAUUUCUCAUGCUUUUCAUCAUGUUUUGGACUCUAAUUUGCAUGAUUUGAAUGAAACUAACCCCAGACUGUCGUUGUUUUCAGCAGAACUACCAUGGUGUUGUUUUUGUGCAGAAAUAAAAGUUCUCGGAAUGGAACGAAACUUUGCAAGGAUUUUUUAUAUCAAUAAUAAGAAUUUCUGGAGCCAAGACCUGCCGGAGAGGGGCACCUGGGUGGGCACAACCCACUAGAGCGCGCCCCCUCUCCUGGCGCACCUAGGUGGGUUGUACCCACCUGGUGGCCCCACUGAUGACCCCCUGAUACUAUAAAAUCACAUUAUUCCAGAAAAAAUCAGGGAGAAAGAAUUACCGUGAUCCACGAGAAAGAGCCACCGCCAAGCCCUGUUCUUCCUCGGGAGGGCGGAUCUAGAGUCCGUUUGGGGCUCCGGAGAGGGGGAUCUUCGUUCUUCGUCAUCACCAACCCUUCUCCAUCGCCAAUUCCAUGAUGCUCCCCACCGGGAGUGAGUAAUUCCUUCGUAGGCUUGCUGGUCAGUGGGAGUUGGAUGAGAUUCAGCAUGUAAUCGAGUUAGUUUUGUUAGGGCAUGAUCCCUAGUAUCCACUAUGUUCUUAGAUUGAUGUUGCUAUGACUUUGCCAUGCUUAAUGCUUGUCACUUUGGGCCCGGGUGCCAUGAUUUCAGAUCUGAACCGUUUAUGUUAUCACCAUUAUAUCCAUGUUCUAGAUCCAAUCUUCCAAGUUAUAGUCACCUACUACUUGUUAUGAUCCGGCAACCCCGGAGUGACAACAACCGGGCCCACUCUCGGUGAUGACCGUAGUUUGAGGAGUUCAUGUAUUCACUUUGUGCUAAUGCUUUGUUCCGGUUCUCUAUUAAAAGGAGGCCUUAAUAUCCCUUAGUUUCCAAUAUGGACCCGCUGCCACGGGAGGGUAGGACAAAAGAUGUCAUGCAAGUUCUUUUAAUAAAGCAUGCAUGACUAUUUACGGAAUACAUGCCUACAUUAUAUAGAUGAACUGGAGCUAGUGCCGUAUUGCCCUAGGUUAUAACUGUCACAUGAUGAAUAUCAUCCAACAAGUCACCGAUCCAAUGCCUACGAACUUUUCCAUAUUGUUUCUUCUAAGUUACUACUGUUAUCAUCAUCGUUACACUUGCUACAAAAUGACGGUUAUCACUGUUACUGUUACUAUUGCUGCUAUCACUCCUAUCAAAACUAUCAAACUACUUUGCUACUGAUCACUUUGUUGCAGAUAAUUAAUCUCUAGGUGUGGUUGAAUUGACAACUCAGAUGCUAAUACCUUCAAAUAUUCUUUGGCUCCCCUUGUGUCGAAUCUAUAAAUUUGGGUUGAAUACUCUACCCUCGAAAACUGUUGCGAUCCCCUAUACUUGUGGGUUAUCAAGACCUUUUUCUGGCGCCGUUGCCAGGGAGCACAACUAUAUUUGCCGAGUCACUUGGGAUUAUUAUCAUAUUAUCACUAUGAAGAAUCUGAAGGAUCCAAAGACUAAGAUAUUUCCCUCAAAGACGAGGGGAGGUAAGGAACUGCCAUCCAGUUCUAAUUUAGAUUCACCUUUUGUUUUGAGUAAACUUGCAACACCACCACAUGCUAUUAAUUCUUAUAUGUCGCAAGUUAUUGAUGAUGCUACUUCUACUAUGAAUGAUUCUUAUGAUGAUGGUAGUACCUUGCUUGAUAAUGAUGAUGUGUCACUUGGUGAAUUUCUUGAUAAACAAAUUGCUAGAGUAAUACAACAUGAUGUUGUUGAAUCUGAUGAUGAGCUUGAAACUGAAUCUCCUAAAACACCUACUAGAACUAGCCUUCCUAGAUAUGAAUUGCCUAAGGUACCGGAAGGUUAUGUUAUGAGUGAAGAAACAACUAGAGAUAUUCUUGCGUGCAAGGAUAGAGAUGAUCUAGAGAAAUUACUACACAAGUAUAAAGAAAAAUCUCUAAAUGCUAGAAUGAAGUGUGAUCCUAAGUUUGCAACUUCACCUAUCUUUAUUGAUGAUAUGGACUAUGAAUUCUUUGUCGACCCAGAGUUAAUUAAUCUGGUUGAAUCUGAUCCUUUCCAUGGUUAUGAAACUGAAACUGUUGUGGCACGUCUUACUAAGUUGAAUGAUAUCGCCACCCUUUUUACUCAUGAUGGGAAAACUCGCUACUACUUUAUUCUCAAAUUAUUUCCUUUCUCAAUAAAGGGUGAUGCUAAAGCUUGGUACAAUACUCUUGCUCCUGGUUGUGUGCGUAGUCCCCAAGAUAUGAUUUAUUAAUUCUCUGAAAAAUAUUUUCCUACUCAUAAGAAACAAGCUGCCUUACAGGAAAUAUUUAACUUUGUGCAAAUUAAAGAAGAGAGUCUCCCACAAGCUUGGGGGAGGCUUUGCCAGUUACUUAAUGCUUUGCCUGAUCAUCCUCUUAAGAAAAAUGAAAUACUUGAUAUUAUAAUGGACUAACCGAUGCUGCUAGGGACUUCCUAGAUAGUUGUGUUUUCAGGGAACGAACUGUUGUACAAGCUGAAGAAUUAUUGAAUAACAUAUUGAAAAAUUAUGAUGAUUGGUCUAUUCCUGAACCACCGCCUAAACCUACUCUGAAGAAGAGGGGUAUAUUAUAUCUCAGCCCCGAAGAUAUGCAAGAGGCAAAGAAAUCUAUGAAGGAAAAAGGUAUAAAAGCUGAGGAUGUUAAAAAUUUACCUCCUAUUGAAGAAUUACAUGGGCUUAAUACACCACCAAUGCCUAAGGUGGUAGAGGUAAAUUCUCUUAUGAAGUAUAAUGAUAGUGAUAAUCCUCACAAUAUGCAUCCUAGUCAAUUCCUUUAUGAGUUUGAAAACAACAUUAGAAAACAAGAUCACUUCAAUGCAAAUGUUAUGAAACAAUUGAAAUAUAAUUAUGAUAUUAUUGCUCGCUUGAGUGACUUGUUAUUUAGAAUAUCAAAUGAUGUUAGAGGUGUUGGAAAGCAUGCUUCUAUGGUUCAAACUCAAUUAGAGCAAGUUGCUAAAUCUCAAAGAGAAUUGCUUGAUGAAAUAAAUAAUAAUAUGCAUGACUUUGCUAUUAGAGUUGCAACUAGAGGAGGUAAAAUGACCCAGGAACCACUUUCCGGAGGGACACCCUAAAAGAAUUGAACAGGAUUCACAAAGAGCUAAUACUAGUGCACCCAGUCCUUCUAGAAAGAAAAAGAAAAAUGAUAGGACUUUGCACACUUCUAGUGAACCUGAAAUAGAAAAACCUCCUGAUAAUGAAAAUGAAACUUCUAUCUCAGAUGCUGAAACUCAAUCUGGUAAUGAACACUCACCUAAUGAUAAUGAAAAAGAUAAUGAUGACGUUCAUGAAGACUCUCAACCAACCAAUGAUAAAGAACCAGAUAAUGAUGUUGAGAUAGAACCACCUAUUGAUCUUGAUAACCCACAACCUAAGAAUAAAAGAUAUGACAAAAGAGACUUCGUUGCUAGAAAAACACGGUAAAGAGAGAGAACCGUGGGUUCAACAACCUAUGCCUUUUCCACCCAAGUUAACUAAAAAGAAUGAUGAUGAAGAAUUUGAACGCUUUGCUGAAAUGCCGAGGCUAGUCUUUUUGCGUACUCGCUUGACUGGUAUCUUGGAAAUGCCUCCUUAUGCAAAGUAUAUGAAAGACAUCAUCACAGAUAAGAGAAAAAUACUAGAAGAUGAAAUCUCCACUAUGCUGGCUAAUUACAGUUUUAAAGAUGGAGUACCUAAAAACUUGGAGAUCCGGAAAUACUAACUAUACCUUGCUCUAUCAAAAAUAAUUAUGUGAAAACUACUUUGUGUGAUUUAGGAGCUGGUGUUAGUGUUAUGCCUUUCUCUUUAUAUAAAAGACUUGAUUUUAAUAAACUCACACAUACUGAAAUAUCUUUGCAAAUGGCUGACAAAUCAACUGCCAUACCUAUCGGUAUCUAUGAGGAUGUGCCCGUUGUUGUUGCUAAUGUUACUAUUUUGACUCACUUUGUUAUACUUGAGAUGCCCGAGGACGACAACAUGUCGAUUAUCUUUGGUAGACCCUUCUUGAAUACUGCAGGGGCUGUUAUUGAUUGCAAUAAAAGGAAUGUCACUUUUCAUAUUAAUGGCAAUGAGCAUACGGUGCACUUUCCGAAGAAACAAUUCCAAGUGAAUGGUAUUAAUGUUAUUGAAAAAUCUCCGACAAUCACUAUUGGAAGUUUUCAAAUACCUCUACUGAUAACCCACAAGUAUAGGGGGUCGCAAUAGUUUUCGAGGGUAGAGUAUUCAACCCAAAUUUAUAGAUUCAACACAAGGGGAGCCAAAGAAUAUUUGAAGGUAUUAGCAGCUAAGUUGUCAAUUCAACCACACCUGGAGAUUAAUUAUCUACAGCAAAGUGAUCAGUAGCAAAGUAGUUUGAUAGUUUUGAUAAUGGUGCUAGUAGCAACGGUAACAAUAACAGUGAUAGCAGUAGUUUGUAGCAAGUGUAAUAGUGAUGAUAGCAAUAGUAACACAUCAAGAUCAAUAAGGAUAAAUUCGUAGGCAUUGGAUCGGUGACUUGUUGGAUGAUAUUCAUCAUGUGACAGUUAUAACCUAGGGCGAUACGACACUUGCUUCAGUUCAUCGAUAUAAUGUAGGCAUGUAAUCCGUAAAUAGUCAUACGUGCUUUGUUAAAAGAACUUGCAUGACAUCUUUUGUCCUACCCUCCCGUGGUAGCGGGGUCCAUAUUGGAAACUAAGGGAUAUUAAGGCAUCCUUUUAAUAGAGAACCAUAACAAAGCAUUAACACAUAGUGAAUACACGAACUCCUCAAACUACGGUCAUCACCGGGAGUGGGCCCGGUUGUUGUCACUCUGGGGUUGCCGGAUCAUAACACGUAGUAGGUGACUAUAACUUGCAAGAUCGGAUCUAGAACAUGGAUAUAAUGAUGAUAACAUAAACGGUUCAGAUCUAAAAUCAUGGCACUCGGGCCCAAAGUGACAAGCAUUAAGCAUAUCAAAGUCAUAGCAACAUCAAUCUAAGAACAUAGUAGAUACUAGGGAUCAAGCCCUAACAAAACUAACUCGAUUACAUGAUGAAUCUCAUCCCACUCCUCACCGACCAGCGAGCCUACAAAGGAAUUACUCACUCCCGGUGGAGAGCAUCAUGGAAUUGGCGAUGGAGAAGGGUUGGUGAUGAAGAAGAACGAAGAUCCCCCUCUCCGGAGCCCCAAACGGACUCUAGAUCCGCCCUCCCGAGGAAGAAUAGGGCUUGGCGGUGGCUCCGUCUCGUGGAUCGUGAUAAUUCUUCCUCCCUGAUUUUUUUCUGGAAAUAUGUGAAUUUAUAGUAUCAUGGGGUCUUCAGCGGGGCCACCAGGUGGGUACAACCCACCUGGGCGCGCCAGGAUAGGGGGGCGCGCCCUGGUGGGUUGUGCCCAUCCAGGGCCCCCUCUCUGGUGGGUUUUGGCUCCAGAAAAUCUUAUUAUUGAUAUAAAAAAUCCUCGCAUAGUUUCCUUCCAUUUCGAGAACUUUUAUUUCUGCACAAAAACAACACCAUGGUAGUUCUGUUGAAAACAACGUCAGUCCGGGGUUAAUUUCAUUCAAAUCAUGCAAAUUAGAGUCCAAAACAAGAGGAAAAGCGUGAGAAAAAGUAGAUACGUUGGAGACGUAUCAUCUACCUACUGUCAAAAAGAAAUAUGAAAUGCUUAUUCUUGGGGAAAUGCAUAUCCCCAUUGAGGUAACUUAGUGAUUUACGAAAGUUCUUCGGUUUCAUGUGAAUCGAAAGUGGUUGUUAAUAAGACUUGAUCAACCUUAUUAAUGGAUCAUUUUUGAACAGUAUGAAGUUGAUGAAUUCAGUAAGCACUACCCUCUGUCCCUACCUUUUUUCUCUGUUUUUAUUAGUUAAAUAAAAUAAGAUGCCAUGUUUUGUCUAUUUUCUGAAUUUCCCGUGCAAUAAAAAUGACCCAAAAAUAAAAGUUCUCAGAAUGCCUUGAAAAAUUUACAUGAUUUUUUCUGAAUAUUUGAGGAUUUUUGGCGCAAUAAACAUCAAAGGGAGGUGCACCAGGUGGGCACAACCCACCUGGGCACGCCAGCAUCCCCAGGCGCGCCUUCGUGGGUUAUUGUCCCCACGUGGGCCCCCUCACUUAUCUCUUUAGCCCACAUCAUCACUUACCUCCAGAAAAAAAAUCCCCAUUGCUCUCUCUCCCGUGUUCUUGAGCUCAAACCCGUGAAUUUUGAUCUCUUUGCUCGAAGCUCCGUUUCCGAAACUAUUUCGAGGGAUUGUUGCUUGGUAUGUGACUCCACCAUUUGUUCGAUUAGUUUUUGUUUUAGUGGUUUAUACUUUGAAUAAUUAGCUACUCUUGGUGCUGCUGUAGAUGUGCUUGCAUGUUGAAUUCUUAGUGUUCUAAGUAGUUUGAAUGCUUGUUAUGGCCUCUAUGUGUCCCUAUGAGUAGUUGCUAUCAAUCUUAUAAAGUUUUGUUGACAAAAUUUUGUCACCCCAAAAUUUUGUUUUCAGAAAAUUGUACACGGACAUGAUGAACCUAUUUGGAAGGAGUUCUUCGAGGAGACGAUCCUCGGGGGCAUCUUCUAGUGACAGUUCCGCUCGUCGGUCUUAUGUUGAACCAAGUGAAAGUUCCACGUGAGAUGCCACCAUCAAGACAUGUUUAUGGCCUAGCGAUGAAUAUAUGGUGCGUGUGGGCUUUAAGGAGGAAUUUUAGUAAAAUGUUCACAAUGCCGACCUCGAUCCCUACCUUUCAGAUAAGCGUGAAUAACACCAACUUCUCACUGAAUCAUUUGUCAAAGGAUUUAAAUAUUUUCCACGUGAGUCUAGGGUGUCGUUUAUGCUUUAUGAUAAUCCAUUUACUAUCCCACUAGAGAAUUUUGCUUACCAUUGCAAACUUCCAUUUUGGGGUUCGCUUGAUGAGCCACCAAUGGUUGAGUUCGAGUCUUGCUUGACUAGCCUUUUCUAUGGUGAAAAUAUUUUGCAUUAUUUAAUGGGAAAUGCAUAGUAGGCAAGCAAGACUAUAGCAUACUUUGUGCGCCAGACUUGAGCCUCAUUCACACCACUCUCACUAGUGAAAGGAAUUAUAACCUUGGAGCGAUUGUUGCACGUAGACUUCAGCACAAUGCUAACAGUGGUUGGUUCUAUGGUUGAAUUUAUGCCACGCGUUUAGCACGAGAGCUUGGUGUUUCGCCUUUGCCCUUUGAUCCUAUCCUACCCACGCGGUAUUUAGAUUUUGGCACUUUGAAAGAACACAAGAUCCUUAAGGGAAAAGUUGAUAAUUUCACUUACAAUCUAAUGUUUAACCAAAAAUCUAUUGUGGACACAUAUUUGCCUGCGCCUGCUCUUUUUGAUUAUAACAACAAGGGAAGAUAUUUUGUUCUUGAGAGCGAGGUCCGAGCUCAUAACGCAGCAGUGGUGGCGACAUGGUGUGCUGAGUUAUCCGCACCGAGAGCCUCCGUGAGCUACCACGCCGACUACUACCCUCUAGGCUACUGAUUGACUACCAAGUUAGGACAAAAGCCUAAGCUUGGGGGAGUACGUGUUUCCACCGACUCUACAUUUAUGUCCACUUAUUUCAUUUGUCGGUGUUCACACUUUUUCAUUGUAUCAUCCAUGCUUAGAUUCAUUUUCUUGCUUUCUUCUUGUGUGUUUGAAAAACUUUAGAAAAACCAAAAAAAAUUAGUUGUAGUUAAUUUACUUUCUAUGCAUGCUUAGUAGUAGUACUAAAAAGAAAACCCAAAAAGAUUUCCUUAUUCUUCUUUUGCUUGUUGGGAGCUUUCUCGUGUAAAUAGUUUUUCUCCUUUUUUGUUUUCCCUUUUAUUUGCUUGUUGAAGAAAACCAAAAACUCCAAAAAUAUUUCAGUGUGUUUCUCUAAAUUUCUUUUCUUUUUAUUCGAGUUGUAUCAAGGAGAAGACCACGAUGAAAAUGUUGAGUAGCUCUCAUAUGAAUAAUUGUUGAACUAAUAAAGAGCACAUUUUACCUUGUCUUCUCCUGUUGAAUAAAAUGUUUUGCAGAUUCCAGCUUAGUCCACGACACUCUUGCACUAUUACUAUUUUCAUAUCGGUCGGUCGUGCAAGUGAAAGGAAAUAAUGACGACAUUCGAUGAGCUGGCCGUGGCAAAGAGAAACUGGCUGAAAUCAACUUGUUAUGUUUGUGUAAAUAUGUUUAACCUAGUAUCCAGGCUUCAGCCCAUUAUGAUUAAACAUGUUUGCAAUGACAAUCGGAGAUUAUAGUUUCUCAUGCCAUGCAUAAGUAGCUAGGAGUGAAUAAUGAUUUAUCUUGGAUAUCAACAUAACGUUAAAAUGAUUGUGAUGUAGUAUGAUGAUAUGGUAUCCUCCUCUGAAUGUUCAAGUUGCUUGACUUGGUGCACGUUCAUGCAUGUAGUUGAAUCAAAACCAACAUAGCCUUUAUAAUAUUUAUGUUCAUGUUUUCAUAUCCUACUCAUGCUAGUGUCCAAUGUUACUUACGCAUAAUGCAUGGUUAUGAUCGUUGUUGCUCUCUAGCAGGCCACUUCUCAAUCUAAAUUGCUAGCCUUCGCCUGUACUAAGUGGGAAUUCUGCUUGUACAGCAAACACCUUUAACCCAAAGUUAUUCCAGAUGAGUCCACCAUACCUACCUAUAUGCGGUAUUACCCUGCUGUCCCAAGUAAAUUUACAUGUGCCACCUUAAAAAAAUUCUAAAGAAAUUAUCCUUUUUGUGUGUCUGGAUCGUUCAUGGAACGACAGGAGGUGGUCGAUAUCUUCCAUGCUAAGCGUGUUAUUCUCAGGUCUAGUGUUUAUUCACUCGCCAUCGCACGAGAAAAUGGGUUGUAAUAGGGAUUCCCAGUCCCGAACUAAAAAAAUGCAAAUAAUUAAACAAAACUGCCCCGGGACUGAUGUUGGUAGGGACGGCACCCGUUGUUUCGGACAAGUCAUGUAGUGUGAUUGAUGGUGGAGGGGGGGGGUAAACCUUUACUUUUAUCGCUUGGGAACCGCUACUAGUGUGCUUAGCAUGGAAGAUGUUGAUAACUGAUGGUCGUGAAGUAAAUGAGAAGGGUGCAUGUCUCAAAAUAUCAUUUAUCUCUGUUUUAAAAAUUGAGCUCUGGCACCUCUGCUAAUCACUGCUUCCCUCUGCGAAGGUACUAUCUCUUUAAUUUUAUGUUGUGUAACCACCCUCUAAAACAAGCGCCAGAAACUGAGUAGAGCACAACUGUCAUGAUUUAUGCAUUGUGUGUAGCUAAUGUUGGGUGCAUCAUAACUGGAUCUUUGUUGGGGAAUGUAGUAAUUUCAAAAAUUUCCUACGCACACACAAGAUCAUGGUGAUGCAUAGCAACGAGAGGGGAGAGUGUUAUCCAUGUACCCUCGUAGACCGAAAGCGGAAGCGUUAGCACAACGCGGUGAUGUAGUCGUACGUCUUCACGAUCCGACCGAUCCAAGUACUGAACGCACGGCACCUCCGAGUUCAGCACACGUUCAACUCGAUGACGUCCCGCGAACUCCAAUCCAGCAGAGCUUCACGGGAGAGUUCUGUCAGCAUGACGGUGUGAUGAUAGUGAUGAUGUUGCUACCGACGCAGGGCUUCGCCUAAGCAUGGCUACGAUAUGACCGAGGUGGAAUAUGGUGGAGUGGGGGCACCGCACACGGCUGGGAGAGAUCAACAGAUCAACUUGUGUGUCUAGAGGUGCCCCCUGCCCCGUAUAUAAAGGAGCAAGGGGGGAGGCCGGCCGGCCCUCUAUGGGCGCGCCAGGAGGAGGAGUCCUCCUCCUAGUAGGAGUAGGACUCCCCUUUCCUACACCUACUAGGAGGAGGAAAGGAAGGAGGAGAAGGAGAAGGAAGGAGAGGGAGGAAAAGGAGGAAAGGGGGACCGACCCCUAGUACAAUUCGGUUUGGGCUAGGGGGGCUGCACGCCCUGCCUCCUCUCUUCCACCACUUGGCCCAUGAGGCCCAUUACUUCUUCCUCGUAUUCCCGUAACUCCCUGGUACCCCUGAAAAUACCCGAAUCACUCGGGACCUUUCCGAUGUCCGAAUAUAGUCAUCCAAUAUAUCUAUCUUUACGUCUCGACCAUUUAGAGACUCCUCGUCAUGUACCCGAUCUCAUCCGGGACUCCGAACUACCUUCGGUACAUCAAAUCACAUAAACUCAUAAUACAAUCGUCACCAAACUUUAAGCGUGCGGACCCUACGGGUUCGAGAACUAUGUAGACAUGACCGAGACAUGUCUCCGGACAAUAACCAAUAGCGGAACCUGGAUGCUCAUAUUGGCUCCUACAUAUUCUACGAAGAUCUUUGUCGGUCAAACCGCAUAACAACAUACGUUGUUCCCUUUGUCAAUGGUAUGUUACUUGCCCGAGAUUCGAUCGUCGGUAUCUCAAUACCUAGUUCAAUCUCGUUACCGGCAAGUCUCUUUACUUGUUCCAUAAUACAUCAUCCCACAACUAAAUCAUUAGUUGCAAUGCUUGCAAGGCUUUAAGUGAUGUGCAUUACCGAGAGGGCACAGAGAUACCUCGCCGACAAUCGGAGUGACAAAUCCUAAUCUUGAAAUACGCCAACCCAACAAGUACCUUUGGAGACACUUGUAGAGCACCUUUAUAAUCACCCAGUUACGUUGUGACGUUUGGUAGCACACAAAGUGUUCCUCCGGUAAACGGGAGUUGCAUAAUCUCAUAGUCAUAGGAACAUGUAUAAGUCAUGAAGAAAGCAAUAGCAACAAACUAAACGAUCAAGUGCUAUGCUAACGGAAUGGGUCAAGUCAAUCACAUCAUUCUCUAAUGAUGUGACCCCGUUAAUCAAAUGACAACUCAUGUCUAUGGCUAGGAAACUUAACCAUCUUUGAUUCAACGAGCUAGUCAAGUAGAGGCAUACUAGUGACACUCUGUUUGUCUAUGUAUUCACACAUGUAUUAUGUUUCCGGUUAAUACAAUUCUAGCAUGAAUAAUAAGCAUUUAUCAUCAAAUAAGGAAAUAAAUAAUAACUUUAUUAUUGCCUCUAGGGCAUAUUUCCUUUAUUAUUUACCAUGAAUUACAAUGUUUAGUCGCUCCUUGAACUUUGGAGGUGCUCUGCGUUUAUGUUUUGCGGUCUCAGAAAGGGCUAGCGAGAUACCACUAUUGUCAUAUUAUAUCAUGGUUGUUUUGAAAAUGUGUUGUCGUUUGAGAUAUCUUAUUAUUGCUCGCUAGCUGAUUAUUGAAGGAAAUAUGCCCUAGAGGCAAUAAUAAAGUUGUUAUUAUAUUUCCUUAUAUCAUGAUAAAUGUUUAUUAUUCAUGCUAGAAUUGUAUUAACCAGAAACUUAAUACAUGUGUGAAUACAUAGACAAACAGAGUGUCACUAGUAUGCCUCUACUUGACUAGCUCAUUAAUCAAAGAUGGUUAAGUUUCCUAGCCAUGGACAAAGAGUUGUCAUUUGAUAAGCAGGAUCACAUCAUUAGAGAAUGAUGUGAUUGACUUGACCCAUCCGUUAGCUUAGCACGAUGAUCGUUACAGUUUCAUUGCUAACGCUUUCUUCAUGACUUAUACAUGUUCCUCAGACUAUGAGAUUAUGCAACUCCCGAAUACCAGAGGAACACCUUGUGUGCUAUCAAACGUCAUAACAUAACAGGGUGAUUAUAAAGAUGCUCUACAGGUGUCUCCGAUGGUGUUUGUUGAGUUGGCAUAGAUCAAGAUUAGGAUUUGUCACUCCGUGUAUCGGAGAGGUAUCUUUGGGCCCUCUCGGUAAUGCACAUCACUAUAAGCCUUGCAAGCAAUGUGACUAAUGAGUUAGUUGCGAUAUGAUGCAUUACAGAACGAGUAAAGAGACUUGCCGGUAAUGAGAUUGAACUAGGUAUUGAGAUACCGACGAUCGAAUCUCGGGCAAGUAACAUACCGAUGACAAAGGGAACAAUGUAUGUUGUUAUGCAGUUUGACCGAUAAAGAUCUUUGUAGAAUAUGUAGGAACCAAUAUGAGCAUCCAGGUUCCGCUAUUGGUUAUUGACCGGAGAUGAGUCUCGGUCAUGUCUACAUAGUUCUCGAACCCGUAGGGUCCACACGCUUAACAUUCUGUGAAGAUUGUUAUUAUGAGUUAUGUCAUUUGAUGACCUAAGUUUGUUCGGAGUCCUAGAUGAGACCAGGGACAUGACGAGGAGUCUCGAAAAUAUCGAGACUUAAAGAUCGAUAUAUUGGAAGACUAUAUUCGGACAUCGAAAAGGUUCCGAGUGAUUCGGGUAUUUUUCGGAGUACCAGAGAGUUACGGGAAUUCGUAUUGGGCCUUAAUGGGCCAUACGGGAAAGGAGAGGAAGGCCUCAAGGGUGGCCGCGCCCCUUCCCCAUGGACUAGUCCGAAUUGGACUAGGGAAAGGGGGCGCCCCCUUCCUUCCUUCUCCUUCUCUCUUCCCUUUUUCCUAUUCCAUGUGGGAGGUGGAAUCCUAGUAGGACUAGGGAGUCCUAGUAGGACUCCACACUUUGGGCGCGUCCUAUGAAGGUCGUCCUCCUCCUCCCUCCAUCCUUUAUAUACGUGGCCAGGGGGCACCCCAUAGGCACACAAGUUGAUCAUUGAUCCCUUAGCCGUGUGCGGUGCCCCUCUCCACCAUAAUCCACCUCGGUCAUAUCAUAGCGGUGCUUAGGCGAAGCCCUGUUCCGAUAGCAUCAUCAUCACCGUCAUCACGCCGUCGUGCUGAUGGAGCUCUCCCUCGACACUCAGCUGGAUCGAGAGUUCGUGGGACGUCACUGAGCUGAACGUGUGCAGAUCGCGGAGGUGCCGUACUUUCGGUACUAGGAUCGGUCGGAUCGUGAAGACGUAUGUACAACUACAUCAACCGCGUUGUCAUAAUGCUUCAGCUUACGGUCUACGAGGGUACAUGGACAACACUCUUCCCUUCUCGUUGCUAUGCAUCACCAUGAUAGAUCUUGCGUGUGCGUAGGAUUUUUCUUGAAAUUACUGCGUUCGCCAACAGUGGCAUCAAAGCCAGGUCUAUGCGUAGAUGUUAUAUGCACGAGUAGAACACAAAGGAGUUGUGAGCGUGGGUAUAUACAUAUUGCUUGCCGUCACUAGUUGAUUCUUGAUUCAGCGGUAUUGUUGGAUGAAGCGGCUCUGACCGACAUUAUGCGUACGCUUUCGCGAGACUGCUUCUACCGACGUGCUUCGCACACAGGUGGCUGGUGGGUGUCAGUUUCUCCAACUUUAGUUGAAUUAGAUUCAGUGAACAUGGUUCUUUCUGAAGAUCAAAAAGCAAUCACUAUACCGUGUUGUGGUUUUUGAUGCGCAGGUAAGAACGGUUCUUGCUCAGCCCGUAGUAGCCAUGUAAAACUUGCAACAACAAAGUAGAGGACGUCUGACUUGUUUUUGCAGGGUAUGUUGUGAUGUGAUAUGGUCAAGACAUGAUGAGAUAUAAAUUUUUUUAUGAUAUGAUCAUGUUUUGUUGAAGUUAUCGGCAACUGGCAGGAGCCUUAUGGUUGUCUCAUUAUUGCAUAACAUGCAAGUGCCAUGUAAUUGCUUUACUUUAUCGCUAUGCAAUAGCAAUAGUUGCAAAAGCAAUAGUUUGCGAGAUGACCAUGUGAUGACACAUUGAUAAAGAUCAAGAUGAUGGAGAUCCUAGUGUCAUGCCGGUGACGGUGGAGAUCAUGACGGUACUUUGGAGAUGGAGAUCAAAGGCACAAGAUGAUGAUGGCCAUAUCAUGUCACAUAUUUUGAUUGCAUGUGAUGUUUAUCUUUUAUGCAUCUUAUUUUGCUUAGUAUGUCAGUAGCAUUAUAAGAUGACCCCUCAAUAAAUUUCAAGGUAUAAGUGUUCUCCCUGAGUAUGCACCGUUGCGACAGUUCUUCGUGCUGAGACACCACUUGAUGAUCGGGUGUGAUAAGCUCUACGUUCACAUACAAUGGGUGCAAGCCAGUUUUGCACACACAGAAUACUCGGGUUAAACUUGAUGAGCCUAGCAUAUGCAGAUAUGGACUCGAAACACUGGAGAUCGAAAGGUCGAGCGUGAAUCAUAUAGAAGAUAUGAUCAACAUAGAGAUGUUCACCAUUGAAAACUACUCCAUCUCACGUGAUGAUCGGGCAUGGUUUAGUUGAUAUGGAUCACGUGAUCACUUAGAUGAUUAGAGGGAUGUCUAUCUAAGUGGGAGUUCUUAAGUAAUAUGAUUAAUUGAACUUUAAUUUAUCAUGAACUUAGUCCUGAUAGUAAUUGCAUAUCUAUGUUGUAGAUCAAUACCUUGCGAUGUAGUUUCCCGUUUAAUUUGUUAUGUUCCUAGAGAAAAAUAAGUUGAAAGAUGAUAGUAGCAAUGAUGUGGACUUGGUCCGUGAUCUAAGGAUUAUCCUCAUUGCUGCAUAGAAAUAUUAUGUCCUUGAUGCACCGCUAGGUGACAGACCUAUUGCAGGAGCAGAUGCAGACAUAAUGAACGUUUGACAAUGCUCAGUAUGAUGACUACUUGAUAGUUUAGUGCACCAUGCUUUAUGGCUUAGAACCGGGACUUCAAAAAUGUUUUGAACGACAUGGAGCAUAUGAGAUGUUCCAAGAGUUGAAAUUGGUAUUUCAUACUCAUGCCCGUGUCGAGAGGUAUGAGACCUCUGACAAUACUUUGCCUACAAGAUGGAGGAGAUUAGCUCAACCAGUGAGCAUGUGCCCAGAUUGGCCGGGUACUAUAAUUGCUUGAAUCAAGUGGGAGUUAAUCUUCCAGAUAAGAUAGUAAUUGACAAAGUUCUCUAGUCACUAUCACCAAGUUACUAGAAUGUCAUGAUGAACUAUAAUAUGCAAGGGAUAACAAAAACUAUUCCCGAGCUCUUCGCGAUGCUAAAAUCGGCGAAGGUAGAAAUCAAGAAAAGAAUCAAGUGUUGAUGGUUAACAAGACCACUAGUUUCAAGAAAAGGGCAAAGGGAUAGAAAGGGAACUUCAAGAAGAAUGACAAACAAGUUGUCACUCCCGUGAAGAAGCCCAAAGAUAGACCCAAGCCUGAAACUAAGUGCUUCUACUACAAAGGAAAUGGUCACUGGAUGUGGAACUACCUUAGAUACUUGGAGGAUAAGAAGGAUGGGAAAGUAAACAAAGUUAUAUUUGAUAUACAUGUUAUUGAUGUGUACUUUACUAGUGUUUAUAGCAACCCAUCAGUGUUUUAUACUGGUUCAGUUCCUAAGAGUAGUAACUCGAAACGAGAGUUUCAAAAUAAACAGAAACUAGUUAAGGGCGAGGUGAUGAUGAGAGUUGGAAGUGAUUCCAAGGUUGAUAAGAUCACCAUCACACACUCCCUUUACCUUCGGAUUAGUGUUGAACCUAAAAUAAAUGUUAUUUGGUGUUUGCGUUGAGCAUAAAUAUGAUUGGAUCAUGUUUAUGCAAUACGGUUAUUCAUUUAAGUCAAAGAAUAAUUGUUGUUCUAUUUACAUGAAUAAAACCUUCUAUGGUCAUACACUUGAUAUAAAUGGUUUAUUGAAUCUCGAUCAUAGUAAUACACCAUAAUAUUGAAGCCAAAAGAUGCAAAGUUAAUAAUGAUAGUGCAACUUAUAUGUGGCACUGCCGUUUAGGUCAUAUUGGUGUAAAGCGCAUGAAGAAACUCCAUGCUGAUGGACUUUUGGAAUCACUUGAUUAUGAAUCACUUGAUGCUUGCAAACCAUGCCUCAUGGGCAAGAUGACUACGACUCCGUUCUCCGGAACAAUGGAGCGAGCAACUGACUUAUUGGAAAUAAUAUAUACUAAUGUAUGCGAUCCGAUAAGUGUUGAGGCUCGCGGUGGGUAUCGUUAUUUUCUGACCUUCACAGAUGAUUUGAGCUGAUAUGGGUAUAUCUACUUAAUGAAACAUAAGUCUAAAACAUUUGAAAAGUUCAAAGAAUUUCAGAGUGAAGUGGAAAAUCAUCGUAACAAGAAAAUAAAGUUUCUACAAUCUGAUCGCGGAGGCGAAUAUUUGAGUUACGAGUUUGGUCUUCAUUUGUAACAAUGUGGAAUAGUUUUGCAACUCACGCCACCUGGAACACCACAGUAUAAUGAUGUGUCCGAAUGUUGUAAUCGUACAUUAUUGGAUAUGGUGCGAUCUAUGAUGCCUCUUACCGAUGUAGCACUAUCAUUUUGGGGUUAUGCAUUAGAGACAGCUUCAUUCACGUUAAAUAGGGCACCAUAUAAAUACGUUGAUAUGUGUAACAUCCCAAAUUUUCAAUUUGGAAUGUUAUACACUAGAUCAUCAUUGCAUAUCAUAUUUUAUUGCAUUUUGGCUGAUCCUAGAAAAUUCUACGCAAUUCAAGGACCCUCGGAGAGAGUUGGGGAUUUCAUUAUUUUCAUAUUUGAGUUUUCUCAAAUUUUGAAAAUAGGAUCAUUUGAUUUUAUUUAUUUUAUCUUCAAUUAUUUCUAUUACAAAAAUAUGAGAGAGGGAAUAAAAUGACUUUCCCAAAAUAGAGAAAUAUUGAGGAUGUAAUAAAAAAUCAAAUAAGAUUUUAUUUUGGUUUUAUUUGCUAUUUUAUUUGAAUUUAGGAAAAAUGCGCGUUUUUCAAAAUUGCAUUUAGGUCCCAAAUAAAUGUUCAUCCUGUGCGGCUUGAUUUUAGAAGCCGGGGAAAAUUUAUUCCGGGAUUUUUGGAGUCCGUUUAGUAUUCCUUUUGUUUUUUUUUCUGAGUGUAACUAUUAAAAAAACGCAACCGACCUAGCGGGCCGUGUCCGACCUGGACACUUGGCCCAGCCGGCUUUAUAAGCCGGGGAGGCCCAGCCGGACCCCCCCAAACCCUAGCCGCCUAGCCACCCCGCCGCCGCCGCCGGACCGCCGCGCCGCCCGCCGCCCCGCCACCCCGCCGCUCGCCAGAGGUAGACCUCGCCACCGCCGGUUUUUCUCAAAAGACCGAUCGGUUUUCCGUCGGUUUUGUUCGGUUUUUUUGUUUCGGUUUUAAUAGAUCGAUUUUUCCGGUUUAUUUAUUUAGCGAGCGUUCGCUCGUUCGUUCAAUUUAACAAACACGUUCAUCGUUUAGAUCCGGUUAACGAACGUUCGUUUGUUAGUCUAUUCGUUGUUUUCUUUUUCUCGGAUUAAAUCCGCGAUUUUCUGAUCGCGAUUCCUGAUCCGUUUUUCGUUCUAGUAUAACUUUUCGCUCGUUUAUCAGAAUCAGGCGAUUCAAGCGCCUGGAGUUUUGUCUCGAAACCAUCUUUCCAUUUAACCAACUCAAACAAGUUUUUGCCACUAUAAAAAUUUCCCUAGAUCCAGAAUAGUAAACGAAGCUUGUUUCUUUUGCCGUUUGUCUUUUGUUGCUUCGUUCGAUUUGAUUCAUUUUGCCAACCGGAGUUCUGAAGUUGAAGUUUCUGGUUAGAUCUCUUAUUUGAGUUUUACCUGUGCAUUAGUUGAGUACUUAUUGUAUGCUUGUUUGUUUUCGAUAGAGUACCGGAGUGCGCCGCUUGCUACUUCGAAUCGCUAGGUUUCACGGAUCAUCCGCAAGGCAAGUAACACUUUGAUCAUACUUCCAAUUACCUAGUUUUAUUGCAUUAGAUCAAUCCUCACACAUUGCAUGAUUAGGAUCUAAUUAAAUUGUGGGUUUGGGAAGUAGUUGAGGUAGUGCCUAUUACCUGUUUAUUAUCAAACCUUUGGGAGUUACUUCUACGUUUGCUUAUUAUGCCAUGCUAUGCUAGUAGACGUGGAUUGGGUGAAUGAAAUCCAUGACAUAUGUGAGAGUGUUAAAUUAAAGGUUUAUCUAAGGUGGCAACUUAAAUACACAUCUGGGUGGAUUGAGGCACCUGGGUAUUCCAGCGAUUGCCUGUUUUCUUUUGGACCGCCACCCAGGCUCAAAGGGAUCAUGAGAUUAUUCAUGCUAGAAACUUCCGUGUGCAGCCACAAGCAAUUAUGGGCUCUAGCAUAGUUGAUUAAGUCGUGCGAACUCUUAUAGUGGUAGACUAGCAGAUGUAGGGGAAAGUAGGUGUAACGGUCUACCCGAUCGUAAGGUGCUAGCGCUUCUGAAAGACUAUGUCUCGGUCAUUCAUUUCUCAAACACCAUGUAGUGCGAGAAAUCAAACGGAGGCGAUCGAGUCUUGUGGGGAAAAGUGUGCAAACCUCUGCAGAGUGUAUAAACUAAUCGUGAUUAGCCGUGUCCCCGGUUACGGACAUCUUGAGUAUCUAGUACCUGGAUUAUCAUGUGAAUCUCAUCAUGUUACUCUAAAAUUAAUUUUGUUAGGUUUUGUUUAAUGAUGAUGCUUAAUUGGGAUUGAGAAUGCUGUCAACCAUUCUCAAUGUUUAACAACCACCAUGAUAGUUAAAUAAAAUUUAUUCCUUUGCAGUAUGGAAAAAUUGGUUUUACGCAAAACUGUAACCAUAGAGCUUUCCGCCAGCCAAAUAUGCAUGUAGUAUAGCUUAUUCUUUCAUUACCCUCUAUGUGUUACAUUGCCAGCAUAUUCCAUGUGCUGACCCAUUUCGGGCUGCAACGUUAAUGUUGCCGACUUUUUAGGCGAUGAUUAAGGUGCCUUUAGGUCGUGUUUCUAUACUCAGUGAUGUUGUUGGAGUUGAUGGACUCACUUAUCUUCCAAGCCUUCCAUUGUUAUCGUUAUUAGAUGGCCUUAAGCCAUAUUUAUUGUAAUAAGUUAUCUUUUGAGACACUCGAUGUAAUAAGUGUGCAAUUGCUACUCUGUUAUAAAUCCUUCAAGUACUGUGUGGUGUCAGCAUUACUGAUCCAGGGAUGACACCUGAGCAUAGAGAUUGGACCGUUUGAGGUCUGGUCGCUACAAUAUGACACUGUAUGAACUAUGAUUUGGCAAGAAACCAAAGCUGUCAUUUCUUAAAGUUUGAGGUUGUGAUGCUUAUGUGAAAAAGUUUCAAACUGAUAAGCUCGAACCCAAAUCAGAGUAGUGCAUCUUCAUAGGAUACCCAAAAAAACUAUUGGGUACACCUUCUACCACAGAUCCGAAGGCAAGAUAUUUUGUUGCUAAGAAUGGAUCCUUUCUAGAGAAGGAGUUUCUCUCGAAAGAAGUGAGUGGGAGGAAAGUAGAACUUGAUGAGGUAAUUGUACCUUCUCCAGAAUUGGAAAGUUGUUCAUCAUAGAAAUCAGUUUCAGUGAUUCCUACACCAAUUAGUGAGGAAGCUAAUGAUGAUGAUCAUGAAACUUCAGAUCAAGUUACUACAAAACCUCGUAGGUUAACCAGAGUACGGUCUGCACCAGAGUGGUACGGUAAUCCUGUUCUGGAAGUCGUGUUACUACACCAUGACGAAUCUACGAACUAUGAGGAAGCGAUGAUGAGCCCAUAUUCCGCAAAAUGGCUUGAGGCCAUGAAAUCUGAGAUGGGAUCCAUGUAUGAGAACAAAGUAUGGACUUUGAUUGACUUGCCCGAUGAUCGGUGAGUCAUUGAGAAUAAAUGGAUCUUCAAGAGGAAGACUGACACUGAUAGUAGUGUUACUAUCUACAAAGCUUGAAUUGUCGCAAAAAGUUUUUGACAAGUUCACGGUGUUGACUACGUUGAGAUUUUCUCACUCGUAUCGAUGCUUAAAAGUCUGUUAGAAUCAUGUUAGCAGUUGCCGCAUUUUAUGAAAUCUGGCAAAUGGAUGUCAAAACUGCAUUCCUUAAUGGAUUUCUUAAAGAAGAGUUGUAUAUGAUGCAACCAGAAGGUUUUGUCAAUCCUAAAGGUGCUAACAAAGUGAGCAAGCUCCAGCGAUCCAUCUAUGGACAGGUGCAAGCAUCUCGGAGUUGGAAUAUAUGCUUUGAUAAAGUGAUCAAAGCAUAUGGUUUUAUACAUACUUGCGGUGAAGCCUGUAUUUACAAGAAAGUGAGUGGGAGCACUACAACAUUUCUGAUAAGUAUAUGUGAAUGACAUAUUAUUGAUCGGAAAUGAUGUAGAAUUUUCUGGAAAGCAUAAAGGAGUGUUUGAAAGGAGUUUUUCAAAGAAAUACCUCGGUGAAGCAACUUACAUAUUGAGCAUCAAGAUCUAUAGAGAUAGAUCAAGACGCUUGAUAUAUUUUCAAUGAGUACAUACCUUGACAAGAUUUUUAAGUAGUUCAAAAUAGAAUAGUCAAAGGAGUUUUUGCCUGUGUUGCAAGGUGUGAAGUUGAGUACGGUAGAAAAUGGAAAGAGAAUGAAAAGUCAUUCCCUAUGCCUCAGUCAUAGGUUCUAUAAAAUAUGCUAUGCUGUGUACCAGACCUAUUGUGUACCUCACCAUAAGUUUUGCAAGAGGGUACAAUAGUGAUCCAGGAGUGGAUCACUAGACAACGGUCAACAAUAUCCUUAGUGGAAUAAGGAAAUGUUUCUCGGUUAUGGAGGUGACAAAGAGUUCGUCGUAAAGAGUUACGUCGAUGCAUGCUUUGACACCGAUCUGGAUGACUCUAAGUCUCGAUCUAGAUACAUAUUGAAAGUGGGAGAAAUUAUCUAGAGUAGCUCCGUGCAAAGCAUUGUAGACAUAGAAAAUUUGCAAAAUACAUAUGGCUCUGAACGUGGUAGACCCGUUGACUAAAUUUUUCUCACAAGCAAAACAUGAUCACUCUUUGGGUGUUAAUCACAUAGUGAUGUGAACUAGAUUAUCGACUCUAGUAAACCCUUUGGGUGUUAGUCACAUGGAGAUGUGAACUAAUCACAUAAAGAUGUGAACUAUUGGUGUUAAAUCACAUGACGAUGUGAACUAGAUUAUUGACUCUAGUGCAAGUGGGAGACUGGAGGAAAUAUUCCCUAGAGGCAAUAAUAAAGUUGUUAUUAUAUUUCCCUAUAUCAUAAUAAAUGUUUAUUAUUCAUGCUAGAACUGUAUUAACCAGAAACUUAGUACAUGUGUGAAUACAUAGACAAACAUAGUGUCACUAGUAUGCCUCUACUUGACUAGCUCGUUAAUCAAAGAUGGUUAAGUUUCCUAGCCAUGGACAAAGAGUUGUCAUUUUAUAAGCGGGAUCACAUCAUUAGAGAAUGAUGUGAUUGACUUGACCCAUCCGUUAGCUUAGCACGAUGAUCGUUACAGUUUCAUUGCUACUGCUUUCUUCAUGACUUAUACAUGUUCCUCAGACUAUGAGAUUAUGCAACUCCCGAAUACCGGAGGAACACCUUGUGUGCUAUCAAACAUCACAAGGUAAUUGGGUGAUUAUAAAGAUGCUCUACAGGUGUCUCCGAUGGUGUUUGUUGAGUUGGCAUAGAUUAAGAUUAGGAUUUUUCACUCCGUGUAUCGGAGAGGUAUCUCUGGGCCCUAUCGGUAAUGCACAUCACUAUAAGACUUGCAAGCAAUGUGACUAAUGAGUUAGUUGCGGGAUGAUGCAUUACAGAAUGAGUAAAGAGACUUGCCGAUAAUGAGAUUGAACUAGGUAUUGAGAUACCGAUGAUCGAAUCUCGGGCAAGUAACAUACCGAUGACAAAGGGAACAACGUAUGUUGUUAUGCGGUUUUACCAAUAAAGAUCUUCAUAGAAUAUGUAAGAACCAAUAUGAGCAUCCAGGUACCGCUAUUGGUUAUUGACCGGAGAUGAGUCUCGGUCAUGUCUACAUAGUUCUCGAACCCGUAGGGUCCACACACUUAACGUUCUGUGACAAUUUGUAUUAUGAGUUAUGUGAUUUGAUGACUGAAGUUUGUCGGAGUCUCGGAUGAGAUCGAGGACAUGACGAGGAGUCUCGAAAUGGUCGAUAUGUAAAGAUCGAUAUAUUGGAAGGCUACAUGCGGACAUCGGAAAGGUUCUGAGUGAUUCGGGUAUUUUUCGGAGUACCAGAGAGUUACGGGAAUUCGUAUUGGGCCUUAAUGGGCCAUACGGGAAAGGAGAGAAAGGCCUCAAGGGUGGCCGCGCCCCUUCCCCAUGGACUGGUCCGAAUUGGACUAGGGAAAGGGGGCGCCCCGUUCCUUCCUUCUCCUUCUCCCUUCCCUCUUUCCUAUUCCAUGUGGGAGGUGGAAUCCUACUAGGACUAGGGAGUCCUAGUAGGACUCCACACUUUAGGCGGGCCCUAUGAAGGCCGGCCUCCUCCUCCCUCCAUCCUUUAUAUACAUGGCCAGGGGGCACCCCAUAGACACACAAGUUGAUCAUUGAUCCCUUAGCCGUGUGCGGUGCCCGCUCCACCAUAAUCCACCUCGGUCAUAUCGUAGCGCUGCUUAGGCGAAGCCCUGUUCCGGUAGCAUCAUCAUCACCGUCAUCACGCGAUCAUGCUGACGAAGCUCUCCCUCGACACUCAGCUGGAUCGAGAGUUCGUGGGACGUCACCGAGCUGAACGUGAGCAUAUUGCGGAGGUUCCAUACUUUCGGUACUAGGAUCAGUCGCAUCGUGAAGACGUACGACUACAUCAACCGCGUUGUAAUAACGCUUCUGCUUAUGGUCUACGAGGGUACGUGGACAACACUCUUCCCUUCUCAUUGAUAUGCAUCACCAUGAUAGAUCUUGCGUGUGCGUAGGAUUUUUUUUUUGAAAUUACUGCGUUCCCCAACAAUUAUGUCAUUGAUAUGAGUCAUUAUAAUCUUUAGGAGUUAUUGUUGACAUGGUUAGUUGUAAUGCUGGCUGAAACCCUGGCCGCUAAGCUUAUUUAUGCAAACAAAAGAAAAGACUUUCAGUUUAUCAACUGAAUUGCUUGAGGACAAGCAAAGGUUUAAGCUUCGGGGAGUUGAUACGUCUCCAACAUAUCUACUUUUUCUCACGCUUUUCCUCUUGUUUUCGACUCUAAUUUGCUUGAUUUGAAUGAAACUAACCCCGGAGUGACGCUGUUUUCAGCAUAACUACCAUGGUGUUGUUUUUGUGCAGAAAUAGAAGUUCUCGGAAUGGAACGAAACUUUGCGAGGAUUUUUUAUAUCAAUAAUACGAAUUUCUAGAGCCAAGACCUGCCGGAGAGGGGCACCUAGGUGGGCACAACCCACCAGAGCACGCCCCCCUCUCCUGGCACGCCCAGGUGGGUUGUACCCACCUGGUGGCCCCGUAGACCUCAACCAUGACACUAUAAAUUCCUAUUUUUGGAGAAAAAAUCAAGGAGAAAGAAUUAUCACGAUCCACGAGAUGGAGCCGCGCCAAGCCCUGUUCUUCCUCGGGAGGGCUGAUCUGGAGUCCGUUUGGGGCUCCGGAGAGGGGAAUCUUUGUUCUUCGUCAUCACCAACCAUUCUCCAUCGCCAAUUCCAUGAUGCUCCCCACCGGGAGUGAGUAAUUCCUUCAUAGACUCGCUGGUCGGUGAGGAGUUGGAUGAGAUUCAUCAUGUAAUCGAGUUAGUUUUGUUAGGGCCUGAUCCCUAGUAUCCACUAUGUUCUUAGAUUGAUGUUGAUAUGACUUUGGCAUGCUUAAUGCUUGUCACUUUGGGCCCGGGUGCCAUGAUUUCAGAUCUGAACCGUUUAUGUUAUCACCAUUAUAUCCAUGUUCUAGAUCUGAUCUUGCAAGUUAUAGUCACCAACUAUGUGUUAUGAUCUGACAACCCCGGAGUGACAACAACCAGGCCCACUCUCAGUGACGACCGUAGUUUGAGGAGUUCAUGUAUUCACUUGGUGUUAAUGCUUUGUUCCGGUUCUCUAUUAAAAGGAGGCCUUAAUAUCCCUUAGUAUCCAAUAUGGAUCCCGCUGCCACGGGAGGGUAGGACAAAAGAUGUCAUGCAAGUUCUUUUAAUAAAGCAUGCAUGACUAUUUACGGAAUACAUGCAUACAUUAUAUCGAUGAACUGGAGCUAGUGUCGUAUCGCCCUAGGUUAUAACUGUCACAUGGUGAAUAUCAUCCAACAAGUCACUGAUCCAAUGCCUACAAACUUUUCCAUAUUGUUUCUGCUAAGUUAGUAUCAUCACUUUUACACUUGCUACAAAAUUACUGCUAUCACUGUUACUAUUACUAUUGCUGCUGUCACUACUAGCAAAACUAUCAAACUACUUUGCUACUGAUCACUUUGCUGCAGAUAAUUAAUCUCCAGGUGUGGUUGAAUUGACAACUUAGCUUCUAAUACCUUCAAAUAUUCUUUGGCUCCCCUUGUGUCGAAUAUAUAAAUUUGCAUUGAAUACUCUACCCUCGAAAAUUGUUGCGAUCCCCUAUACCUAUGGGUUAUGAGGUCUCAUCGUAGUCAACUCCUUGAACUUGUCGAAAACCUUUCGCAACAAGUCGAGCUUUGUAGACAGUAACAUUACCAUCAGCGUUAGUCUUCUUCUUGAAGAUCCAUUUAUUCUCUAUGGCUUGCCGAUCAUCAGGCAAGUCAACCAAAGUCCAUAUUUGUUCUCAUACAUGGAUCCCAUCUCAGAUUUCAUGGCAUCGAUCCAUUUUGUGGAAUCUGGGCUCAUCAUCGCUUACUCAUAGUUUGUAGGUUUGUCAUGGUCUAGUAACAUGACUUCCAGAACAGGAUUACCGUACCACUCUAGUGCGGAACGUACUCUAGUUGACCUACGAGGUUCGGUAGUAACUUGAUCUGAAGUUUCAUGAUCAUCAUCAUUAACUUCCUCACUAAUAGGUGUUGGCAUCAUUGGAAAUGAUUUCUGCAAUGAACUACUUUCCAAUUCGAGAGAAGGUACAACUACCUCAUCAAUUGCUACUUUCCUCCCACUCACUUCUUUUGAGAGAAACUCCUUCUCUAGAAAGGAUCCAUUCUUAGCGACAAAUAUCUUGCCAUCGGAUCUGUGAUAGAAGGUGUACCCAAUAGUUUCUUUUGGGUAUCCUAUGAAGACGCACUUCUCCGAUUUGGUUCGAGCUUAUCAGGCUAAAGCAUUUUCACAUAAGCGUCGCAACCCCAAACUUUAAGAAAUGACAGCCUAGGUUUCUUGCUAAACCACAGUUCAUACGGUGUCAUCUCUACGGAUUUGGAUGGUGCCCUAUUUAACGUGAAUGCAGCUGUCUCUAAUGCAUAACCCCAAAAUGAUAGUGGUAACUUCGUAAGAGACAUCAUAGAUCGCACCAUAUCUAAUAAAGUACGGUUACAACAUUCGGACACACCAUUACGCUGUGGUGUUCCAGGUGGCGUGAUUUGCAAAACUAUUCCACAUUAUUUCAAAUGAAGACCAAACUCAUAACUCAAAUAUUCGCCUCCGUGAUCAGAUCAUAGAAACUUUAUUUUCUUGUUACGAUGAUUUUCCACUUCACUCUGAAAUUCUUUGAACUUUUCAAAUGGUUCAUACUUAUGUUUCAUUAAGUCGAUAUACCCAUAUCUACUCAAAUCAUCUGUGAAGGUUAGAAAAUAAUGAUACCGCCGCGAGCCUCAACACUCAUCGGACUACAUACAUCAGUAUGUAUUAUUUCCAAUAAGUCAGUGGCUCGCUCCAUUGUUUCGGAGAAUGGAGCUUUAGUCAUCUUGCCCAUGAGGCAUGGUUCACAAGCAUUCAUAAUCAAGUGAUUCCAAAAGCCCAUCUGCAUUGAGUUUCUUCAUGCGCUUUGCACCAAUAUGAACUAAACGGCAGUGCCACAAAUAAGUUGCACUAUCAUUAUUAACUUUGCAUCUUUUGUCAUCAAUAUUAUGAAUAUGUGUAUCACUAUGGUCCAGAUUCAACAAAAAUAGAUGACUCAUCAAGGGUGCAUGACCAUAAAAGAUAUUACUCAUAUAAAUAGAACAACUUCACUAAUUUAAAUGAAUAAUCGUCUCGCAUCAAACAAGAUCCAUAUAUAAUGUAAAUGCUCAACGCUGGCACCGAAUGAAAAUUAUUCAGGUCUAAAACUAAUCCCGAUGGUAGAUGUAAAGUUAGCGUGCCGACGGUGAUCACAUCGACCUUGGAACCAUUUCCGACGUGCAUCGUCACCUCAUCCUUAGCCAAUCUUCGUUUAAUACGUAGCCCCUAUUUCGAGUUGCAAAUAUGAGGAACAGAACCAGUAUCAAAUACCCAAGCGCUACUACGAGCAUUAGUAAGGUACACAUCAAUAACAUGUAUAUCAAAUAUACCUUUCACUUUGCCAUCCUUAUUAUCCGCCAAAUACUUAGGGCAGUCCCGCUUCCAGUGACCAGUCCCUUUGCAGUAGAAGCACUUAGUUUCAGGCUUAGGUCCAAACUUGGCUUCUUCCCGGGAGCAGCAACUUGGUUGCUAUUCUUCUUGAAGUUCCCCUUCUUCCCUUUUCCCUUUUUCUUAAAACUAGUGAUCUUGUUAACCAUCAACACUUGAUGCUCCUUCUUGAUUUCUACCUCCGCAGCCUUGAGCAUUGCAAAGAGCUCGAGAAUUGUGUUGUUCAUCCCUUGCAUAUUAUAGUUCAUCACGAAGCCUUUAUAGCUUGGUGGCAGUGAUUGAAGAACUCUGUCAAUGACACUAUCUUCAGGAAGAUUAACUCCCAGCUGAGUCAAGUGGUUAUGGUACCCAGACAUUCUGAGUAUGUGUUCACUGACAGAACUAUUCUCCUCCAUUUUGCAGCUAUAUAACUGAUGUCUACCACACAACCUUCUUCUUGUAGAUGUUGUCGAGCCUACAAGUGCAGAGGUUUGUAGGACAAUAGCAAAUUUCCCUCAAGUGGAUUACCUAAGGUUUAUCAAUCCAUGGGAGGCGUAGGAUGAAGAUGGUAUCUCUCAAACAACCCCGCAACCAAAUAACAAAGAGUCUCUUGUGUCCCCAACACACCCAAUACAAUGGUGAAUUGUAUAGGUGCACUAGUUCGGCGAAGAGAUGGUGACACAAGUGCAAUAUGGAUCGUAGAUAUAGGUUUUUGCAAUUUGAAAGUAUAAAAACAUCAAGGUAACUAAUGACAAAAGUGAGCGAAAACGGUAUUGCAAUGCGUUGAAAAAAGGCCUAGGGUUCAUACUUUCACUAGUGCAAGUUCUCUCAACAAUAAUAACAUAAUUAGAUCAUAUAACAAACAGCCUAGAGUUCGUAGUAAAAUAACACCUUAAGACACAAAUCAACCAAAACCCUAAUGUCACCUAGAUACUCUAAUGUCACCUCAAGUAUCUGCGGGUAUGAUUAUAUGAUAUGCAUCACGCAAUCUCAGAUUCAUCUAUUCAACCAACAUAAAGAACUUCAAAGAGUUCCCUAAAGUUUCCACUUGAGAGUCAAGAUGAAAACGUGUGCCAACCCCUGUGCAUAAGUUCACAAGGUCACUGAACCCACAAGUUGAUCACCAAAACAUACAUCAAGUAGAUCACGUGAAUAUCCCAUUGUCACCAUAGAUAAGCACAUGCAAGACAUACAUCAAGUGUUCUCAAAUCCUUAAAGACUCAAUCCGAUAAGAUAACUUCAAAAGGAAAACUCAAUCCAUUACAAGAGAUAGAGGGGGACAAACAUCAUAAGAUCCAACUAUAAUAGCAAAGCUUGUGGUACAUCAAGAUCAUGCCACAUCAAGAACACGAGAGAGAGAGAGAGAGAGAGAGAUCAAACACAUAGCUACUGGUACAUACCCUCAGCCCCGAGGGUGAACUACUCCCUCCUCGUCAUGGAGAGCGCCGAGAUGAUGAAGAUGGCCACCGGUGAUGGAUCCCCCCUCCGGCAGGGUGCCGGAAUAGGGUCCCGAUUGGUUUUUGGUGGCCAUAGAGGCUUGCAGCGGUUGAACGCCCGAUCUAGGUUUCUUUUCGGGGGUUUCUGUAUUUAUAGGAAUUUUUGGCGUCGGUCUCACGUCAGGGGGGGUCUCCGAGUCGUCCACGAGAUAGGGGGAUGCGCCCAGGGGGGUAGGGCGCGCCCUCCACCCUCGUGGAUGGCUCGGGACUCUUCUGGCCCAACUCUUUUACUCCUGGGGCUUCUUUUGGUCCAUAAAAACAUCAAAAAUUGGCAUGUCAAUUGGACUCCGUUUGGCAUUCCUUUUCUAUAAAACUCAAAAACAAGGAAAAAAUAGAAACUGGCACUGGGCUCUAGGUUAAUAGGUUAGUCCCAAAAAUCAUAUAAAAUAACAUAUAAAUGCAUAUAAAACAUCCUAGAUGGAUAAUAUAAUAGCAUGGACCAAUAAAAAAUUAUAGAUAUGUUGGAGACGUAUCAAGCAUCCCCAAGCUUAAUUCCUGCUCGUCCUCGAGUAGGUAAAUGAUAAAAACAAAUUUUUUGAUGUGGAAUGCAACCAAACAUAUUUAUCAAUGUAAUCUUAUCUAUUGUGGCAAGAAUAUUCAGAUCCAUAAGAUUCAAGACAAAAGUUUAAUAUUGACAUAAAAAAUAAUAAUACUUCAAGCAUACUAACAAAGUAAUCAUGUCUUCUCAAAAUAACAUGACCAAAGAAAGUCCAUCCGUACAAAAUCAUAUAGUUUGGCUAUGCUCCAUCUUCGUCACACAAAAUAUUCAGAUCAUGCACAACCCCGAUAACAAGCCAAGCAAUUGUUUCAUACUUUAGUAUUCUCAAACUUUUUCAACUUUCAUGCAAUACAUGAGCAUGAGCCAUGGACAUAGCACUAUAGGUGGAAUAGAAUGGUGGUUGUGGAGAAGACAAAAAGGAGGAAGAUGGUCUCACAUCAACUAGGCGUAUUAAUGGGCUAUGGAGAUGCCCAUCAAUAGAUAUCAAUGUGAGUGAGUAGGGAUUUCCAUGCAACGGAUGCACUAGAGCUAUAAAUGUAUGAAAGCUCAACAAGAAAACUAAGUGGGUGUGCAUCCAACUUGCUUGCUCAUGAAGACCUAGGGCAUUUGAGGAAGCCCAUUGUUGGAAUAUACAAGCCAAGUUCUAUAAUGAAAAAUUCCCACUAGUAUAUGAAAGUGCCAACAUAGGAGACUCUCUAUGAUGAAGAUCAUGGUGCUACUUUGAAGUACAAGUGUGGUAAAAGGAUAGUAGCAUUGGCCCUUCUCUCAUUUUUUGUUUUGUUUUUUUGGGCCUUCUCUUUUUUCCCAUUCUCUUUUUUUAUUUCCUCACAUGGGACAAUUGCUCUAAUAAUGAAGAUCAUCACACUUCUAUUUACUUACAACUCAAGAAUUACAACUCGAUACUUAGAACAAAAUAUGACUCUAUAUGAAUGCCUCCGGCGGUGUACCGGGAUGUGCAAUGACUCAAGAGUGACAUGUAUGAAAGAAUUAUGAUCGGUGGCUUUGCCACAAAUACAAUGUCAACUACAUGAUCAUGCAAAGCAAUAUGACAAUGAUGAAGCGUGUCAUAAUAAACGAAAUGCUGGAAAGUUGCAUGGCAAUAUAUCUCGGAAUGGCUAUGGAAAUGCCAUAAUAGGUAGGUAUGGUGGUUGUUUGGUGGGUUUAUGGUACCGGUAAAAGUUGCAUGGUACUAGAGAGGCUAGCAAUGGUGGAAGGGUGAGAGUGCGUAUAAUCCAUGGACUCAACAUUAGUCAUAAAGGACUCACAUACUUAUUGCAAAAAUCUAUUAGUUAUCGAAGCGAAGUACUACGCGCAUGCUCCUAGGGGGAUAGAUUGGUAGAAAAGACCAUCGCUCGUCCCAGACCGCCACUCAUAAGGAAGACAAUCAAAAAAAAUCUCAUGCUCCAACUUUGUUACAUAACGGUUCACCAUACGUGCAUGCUACGGCACUCACAAACCUUAACACAAGUAUUUCUCAAAUUCACAACUACUCACUAGCAUGACUCUAAUAUCACCAUCUUCAUAUCUCAAAACAAUCAUAAGGAAUCAGACUUCUCAUAGUAUUCAAUGCACUUUAUAUGAAAGUUUUUAUUAUAUCCCUCUUGGAUGCCUAUCAUAUUAGGACUAAAUUCAUAACCUAAGAAAAUUACCAUGUUGUUUAAUAAUCACAAAAUAAUAUAAGUGAAGCAUGAGAUUUCAUCAAUUUCUUCAAAAUAAAACCACCGUCGUGCUCUAAAAAGAUAUAAGUGAAGCACUAGAGCAAACGACAGACUACUCCAAAAGAUAUAAGCGAAGAUCCAGGAGUAGUCAAAUAAUUAUGUAACUAUGUGAAGACUCCUUCUCAUAAAUAAAAUUUCAGAUCUUAAGUACUUUAUUCAAACAUCAAGCAAAACAAAAUAAAAUGAUAUUGCAAGGAUAGCACAUAUCAUGUGAAGAAGCAAAAACUUAGGCUCAACCGAGGCUAACCAAUAAUUGUUGAUGAAGAAAGGUGGGAUGCCUACCGGGGCAUCCCCAAGCUUAGAUGCUUGAGACUUCUUGAAAUAUUAAUUAGGGAUGCCUUGGGAAUCCCCAAUCUUGAGCUUUUGUGUCUCCUUAAUUCCUCUCAUAUCAUAGUUUCCUGGAAUCUUAAAAACUUCAUGCACACAAAACUCAACAAGAACUCGUGAGAUAAGUUAGUAUAAAUCAACGCAAAACCUUAUCAUUCUCUACUGUAGAAAAUCAAUAAAAUUAUAAUUUGACAUUGCAUACUAAAUGCCUCUGCAUAUUUAAUAGUUCUAUCCUCAAAUAGAAUCAUUAAACAAGCAAACAUAUGCAAACAAUGCAAACAUAACAUCAAUCUGUCUAAACAGGAUAGUCUGUAAAGAAUGCAAGCGGAAUCAUACUUCUUUAACUCCAAAUAUUCUGAAAAAUUACCACACUGUAUAUAAUUUAUUUUUACUCAUUGUGUAAAAAGUUUAAGAUUUUAUCAUGUUCUGACUAUUUACAAAUAUUCAAAACAUAACAGCAAACUUUCUGUUUUUAAAACAGCAACAUAUAGACUUGCAAAAUAAGCAUGGUAAAGGCUAUACUUGACCUUUUUACUGAACUAAAAGAUGCAAAACAUUACUCUAAAUGACAGCAAGCAAAUCCUAAUAAAAUAAAAUGACGCUCCAAGAAAAACACAUAUCAUGUGGUGAAUAAAAAUAUAGCUCCAAGUAAGGUUACCGAUGAAACGAAGACGGGAUGCCUUCUAGGGCAUCCCCAAGCUUAGGCUCUUGGUUGUCCUUGAAUAUUACCUUGGGUUGCCUUGGGAAUCCCCCAUCUUAGGAUCUUGCCACUCCUUAUUCCGUAGUCCAUCGAAUCUUUACCCAAAACUUGAAAACUUGACAACACAAAACUUAACAGAAAACUCGUAAGCUCCGUUAGUAUACGAAAGCAAAUCACCACUUAGGUACUGUCAAGACAAUAUUCAUAAUUUUCUCACAUGAUACCUACUGUGCCCUAUCAUUUCUACAAUUUAUAUUAAUCAAUAUAAGCCACAGGAACUAGAAAACAAGCAAACUAUGCAUCAAAAAUAAGAAUCUGUCAAAAACAGGACAGUCUGUAGUAAUCUGUAACUCCAGAAUACUUCUGUAACUCCAAAAAUCCUGAGAAAUUAGGAAGUCCUAGGAAUUUUUUUAAUAAUCCUCUACAAAAAGAAUCAAUAUUUUAUCAUGCUUCUGUUAAAAAUUAAAACUAAUCUCCUGGGCACAAAAGUUUCUGUUUUUCAGCAAGAUCAAAUCGACUAUCACCGUAGAUCAUCCCAAAGGUCUUACUUGUCACUUUAUUAAACAAAAGCUAUAAAACAUGAUUACUACAGUAGCUCAAUCAUGUGAACACACAAAAACAGUAGGGGUAAAUGUUGGGUAGCAUCCCUACAAGCGCUUUUCUUUAAUGCCUUUUUAGCUAGGCAUGAUGAUUUCAAUGAUGCACACAUAAAAGCUAAGAAUUGAAACAAAAUGGGAUCACCAUGAAGAAUAUGACUAGCAUAUUUAAGUAUAACCCACUUCCUAUGCAUCAAGAUUUUGUGAGCAAACAAUUUAUGGUAACAAGAAUCAACUUGCAUAGGAAGGUAAAGCAAGCAAAACUUCAAGAUUUUCAACACACAGAGAGGAAACUUGAUAUUAUUGCAAUAUGUAAAAGCAUAUGUUAAUCUCUCGUAAUAAUUUUCAGUGGCAUAAUGACUGAAUUCAACAAUAUAACCAUCACACACAACAUUCUUUUCAUGAUCCACAAGCAUAGAAAAUUUACUACUCUCCACGUACGCAAAAUUCUUCUCAUUCAUAAUAGUGGGAGCAAACUCAACAAAAUAACUAUCAUGUGAGGCAUCUCAUUAGCAUAAUGGAUAUUCAAAGAAUUCAUACUAACAACAUUGCAAUCAUGCUCAUCAUUCAAAGAUUUAGUGCCAAACAUUUAAAUGCAUUCUUCUUCUAACACUUUGGCACAAUUAUCGGAAUCCUUAUUUUCAUGAAAGAUAUUAAAAAGAUGAAGCAUAUGAGGCAACCUCAAUUCCAUUUUUUUGUAGUUUUCUUUUAUAGACUAAAGUAGUGAUAAAACAAGAAACAAAAAGAUUCGAUUGCAAGAUCUAAAGAUACACCUUCAAGCACUAACCCCCCGGCAACGGCGCCAGAAAAGAGCUUGAUGUCUACUACACAACCUUCUUCUUGUAAAAGUUGUUGGGCCUCCAAGUGCAGAGGUUUGUAGGACAAUAGCAAAUUUCCCUCAAGUGGAUGACCUAAGGUUUAUCUAUCUGUGGGAGGCAUAGUAUGAAGAUGGUCUCUCUCAAACAACCCUGCAACCAAAUAACAAAGAGUCUGUCGUGUCCCCAACAUACCCAAUACAAUGGUAAAUUGUAUAGGUGCACUAGUUCGGCGAAGAGAUGGUGAUACAAGUGCAAUAUGGAUGGUAGAUAUAGCUUUUUGUAAUCUGAAAAUAUAAAAACAGCAAGGUAACUAAUGAUAAAAGUGAGCGAAAACGGUAUUGCAAUGCGUUGAAACAAGGCUUAGGGUUCAUGCUUUCACUAGUGCAAGUUCUCUCAACAAUAAUAACAUAAUUAGAUCAUAUAACUAUCCCUCAACAUGCAACAAAGAGUCACUCCAAAGUCACUAGCAGAGAACAAACGAAGAGAUUAUUGUAGGGUACGAAACCACCUCAAAGUUAUUAUUUUCGAUCAAUCCAUUGGGCUAUUCCUAUAAGUGUCACAAACAUCCAUACAGUUCACAGUAAAAUAACACCUUCAGACACAAAUCAACCAAAACCCUAACGUCACCUAGAUACUCCAAUGUCACCUCAAGUAUCCGCGGGUAUGAUUAUACGAUAUGCAUCACACAAUCUCAGAUUCAUCUAUUCAACCAACACAAAGAACUUCAAAGAGUGCCCCAAAGUUUCUACCGGAGAGUCAAGACGAAAACGUGUACCAACCCCCAUGCAUAAGUUCACAAGGUCACUGAACCCGCAAGUUGAUCACCAAAACAUACAUCAACUAGAUCACAUGAAUAUCCCAUUGUCACCACAGAUAAGCACAUGCAAUAUAUACAUCAAGUGUUCUCAAAUCCUUAAAGACUCAAUCCAAUAAGGUAACUUCAAAGGGAAAACUCAAUCCAUUACAAGAGAUAGAGGGGGACAAACAUCAUAAGAUCCAACUAUAAUAGCAAAGCUCACGGUACAUCAAGAUCGUGCCACAUCAUGAACACAAGAGAGAGAGAGAGAUCAAACACAUAGCUAUUGGUGCAUACCCUCAGCCCCAAGGCUGAACUACUCCCUCCUCAUCAUGGAGAGCACCGGGAUGAUGAAGAUGGCCACCGGUGAUGGUGAGGGAGACCUGGACUAAGGGGUCCUCGGGCGUCGGGCCUGUUACCCAUGGGCCGAACUGAUAGGCUAUGAAGACAUGAAGGCUGAAGACUGUACCUAUGUCCGGAUUGGACUCUCCUGGGCGUGGAAGGCAAGCUUGGCGAGCGACUAUGAAGAUUCGUUCUUAUGUAACCGACUCUAUGUAACCCUAGAUCCCCCCCGGUGUUUAUAUGAACCAGAGGGGUUAGUUCGGAAAGAUACACUCAUUACCAUAGUCAUACAAGCUAGGCUUCUAGGGUUUAGCCAUUAUGAUCCCGUGGUAGAUCAACUCUUGUAAUACUCAUAUUCAUCAAGAUCAAACAAACAGGAAGUAGGGUAUUACCUCUAUAGAGAGGGUCCAAACCUGCGUAAACAUCGUGUCCCUCAUCUCCUGUUAUCAUCGAUCCUAGACGCACCAGUUCGGGACCCCCUACGCAAGAUUCGCCGGUUUUGGCACCGACAUUGGUGCUUUCAUUGAGAGUUCCGCCGUGCCAUCGACAAAACGUUCGAUGGCCCCUUCAAUUCUCUAUAGUAAUGCUAUCCAAGGUGGAACUUUCCUCCCCAGACAGAUUUUCAUGUUCGGCAGCUUCGUACUGCGGGCCAACUCGCUUGGCUGUCUGGAGCAGGUCGAUAGCUAUGCCCCUGGCCAUCAGGUCAGAUUUGGAGGCUUGAACUAUGUCACGGAUAUCCGUGGAGACUUGAUCUUCAAUGGAUAUGACACCGCGAUGAUCGCCCCCCUCGCUCCGAUGAACGUGACCUAAAUCUGUCAUCGGACCAGGUUCUGGAGAUGGUUCCUAUAACUGCUACGACCUUAGAUCCGGAGCAGUUUGCACCAUUUGAAGCCACAGAGUCUGCGGCGUUGGAGCCGCACACAAACUCAACACCAGGCAAUAUCAGCGUCAACGGAAUUUCGGACUCAUUUCCGACUAUAAGUUCCGAACCUUGCGUGCUCCCGGACACUGAGCUGGAUCGGUUAUCAAUCAGCGAAUUCAGCACCGCAGAUGUCUUCCAACGCUUGCCCUUUGGCGAUGUGCUUAAUUCAUUGAAAAACCUGUCCCCGAUGGGGGACUCAUGGCCGAACUAUGUCCGGUUCGAGCUAGAGGCUGACAAUGGAGAAUUUUGCUUCCCACCCGCCACCAACUUCAUAGCCACUGUCGAGGACUCAACCGACAUGCCCGCUUCUGGCUCCGAAGACAUUGACGACAUAGACGACGAUGCCGAUAAGGAGCAAGGCCAAGACCCGCCAGUCAUCAGGCGUGUGAUGGCCACCCCUUCAUAUGACGUGUACAUGAUCGAUACACUUAAAAUGCCCCGUGACAAGGACAAGGGAGAUCCAGUUAAAACUCCUGAGACACAGCCUAAGUUCGGGCACCCCAAACACCACCCCAAGUCACGUCGCAACAACGAUGGCGCUGGAGAAAAUAGUACUCCGGAUGACGCCGAAAGCAAUGAAGACCCUGUGGGAGCAAUAUCCGAGCAGGAGGAACAGGAAAACGGGCAAGCCAGCCCCGAUGAACAGGCCCCGCCCAGCGACGGUUCGGAGGAAGAAAACUACCUUCCGCUCUCCGAAGAUGAGGUAAGCCUCGGCGACGAAGACUUCAUUGUACCCGAAGAGCCCCUCGUGCAGGAGUGCUUCAAGCGCAGGCUGAUAGCUAUGGCAAGGAGCCUGAAAAAGAAGUAGCAGCAGCUUCAAGCUAACCAAGACCUACUCAAUGACAGAUGGACCGAAGUCCUGGUCACUGAAUAAUACAACCUUAGUGGCCUAGCCAAAAGCUACCCAAAGCACAGAUCGCUAUACUAGUCCGAUAACGGGGCGUUGGAGCCCAUACCAUCGUCACACAAUGCGGCCGGUCACCGACAACUCUGUCCGGAUAAAGAGGCAACUCAAGCCGAAGACCAGACCGCUCCACCUCGCCGUAAAAGCAAGAACAAGCAGGUCACGAUUACCCAGACAACCUGCAGAGGGACUAGGACAAUAGAGUAGGAAACGCAAGACCGAUCUACGGAUCGCGAAAGCAUGCUUGGACACGCGACGAUGGCUACCUAUUCGGACGUGUCAAACCUCGCCAUGCCCGAUCCGAAAACCGCAAAGGGACUCCUUCGGGGUUACGUCGUAGUGUGGCCCAACAUAGAGGCACCGCACACCCACUUUGCUUCACUGAUGAAGUAAUGGAUCAUGAAUUCCCCGAAGGAUUCAAACCCGUCAAUAUUGAAUCAUACGACGGGACUACCGAUCCCGCGGUAUGGGUAGAAGAUUACAUCCUCCACAUCCACAUGGCCCAUGGGGACGACCUCCACGCCAUUAAAUGCCUCCCACUAAAACUAAAAGGGCCAGCUCGGUACUGGUUAAACAACCUUCCCAAAAACUCCAUAGGCAGCUGGGAGAACUUGGAAGAGGCCUUCCUUGAUAACUUCAGAGGAACACAUGUCCGGCCAUCGGAUGUCGAUGACCUAAGUCACAUUGUCCAACAGCCCGGAGAAUCAGCCAGGCAGCUCUGGACUCGGUUCUUAGUUAAAAAGAACCAAAUCGUCGACUGUACGGACGCGGAAGCCCUUGCGGCUUUCAGACAUAGUGUCCGAGAUGAAUGGCUUGCAUGCCACCUCGGCCAAGAAGGACCUAAAUCCAUGACAGCCCUCACUUCUUUGAUGACCCGCUUUCGCGCGGGAGAAGACAGCUGUCUCACUCGUAGAAGCAUUAGCGCCAGCAACCAGGGCACCUCCGAAAUCCGAGACGGCAAUGGCAAGCCACGAGGAAGCAAAAACAACAGUCGCAAUGACAAUGAAAGAUCAGACGACACAACGGUCAACGCCGGAUUCAGCAACCCCAAGCCCGGUCAGCGGAAGAAGCCAUUCAAGGCAAAUCGAGACGAACCAUCCAACCUGGACAGGAUAUUGGACCGACCCUACCAGAUUCAUGGCCACCCCGAUAAACUAGCUAAUCAUACCAAUAGAAACUGUUGGGUCUUUAAACAUGCCGGCAAGCUCAACGCCGAACACAGGGGGAGGAGGCCGCCAAGCGAUAGGGAUGACGGAAAGGUUCACCAACAAAACACCGGGGGUCAGAAGCAGUCUCCACCCGAGGAUCAACUACUCCUACAACGGAAAUAGCAACCCGGCUUCCACCGCCCACUCCUUACAUCUACAAAGUUUGUACCACGCAUACAUCAUUACGCACUCAAGAUACCAUGGGCAUUGGUGGAAGCACAAUAUGGACAAGCCUGCAAGCACUCCAGUAACUUUUAUUAUUAUUAUUAUUUAUUUUAUUUUUAUUUAUUCCUUCGCUAUCUUUUAAAAACAGGUAACAAACAGGAUAAACAUCUGAAACUGGCUCUAUCGGAGUCUGAAUCUGUACACUCACCUAAGGGGCUAUUUCCAUCAAGGAUUCCCCCCACCGAGGACUGGCGGCGCAGACGUGCGACAGGAGGUCCAAAAUAACUUUUUGUAGACCGCACUCUCUAUUUCUCGAGCAUGUACUAUGCCUGUUCCUCCGCCUCCAACCCCAAGCAUGUCAAAUAGCCAGGAGGAUGGCUUUUAUAUAUAUCAUAAGUAAUCAUCGGCAUAUCGCUCAGUUCCCAUUAAACAAUAUCCGAACUAAUCACCCGCAUUGUUUCCCCAACAAAUAUGGCUCUUACGAUUAUUUCACAGAAAUACCUUGGCAUAACAUGCCAGGGGCUUGGUGUGGGAACAAAUGACUUGCGAGUAAAAGUCCGAACAACUCUAUAGCAUACUUCGGCGUCGCAAGUUUGGCCUUAUAUGCAUCAGCUCCGAAUCAUUGUCUUGGGUCAAUAGUUGGGUUGCUCGGCUCCUGUGCUUGCUACCCUAUGUUCCGCUCUAUCGGCUAGGGUAGUAAAGGGAGAACUACUGCGAUUGUUCCCUGGUCUAAACCGGACGAGCACCUCAAUAGAGAAAGCCGAAAACUGACUGUCAUGAUGCGGCGUGAGCUGGUCAUUCACUUGACGACUUCUUGGAAUCUCUAGCGAUUCUCCGUGUCACACGAGGGAUCUUUUUUAGAUCAAAUAUGUAAGGCACCAUACGCCGCAUACAUACCAGGGGCUAUGUCGUAGACCCACAAUAAAACUCCUAUUGCUAAGUGAAAGCGUUAACGCCCUAUAGUCCGAUUGCCUGGUUCGCCGCAUUUAUCACCUCCUUCAUGGACCAAGAUGUUGGAUAAAGAGUGAUGAAAUGCAUUUCCGAACACCCUCGUACUUCCUAUGAGGGGGCUGAAGCCGACGACUGAAAAACUUUCAGAUUAUAUCAAAAUGGCCCCACAGGAGGAAUUCAAGCUUUCAAGCAAAACAUAAAUAGAUUAACUAUAAAAUUGUCUUUUACAAUUUUCAUACACCUCACUCGAACAUUAUGUCUUUCGAGCACUGACCCUCUAUAAAGCGGGCGGCCUCUAGGACAUCUUCAAAAUAAUGCUCCGGUUUCAGGCGGUCCUUGCCUUUGGGUGGACUCUUCGUCGUAACAUCGAUGGCCUUCAUCUUCCCCCAGAAUGUUUUGACUCGGGCAAAAGCCAUUCGCGCACCCUCAAUGCACGAUGAUCGCUUCACAGCAUCGAUACGCGGCACCGCAUCAACAAGCCUCUGCACCAAACCGAAAUAGUUAUUCGGAACAGGCUCGGUUGGCCACAACCGGAUUAUGACAUCCUUCAUGGCAGCGCCAGAUAUCCUAUGAAGUUCAGCCCAUUGCGACAUUUGUUCAUUGAGCAACAGAGGGCGCUUUGAUGCGCCAAACCACGACCAAAAAAGCUUCCCUGUUGCAUAUCCAUCUCGCGCUUGGUAAUACUAUGCUGCAUCGGUAGAACUCUUUGGCAAGUCCAAGAACUCGUCCGGAGAACUCCAUACUUGGUUAAGCUGGGCAUAGUUCGGGUCACCGAACUUAGUUUGCAGCAGAAAGGGCUUUCCAGCCACAAUCUCCCUUGCCCGUCGAACCUCCUCAUGGGCUGCUCUGGAUUCCUACCGCGCUACUCUAGCCUCUUGUAAGGCCUUGUCCAGAUCAGCCAUUAAGGCUUUACUCUCCUUGUCUAGAAAUUCACAGCGGCCAGUAGCAUUCUCCAGUUCGAGCAUCAUAGUGGAUAUCUUCUCCUCAUCUUGGCACCAUGCAGCUUGUUCGGCUUUUAAUUCAGCCGAUGCCUUUUCGGGAGCAGCAUUACUACGACAGGCUAGCUCCUUGGCCCGGGCCAGCUCCGCUCGAAGAACUUCAACGGGGGCAGCACCAUCUACAGCCAUGCAUAUUCCAGCAUCUAAAUCUUAACAUCAUGAUUAUACCACAAAAAUGUAUGAGGAUUGCCCCGAAUACAUACCUUGCGACUCGUCAAGACACAAAUUGAUUAAAGCAUGAUCAUCCCCUGCCACAUCAAGCUUCCGCUGCAAAUCGGCAAUUUCCAUAGUCCGGGAAGCGGCCAAGGGGAAGCAGCCUAUGUUCAAAAUUGAUCAGGUUAGUCCUCAAACGUUCUUUUUCGAUCCUCCAUUUUUCUUCCCAGCGGAAGCCAACCUGAGUAUCAGGGGCUACUACCUAUACACAAGCGUGUCUUUGCAAACAAAACAUAGCUGAAAACAUUAUGUCUCAAACCUCGAAGCCCUUCAGUAGGCUCAUGAACGCCUCAUUUAAUCCGCUCUUCACGGACGAAAUCUAUUCAAACACUGUACCCAUCAAGGUACGUUGUUCCCCCGAGACAGAUGCUUUCCGCAACAUGUCCCACAACAUAUCCGGAGUCCCCGGGUCUCCGGAAGCUGCUCCAAAAGCACAAUCGUCCUUUGAAGGAAUCUGCUCACCCGUCUUCAAAAUCGCUGUCGGUUGUGAACCAGACAGUCCGGGGCCUUUGUUAUCAUCAGCCCCGGAAACCCGGAUGGUUGGAGGUCCACCUUUGGGUAUUGCCUCUUCUGUCCCCUAGUCUAAAGGGACCCUCCACGAUGACACUUUAGAGUCAUCCUCCUUAUUGGGUGAGGAGGUUGGAGGAGGCGUCUCGCUCUCCAUCAUCUCUGGGAGGAGACUCCCCGAAGAAGAGGAUUGCCCGGAAAAAUUCUGUGCCGACCUGUAAAAAUUCAUAAAUGUGUUACGUGUAUCUUCAGUAACAAUAAUGGAGCAGGACGCUAUCAAAGUACUCCGGAUUCUCUCACGGUUUGGCCGAGGGCUUGUCCCCCUGUUGGAGCUGCUCAACGGCGUCACUUUCCAAACCCAAGCCGAUCGACGGUGGCAUCUUGCCCUUCUUGGAAGACCGCCCCUCCCAAUCUUCGGAGGCGGUCCUUUUCCUCCUAUUUGGAGAAGGGAUACCGGGUCCUUUUCCGCCUCCGGGCGAGGAAAGGUCGAUUUCUUCGGACUCAGUGUCCGACUUACCUCCGGAACCAAGGUCAUCUUGGGUCUUUUCUCCCUCCCCUGUUGGUGCCUGGUAUGGCACCGAGGCCAGCAUCCUUAUUAACACAGGAUUAGCUGAGUCUUCGGGAAGGGGAGCCAGACACCUAAUCCGUUCCACCUUCUUUAUCGAGCCCUGAAAAAGGAUGAUAUUGUUGGUAUCUUGCCACUGGGUAUCUGACUAUAAGGUAUUCGGUAAACGGGUACUUACCGGGGUAUCCUGAUGGUUACAGUCUAGGCCGACAUCUUCGGUGGUGUCCGGCCAUUGCCUUCAUUUCCCGAAGAAUAAUCUCCACAUUCCUUUGUGCGUUGUGCCGAAGAAGUGCUGAAGAGUCUACGGCCCUUCUGGAUUGAACUCCCAUAGGCGGAGAGGCCGUCGUUGGCACGGCAGGGUCCGACGAACUAGCAUUACUCGAACGACGAUGGCUAUGUCGAUGUCCCUCUCAAUAAGGCUUCGGAUGCGACUUUGCAGAGUUCGCACAUCAUUCGUUGAUCCCCAAUCCAGCCCCUUGUUAAUCCAUGAUGCAAGCUGAAUUGGGGGUUUGGGUCGAAAUGCGGGCGUAGUUGCCCACUUGGAGCCGCAGGGCUCGAUGAUAUAGAACCACCCCUGCUGCCACAGAUCGGAAGAUUUGGCGAAGGAUCCUUUCAGCCAAACGGUGCUAGCAAGCUUGCUCACUGUAGCACUGCCGCACUCGGCCUGCUCCCCCUCUACCACUUGUGGCUUCACAUCGAAAGUCUUGAGCCACAAGCCGAAGUGCGGAGGAGUUCGGAGGAGGGCUUCACACAUGACGAUAAGUGCCGAGAUAAGAAGAAUAGAGUCCGGGGCCAAAUCCUGAAUGUCUAGCCCAUAAUAGAACAUGAGCCCUCGGACGAAGGGGUUAAGUGCAAACCCUAACCCACGGAGGAGGUGGGACAUGAACACGACCCUCACUCUGGAUCUAGGGGUGGGAAUAACCUGCCCCUCGGCAGGAAGCCGAUGAUGGAUUUCAGCGGUCAGGUACCUCACCGCCUGAAGCUUUGCAAUGUCUUCCUCCACAACAGAAGAAGCUACCCACCGGCCUUGACGGAUGGAUCCGGACAUGAUUGGGGCUGGUGGCGACCGAAACCCCAGUGUUGGAACUCGGGGUAGCAGGGGUUGAGGAAGAGGCAAGCAUGGAAGACAAAUAUGGGUCUGCACCCCUAUAUAAAGGCUGCAAAUAUCAAACGUCUCCUCUUGGGACUAAAAAACUUGCUUGUCUUCAAGGAGUUGUACCCAAGCGACGGCUGGGUUACCCACGUCCGGGUUGACAGGAAUCCCUUAAAAAGGGAGGCACGAUCUCCGCUUGGAUAAGACGUGCCAAUAAGACUACGUCUUGGGACGUGGGGUGACGGGCUGGCUAAAACGGUUCGCAAGUAGUGGCCGGGUAGGCGUGGUGUCAUAUUACCCAAAAAGUGGUCGGUGGGUUGGACCCCUGAAAUAUUAUGUCUCUGCGGUUGUGCAUACAAGUCCAAAAUCAUUACGUCUGAAGAUCAACUAGGAGUUCAGAAGGGGGAACCCGCCUUGCAAUGCCGAAGACAAUCUGCGCGUCGGACUCCUCGUCAUUGAAGCCAAGUUCAGGGGCUACUGAGGGAGUCCUGGACUAAGGGGUCCUUGGGCGUCCGGCCUGUUACCCAUGGGCCGGACUGAUAGGCUGUGAAGACAUGAAGGCUGGAGACUGUACCUAUGUCCGGAUUGGACUCUCCUGGGCGUGGAAGGCAAGCUUGGCGACCGACUAUGAAGAUUCCUUCUUAUGUAACCGACUCUAUGUAACCCUAGAUCCCCCCCGGUGUCUAUAUAAACCGGUGGGGUUAGUUCGGAAAGAUACACUCAUUACCAUAGUCAUACAGGCUAGGCUUCUAGGGUUUAGCCAUUACGAUCUCGUGGUAGAUCAACUCUUGUAAUACUCAUAUUCAUCAAGAUCAAUCAAGCAGGAAGUAGGGUAUUACCUCUAUAGAGAGGGCCCGAACCCAGGUAAACAUCGUGUCCCUCGUCUCCUAUUACCAUCGAUCCUAGAUGCACAGUUCGGGACCCCCUACCCGAGAUCCGCCGAUUUUGACACCGACAGAUGGAUCGUCCCUCCGGCAGGGUGCUGGAACAGGGCCCUGAUUGGUUUUUGGUGGCUACAGAGGCUUGCGGCGGCGGAAAUCCUGAUCUAGGUUUCUUUUCGGGGGUUUCUGUAUUUAUAGGAAUUUUUGGCACCGGUCUCAUGUCAGGGGGUGUCUCUGAGUCGUCCACGAGUUAGGGGGACGCGCCCAGGGGGUAGGUGUCGGUGUCAAAACCGGCGGAUCUCGGUUAGGGGGUCCUGAACUGUGUGUCUAAGGUCGAUGGUAACAGGAGACAAGGGACUCGGUGUUUACCCAGGUUCAGGCCCUCUCUAUGGAGGUAAUACCCUAUUUCCUGCUUGAUUGAUAUUGAUGAAUAUGAGUAUUACAAGAUUUGAUCUACCACGAGAUCGUAAUGGCUAAACCCUAGAGGUCUAGCUUGUAUAGCUAUGAUAAUGAGUCUCCUAUCCGGACUAAGUCCUCCAGUUUAUAUAGACACUGGGAGGAUCUAGGGUUACACAAGGUUGGUUACAAAGAAGGGAAUCUACAUAUCCAGCCGCCAAGCUUGCCUUCCACGCCAAGGAGAGUCCCAUCCGGACAUGGAUGCAGUCUUCGGUCUUCGUAUCUUCACAGACCAUCAGUCCGACCCAUGGCUAACAGGCCGGACGCCCCGAGGACCCCUUAGUCCAGGUCUCCCUAAGUAGCCUCCGAACCAGGCUUCAAUGAUGAGGUGUUCGGCGCGCAGACUGUCUUAGGCAUUGCAAGGCGGGUUCCUCCUCCAACGUCUACCAAGUAAUGUGUUCGGCUUUCAAUUCGAUGUCGCACCCCUCGGCUUCGGUGCAUUUAUGACCUGAUCCUCCACGUGUCAGGAGAAUGUGUAUGGACAGGGUAUUUUUUUCAAAUAACACCCUAGCCCUGCAAAAAAGAAUGUCUAUUUAAAGGGAUUGGAUCUCACAUCCUUUCGGCAUCACGCGGAGAAAAUCCUCAGAUAUUGCCAGGAGAAACCAUUCCAACAUGGCCAACAUUCCUAGCUCCACUUCCCGUUCCAACCUAGAUAGGGGCGAGUGGAAGAGGUGCUCCAUACCCCACAACCAAUUGGUGAAGCUGCAAACGCACGGAUUUCUCCCUCCUGCAGAUCUGGUCCCUGUUCGAGUAGGACUGGCCUCCUUCAAUGGCAAAACCCAGGCGGAGGAUUUCCCCAAUCCGUCUGCGGGAGAACGAGUGUGCUUCGUCCCCUAUCUGUUGAGGAGUGUGGAAUUUCCAAUUCACCCAUUCCUCCAAGGGCUUCUAGAGUACUACGGCCUCCAGCUGCAUAAUUUUACCCCAGCCUCCGUCCUGCACAUCGCGGGUUAUGUCGCUUUAUGCGAACUAUUCCUGGGUUGCGAGGCCCCAUUUCGAUUUGUGAAGAAGACUGUUUUGCCUCGUCCCUCACAAUCAAGGUGCGUCAAUUUUUGAAGUGGGAGGAGCCGAAGUGUGGCGCAUCGCCAGGACCGGAUACCUGUCCGGCACGCCGAAGAAAGCUCCCGAAGAGUGGCCCUCCGAAUGCUUCUACAUCGACGGCGUCGCUCUACCCGACCCCGUCCGCAUGGGCCUCCCCGAGUUUUCAAAUGCUCCACUGAAUAAAUGCCAUAGCUGGCGUCCUCGGAGCCUCGAGGAAGAGGAUAGUGCAGAGAUCAGCCUGCUGCUGGGCAAGAUUAAGAUGCUUGCCCAGUCCGGAUUGUCAAUAGCUGAGGUGAUGGCGAUUUCGAUAACGCGGGGGGAUCCAGCCACUUCAAUAUAGAGGGCUGCCCAUGUGGCAUUAUAAUGGAGAAGACGAUGCCUCACGCUAUGGCCAAAAGGGCCCGAAGACUCCUGCCGCCCUAGCCAAAAUACUGGUCGAGCUGUAUAAAGGGGAGAAGGAGGAGUUCACCCGUCUCCAAAUUCAAGACGAGUUUUCCAUUUAUAAUCCUCCCAGCUGGGUAAAGUUCAGAUCCACUAUUUUAUUCUUGUACCUGAAUCAUUCUUGACAAGCAGCAUCUUAUCUUGCUCAUAACAGGAAUGGCGAACGGCUGUCGAGGGGAUCCAUGACCCUGCCCCUCAGCCGGAGAAUCGCAACCGGGAUCUUGACCCCGAAUAUGAGGAAGACCCGGACAUAUUUGUGGAGCUUGAGGAUGGAAUAUUAUAUCAGAUGAGCUAUGACGGUACAUAUGUACCCAUCAUCGUUGAUUACCCUGGCCUCCUUCCUGCUUCACGUGUAAGUAAUCUGUAGACACCUUAUCCAAAAGAGUUGUCCCAUUCUUCCUUACCCACCGCACUGUCCUAUGCUUAGAAGGGGAAGUGUUCGGCGCGCCAUGCUGCCCCGAGAGCAUCUCCGAAGAGAGCGUCCCCCAUACCAGGCAAGCCUUCUAAGAGGAAGGCAAACGAAGAUACAGCCGAGCCUUCAUCAAAGAGGUAUGAAUUUGCAAGUAUGCACCUUUGCAGUCACAUCCAACUGUGACCUUUCCAUUUACCCUGUAUCGGGAAAAAGGUGUGUCGGACUACACCCGGGGGUCUGGCCGGUCAUACUUCCCGCAGCCAGGAUUCAAAUCCUGCUGUGAAGAACGGGGAUGAUGCGGGGGUGACGCUGGACUGUCCUCCGGCCAAGGACUCGGAUGAUGUAUCCGUCACCAACUCGGAAGUGGAGAGCACCAUGAAUCAUCGGCGCCGUAGGGCCAUUUUACGAGACCAUGGUUUUUCGGAAGAGUCAUUUAACGCCUUCAGCUCAGCCGAUGCGUAUAUCCGAGCUGCUCGAGAUGGGCUUAAUAGAGCCACAAAACAACAUAUAAAAGAUGUGCAGGUAAGUUUGUUUUGUUUGACUAUGAUAACCAUAUGCCAGUAGCCCCCGAGACUUAAAGUAGUUGAAACAACUGAUUUAAGGAUCAAUGUACAACCAGGUGCUUACGGAGAAGAACACCAUGUUAACUCAGGAACUAGAAAAGUGUCGGCGCCAGCUGUCUGCUGCCAAUGCCGAACUGGAGAAAUCCAAGACGGCAUCCCCCGGUAAUGUUUCCCUCCAUCGAGAAAUCAUAAUUGUACACUAACAAUGCUAAUCUGGUUACUUAUCGUUGUAUUGGAUUGUUAGACCAACUGCCGGAGCAGCUGGACGCCGCUUGAGGCGAAGAACACGGAGCCAAAAAACUGCUAGCAGCGGGCGAUCAUGUGUUAACAAAAGUCGUUCAGGAGAAAAAGAAGCUCCAGGAUUCAAACACCAAACUGGGCGAAGAACUGAAAGACAUGCGAGCUCAGCUAGCUGACUCCGUGAAGGAGAACAAAAAAUUGUGAGGCGGUAUAUUCAGUAUGUGGCCGCAUUUAUCUUAUAACAGUUUGGAAGUAACCGUAGUUGAUAUAGCUGUGAUUGCAGGUGUAUUGAUGGGCCACCCUGAAGAGGAGGUGUCCGGAUCAUCAAGUGAUCUUCUGCAAGAGUUGUCGCAGUUGCAUGAGCAAGCUCGGCAGGCAAUGCGGAGUGUAGCCAAGGCCCUAUGGCCAUCUGACUCCCCUCCAGGGAGUAUGGAGAAGCUUGUAGAGAUGUUCAAGGGAGCGUGGCGGCGUAUCCGACUGUGGAAGAUAUCGACCUGCCGAGAGGGUGCGCGAGAAGCCUGGGCCAUGAUAAAAACGUGGUAUACCAAGCUGGAUCCGAAUCACAUGGCCUGGGUUGGACCGCUAGGGUCAAAUGGGGAAGAAAUUCCUGUUAGUUUAGUAUAUGGCCAAGUUGAGGUGGCUGCUAGAUACUCACAACAGGAUUGUAAGUUAGACCGCCUGUUGGACGGUAUAGAGGAGGAAGUUUUUGAGUCCUAAGUGACUAUGUACUUUCCUUCUAGAUGGAUAAUAAAAACAAUUGUCAUGGCCGACCUUUUCGCUUCGACCUCUGGACCUGAAGGCGGAGUGUUUCUGAAUACCCUAACGGUAGAAUAUACUGGGGCAUGCAUGGGAACCAGGCGUAGGGGUCAUAGUUGCUUGAACAGACAAUGUGUAUCCGGCUAGUUAUGUUAUUUUACAUUAUGUAAGAAACAUCUUCUAGAGAGAAUAGUUCCGGUAAGGGUUCCUUUCCCUGGGUGUGCAUGCGUUUAAUGUGCAUGUCCGAACUAUGAUUGAAAAAAUCACAGAGUAUGUAACUUCUGGGGUUUCAUAAUGGAAUGAAUGCGGGGACAUCUUUAAUUUGCCGACUGAAUAUUCCCUUAAGAAUGCUAGCUUUCGGCAUCACCCAGUCUGAGGUACACGUCCGGAUGACCCAGCAGUAACAAUCGCAGAGGUGCUCCCUUUAUGCCCUAGCCGAACUGAAGGGAACGUAAGGCAUAAGCACAGGAGCCAGGCAACCCAGCUUGGCCAAAACUUAAGUCAUAUCGAUACAUAUAAUGGCGAAGAAAAGGUACAUAUGGAAAAACACAUAUGUGGUGAGCUUGAUGCUCAAAGGAUAAUAGCAAGCUUCUGUACGAGAAGCCCCCAGGUAUAAUGAACGUACAUAUGCACAGAUAUACGCAUCAGGUAAGGAUGGUCUAGCCAUACUAAAACCGUAAGGCUAAAGAGCAAAACCAAAAAAAGAUAAAAAAAUGAGAAGAGAGAAAAAAUAACGUUAAUAACAUGAGGGAGGAGACGAACACAGAGUUCAGCGCUAGGCAUAAAAUCAUCGUAGUCUGGCCGCAUUCCAGGGGUUCGGCUCCAGGUGAUUGUCUGACGCAUCACGCAGGCGGUAUGCUCCUCCGGUGAGAAAUUCGUCAGUGAUGAAGGGACCCUCCCACUUGGGCUUCAGUUUGUCCUUUUUCUUCUCCGGCAGGCAUAGAACGAGUUCACCAACGUUAUAACUCUUGGCCUGCACUUCUCUACUUUGAUACCUGCGAGCCUGCUGUUGAUAAAACGCGGAACAGGCUUUUGCGACGUCGCGCUCCUCCUCCAAGGCAUCUAGGCUGUCCUGCCGAUCAAGCUCGGCUUCUCUCUAUUCGUACAUGCGCACUCGAGGUGAGUCAUGAAUAAUAUCAAAGGGUAACACUGCUUCUGCACCGUACACCAUGAAGAAAGGUGUAUAUCCAGCAGUGCGGUUGGGCGUGCUCCGCAGCCCCCAGAGUACGGAGUCAAGUUCCUCCACCUAGUGCUAGUCUAAUUCUUUCAAAGACCGCACUAGUCUAGGUUUGAUGCCGCUCAUAAUAAGACCAUUAUCCCGUUCGACUUGACCAUUUGUCUCUGGAUAAUAGACCGAGGCGUAAUUGAGUUUAAUACCUAGAUUAGCACACCGAGUUUUCACUUCAUCGGCUGUGAAAUUAGAGCCAUUAUCGGUUACUAUGCUGUGUGGGACACCAUAACGGUGUACCACACCAGAUAUGAAAUCUAUUACUGGCCCCGCUUCGGUCGUUUUGACUGGUUUGGCCUCUAUCCACUUAGUGCAUUUAUCCACCAUGACCAGCAAAUACUUUCUCUUAUGGCUUCCUCCUUUAAGGGGUCCGACCAUAUCGAGUCCCCAGACCGCAAAAGUCCAAGUGAUGGGGAUUGUUUGUAAGGCAGUGGGGGCAUAUGGCUUUGGUUGGCAAAGAGUUGGCAUCUGAUGCAACAUUGGACAAGGUCCUGUGCAUCUGCUCGGGCCGUCAGCCAAUAAAACCCUGUAUAGAAGGCCUUGCUAACAAGGGCCCGAGCUACGACGUGGUGACCGCCGAGCCCGGCAUGAAUCUCGGCCAAGAGCUUCCGCCCCACUUCCUCGGAGAUACAUCUUUGAAGGACUCCUGUAGCGCUUUUCUUAUAGAGCUCUCCGUCAUGAACCUUGUAGGCCUUCGAACAUCGGACAAUGCAGGGGGCCUCAUUCUGGUCCUCAGGAAGCUCCUUCCUGUUAAGGUAGGCCAGGAAGGGUUCGGUCCAUGGGGCAAUGACUUCCAUGAUGAGAUGCGCCGACGGUGUUAUUUCAGUGGCUGAGCCUCCGAUGAUGUCGGUGUUUUCGGAAUAUGGGGUUAUGUUCGGAUCCGGACUAGUGUUGCCGUUUUCCCCCUGCCACACCACAGAUGGCUUAAAAAGCCUUUAAACAAAGAUAUUAGGUGGUACGGGGUCACGCUUAGCGCCGAUAUGAGCAAGAACAUCUGCCGCUUGAUUACUUUCUCGAGCCACGUGAUGGAACUCGAGCCCCUCGAACCGGGCCGACAUUUUUAUGAUUGCGUUACGAUAAGCUGCCAUCUUCGGAUCUUUGGUGUCGAAGUCUCCAUUUAUUUGAGAUAUUGCGAGGUUUGAGUCCCUGUGCACUUCUAGGCGUUGUAUGCCCAUGGAGACAGCCAUCCAGAGACCAUGCAAUAAGGCCUCGUAUUCGGCUGCGUUAUUGGAGUCUGUGUAUAGUAUUUGGAGUACAUACUGAAUGACGUCUCCAGUAGGGGACGUUAAAACGACGCCUGAUGAGGAUAUAGACCCGGGGUAGGGUAAUAGGCCUGACCUAUACGUCCUAUCCAAUGUCACUGUCUUAGAAGCAAAGAAGCUAAAGAGACAACAAGGAGGGCCCAACAAAGGUGUCGAGUGCGAUCCACUCGACCUACCAGUCACUCGGAGACCCCUCCUUCCUUAGGUCACUCGACCACUCAAUCACUCGACCAUGCAAGAAUCCAUUCGACUUGUUUGAAGACCAGGAGUCAUCCAGAACGGCAAGGGGCAAGCGUCCACUCUGUAGUCUUUAAGGACAUUCAGGCAUUUAAGACUGGUGUUACCAGUAACGUCACCUCUUCAUGUACAUUGAACUCUUGGUAACGGAGGAUGGCCGGGGUCCUGGUGCACUCUAUAUAAGCCACCCUCCUCCUCUAGCACAAGGUUUCGGACCCCUGUAACACACACACACACACACACACAUAAUCUAGUCGACCGCCUCCGGGCACCGAGAUGUAGGGCUAUUACUUCCUCCACGAAGGGCAUGAACUCGUAAAACUCGCUGUACAACUUUGCCAUAGCUAGGAUCUUGCCUCCUCAUACCUACCCCCCAUUCUAAUGUCACUCUUAGAUCCAUGACAGUUGGCGCCCACCUUGGGGCAGGUGUCUUAGCGACUUUUUGGUGGAGUUGCGAUUUUUCCUAUUCUCGUCAUCAUGGUUUCCGCCAGCGGACUGGUUGAGGGCCGCAAGAUCCGUCUUGGCAUGCAUGUUCAUCGCCGAUGACUCCGCCUGGCUUCAGGAAGCUCCACUCGACGUCGAUGCGCUCCCCGUCCGCAGGGCGACGCACUUUCGCACGUGCGUCCGUGGCCUCCUUCUCCGGCAACCAUCGACACAAUAUCGGUCAGUUCCUAUGGUGUCCUCGUUCCCUGCUAUUCGCCGGCACAAGCGUUUUGGUCGGUUGUGGCUCCAGCGGUGGGUGAGACAUGCGGUGGCCCGCCAGUCGGCCACCUCGCAAGUCACGGCAAUCGAGCCCGAUGAAAGUCUCUACGGCCUGUUCGACCUAUCGACUGGCUCCGUCGAGACCGCAUCCGAGUGCGACAGCAGCGAUCCCGCAGUAGAAGUCUUGAUGGUAAACGGACCACUUAGUCCUCCUGGCUUCCCCCGCGACGAUGGUGGUGAUGGCAGCAGCGAUCCAUCAUGUGUUCACGAAGAGUACCACCCUGAGCCCCUUUCUUCGCAGCGGAGGGAAGAGCUUCGCCGCUGCAACAUGGAUGCACUUCACACUCCAAUCGUUGGAGAAACCCCCGAGGCCCAUGCCUUGGAGGAAGCACGCCUGGCCAAUCUGGUUGAGCGCACUUGACUGGAGAAUCUGUCUCGGCAGCAGAUCCCUGAAUCCAGUCGACGACAGCUUUUUCCACCUCAAACUCAGGUAUACCGCACUCCGAUUCAAAAUCUCACAGCUACGGCCCGAAUAGCAGAGUCAAUCCAGCCCUCCUAGUCGGAGGCAGGCAGAGGUUUGAUGCAGAUCUGGGCCUUGCUCCGAGCAGCUAGGGAGCAGAACACCGUAGUGUCUCAGUCGCGGAAUAGGAUUCAUAGCAGAUCUGUGGUGGCGGAUAUAGUGCAGUCGACCCAUAGCCCAAGAUCGCCCCCUCGCCGUGAGGGACGUGGGCGCAGGCAGGAUCAGUACAGAAACCAUGAGCAAUAUGAUCACCUCCUCGGCCACGACGAUCGACAUCGAGUGCCGACGCCUCCUCUAAGGAGUGGGUCAUAUGUGCCUCGGUGGCAUGAUGACAAAUGCCCUCACAGCGGCGAGCGAAGAAUACCAGUCGACCCAAGGGAGCCAAGCUUUGAUGCGAGAUCUAUUCUCGUUCAAGGUCUGGUUGACAGGAAUAGAGCACACAGAGAAGGCCAUGACAGAGAUUAUCCGACUAGCGACAGAGUGCACGUUUCAGGUCCCGAGUGUUUUAGCAGAGCCAUCAGGGCCGCAGUGAUUCCUCCCAAUUUCAUGUUGGUGACUGGAGUCAGCAAGUUUACGGGUGAUUCUAAGCCUGACACUUGGCUUGAGGACUACUGGGUAGCUGUACAGAUUGGUGGUGGCAAUGAUGAAGUCACCAUGAAACACCUUCCUCUGAUGUGUUGGAAGGCUCGGCCAGAGCAUGGCUGAAUCAGUUGGCACCCGGCAGCAUAUUCAGUUGGGAGGAACUCGCCCGAGUGUUUGUUAGGACUUUUGAAGGUACUUGCAAGCGACCAGCGGGGUUGACUGAAUUGCAGAGUUGUGUGGAAAAACCGAAUGAAACCCUGAGAGACUAUAUCGAGAGAUGGAUCACGUUACACCAUACGGUGGAGAAUGUGUCAGAUCACCAAGCAGUUUGUGCUUUCAAGGAAAGCGUUAAGUAUCGGGAGUUGAAUCUGAAAUUCGGUCAGACAGGAGAUAUGUCCUUGACUCGGAUGAUGGAGAUUGCCACCAAAUACGCCAACGGCGAAGAAGAAGACCGACUCCGGAGUGAAAAGCACAAAACAGUCGCCCAGGACACCGGUGGAGUUACUUCCAAUUGGAAAGAGAAGCGUAAAGCCGAGCCAGUUGCUCCUGGUGAGGCUUUAGUUGUGGCUCAAGGAAAGUUCAAGGGGAAGCCCAAAGGGCCCUAGAACCCCAAGAAAGUGAAAGAUCAAGAUAGAAAUGUUGUGUUGGAUUUGCCAUGUCACAUUCACACCAAGAAAGAUGAAGAGGGUAAUCUGAUUUAUCCCAAGCAAACCACUCGGCAGUAUCGGCUCCUGAUCUAGCAGUUCCGAGAGAAACAACCCAAGGAGAAGGAAAAGGAGUCCGACAAGGACGAGGAUAAGGAAGAGGAUGAUGAUGGUUUUCCCAACGUCAACUCCACUCUGAUGAUUUUUGUUGAUGUUGAGAGCAAAAGUUGAUUGAAAGUUAUCAACAGAGAAGUGAACAUGGUUGCUUCGGCAACACCAAGUUAUUUGAAGUGGUCCCAGACUGCCAUCACAUUCGACCAGUCUGACCAUCCAACACGUAUAGCCACCCCAAGGAGGCAAGCGUUGGUGGUCGACCCAGUUAUUGAAGGCACUCGACUGACUAAAGUGCUUGAUGGAUGGUGGUAGUGGCCUGAAUAUCCUUUAUGCUGAAACCUUGAAGGGAAUGGGGAUUCCGAUGUCCAAGCUCAGCGAAAGUAAUAUGAGUUUCCAUGGCGCUAUACCUGGCAAGAAGGUUGAAUCACUCAGCCAGAUCACCCUUGAUGUGACUUUCGGUGAUUCCAAGAAUUACCGCAAGGAAAAAUUGACAUUUCAAGUAGUGGAUUUCCAGAUUGCUUAUCAUGCUAUUCUGGGUAGGCCUUCCUAUGCAUGUUUCAUGGCUCGACCGUGUUACGUGUACCUCAAACUGAAAAUGCCCAGUCCCAGAGGAGUGAUCACUAUCAUUGGCAAUCGGCAGAAGGCAGAAGAGUGCUUCCAGAAGGGCUCAAAAAUCGCCGAUGCACAAAUGGCAGCAGUCGAAAUGCAAGAAUACCAGAAAAAUGCAGAUUUGAGUGAUUUGCUGCGCUCCAACAAGCCUGCCACAGAUUCUGCAUUUCAGUCUUCUGGUGAAACCAAGACGAUUCAUAUCCACCCGACCGAUCCUAAUGCUGCUCCUACUCAUAUCUCAACAUCGCUCGACAGCAAAUAGGAAGAAGCGCUCAUCCAGUUCCUCCGUGAGAACUGGGACAUCUUUGCAUGUAAGCCUUCUAACAUGCCAGGUGUACCCAGGGGACUGGCUGAGCAUCGUUUGCGAGUCGACCCGAAAGUAAAACCAGUCAAGGAACAUCUUCGACGGUCCACCGUACAGAAGGGAAAAGCAAUUGGUGAGGAAGUGGCUCGGCUCCUGGCAGCUGAGUUCAUCCGUGAGAUUUACCACUCCGAGUGGCUUGCCAAUGUUGUCCUUGUCCCCAAGAAGGAUGACUCACUUCGCAUGUGCAUUGACUUCAAGCACAUCAAUCAGGCCUGCCCGAAAGAUCAUUUCCCUCUCCCUCGUAUCGAUUAGAUUGUCAACUCGACUGCGGGGUGUGAGCGUUUGUCUUUUCUAGACGCCUAUUAUGGGUAUCAUCAGAUCUGUCUGUAUGGUCCCGAUGAGAUAAAAACAGCUUUCAUCACUCCAUUCGGGUGUUUUUGCUAUGUCACCAUGCCAUUCGGUCUCAAGAACGCUGGUGCCACAUUCAUGAGGAUGAUUCAAAAGUGCCUGCUCACACAAGUCAGUUAGAAUGUGGAAGCGUAUAUGGAUGACAUUGUGGUCAAGUCACGCAAAGGUUCUGACCUGCUGACUGACCUUGCUGAAACCUUUGCCAACCUGAGAAGGUAUGAUAUCAAGCUUAAUCCGUCAAAAUGCACAUUCGGAGUUCCUUGGAAAGUUACUUGGUUUUUUCGUUUUUGAACGAGGGAUCGACGCGAACCCAGAAAAAAUUAGUGCCAUACUCCGAAUGAAGCGCCAUGUGCGUGUGCAUGAUGUCCAGAAGCUUACUGGUUGCUUGGCCGCCUUGAGUCGAUUCAUCUCUCACCUCGGUGAAAAGGCAUUGCCUCUUUACCGACUGAUGAAGAAAUCUGACAAGUUCGAGUGGACUCCUGAAACUGACGCAACAUUUGCAGAGCUCAAAGCCCUGCUUUCCACCCAGCCGGUGCUCGCUGCUCCAAUCAGCAAAGAGCCUUUACUGCUUUAUAUUGCAGCCACUGGACAAGUCAUCAAUAUGGUACUCACGGUCGAGCGGGAAGAAGAAGGAAAAGCCUAUAAAGUUCAGCACCCAGUAUACUAUGUUUCUGAAGUUCUGACUCCAUCCAAGCAAAGAUAUCCACAUUAUCAGAAGCUUGUUUAUGGGAUUUAUAUGACCGCGAAGAAGGUUGCACAUUAUUUCUCUGAUCACUCCAUUACAGUCGUCAGUGAAGCACCAUUGUCUGAAAUUCUAAACAACAGAGAUGCAACCGGUCGAGUGGCAAAGUGGGUGAUUGAACUCCUUCCCAUGGAUAUCAAAUUUGAGGCAAAGAAAGCUAUCAAGUCCCAGGCAAUAGCAGAUUUCCUCGCCGAGUGGAUCGAACAGCAACUGCCGACUCAGAUUCACUCGGACCAUUGGACCAUGUUCUUUGAUGGAUCUAAGAUGCUGAAUGGUUCUGGUGCGGGGGUAGUAUUGGUAUCCCCGUUAGGCGACAAGCUCCACUAUGUUCUCCAGAUUCAUUUUGAUUCCUCCAACAAUGAAGCUGAAUAUGAGGCACUUUUGUAUGGGUUACGUAUGGCCAUUUCACUCAGCGUCCGUCACCUCAUGGUCUACGGCGACUCAGAUUUAGUGGUGAAUCAAGUAAUGAAGGAGUGGGACGUCAGAAGACCGGCUAUGACUGGCUAUUGUAAUGCAGUAAGAAAGUUAGAGAAGAAGUUUGAGGGUUUAGAGCUCCAUCACAUACCCUGACUGAAAAAUCAAGCAGCGGAUGAUUUGGCGAAGAUAGGUUCCAAGAGAGAAGCCAUUCCUAGUAAAGUGUUUCUGGAACAUAUUCAUACACCUUCAGUCCAGGAAGAUCCUUUCACUGAAGAGCCCCUGCAACCAAAGAGCGCCGCUGAUCCGACUGAAGUCGAAGUCCCGGCCGUGGUCGAUUUGAUCAUGGAGGUUUUGGUCAGCACUCCCGACUAGACAAUGUCGUACAUCGCGUAGAUUCUUAGAAAAGAACUCCUAGAGGACGAAGAAGAGGCCCGACAGAUCAUCCGCCGAUCCAAAGCUUUUACCGUGAUCAGAGGGCAGCUGUUCAGAGAAAGUGUAACUGGAGUCAGCCAGAAAUGCAUAACACCAGAAGAAGGUCGAGUUAUCCUCAACGACAUCCACUCGGGGACCUGUGGUGACCUUGCAUCCUCUCGGAUCAUUGUGGCCAAAGCAUACCGAGCGGGAUUUUAUUGUCCAUGCGCAAAUGAGAUGGCUCAAGAAAUAGUCGACAAAUAUGAAGGUUGCCAGUUUUACUCCAACAUGUCUCACAAGCCUGCGUCAGCCCUGAAGACCAUUCCACUCGUCUGGCCCUUAGCAGUUUGGGGUUUGGACAUGGUUGGACCUCUGAGAACGGGUAGGAGCGGCUUCACUCAUGUACUCGUGGCAGUCGACAAGUUCACCAAAUGGAUUGAAGCCAAACCUAUCAAAAGUCUUGAAGCCAGUGCUGCGGUCAGUUUCAUCAGAGAGUGAACAUUCAGAUAUGGUGUUCCACAUAACAUCAUCACUGAAAAUGGCUCGAACUUCUAUUCGGAUGAGUUCAGAGCCUUCUGUGCUUCCCAAGGCACUCGAGUCGACUAUGCUUCAGUCACCCAUCCCCAGUCAAAUGGACAAGCUGAAAGAGCAAAUAGGUUGAUCCUCAAAGGACUGAAACCCCGACUGAUGCGUGAUCUCAAGCAUGCGGCAGGCGCCUGGGUCGAUGAACUUCCGUCAGUGCUUUGAGGUUUGAGGACGACUCCUAAUCGGUCGACUGGCCGAACUCCAUUCUUCUUGGUCUAUGGAGCUGAAGUUGUGCUUCCUAGUGACUUGCUUCACAAUGCACCUAGAGUCAAGCUUUUCUUAGAAGAUGAAGCAGAACAGGCUUGGCAAGACGCAGUUGAUCUCCUAGAAGAGGAAAGAGAGAUGGCCCUGAUCCAGUCGACCAUUUAUCAGCAAGACCUGCGUCGAUUCCACACCAGAAAUGUGAGGGGUCGAGCAUUUCAGGAAGGAGACUUGGUUCUUCGAGUGGAUCAGCAGAAGCCACACAAGCUCUCCCCUACUUGGGAAGGUCCCUUCAUCAUCACCAGAGUGCUCCACAACAGAGCGUAUGUAACGCCCCGAGACCGAUGUGCCAGGUGUCCUCCAGUUAUUCGCUGUUGUUGCCUUGUCUUUUGCUUGCGUGUCGCAUCUUGCAAUGUCAUCAUACGCAUUGCAUCAUCAUGUUUUUCAAAACUUGCAUUCGUCCGGGUUCUCCGAGUUCUUUCCGUUGUCCGUUCUGAGCCCAGACACAUUUGCACGCGCCCAUGGCAUGUCCGAAAUAGUAUUUUAUAAGUGGCCGGAAAAUGUUCUCGGAAUGGUUUGAAAGUUGGCAUGUGGUGUUUUAAUGUUGUAGGUAUGCCGCCUGCCAAGUUUCAUCGCAUUCGGAGUUCGUUUGAUAGCCCAACGGAUAACUAUAGCGACAUUAUAGUCGGUCUAACGUCGGACAUUUUCGGUCUCCGGAAACAGAUGCCGGGCCCUUCCUCUCUCUUCUCCCCCUCGCAGUCUCGCCACGGCCCACCUAGUCCAUCCUCCUUCCCCUCUUCGCUUCCGGAGUUGUCCGAUGCGACCGCACGGUCCGAAACCCUCUCUGCACAGUGCAUCGAACCCCUCACGUGAGCGUCCGAAAUUUUCCCGGACCCGACCCGGACAGUCGUCACCGUUGUGUCCGGAUCAUCCCCAAACAUCUACAAAACGUCACCAUUUUCUUAUUUGGACGCCCUAACUAUUUUAUCCGGAAUCGUCCGAUUGCGAUCGUAGGGUCGAGAUAGCCCCUAACCUAAUCCGUGAUGUAUAUAUAUAGUCCACCCCUAUUCUAAUUCCAGACCAAAUCCCUAAUUUCUAGGGAUCCUCCUAGCCGCCGCCGCAAUCAUUCCCCACCUCGGGAUCCUCUCAUUCCCUCUGUAGCAACCACCAGCCAUCUCCCCUCGAUCCAUCGAUCCACCCAACUGUUCGCAGCCUCCCUCACCUUUUGGAUUGGUAGGAACCGCGCCUGGAUCCCCUCCCUCUCGGGUCUUCCUUGGAGCCAGCCGUCCUUGCCGGUGAUGAGCAGCAGCGCCAACAGGACCUCUCCGUGCGCCCCCAGAUCCAGGCCGGGCCUCCUCGCGCCCUCCUUCCUCCCGUUCUUCUUUGCCUCUGUCUCUAACCUCUCUCUCUUAGAUACGCAUGAGCAGCGCCAUGGACUCCUCCAGCCGACGCCAUGGACGCCAAGUUCCUGCCGCGGCCCUCCUCCAAUUCGCCGGCCUCCCUAUUGCCGCGCCUGCAUCGCCCUGUUGCCGCGAGUGGAGACGCCGGUGAAUCCUGCAGGUCGCCGCCUCGCCAAGUCCCUCGCCUCGCUGUCCUGUGCCUAGAGCCGCACCCCUCUCCGUCGUCUCUUCCUUGAGCCACCGCAGCAGGCGGACCUCCGCAUCCGGCCACGCCGCCGGCAAGCCAGCCUCCUCCGCUUCGCCAUGUCCCUGCUGCCUCUGUCGCGAGGGAGACGAGCGCCGCGCCUGCACCCGUUGACCGCAUCGCUUGCACAGGCCGGCCUCACUCCGUGCCUCAUCCGCCCCGCCCGCGGCCCAGCAAGACGCUGCGGCCCAGUCUCCCCAACCGCAGGCCUCAAGGGGCCCAAUGUGAGCAGUUUCCAUCCAGCCCAGAUCCACCAGAUUCGGCCUGAUAUUUUUUUUCUUUCCCUGUUGCUUGUUGGGCCAGCAUCUGUUUCGGCCCAUUCAUGUUUUUUUCCAGAUCCACGUAUUUUUUUUCUAUUUAUUCCAGAGACUGCAGUUUUUUAGAAAAGUCCCUGGAGUUCAUGCAUAUAAUAUCUCUCAAACCAUGCAUCGGUUUAAAAUAAGUUAUAUAUGAAACUUGCUUAGAAUUUUGUGUAGGUUAAUAAUUUGCCAUUUUCAUCCAUGUUUAAAAUGUUAAAAAAGCUGUUUGGGUUAAAUUUGCUCCUAUGCCAUGCUAAAAUGCUUUUAUUCAUAGCUAAAUGACCGUAGCUCGGAUUUUAAUAAAAUUUAUAUGUAAAUGGGGUAGAAAAUUGCCUAGUUUAACAUGAUGACUUCACCUUGCAUGUUUAACAACUCUAAAAUUGUGUUUAGGGCAGAACAGGAUCAAACCUUAAAACAUGCACAUGAGGAGUUUCCGGACUUGUUGUUUGUUGUUCCGGCCUCCUUUAAACUUGCCUAGAUAGGUAGUUUUCACUUGCUUCACCCCUUGCCAUGUUAAUCAACAUUUAAUAUUGUUGGGUACAUAAACGAGAUCGAACUAAAUAACUUGUUGUGGUGUUUUGUCAAUAUGCAACUUGUUGCAUAUUGAGCUCCACUUAAUUUGUAGAAUUGUUUGUGCACUUUGCCAUGCCAUGCCUCAUUAAACCGGACAUGCAUCAUACUUGUUGUGCAUCAUGCCAUGAUUUUGUGGUGGUUGUUUACCAUGUUUGUUUGCUUCUUUCCGGUGUUGCUUCUUCGGGUUGGUUCCGAUAACGUCGUGUUGUGAGGAUUCGUUCGACUACGUCCGUUUGUCUUCUUCAUGGACUCGUUAUUCUUCCUUGCGGGAUUUUAGGCAAGAUGAUCAUACCCUCGAAAUCACUACUAUCUUUGCUUUGCUAGUUUGCUCGCUCUUUUGCUAUGCCAUUGCUACGAUGUCUACCACUUGCUUUCAAGCCUCCCAAAUUGCCAUGUCAAACCUCUAACCCACCUUGUCCUAGCAAACCGUUGUUUGGCUAUGUUACCGCUUUGCUCAGCCCCUCUUAUAGCGUUGCUAGUUGCAGGUGAAGAUCGGAGGCCGUUCCUUGUUGGGACAUUUAUUUACUUGUUGGGAUAUCAUUAUAUUGCCAUGUUAUCUUAAUGCAUCUAUAUACUUGGUAAAGGGUGGAAGGCUCGGCCUCUCACCUAGUGUUUUGUUCCAUUCUUGCCUCCCUAGUUUCUGUCAUAUCGGUGUUAUGUUCCCGGAUUUUGCGUUCCUUACGUGGUUGGGCUAUAAUGGGAACCCCUUGACAGUUCGCCUUAAGUAAAGCUCUUCCAACAAUGCCCAACAUUGGUUUUACCAUUCGCCACCUAGCCUCUUUUUCCCUUGGGUUUCGUGGACUCAAGGGUCAUCAUUAUUUAACCCCCCCGGGCCAGUGCUUGUCUAAGUGUUGGUCCGAAAUGGGCAGCCUGCGGGGCCACCGCGGGGAAACUUGAGGGCUGGUUUUACUCGUAGCUUGACCUAUCCGGUGUUGCCCUGAGAACGAGAUAUGUGCAGCUCCCAUCAGGAUGUCGGCGCAUCGGGCGGUGUUGCUAGUUUAGUUUUACCCUGUUGAAAUGUCUUGUUGUACCGGGAUACCGAGUCUGAUCGGAAUGUCUCAGGAGGAGGUGUAUUCCUUCGUUGACCGUGAGAGCAUGUGAUGGGCUAAGUUGGGACACCCCUGCAGGGAUUUGAACUUUUGAAAGCCGUGCCCGCGGUUAUGGGCAGAUGGGAAUUUGUUAAUGUCCGGUUGUAGAUAACUUGAACCUUAACUUAAUUAAAAUGAAUCAACAGCGUGUGUUACCGUGAUGGUCUCUUUCUGGCGGAGUCCGGGAAGUGAACAUGGUGUUGGAGUUAUGCUUGACGUAGGUUGUUUUAGGAUCACUUCUUGAUCAUACUUUUAUCGACCGUGCUUUGCCUUCUCUUCUUGCUCUCUUUUGCGUAUGUUAGCCACCAUAUAUGCUAGUCGCUUGCUACAGCUCCACCUCAUACUUUUACCUUACCCGUAAGCUUAAAUAGUCUUGAUCGCGAGGGUGCGAGAUUGCUGAGUCCCCGUGGCUCACAGAUACUUCCAAAACCAGCUUGCAGGUGCCAAUGAGUCCGUGCAGAUGACGCAAUCUAGCUCAGGAGGAGCUCAAUGAAGAUCUUGUCCUUUGUGUUGUUUCGUUCUAGUUGAUCAGUAGUGGAGCCUAGUUGGGGUCGAUCGGGGACCUUGUCGCAUUUGGGGUUCUUCUUUUAUUUUUGUUCCGUUGUCGGACCUUGACUGUAUUUGGAUGUUGUAAUGCUUUAUUCAUGUAUUUGUGUGAAGUGGCGAUUGUAAGCCAACUAUGUAUUCUUUUCCCUUAUUGUAUUACAUGGGUUGUUUGCGAAGAUUACCUCACUUGCGACAUUGCUUUCAAUGCGUUUAUGCCUCUAAGUCGUGCUUCGACACGUGGGAGAUAUAGCCGCAUCGAGGGCGUUACAGCGUACCACCUCUACAACGUUGAGCACAAGAAAUACGAGCCACGCGCUUGGAAUGUGGAGUUGCUCCGCCCCUUUUAAACUUAAGCAUUCAAACUGUUGAGAUGUAAUAAGUAAUACCUUCUAGUUGACUAUCAGAGACACAGUUUUACAGUCUCCUAAAUGAUUGCUGUUUCUUUUUUAUAUGUUUCAAAUCCCCAAGUGGGUACCUUAGAUGCGAAUCUGUUUCGCCUAAGUUUAAAAAAUCCUACCGAGUGAUGAGCAAGCUUCUCACUCGGGGGCUUAGCUGCAGUCCAGUACUCGCCUAAGUUUAAAAAAUCCUACCGAGUGAUGAGCAAGCCUCUCACUCGAGGGCUUAACUGCAAAUCCGUCUCACCUAAGAUUAAAAAAAUCCUACCGAGUGAUGAGCAAGCCUCUCACUCGGGGGCUUAGCUGCAGUACAGUACUCGCCUAAGUUUAAAAAAUCCUACCAAGUGAUGAGCAAGGCUCUCACUCAGGGGCUUAACUGUAGUCCAGUACUCGCCUAGGUUUANNNNNNNNNNNNNNNNNNNNNNNNNNNNNNNNNNNNNNNNNNNNNNNNNNNNNNNNNNNNNNNNNNNNNNNNNNNNNNNNNNNNNNNNNNNNNNNNNNNNNNNNNNNNNNNNNNNNNNNNNNNNNNNNNNNNNNNNNNNNNNNNNNNNNNNNNNNNNNNNNNNNNNNNNNNNNNNNNNNNNNNNNNNNNNNNNNNNNNNNNNNNNNNNNNNNNNNNNNNNNNNNNNNNNNNNNNNNNNNNNNNNNNNNNNNNNNNNNNNNNNNNNNNNNNNNNNNNNNNNNNNNNNNNNNNNNNNNNNNNNNNNNNNNNNNNNNNNNNNNGCCUAAGUCUAAAAAAUCCUACCGAGUGGUGAGCAACUCUCACACUCGGAGGCUUAGCUGCAGUCCAGUACUCGCCUAAGUUUGAAAAAUCCUACAGAGUGGUGAGCAACCCUCACACUCGGGGGCUUAGCUGCAGUCCAGUACUCACCUAAGUCUGAAAAAUCCUACCGAGUGGUGAGCAACUCUCACACUCGGAGGCUUAGCUGCAAUCCAGUACUCGCCUAAGUUUAAAAAAUCCUACCGAGUGGUGAGCAACCCUCACACUCGGGGGCUUAGCUGUAGUCCAGCACUCGCCUAAGUUUGAAAAACACCCCUAUACGCAAGGACGACGAGGUGCAGGUCAACUACAACCCUCUCUUUGGAGCUGCGCCACAAGUACAAUGUGCGCUCCAUCCCUAUCCGCAAGGACGACGAGGUGCAGGUUGACUGCAACCCUCUCUUUGGAGCUGUGCCACAAGUACAACGUGCGCUACAUCCCUUCCGCAAGGAAGACGAGGUGCAUGUUGACUGCAAUCCUCUCUUCGGAGCUGCGUCAUAGGUACAACGUGCACUCCAUCUCUAUUCGCAAGGAUGACGAGGUGCAGGUCGACCGCAACCCUCUCUUCGGAGCUGCGCCACAAGUACAACAUGCACUCCAUCCCUAUCCACAAGGUCGACGAGGUGCAGGUCGACUGGGACCUCCUCCUCGGAGCUGCAUCUCGGGUACAAAGAUUAUUCCCAGUGAAGAACAAGUUCCACUCGAAGGCAAACACAAGCAUAUUCAGAGAUAAACCAAGUUCACAUAAAUCCCAAAAUUCCGGACCAUGGAUCAAAAGUACUCGAGCAUCAAGCCAGAAGAAGUUUAACGAUUACACAAUCACUCGGCAUUCUGAGGCAAAUAAAGGUGGAGCAUAAUGUUUUUGGUCACUCGUCAGGAGAAGGACUUGCUGGGUCGCAGAAACUGUCAACGUUUAUGAUGUCUGCAUGCGAGUGGCGGCAUCAAGGAUAGUGUCCAUGAAGUACUGGAAAGUGUGCCUUUUUGUGUUAGCAACCUUGAGCUCCGCCAACUUGUCUUCUUUGACAUCCUUGCAGUGCACUCGGACCAAGGACAUGGCGACACCAGCGCCGCAGUGAGCAGAUGACUUCUUCCAUUCUUGCACUCGGUCAGGUAUUUGAUUCAGUCGAGCCAUCAGAGACUCGAGGUGUUGAGAUAGUUCCGCUUGAGGCCAGAGUUCACCAUCAACCCGAGUCAUCGCCGCCUUGAGGCGAGCAAGAUAAGCAACCGCACUGUCCAGGCGAGAUUCCAACCGCAUCACAUUCAUUGCGACAUCAUCUUUGACUGGGCAAUUUAUGGGAUCGAGACCCAUCUCGACCCGCCCAGUUUCCGCUUCAAAGUUCUGGCAAAGUUCUGCACAGUCGAGUAGCUAGUGAGUCGACAAUAUAAUAAGACCUAUCAAUCGACCAUAACAAGUCAGUCGAACAUCAGUACCUUCAAGCUUUAAGACCAGUUUUGCAGCAAGCUGGCCCAGAUAAGAUUCCAACUCGCCCUUCUUGGCUUUGAGGCUCCCGAUCUCGUUAGUCAGCUUGUCCUUGUCUUUAUUCAGUCGCUCGACCUCCCAAUUGGCAUCAGAGACAACAGUCUUCAGUUUGAGUUCUCUUCUUCUAACUUGCCGACUGAAGCAAGCUUCUGGUCAGCAAGUGCUGUUUUCUCUCGUGCCUCCUUCUGCAUAGCAGCCAUAUCCAGAUUCUUCUUCUCCAGAGCUUGUUUCAUUUUCUCUAAAGAAAUAAUAUUCUUUAGACGAGCUUGGAGUUGACGUUUUUCACUAUGUACAUCUGCUCGAGUGGAGUCACUCGGUUCAAAAAAUGGAAAGGAAAAGUGCCAGUCGUAAGAUGGAUAGUUGACGAUUGGUUACCUCCCAUGGCAACUACUUCAUCACGAGCAGUCUUGAGAUUCUUCCUGGCCAGUUCCAGAUCAAGAUUGAGGCUGAUUUGCUGCUUGUUCAGUGUAGAAAGUUGAGCCCCAAGAUCACAAGGUUUCUGCAGUCUAUAUAUAAGACAUAUCAGUCGACAAAAACAAAAGAGCAUCACAGUGAAAGUUGCUCUAAGACUACCGCCGAAUCAAACAUUCAAUGGUAGUCUCGGGGACUACACCCAGUGGGUGCACUUAGCGUGCCCCCACCGGUUUGAUUCAACACUCGGCAUGGUCUGCCCAGCUCUAGUCAAAAAAAGCGAAGAAAGUUGUUCUCAGACCAUGGUCGACUGCCUGCAGUCCACCACGGUCUCAGGGACUACACCCAGUGGGUGCACUUAGCGUGCCCCCACUGGUUUAGAUUUUCACUCGGCAUGGUCUGACCAGGCCAAGUGAGAAAAUUCAGAUUCACAUACCACAGUCGACUGCCCGCAGUCCACUAUGGUCUCGGGGACUACACCCAGUGGGUGCACUUAGUGUGCCCCCACUAGUUCAAAAAUUCAAUCGACUCAAUUCAAGUUGACUCAGGUGGAAGACCUAUACAACUUUAAGGCAGACAAAACCCAGUGGGUGAUCGGAUGAGAAAUAAGAUCAGUCCGAAAUCAACUAACCUGGACAUUGGUCUGCAGAGCAGUGCCGGCGUUGAAGGCCACCUGACUGGCCUCGUGCACCACUUUCAUCUACCCCAUCACAAGAUUCAACUGAAGAAGAGCUCCCUUGGCGGCACUUAGUGGGUCGCCUGGAGUCUGGUACGCAGUGAAAAGCAAUGAUGGCAGGGCAAUCGAAGUAGCUGCUAGCUCUGAUGCAUGAAGUUGUAUUGGAGUAGCAGGGGUCUGAGUAGCUGACCUUGAUGGAUAGUCAGUCAACAGCGGGAUAGCGAAAGUGACGUUGGUGCGAGUCGGAUCUGUAGAUCGCUUGAGCGCCGUCCCAGGCAUCAGUGUCGACUGAGGAACCUGAACCUCAGGCACUUUCCCGCUUUGUCCUUUGUCCCACCUCCUCCUUUCCUUCAGGGGCACUUCUUCUUCAUCAUCCGGAAGCACAACAACGUCUCGUGGAGCUGCGGCAAACAGGAAAAAUUAGAGAGACAACUGACGAACAAUCUAGUCGACCAAAUAAAUUUGAGUCAGGCAGACUUACUAGCUUUGGAGGUAGUUGCGUCAUCGGUUUCCUCAUCGCCUGGGACCUUGUCGAUAUCCAUAUCAGUAGCGGCAAAGGCCGGGCUGGAAAAGUUCAUCAUCCACUCGGUCAGGACAGGAGAAUCAGUCGGAGCAAGAAAACACGGGAAGAGCAUUUACCUAGAAGCAACAGGAACAUCCAUUUUGAUCUUAGGCAAGGUCUUCCGGACCUUCAAGGGAUUGACCUUGGGUUGCUUGGUGACUUUCUCAGCCAGCUCUGGGGUCAAAGACCGAGCGCGCUUUUGAGAUGGAGCGCUCAAGGCCACAGCCUUACCGCGCCUGCCUGCAGGAUCAUGGUGUUGCUUGGAUCGACGUUCUGAACGAGGCGGUGAGUCAACUACCUCCUCGUCGUCUGACUCGUCGCUCUCAUCUUCAUUGUCGUUGUUUGGUGACUCCCAUUCACCACUCUCCUCCGCGCUGUCCUCGCCCCCAUGGUCCUGCUCUAGAGCUUGUUCACCAUUGGGCAUUGAGUACAUCUGUGUGUAAAUCUACAAGACAAGAAGUCGAGUGGAAAUCAGUCGAAUUAACAAAUAGUCAGAAGACGCAUCCAAAUGCAAUCGGUUAUAGCGACCGAACCUUGUCUGGCUGGUUGCUGUCGCUGAAAGGGUCGACUCUCUUGGCGCCCCUAGGGUUGUCCUUGUUUCCGGUGAUGCUCCUCAGCCAUUGGGCCACUAUUUUGGCCAGCACCUGCUCUGGAUGAACCUGAGCGGUGUCGCCAGCUCCAGAGUACAUACACAUGGAGUGGUCACGGGCCUGGAGUGGUUGAAUGCGCCGACUGAGGAACACCUCCAACAAAUCCAUGCCGGUGACGCCUUGGUUGAUCAGCUGGACCACCCUCUCGACCAACAUGCCUGUCUCUGCCUUCUCCGCGGUGGUCACUUUCAACGAAGAGGGAGUCUGAACAUGAUCGAAAGAAAAAGGAGGAAGUCCAGUCGACUGGCCUGGAGUUGCGAUAUCCUGGCAGUAGAACCAGGUCGACUGCCAGCCUCUGACCGACUCAGGAAGGGUCAUCAAAGGGAAAGAACUCCUCUUCCUCUUCUGGAUACCCAACCCCCCACACAUCUGGAUAACGUGGGUUUUCUCGUCAUUCGAAUUUGCUUUCUUCACUGUCUGGGAUUGGAUGGUGAAAAUGUGCUUGAAAAGACCCCAGUGCGGUCGACACCCCAAGAAAUUCUCCCACAUGGACACGAAUGCAGCAAGAUAUGUGAUGGUAUUGGGAGUAAAAUGAUGGAGCUAGGCCUCGAAGAAAUUCAAGAAACCCCGGAAAAAAGGAUGCGAAGGAAGCGAGAAACCACGGUCGACAUGGGUAGCAAGCAGAACACACUCACCCGGCCGCGGCUGCGGUUCCGUCUCCCCCUCCGGCAACCGGGCAGCUUUGUGGAUGAUCAGCCCUGACUCGGCCAGCUCAUCCAAAUCUUCCUGCCAAAUCGAGGAUCGGAUCCAAUCACCUUGGAUCCAACCUGGCGGCAGCCCCGAGCGCGAUGAAGAUCCCCGAUUCGUCUUCUUGCCCUUCACCGCUCCCGUCGCCUUCUUCGCGCGUUCCAGCGCCGCCGGCUUUUCCUUCCCCAUGGCGGCGGAGCGGCGGUGUCGAGAGUGGAGAAGCCGGAUGCGGUGGAGGAGCAAGAGGAGGAAGAAGGAGAAUGGACGCGCACAGUGCAGAUGCCUCGGCCUCGCCGCUUUUAAAGGCCCACUUCCGAGUGGCUGACGCAUGGGCCCGGGUGAUCCUGUCAAAUCCCUCAACAGUCGCACGCGGGAUACGUGAUGAAAAAGGUGGCAUGGAAAUCGAAAUGUUCCUGUUUAUCCACUCCGCUUGCCACAGCGUGUUCCGUCUAGCACGCUUCCCCCGAAAUUUCGAAUCCCAUGAAAUCCGGGAUCCGCCGCAACCCAUCACGCCAAAGAUUUCACGUCAAAGACAACACUCGACGGGUGAUGUUAUAAAACCGAUCGGAAAUUUCUGAAUCGAUCAAGACGACUGAAACAAACCCAAAGUUCCAACACUGGCCUCCAUCCAGAGAUGAACAGUUGGGAAACGCAAGAGUCAAGGCAAGAUCAACUUCAACCUUCUUUUCACUCGGACCUCAAUCCAUUCGGGGGCUAAUGAUGAGGACAUAGACCUGGGGUAGGGUAAUAGGCCUGACCUAUACGUCCUAUCCAAGGUCACUGUCUUAUAAGCAAAGAAGCUCAAGAGACAACAGGGAGGGCCCAACAAAGGUGUCGAGUGCAAUCCACUCGACCUACCAGUCACUAGAAGACCCCUCCUUCCUUAGGUCACUCGACCACUCAAUCACUCGACCAUGCAAGAAUCCAUUCGACUUGUUUGAAGACCAGGAGUCAUCCAAAACAGCAACGGGCACCACGGAUGCACUUCACCAUAGCUAGGAUCUUGCCUCCUCAUACCUACCCUCCAUUCUACUGUCAGUCUUAGAUCCACGACAACGCCCGCUCCUAGCCCUGCCAACACUUUGGAGCCAUCGAAAUACAUAACCCAACUGGAAUAUGUGACGUACUCUUUAGGGAGUUUGGCCUUUGUCCAUUUGGCGACGAAGUCAGCCAGUACUUGGGAUUUAGUAGCUUGACGUGGUUUGUAUGUAAUAUCAAAUGGAAGGAGCUCGAUGGCCAAUUUGGCAAUCCGGCCCGUGGCAUCGCGGUUGUUUAUAAUGUCAUUGAGUGGUACUUCAGAAGCCACCGUGAUCGAACACUCUUGGAAGUAGUGACGGAGCUUUCGAGAUGCCAUGAAGACCGCGUAUGCUAUCUUUUGAUAAUGGGGGUACCGGGAUUUGCAUGGUGUAAGGACAGUGGAUACGUAGUAUACUAGCUUCUAAAGCAGGAAUUUAUGUCCGUCCUGUUCUCGUUCGACGACGAGCACGGCGCUCACCACCUAAUGUGUUGCCGAUAUGCAUAACAACAUCGGUUCACCGACAUUUGGCACGGCCAGGAUUGGGUUGCUCGCAAGAAGGGUUUUUAUUUCCUCUAGUCUCGCUGUUGCCGCGUCCGUCCACUCGAAGUGAUCGGAUCGCCGUAGAAGAUGGUAGAGUGGUAGUGCCUUUUCUCCCGAUCUGGAGAUAAAGCGGCUUAGAGCUGCCAUGCAACCCGUGAGCUUUUGGACUUGUUUAUGAUCUGUUGGCGUAGCCAAUUGUGACAGAGCUCGGAUUUUGGCUGGAUUUGCUUCAAUUCCUCUGUUGGAAACGAUGAAACCUAGCAAUUUUCCGGCGAGGACGCCAAAAACGCACUUUUCAGGAUUGAGCUUGAUGUCAUACGCGCGGAGGUUAUCAAAUGUGAGACGUAAAUCAUCUAUUAAUGUUUCAACGCGCCUGGUUUUGAUGACGACGUCGUCCACGUAAUCUUCAACUGUCUUGUCGAUCUGCUUCUCCAGGCAUGUUUGAAUCAUGCGUUGGUAUGUGGCGCCGGCGGUCUUGAUCCCGAAGGGCAUGGUGUUGAAGCAGAAUGGCCCAUAUGGGGUAAUGAAUGCUGUUGCAGCUUGACCGGACUCCUUCAUUUUGAUUUGAUGGUAUCGGGAAUAUGCAUCCAGGAAACACAUUGAGUCAUGUCCUGCGGUAGCAUCAAUGAUUCAAUCAAUGCAGGGGAGGGGGAAGGGAUCCUUAGGGCAAGCCUUGUUGAGGUCUUUAAAAUCGACGCACAACCACCAGGAUUUGUCCUUCUUUGGUACCAUCACCAGGUUUGCCAGCCAGUCCGAAUGUUUUAUUUCUCUGAUGAAUCCGGCCUCAAUUAACUUGGCUAGCUCCUCCCCCAUAGCUUGACGUUUGGGUUCAGAAAAGCGCCACAGUGUACUUGACCGGUUUAUAUCCUUUUAAUAUAUUGAGGCUGUGUUCGGCCAACUCGCGCGGGAUUCCUGGCAUAUCAUAAGGGUGCCAGGCGAAUAUAUCCCAAUUUUCGCGCAGGAACUCUCGUAGUGCGGCGUCAACCGUUGGAUCUAAUUGUGCUCCGAUGGAUGCUGUCUUCUUGGGGUCCGUUGGAUGGACUUGGAAUUUGACUAUUUCUUCUGCUAGUUUGAAGGAGGUGGAUUUGGGUCGUUUGUCUAGGACGACAUCAUCCCUGUCCACCGUAGAGCACAGCACGGCUAAUUCUUCGGUCAUGAGGGCUCUAGAUAAUGCCUCGAGGGCCAAGGACGCGGUUUUAUUCUCGGCGCGGAGUGCUAUGUCUGGAUCACUAGCUAGAGUGAUUAUACCAUUGGGCCCAGGCAUCUUAAGCUUCAUGUAUCCGUAAUGGGGUACCGCUUGGAAGCGCAUAAAUGCAUGUCGCCCUAAGAGGGCGUGAUACCCGCUGUUGAAAGGGUCCACUUGGAAGGUUAUUUCUUCGGACCAAUAAUUCUCCAGCGUGCCGAGUACCAUGUCGAGUGUUAUUUUUACUGCACGCCGCGCCUCCCGACUGGGGAUAAUUCCUCGGAAGCUCGUGCUGCUUUGCUCAAUGCGUCUCCUGUCUAUUUCCAUUUUGUGGCAUGUAUCUUCGUGGAUAAGGUUUAGUCCGAUGCCGCCUUCCGUAAGGACCUUGGUAAGCCGAAAGCCGUCCACAAUUGGACUGAGGACCAAUGCGGCUGGUGCUUGGACUGUCUUGAAUUUUGGUUCGUCGCCGGCAUUAAAAGUUAUAGUCGUGUCGUUGCAAGGGUUUAUUGCUUCUAUUUGAUAGACUUCGGCGAGUCCGCAUAGUGCUCUCUUGCACCUAUUGUUGGAGGCGAAUGUCUCGAAGACCGUCAAUACUUUGGGGUCAUUGUCCUCUGGGGGUGUUGUUCUGGGUUAUUCUUGGUGAGGAUAUCCUCGCCGCUCUUGGCCACUUGCCGGAGUAUCCAACAUGCUCUAAGGCUAUGUGUUGGUACGUUAUCCAGUGUUGCGUGUAUUUUGCAUGGCCCAUCGAGCCAUCCUUCCAGAAUGGUUCUGCGCCCCAUACUGGACUUGUAUUUCUUUACUAUUUGAACCGGGCGUGUUGCAAGGGUGCGCCCUUUUCGCCUGAAUGAAGGGUUGAGUGGGGACGGAUGAUUCCCAACGAGCUGCUUGAGUUUUCCAGGCGCUUUCCAUUGCACUGUACUUCUGUACGAUGGUUGCCAAGUCAGCGAAGUGUAGGAUGCGACGGUGGUUGAUGGUGUUGAGGAUUCCUUCAUCCCUGCAAUUGUUGUGGAACACUAAGAUCGCUUCCUCGUCAUGACAAUCUUUAAUCUUGUUUUUGACAAGAAGGAAUCUGGCCCAAAAGUGGUGGACUGUUUCCCGAGACUGUUGUUUUAUGCUCAUGAGAGCGCUUGUAUUCGGGUGGGUGGGUUUAAAUCUGAACCCCGCCCCAGUUUUGGAUCUGGAGUCUGAAGGUCUUCCGAACUUAACAGAUCGGGCUCCGGGAUGUCCACUAAUUUCUUAGGCCCGUCGUCCGAUUCUAUGUUCAGAGGGCAGGAUGCUUCACCUCGCGGGUAGGUGUCCGGCUCUUCCAAACCGGAGAUCCGGACAUAGUCCGUCCUCAAUAUGGAGGAAGAGUUAUCGACUCGCUCCUCGACUACCGCUAUCUGGUGGGUGAUCGGCGGAGAUUUGAUUUCUCUCUGAUCGGGUUUAAACCCAAUCCGAUCGUAGUCUGUAGCGACCCCCAGGGUGGCGAUGCGAUCUAGGAGCUCAUUUAAUGAAGAAAUCUCUGUUGGAUCCAUCUGCUUGGAGUGUUCGAAGUUGAUACGAAGGGCGUUUUCGAUGACCCGAGAGGUCAUCAUCGGCUUAAUGACCGAACGGGCGGUCAUGGUAAAGCCGCCCAGCUGGAGGGUUUGGCCUGGAGCCAUGGUUCCUCCGGUGGUGAUAUUAUCCUUGAGAACAAGGCGAGACAUCGAUCUUGUUGUUGACGGCACAACGGAACUCUCAAUGAAAGCACCAAUGUCGGUGUCAAAACCAGCGGAUCUCGGGUAGGGGGUCCCGAACUAUGCGUCUAAGGUCGAUGGUAACAGGAGACAAGGGACACGGUGUUUACCCAGGUUCGGACCCUCUCUAUGGAGGUAAUACCCUACGUCCUGCUUGAUUGAUAUUGAUGAAUAUGAGUAUUACAAGAAUUGAUCUACCACGAGAUCAUAAUGGCUAAACCCUAGAGGUCUAGCUUGUAUGGCUAUGAUAAUGAGUCUCCUAUCCGGACUAAGUCCUCCGGUUUAUAUAGACACCGGGAGGAUCUAGGGUUACACAAGGUCAGUUACAAAGAAGCAAAUCUACAUAUCCAGCCGCCAAGCUUACCUUCCACGCCAAGGAGAGUCCCAUCCGGACACGGGUGCAGUUUCGGUCUUCGUAUCUUCACAGCCCAUCAGUCCGACCCAUGGCUAACAAGCCGGACGCCCGAGUACCCCUUCGUCCAGGAUUCCCUCAGUAGGGCGCGCCCUCCACCCUCGUGGAUGGAUUGGGACUCUUCUGGCCCAACUCUUUUACUCCGGGGGCUUCUUUUGGUCCAUAAAAAAUCAUCAAAAAUUGGCAUGUCAAUUGGACUCUGUUUGGUAUUCCAUUUCUGUAAAACUCAAAAACAAGGAAAAAACAGAAAUUGGCACUGGGCUCUAGGUUAAUAGGUUAGUCCCAAAAAUCAUAUAAAAUAGGAUAUAAAUGCAUAGGAAACAUCCUAUAUGGAUAAUAUAAUAGCAUGGAACAAUCAAAAAUUAUAGAUACGUUGGAGACGUAUCAAGAACUUGUUGGAGGCUUCAUAUCUCUCAACUCGGGCAUUUGCUUGAAAUAUUAACUUCAACUCUUGGAACAUCUCAUAUGCUCCAUGACGUUCAAAAUGUCUUUGAAGUCCCGAUUCUAAGUCGUAAAGCAUGGCACACUAAACUAUCGAGUAGUCAUCAGAUUUACCUUGCCGGACGUUCAUAACGUCCGGAGUUGCUCCUGCAGCAGGCCUCGCACCUAGCGGUGCAUCAAGGACAUAAUUCUUCUAUGCGGCAAUGAGGAUAAUCCUCAAGUUACGGACCCAGUCCGUGUAGUUGCUACCAUCAUGUUUCAACUUAGCUUUCUCUAGGAACGCAAUAAAAUUCAAGGGAACGGUAGUAUGGGCCAUAGAUCUACAACAUAGAUAUGCAAAAACUAUCAGGACUAAGUUCUUGAUAAAUUCAAGUUCAAUUAAUCAUAUUACUUAAGAACUCCCACUCAGAUAGACAUCCUACGAGUCAUCUAAAUGAUCACGCGAUCCAUAUCAACUAAACCAUGUCCGAUCAUCACGUGAGAUGGAGUAGCUUUUAAUGGUGAACAUGUCUAUGUUGAUCAUAUCUACUAUAUGAUUCACGUUCGAACUUUCGGUCUCAGUGUUCCGAGGCCAUGUCUGCACAUGCUAGGUGAUGUCUACUACACAACCUUCUUCUUGUAGACGUUGUUGGGCCUCCAAGUGCAGAGGUUUGCAGGACAGUAGCAAAUUUCCCUCAAGUGGAUGACCUAAGGUUUAUCAAUCCGUGGGAGGCGUAGGAGAAGAUGGUCUCUCUCAAACAACCCUGCAACCAAAUAGCGAAGAGUCUCUUGUGUCCCCAACACACCCAAUAAAAUGGUAAAUUGUAUAGGUGCACCAGUUCGGCAAAGAGAUGGUGAUACAAGUGCAAUAUGGAUGGUAGAUAUAGGUUUUUGUAAUCUGAAAAUAUAAAAACAGCAAGGUAGCAAGUGGUAAAAGUGAGCACAAACGGUAUUGCAAUGCUAGGAAACAAGGCCUAGGGUUCAUACUUUCACUAGUGCAAGUUAUCUCAACAAUAAUAACAUAAUUGGAUCAUAUAACUAUCCCUCAACAUGCAACAAAGAGUCACUCCAAAGUCACUAAUAGCAGAGAACAAACGAAGAGAUUAUUGUAGGGUACGAAACCACCUCAAAGUUAUUCUUUCCGAUCAAUCCGUUGGGCUAUUCCUAUAAGUGUCACAAACAUCCCUAGAGUUUGUAGUAAAUUAACACCUUAAGACGCAAAUCAAACAAAACCCUAAUGUCACCUAUAUACUCCAAUGUCACCUCAAGUAUCCGUGGGUAUAUUAUAAGAUAUGCAUCCCACAAUCUCAGAUUCAUCUAUUCAACCAACACAAAGAACAAUGCCCCAAAGUUUCUAUCGAAGAGUCAAGACGAAAACGUGUGCCAACCCCUAUGCAUAAGUUCAUGAGGUCACAGAACUCGCAAGUUGAUCACCAAAACAUACAUCAAGUGGAUCACGUGAUAUCCCAUUGUCACCACAGAUAAGCACAUGCAAGACAUACAUCAAGUGUUCUCAAAUCCUUAAAGACUCAAUCCGAUAAGAUAACUUCAAAGGGAAAACUCAAUCCAUCACAAGAGAGUAGAUGGGGAGAAACAUCAUAAGAUCCAACUAUAAUAGAAAAGCUCGCGAUACAUCAAGAUCGUGCCGAAUCAAGAACACGAGAGAGAGAGAGAUCAAACACAUAGCUAUUGGUACAUACCCUCAGCCCCGAGGGUGAACUACUCCCUCCUCGUCAUGGAGAGCGCCGGGAUGAUGAAGAUGGCCGCCAGAGAGGGAUUCCCCCCUCCGGCAGGGUGCCAGAACAGGUUUAGAUUGGUUUUUGGUGGCUACGGAGGCUUCUGGCGGCGGAACUCCCGAUCUAGGUUUCUUUCUGGAAGUUUCAGUAUAUAUAAGAGGUUUUGGCAUCGAGAACAAGUCAGGGGGACUCCGGGCUGUCCACGAGGCAGGGUGGCGCGCCCCCCACCCUCGUAGGCAGCACGAGAUUCUUCUGGCCCAACUCUUUUACUCCAUGGCCUUCUUCUGGUCCAAAAAUAAGCUCCAUCAAGUUUCGGGUCAAUUGGACUCCGUUUGGUUUUCCUUUUCUACGAUACUCAAAAACAAGGAAAAAACAGAAACUGGCACUAGGCUCUAGGUUGAUAGGUUAGUCCCAAAAAUCAUAUAAAAUAGCAUAUAAAUGCAUAUAAAACAUACAAGGUUGAUAUAAUAGCAUGGAACAAUCAAAAAUUAUAGAUACGUUGGAGACGUAUCAAGCAUCCGCAAGCUUAAUUCCUGCUCGUCCUCGAGUAGGUAAAUGAUAAAAGCAGAAUUUUUGAUGUGGAAUGCUACUUAACAUAUUUAUCCAUGUAAUCUUCUUUAUUGUGGCAAGAAUAUUUAGAUCCAUAAGAUUCAAGACAAAAGUUUAAUAUUGACAUAAAAAUAAUAAUACUUCAAGCAUACUAACAAAGUAAUCAUGUCUUCUCAAAAUAACAUGGCCAAAGAAAGCUAUCCCUACAAAAUCAUAUAGUCUGGCUAUGCUCUAUCUUCAUCACACAAAAUAUUUAAAUCAUGCACAACCCCGAUGACAAGCCAAGCAAUUGUUUCAUACUUUUGAUGUUCUCAAACUUUUUCAAACUUCACACAAUACAUGAGCGUGAGCCAUGGACAUAGCAUUAUAAGUGGAAUAGAAUGGUGGUUUUGGAGGAGACAAAAAGGAGAAGAUAGUCUCAGAUAAACUAGGCGUAUCAACGGGCUAUGGAGAUGCCCAUCAAUAGAUAUCAACGUGAGUGAGUAGGGAUUGCCAUGCAACGGAUGCACUAGAGCUAUAAGUGUAUGAAAGCUCAAAAAGAAACUAAGUGGGUGUGCAUCCAACUCGCUUGCUCACGAAGACCUAGGGCAUUUUGAGGAAGCCCAUCAUUGGAAUAUAUAAGCCAAGUUCUAUAAUGAAAGAUUCCCACUAGUAUAUGAAAGUGACAACAUAGGAGACUCUCUAUCAUGAAGAUCAUGGUGCUACUUUGAAGCACAAGUGUGUUAAAAGGAUAGUAACAUUGCCCCUUCUCUCUUUUCUCUCUUUUUUUGUUUUUUGGGCCUUCUAUUUUUUAUGGCCUUUUUCUUUUUUUUUCGUCCGGAGUCUCAUCCUGACUUGUGGGGGAAUCAUAGUCUCCAUCAUUCUUUCCUCACUUGGGACAAUUCUCUAAUAAUGAUGAUCAUCACACUUUUAUUUACUUACAACUCAAGAAUUACAACUCGAUACUUAGAACAAAAUAUGACUCUAUGUGAAUGCCUCUGGCGGGGUACCGGGAUGUGCAAUGAAUCAAGAGUGACAUGUAUGAAAUGAUUAUGAAUGGUGGCUUUGCCACAAAUAUGAUGUCAACUACAUGAUCAUGCAAAGCAAUAUGACAAUGAUGAAGCGUGUCCUAAUAAACGGAACGGUGGAAAGUUGCAUGGAAAUAUAUCUCGGAAUGGCUAUGGAAAUUCCUUAAUAGGUAGGUAUGGUGGCUAUUUUAAGGAAGGUAAUGGUGGGUGAUAUGGUACCGGCGAAAGUUGUGCGGCACAAGAGAGGCUAGCAAUGGUGGAAGGGUGAGAGUGCGUAUAUUCCAUGGAAUCAACAUUAGUCUUAAAGAACUCACAUACUUAUUGCAAAAAUCUAUUAGUUAUCGAAACAAAGUACUACACGCAUGCUCCUAGGGGGAUAGAUUGGUAGGAAAAGACCGUCGCUCGUCCCCGACCUCCACUGAUAAGGAAGACAAUCAAGAAAUAAAUCAUGCUCCGACUUCAGCACAUAACGGUUCACCAUACGUGCAUGCUACGGGAAUCACAAACUUUAACACAAGUAUUUCUCAAAUUUACAACUACUCAACUAGCAUGACUCUAAUAUCACCAUCUUCAUAUCUCAAAACAAUCAUCAAGUAUCAAACUUCUCAUAGUAUUCAAUGCACUCUAUAUGGAAGUUUUUAUUAUAUCCCUCUUGGAUGCCUAUCAUAUUAGGACUAGUUUCAUAACCAAAGCAAACUACCAUGCUGUUAUAAAUACUCUCAAAAUAAUGUAAGUGAAGUAUGAGAGUUCAUCUAUUUCUUCAAAAUAAAACCACCGCCGUGCUCUAAAAAGAUAUAAGUGAAGCACUAGAGCAAACGACAAACUACUCCGAAAGAUAUAAGUGAAGAUCAAUGAGUAGUUGAAUAAUUAUGUAACUAUGUGAACACUCUCUAACAUUUAAGAAUUUCAGAUCUUGGGAUAUUAUUCGAACAGCAAGCAAAAACAUAAAAUAAAAUGACGCUCCAAGCAAAACACAUAUCAUGUGGUGAAUAAAAAUAUAGCUCCAAGUAAAGUUACCAAUGAACGAAGACGAAAGAGGGGAUGCCAUCCGGGGCAUCCCCAAGCUUAGGCUCUUGGUUGUCCUUGAAUAUUACCUUGGGGGUAACUUGGUAAUCCCCAAGCUUAGGCUCUUGCCACUCCUUGUUCCAUAGUGCAUCGAAUCUUUACCCAAAACUUGAAAACUUCACAACACAAAACUCAACAGAAAACUCGUAAGCUCCGUUAGUAUAAGAAAAUAAAUCACCACUUUUGGUAUUGUUGUGAAAUCAUUCUAAAUUCGUAUUGGUGUAAUAUAUACUAUAUUACAACUCAUAUAUGGUUCAUACCCUCCGAUACUACUCAUAGAUUCAUCAAAAUAAGCAAACAACACAUAGAAAACAGAAUCUGUCAAAAACAGAACAGUCUGUAGUAAUCUGGAUCAAAUGUAUACUUAUGGAACCUCAACAAUUCUAAAAUAAAUUUCUGGACAUGAGGAAUUUAUCUAUUAAUCAUCUGCAAAAAUAAUAAACUAAGUAGCACUCUCCAGUAAAACAUAGCAGCAAAUCUCGUGAACGCUAAAGUUUCUGUUUUUUUAUAGCAAGAUCGCAAAGACUUUCUGCAAGUCUUCCCAAAGGUUCUACUUGGCACAAACACUAAUUAAAACAUAAAAACUCAAUCAUAACAGAGGCUAGAUAAAUUAUUUAAUACUAAACGGGAACAAAAAUCAAGUAACAAAAAUAAAAUCGGGUUGCCUCCCAACAAGCGCUAUCGUUUAACGCACCUAGCUAGGCAUGAUGAUUUCAAUGAUGCUCACAUAAAAGAUAAGAAUUGAAACAUAAAGAGAGCAUCAUGAAGAAUAUAACUAGAACAUUUAAUUAUAACCCACUUCCUAUGCAUAGGGAUUUUGUGAGCAAACAACUUAUGGGAACAAGAAUCAACUUGCAUAGGAAGGUAAAACAAGCAUAACUUCCGGAUUUUAAGCACAUAGAGAGGAAACUUGAUAUUAUUGCAACUCCCACAAGCAUAUAUUCCUCCCUCAUAAUAAUUUUCAGUAGGAUCAUGAAUGAAUUCAACAAUAUAACUAUCACAUAAAGCAUUCUUUUCAUGAUCUACAAACAUAGAAAAUUUACUAUUCUCCACAUAAACAAAAUUCUUGUCAUUCGGAAUAGUGGGAGUAUCAUCAGAAACUCGAACACUAUAAAUUGUUUCCACAUUAAAAUAGUAAUGUUCAGAAAAAGGGUAAUAAUAAUAAUGACAAGUUUUAAUAUAAUCAGCACUACUUUUUAUAGCACACGUAUCAUCACAAUAAUUAUCAUAAGUAGCAACUUUGUUCUCGUCAUAAUCGAUUGAAACCUCUUCCAAGAUAGUGGAAUCAUUACUAAAUAAAGUCGUGACCUCUCCAAAUCCACUUUCAUAAUUAUCACAAUAAGAUUGAACACCCUCCAAAAUAGUGGGAUCAUUACUUCCUAAAGUUGACACUCUUCCAAACCCACUUUCAUCAAUAUAACUAUCAUAAAUAGGAGGCAUGCUGUCAUCAUAAUAAAUUUGCAUAUCAAAACUUGGGAGGUUAAAAGUAUUAUCUUCAUGAAACAUAGCAUCCCCAAGAUUGGAACAAACAUUAAUUGCAGAAAAUACAUUCUCAAACAUGUCAUUCUGAUCAAACAUAGCAUCCCCAAGCUUGGACCUUUUCAUAUCAUAAGCAUGAUCACUCUCAUCAUUAAUAGUAUGGAUAUCACCAAUAGUAUAGCAAUUAUCAUCGUCACAAUGAGUAAUAGGAGCAACAUCAUUUGGGAUGGGUACCUUUUUACCUUUGCUCCUCCAUCUUUUCUUUCUCUUCUUCACAUCAUGUGUGGGUUUAACCCUCUUUUUGGAGCUCCUUCUUAAUGAGAUUGGUUGAAUAGAAGGCUCCUCCUCGUUACCUGAUUCAUCAUAAGAAAUAAUAGGAGGAUAUUGGGAAGUCUCUUCCCUUUCAUUAGUAUUCUCUUCAUCUUCUAUUUGUUUUCUUAUCUUUAUGUAAUUGGCAAUAUAAGGAUUUUCAAUGCAAUUCACCGCACAAUACAUGAAAAUUUCUUCUAAAUCAAAAUCAAGAAAACUAUCAAGAUUAAAUUUUGGAAUACCCUCAGUUAUACGUUUCAUUUCUUCAUACCCCAAAAGAAGACUAAGCUCUUUAUGGUGCUCAAGGGUAAUCAAGUUAUCACAAUUUUUGGACACGAUUUGAUCAUGAAACAAAUAGCAUUGGAGCUUUAAAUGACCAUGUUCAUUGCAAAGUUCACAAGGAUGGCGAUAAAUAUUGAAUCUUUCAGCACAAACAUCUAGCCUUUCUUGCAACCAUUUAGUUUCCAAAUACUUAUGCCUCUUGCAAAAUCUAUCUUCCCUAUUUGGUGUGUGCUUGCAAGCUCUAUGUAUUCCACAAAAGUUGACAUGCUUAUAAGAGACAUUUUCAUCAUGACCAGUGCAAUCAUCAUUAGUAUUAUGGAUAUUCAAAGAGUUCAUACUAAUAACAUUGCAAUCAUGCUCAUCAUUCAAAGAUUUAGUGCCUAACAUUCUAAUGCAUUCUUCUUCUAACACAUUGGCACAAUUAUCGGAAUCCUUAUUUUCAUGAAAGACAUUAAAAAGAUAAAGCAUAUGAGGUACCCUUAAUUUCAUUUUUAGUUUUCUUUUAUAGACUAAACUAGUGAUAAAACAAGAAACUAAAAGAUUCGAUUGCAAGAUCUAAAGAUAUACCUUCAAGUGCUAACCUCCCCGGCAACGGCGCCAGAAAAGAGCUUGAUGUCUACUAUAGAACCUUCUUCUUGUAGACGUUGUUGGGCCUCCAAGUGCAGAGGUUUGUAGGACAGUAGCAAAUUUCCCUCAAGUGGAUGACCUAAGGUUUAUGUAUCCAUUGGAGGCGUAGGAUGAAGAUGGUCUCUCUCAAACAACCCUGCAACCAAAUAGCAAUGAGUCUCUUGUGUCCCCUACACACCCAAUACAAUGGUAAAUUGUAUAGGUGCACUAGUUUGGCGAAGAGAUGGUGAUACAAGUGCAAUAUGGAUGGUAGAUAUACGUUUUUGUAAUUUGAAAGUAUAAAAACAGCAAGGUAACUAAUGACAAAAGUGAGCAAAAACGGUAGUGCAAUGCGUUGAAACAAGGCCUAGGUUUCAUGCUUUCACUAGUGCAAGUUCUCUCAACAAUAAUAACAUAAUUAGAUCAUAUAACUAUCCCUCCACAUGCAACAAAGAGUCACUCCAAAGUCACUAAUAGUAGAGAACAAACGAAGAGAUUAUUGUAGGGUAUGAAACCACCUCAAAGUUAUUAUUUUCGAUCAAUCCAUUGGGCUAUUCCUAUAAGUGUCACAAACAACCAUAGAGUUCGUAGUAAAAUAACACCUUAAGACACAAAUCAACCAAAACCCUAAUGUCACCUAGAUACUCCAAUGUCACCUCAAGUAUCCACGGGCAAGGUUGGAAAAAGCGGUAGGCGUAAGCGAGGCGGUUGGCCUUUGCCUAGUGCCUAGGCGGUGUCUAAGCGCCCUAGGCGCGGCCUAGACGGUGAUAUCGUUUUUACUCGUAGUGCAUUUAUGAUUAUUAUAUGGGUGUUGAUAUUAGUUUAGGGCAUAUAAAUAAGUUAAUUACCAUCUACUGCCAUUGGAAUAUAACCCGUUUGGCAUACCAGUGUAGUAUGUGGCAUGAUUUCUUGCUUGGGUAGGCAAUUCCUUGCUUGCCCUGCCUAGACCUCCAUUUAUGCCCUAGGCGAGGCGUUUGACCAUUGCCUAGUGCCUAGGCGCGCCUAAGCGCCUCCUAGGCACUGCCUUUUCCAACAGAGUCCACGGGUAUGAUUAUACGAUAUGCAUCACACAAUCUCAGAUUUAUCUAUUCAACCAACACAAAGAACUUCAAAGAGUGCCCCCAAAGUUUCUACUGGAGAGUCAAGACGAAAACAUGUGCCAACCCCUAUGCAUAAGUUCACGAGGUCACAGAACUCACAAGUUGAUCACCAAAACAUACAUCAAGUGGAUCACGUGAUAUCCCAUUGUCACCACAGAUAAGCACAUGCAAGACAUACAUCAAGUGUUCUCAAAUCCUUAAAAACUCAGUCCGAUAAGAUAACUUCAAAGGGAAAACUCAAUCCAUUACAAGAGAGUAGAGGGGGAGAAACAUCAUAAGAUCCAACUAUAAUAGCAAAGCUCGUGAUACAUCAAGAUCGUGCCGAAUUAAGAACACGAGAGAGAGAGAGAUCAAACACAUAGCUACUGGUACAUACCCUCAGCCCCGAGGGUGAACUACUCCCUCCUCGUCAUGGAGCCCGCCGGGAUGAUGAACAUGGCCGUCGGAGAGGGAUUCCCCCCCUCCGACAGGGUGCCGGAACGGGUCUAGAUUGGUUUUCGGUGGCUAUGGAGGCUUCUAGUGGUGGAACUCCCGAUCUAGGUUUCUUUCUGGAAGUUUCAGUAUAUAUAAGAGGUUUUGGCAUCGAGAACAACUCAGGGGGGGUCUCGGACUGUCCACGAGGCAGGGAGGCAUGCCCAGGGGGGUGGGCGCGCCCACCACCCUCGUGGGCAGCCCGAGAUUCUUCUAGCCCAACUCUUUUACUCCAUAGCCUUCUUCUGGUCCAAAUAUAAGCUCGUCAAGUGUCAGGUCAAUUGGACUCCGUUUGGUUUUCCUUUUCUGCGAUACUCAAAAACAAGGAAAAAACAAAAACUGGCACUAGGCUCUAGGUUAAUAGGUUAGUCCCAAAAAUCAUAUAAAAUAGCAUAUAAAUGCAUAUAAAAAUCCAAGGUUGAUAAUAUAAUAGCAUGGGACAAUAAAAAAUUAUAGAUACGUUGGAGACGUAUCACUAGGCUCGUCAAGUUUAACCCGAGUAUUCUGCACGUGCAAAACUGGCUUGCACCCAUUGUAUGUGAACAUAGAGCUUAUCACACCCGAUCAUCAUGUGUUGUCUCGGCACGACGAACUGUCACAAUGGUGCAUACUCUGGGAGAACACUUAUACCUUGAAAUUUAGUGAGGGAUCAUCUUAUAAUGCUACCGCCAUACUAAGCAAAAUAAGAUGCAUAAAAGAUAAACAUCGCAUGUAAUCAAAAUAUGCGACAUGAUAUGGCCAUCAUCAUCUUGUGCCUUUGAUCUCCAUCUCCAAAGCACCGUCAUGAUCUCCAUCGUCACUAGCUUGACACCUUGAUCUCCAUCGUAGCAUCUUUGUCGUAUCGCCAACUAUUGCUUCUAUGACUAUCGCUAACGCAUAGUGAUAACGUAAAGUAAUUACAUGGCGAUUGCAUUCCAUACACUAAAGCAACAACCAUAAGGCUCCUGCCAGUUGCCGAUAACUUUUACAAAACAUGAUCAUCUCAUACAACAACGUAUAUCACAUCAUGUCUUGACCAUAUCACAUCACAACAAACCCUACAAAAACAAGUUAGACGUCCUAUACUUUGUUGUUGCAAGUUUUACAUGGCUGCUACGGGCUUCUAGUAAGAACCGUUCUUACCUACGCAUCAAAACCACAACGAUUUUUCGUCAAGUGUGCUGUUUUAACCUUCAACAAGGAUCGGCCGUAGUCAAAUUCGAUUCAACUGAAGUUGGAGAAACAGACACCCGCCAGCCACCUUUAUGCAAAAAAAGUUGCAUGUUUGUCGAUGGAACCAAUCUCUUGAAUGUGGUCAUGUAAGGUUGGUCCGGGCCGCUUCAUCCAACAAUACUACCGAAUCAAAAUAAGACAUUGGUGGUAAGUAGUAUGACUAUGAUCGCCCACUACUCUUUGUGUUCUACUCAUGCAUAUCAUCUACGCAUAGACCUGACUCUGAUACCACUGUUGGGGAAUGUAGCAUGCAAUUUCAAAAAAAAAUCUACGAUCACGCAAGAUUUAUCUAGGAGAUACAUAGCAACAAGAGGGGGUGAAUGUGUCCAUGUACCCUCGUAGACCGAAAGAGGAAGUGUUAGGUUAACUGUAAGUGCAUCUAGUGCCACCCCUAGUUGGUUUUGGAGUAUUGACGACAAACCUAGUUGAGGGACUAAUGUGUUUGUGAGAAUUACAGGAUAACACAGGUAGAAGUCCCUCAUUGAUUCGGUUUUCCCACCAGAGAUGACCCCUAAAAAUGUAAGAAGACAUUGAAGACAAAGGUGGUAUGUGAAGACAUUCACAUUGAAGACUAUGACAAGAGAAGACAUCGCAUGAAGACUAUGGAGCGCGAAGACUUAGUUCUUUCGUCGUUCUUUUUCUUCUUUGUUUAGUCAUAGGAACCACCGUACUGUUAAGUGGGGUCCAAGAGAACCAGUCAGAAUGACUGAAGUGAUGCUUAACCAAAAUCCUAUGUCUUCGAGUGAAGACUAUGAGAGCAAAUCUUGUCCAUAGUUGGAUAAGUAUAAUGCCCUCGAUGCGGCUAUAUCUCCCACGUGUCGAAGCACGACUUAGAGGCAUAACCGCAUUGAAAGCAAUGUCGCAAGUGAGGUAAUCUUCACACAACCCAUGUAAUACAUAAGGGAAAGAGAUACAUAGUUGGCUUACAAUCGCCACUUCACACAAUUACAUGAGUAAAGCAUUACAACAUCCAAAUACAAUCAAGGUCCGACUACGGAACCAAAAUAAAAGAAGAACCCCAAAUGCGACAUAGAUCCCCGAUUGACCCCAACUGGGAUCCACUACUGAUCCAUUAGAACGAAACAACACAAAGGACAAGAUCUUCAUCGAGCUCUUCCUUGAGCUUGGUUGCGUCAUCUGCACGGCAACCUCGACACCCGCAAGCUGGUUUUGGAAGUAUCUGUGAGUCACAGGGACUCAGCAAUCUCACACUCUCGCGAUCAAGACUAUUUAAGCUUAUAGGAAGGGUAAAAGGUAUGAGGUGGAGCUGCAGCAAGCGACUAGCAUAUAUGGUGGCUAACAUACACAAAUGAGAGCGAGAAGAGAAGGCAAAGCACGGUGGAUAAAAGUAUGAUCAAGAAGUGAUCCUAGAACAACCUACGUCAAGCAUAACUCCAACACCGUGUUCACUUCCCGGACUCUGCCGAGAAGAGACCAUCAUGGUUACACACGCGGUUGAUGCAUUUUAAUUAAGAUCAACUUUAGGUUUUCUACAACCGGACGUUAACAAAUUUCCAUCUGCCCAUAACCGCGGGCACGGCUUUCGAAAGUUCAAAUCCCUGCAGGGGUGUCCCAACUUAGCCCAUCACAAGCUCUCACGGUCAACGAAGGAUAUUCCUUCUAGCGGGAAGACCCGAUCAGGCUCGGAAUCCCGGUUACAAGACAUUUCGACAAUGGUAAAACUAAACCAGCAACACCGCCCGAAUGUGCCGACAAAUCCUGAUAGGAGCUGCACAUAUCUCGUUCUCAGGGCACACCGGAUUAUCCAAGGUAUAGGUAGACCAGCCCAGAGUUGCCCCUGGUGGCCACCGGCAGCUGACAGGUUGGACCAACACUCAGAGGAGCACUGGCCCGGGGGGGGGGGUAAAAUAGAGAUGACCCUCGAGAGCGCGACUCCCAAGGGAAAAGAAAAGGCUAGGUGGCGAAUGGUAAAACCAAGGUUGGGCCUUGCUGGAGGAGUUUUAUUCAAAGCGAACUGUCAAGGGGUUCCCAUUAUAUCCCAACCGUGUAAGGAACACAAAAUCCGGGAACAUAACGCCGAUAUGACGGAAACUAGGGCAGCAAGAGUGGAACAAAACACCAUGCAUAAGGCCGAGCCUUCCACCCUUUACCAAGUAUAUAGAUGCAUUAAUUAGAUAAGAGAUAUUGUGAUAUCCCAACAAGUAAACAUGUUCCAACAAGGAACAACAUCUCCAUGUUCCAACAAGGAACAAACUUCAAUCUUCACCUGCAACUAACAACGCUAUAAGAGGGGCUGAGCAAAGUGGUAACAUAGCCAAACAACGGUUUGCUAGGAAAAGGAGGGUUAAAGGCUUGGUUUCACAAUAUGGGAGGCAUGAUAAGCAAGUGGUAGGUAUCACAGCAUAGGCAUAGCAAAAGAGCAAGCAACUAGCAAGCAAAUAUAGAAGUGAUUUCGAGGGUAUGGUCAUCUUGCCUGAAAUCCCGCAAGGAAGAAGAACGAGUCCAUGAAGAAGACAAACAGACAUAGCCAAACGAAUCCUCACAAACGCAACGUUAUCGGAACCAACCCGAAGAAGCAACACCGGAAAGGAGCAAACAACAUAGUAAACAACCAUCACAUAAUCAUGGCACGAUGCGCAAACAAGUAUGAUGCAUCCGGGUUAAUGAGGCAUGGCAUGGCAAAGUGCUCAAACGAUCCUACAAAUUAAGUGGAGCUCAUUAUGCAACUCCGUUGGAUAUUGAUGAAACACCACAUUCAAGUUAUUUAGUUUCGAUCUUGUUUAUGUACCCAACAAUAUUAAAUGUUGUUAAACAUGGCAAGAGGUGAAGCAUAAUGAAACUAUCUAUCUAGGCAAGUUUAAAUGAGGCCGGAACAACAAAACAGCAAGUCCGGAAACUCCUCAUGUGCAUAUAUUAGGUUUGGUACUGUUCUGCCCUAAACAAAAUUUUAGAGUUAUUAAACAUGUAAAACAAGUACACCAUGUUAAACUAGGCAUUUUUCCACCCCAUUUACAUAUAAAGUUUAUUAAAUUCGGAGCUACGGUUAUUUAGUUAUGAAUUAAAGCAUUUUAGCAAGACAUAAGAGCAAAUUUAAACAAACAACAUUUUAAAUAUUUUAACCAUGGAUGAAAAUGACAUAUUAUAAAACUAGAUGAAAUUCUAAGCAAGUUUCAUAUACAAAGUUUUUACAUGUGAUGCACCGUUUGUGAGAUAUGAUAUACAUGAUGUAUGAGGGCUGAUCUGCAAAAGUGCAGUGCCCUGGAAAUUGAUAAAAUCGUAGCUAAGGAAAAAAACCUAACAGGCUGAAACUAAGCAGAGGCCCAACAGGGAAUAAAGAAAGAGAAGAAAGAACAAAAAAACACAGGAGGCGCUGGGCCUCACCAUGGGCUUCGGCCCAGUCAGGAAGAGGCUUUGGGCAUGCCGGCUGCUGGGCUCAGCUCACUCGAUCUGGCCCACGCGCGAGACAAAGUGGCUGUCGGUUGAGAGGGUCAGCGAGGUAGAGUCGGUCAACGAAGCUGGGCGUUGCGAGCGCUCCCUGAUCCAUCGUUUCCGAAGAAGAAAAAGGACGCCAAGCCCGGCGUGGAGCACUGGCGAGAUGCGGGCGAGGGAGUCGAGCGGCGCUGCUACUGGCGGGCUUGUGGCAACGCGAACGAGCAGGACGGAGAGGAAGCAGUGGCGCUGGGUGAGCAUUCUGCUUGACCAAAACGAAGCAGGCGGCAGUGGGUGAAGCAGGGGACUUGGCGGGCGGCGCAGGCGCAGGGGCUUGAGCAGGACGCCGACGAGGGAACUUGGGGCUCCGGCAGCGCCGGGAACACGCAGACGGGUGGAUCCGGUCCGCUGGCGCCGGAUCCGGGCAAACGGCAGCGCGGACAGAGGAGCUUGGGCGCAGCGGCGCUCGGCAAGGCCAUGGCGCGGGCUCCUGUCGACAGAGAAAAAGAGAACAGAGAGAGAUGAGAGAGGGGAAACACAGGGAGGAAAAUGGGAAGAAGAAGAAGGGGGGCGACGCUCAUCUGGUUGGCUGCUGGGCAUGAGCGAGGCCGGCGAGGCGGCGGCAGGAGGGCUCAAUGGAUGCCAUGGCUGGGAGCUGCAGUCACCGACGCGGACGACAGACGCACGGCGGCGCAGCAGGGGCACGCUGGGAACGGCAUGGGAAUGGAGGCAGCACAGCAGGGGCACGGCGGGAACGCGUGGGAAUGGAGGCAGCACAGCAGGGGCACGGCGGGAACGCGUGGGAAUGGAGGCAGCGCAGCAGGGGCACGGCGGGAACACGUAGGCCGGCGGUGACUUCCAUGGCGCCGGUGUGCUCCUGUGAAGAGAGCAAAGAGAGAGACGAGGUGAGGGGAGAACCAGAGAGGGAAAAAGAAAGACGGAGGGAGAGAGAGGAACAAGGAGGGUCCACGGCAAGCAAUUCCUGCUGGUGCUCGGCGUCGAGGCUCGCCGGGGCAGAGAAGGAGCUCCUCUCCUUUGGACUUGAGCGAAGCAAGGAGGAAGACGCAUCGAGAGGGAGAAGAGCUCGGGCGCGGGGCUGCGUGGAUGGAUUGGAUCUAGGUGUGGCUGAUGGUUGGUGCAGGGGGAAUGAGAGGAUCCCGAGGUGGGGAAUGAGUGCGGCGGCGGCGGCCGGGAGGAUCCCUAGAAAUUAGGGAUUUGGUCUUGGGUUAGGCUAAAAUAUAUAGAGAGUGGUAAGGUUAGGGGUUACUCGAGCCCUCCGAUCGCAAUCGGACGAUCGCGAAUAAAAUAGCUAGGGAGUCCAAAUAAGAAAACAGUGAUGUUUUGUAGAUGUUUGGGGAUGAUCCGGACACAACGGUGACGACUGUCCGGGUCGCGUCCGGGACAACUUUCAGACGCGCGCGCGAGGAGGGCCGCGGGCUGACGGGAGAAGUUAGGUUGGGCCUGGCAGUAGGUAGUGGACUGUGCAGAAGGCCUCAGGCUGAGAAAAGGGAAGAGAGAAGGCCCGACGACUGUUUCCGGAGACCGAAAACAUCCGACGUUUGACCGACUAUAUUGUCGCUAUAGUUAAUUGUUGGUACGUCAAACGAACUCCGAAUACGAUGAAACUUGACAGACGGUCUAUCUACACUAUAAUAAGACCACACGCCAACUUUCAUCCCAUUCCGAGAACAUUUUCCGGCAACUUAUAAAAUAAUAUCUCGGACAUGCCUCGGGCGCGUGCAAGUGUGUCUGGGCUCAGAACGGACAACGGAAGGAACGAGGAGACCGGGACGGAUGCAAGUUUUGAAAACAUGAUGAUGCAAUGCACAUGAUGACAUGAUAUGAAAUGCAUGACACGCAAGCAAAGACAAGGCAACAACAGCGAAUAACUAGAGGACACCUGGCACAUCGGUCUCGGGGCGUUACAAUAAGUCAGCUUUGCUUGUAGCCCAAGUAAAGUUGCCGUGUGUGUUUGAAAUCUGACCGUUGGAACACAUGUCAGUUCCUUAGUGACCAAGGGUCAUUUCGGACAAAUCAGGUCGGGUUGCCUAGUGGCUAUAAAUAGCCCACCCCCUACAACCAUAAACGGUUAGCUGCUCAGAGUUAGAGUACGACUUUUGUCGUUUGAGAGCAACCCACCUUGAAGCCUUUGAGAGAGAAUUCCUUGCGAGGAUAAAGCCCUAAACACCCAGAGCCAAAGAGUGUUAGGCAUCACUUAAGUGUUCCUGUCUGUGUGAUCUGAAGACUUAUUACACUUGAGGACUGUGAAUCCUCCAGCCGGUUAGGCGUCGCGUUCUGAGCAUCCACGAGUCAUUGUGGACCGCCGGUGAACAAAGUCUGUGAAGGUUUGGAAGUCUACCUUGAAGACUUACCAGAGUGAUUGGGCGAGGACUGGGUGUCCUUAGCUCAAGGGGAAUAAGGUGAAGACGAGGUAUUCUGAGUUAAAUCUCAGCCUCCCCAACCAGACGUACAGUUGUCACAGCAACUGGAACUGGUCCAACAAAUCAUUGUCUUCAACGAGUCACUGGUUUCAUCCUUCCCUUCCCUUUGCUUACUGGUGGUCCUUGUGAAUUCAUUGUAUGAUUGCAUUAUCUUUUGUCUUCACUGAGUGACUACUUGUUCUGAUUGGCUUCACAAUAUCUUCCUACCUGAUCUUACUGCCUAGCUGCUAUUAGUCAUUAUGCUUUCACUUCAUUGAAUACUUGACUAUGGUUUGCCUAGUGUAGUCUACCUUCCGCUGCAUGGUAAUAGGUUUAUUUCUAUCGUUUGUCUUCGAAACUUCCAUGUUUUGAAGACUUUCAUAAAAAUCUCCUAUUCACCCCCCUCUAGUCGAUCACUAGCACUUUCAAUUGGUAUCAGAGCAAGGUGCUCUCUUGUUCUUUGUGAUUCGGGUUAACCACCUGGAGUUUUAGCUAUGUCGACUGCAGGGAUAAUUAAGGUCUCCGCUGCUUGCCCCGUCUUCGAUGGAACUAAAUAUCCCUACUGGAAGAAUAAGAUGCGCAUGCAUCUUGAAGCCAUUGAUGUCGACCUAUGGUAUGCCAUCAAGAAUGGCGUUCCCAAGGCUGGUGAAGGUGUCACCGCUACUGAUGUCAAGAAGUUCGUUCAACUGGACUCCACUGCCAAGAACAUCAUCUGUGGUCAUCUGACCAAAGGACAGUAUGGCCGCGUGAGUGCUUUGGAGACAUCUAAGCUAGUCUGGGACUGGCUCUCCAAGGUCAAUGAAGGCGUCUCAACCCAGAGAGAUCAGAGAAUCAGUGUCCUUCGCAACCUCUUCAACCGCUUCAAGAGAAAUGACAAUGAGAACGUCCAGCUCACGUUUGAUCGACUCACUGACAUCACUAAUGAGCUUCAAGCUCUCGGCGCCACUGAGAUCACCAAGCAUGAAGUCGUCAAGACACUCCUGAGAUCACUUGACAGCUCGUUUGACACCCUAGCCCUAAUGAUUCAAGAACGUCCUGAUUUCAAGACACUCGAUCCGUCUGACAUACUUGAGAGGCUCAACACACAUGAGUUUCAGCUUUCUGAGAAAAGAGACAUCUACGGUCCCAACUAUGGGUGAACUCGUGCCUUGAAGGCAAAAGCUGUCUCCUCAUCUGAAGAAGAAUCUGACAGUAGUUCUGAUGAUCCUGAAGACAUUGGAAAGGAGCUUUCUAUGCUUGUGAAGAAGUUUCAAAAAUUCACCAAGAAGAAAGGCUUCAGAAAGUCUUCACGAUCAAGCUCAAGAAAUGAUGAAGCUUCUACUCAUGACCACAAAAAGAGAACAUGCCACAAGUGCAAGAAACCUGGCCACUACAUCUUUGAGUGUCCGCAGUGGGACAAUGAGAACAACAAGAAGAAGAAGAGCAAGGAAUAUGACUCUGACGACAAGAAGAAGAAGAAAUACUCAAAGUCUUCUUCCAAGUCUUCCUCAAAGUCUUCAUCACACAAGAAGAGCUCAUCUGGCAAGGCACGUGCGUUUGUUGGCAAGGAAAUGGAUUCAGAGGAGGAGUCCGCUUCUGAGGAGGCGGAGGUGGAGUCCGAGGAGGAGUCCGAUUCUGGCGUUGCGAGUCUGGCUACAGCAUACGUUGCCAAGUCCAUCUUCAACACUGAAGACAAUGACUUCAUCACUAACACCGAUGCAAAUGACAAGGACUACUCCGCUCCUACCUACUGCUUCAUGGCACGCGGUGCCAAGGGUACGACACCAGCUAUUUCAGAAUGGAUUAUUGAUAGUGGGCGUACCAAUCACAUGACUGGCAAGCGAAGCCUUCUUAUGGACUCAACACUACGCCCAUCUGACAAAAGUCACAUCACAUUUGCUGACACUGGUAAAAGCAAGGUAUUGGGUCUAGGUAGACUUGCAAUCUCAAAGGAUCAACACAUGGAUAAAGUCAUGCUUGUUGAAUCCCUUGGUUUCAACUUAAUGUCUGUUUCAAUGCUUUGUGAUUUAAACAUGAUUGUGAGGUUUGGAAAAUAUCGUUGCCUUGUACUAAUGGAAUCUGACAAGUCUCUAGUGUUUUAAGGGUAUCGGAAAGAUGAUUUGUACAUGGUAGAUUUCUCAGCAGGACCACAACUUGCCGUAUGUCUUCUAGCAAAAGCUUCUGAAUGCUGGCUCUGGCAUCGGAGGCUAGGACAUGCUGGCAUGAGGAACCUCCACACCCUUGCAAGGAAGAAGCAUGUCAUAGGCAUCGAGGGCGUCAAGUUCAAGAAGGAUCACUUAUGCGGUGCCUGUGAAGUAGGAAAGAUGACGAGGGCCAAGCAUCCCUCGAAGACAAUCAUGACAACGACUCAACCCUUCGAACUGCUCCACAUGGAUCUUUUCGGUCCCAUUCAUUACUCAACUCUUACUACUACUGCUUGUCUCUAUGGCUUUGUCAUUGUUGAUGAUUAUUCAAGAUAUACUUGGGUGCAUAUAAUCCUCUACAAGACUGAAGUGCAGGAUGUCUUCAGACGCUUCGCCAAUCGAGCCAUGAACAACUAUGGCAUCAAGAUCAAGCACAUCAGAAGUGACAAUGGCACUGAAUUCAAGAACACCGGUCUAGACACUUAUCUUGAUACUGUGGGCAUUACACAUGAAUUCUCAGCUCUGUACACACCACAGCAGAAUGGCGUCAUGGAACGCAAGAACAUAACACUUAUUGAGAUGGCCCGGACGAUGCUUGAUGAAUACAAGACUCCAAGAAAGUUCUGGCCUGAGGCCAUUGAUACUGCAUGCCAUAUCAUCAACCAUGUUUAUCUUCACAAGCUUCUCAACAAGACAUCCUAUGAGCUCCUUAUUGGCAAGAAGCCAAAUGUCAGUUACUUCAGAGUAUUUGGUGCCAGGUGCUGGAUCAAGGAUCCACAUCACACUUCAAAAUUUGCACCGAAAGCACAUGAAGGUUUUAUGCUUGGAUAUGGAAAGGAUUCACACUCCCACAGAGUCUUCAACCUCUUUCAUUAUAAAGUGGUUGAAACAGUGGAUGUGCGGUUCGAUGAGACUAACGGCUCACAAAGAGAGCACCUGCCAAAUGUGCUAGAUGAAGUUCCAUCCAGUGAAUCAAUCAAACUUAUGGGAACUGGAGAAAUCAUACCUUCUGAAGCUCAGCCUGAAGAGGAACUUAUCUUCUCCGCACUGAUCGACCUGAAGACAAUGAUCAAACUGAAGACAAUGCUCAUCCUGAAGACAAUCCUUCUAACGAUGACAAUGAUCAACAAGAGCAAAAUCUUCGUCCUGUACAUCCUCAUGUUGCAAAUGAAGUACAGAUUGAGAAAAUAAUUGAUAGCAUCAAUGCACCAGGUCCACUCACUCGUUCAAGGGAAACACAGCUAGCAAAUUUCUGUGGGCACUUCGCAUUCGUCUCAAUAUCUGAACCAAGAAAGUUGAAGAAGCCUUCAUGGAACCUGAAUGGAUUCAAGCUAUGCAAGAAGAGCUUCAACAAUUUGAGCUGAAUAAUGUAUGGGAACUAGUUAAGCGUCCUGAUCCCCGCAAGCACAAUAUAAUAGGCACCAAAUGGAUAUAUCGCAACAAGCAAGAUGAGCAUGGUCAAGUUGUCAGAAACAAAGCUCGUCUUGUUGCUCAAGGGUACACUCAAGUUGAAGGGAUUGACUUCGAUGAAACCUUUGCUCCUGUGGCCAGACUUGAAGCCAUACGCAUACUGCUGGCCUAUGCAAAUCAUCAUAACAUUCUUUUGUAUCAAAUGGAUGUGAAGAGCGCUUUUCUCAAUGGCAAGAUUGACGAAGAAGUGUAUGUUGCACAACCGCCUGGCAUUGAAGAUCCAAAACAUCCUGACAUGGUGUACAAGCUCAACAAGGCACUGUAUGGCCUCAAACAAGCCCCUCGGGCUUGGUAUGACACACUCAAAUACUUCCUGAAGAGCAAAGGCUUCAAACCUGGUUCCCUCGACCCCACUCUCUUCACGAAGGCAUAUGAUGGUGAACUGUUUGUGUGCCAAAUAUAUGUGGAUGACAUUAUCUUCGGCUGCACCAAUCAGAAAUACAUAAACGAGUUUGGAUAUAUGAUGCAAGAGCAAUAUCAGAUGUCCAUGAUGGGUGAGCUGAAGUUCUUCCUUGGUCUUCAAAUACGUCAGCAACACAACGAAAUCUUCAUAUCUCAAGAGAAGUACCUCAAAGAUUGCCUGAAGAAAUUUGGGAUGCAAGACUGCAAGGGCUUCACGACGCCAAUGCCAGCCAAACAUCAUCUGGGUCCCGACGACAAUGGUAAAGAGUUUGAUCAAAAGGUAUAUCGCUCCAUGAUUGGUUCCUUGCUUUAUUUAUGUGCAUCUAGGCCAGAUAUCAUGCUUAGUGUUUGCAUGUGUGCUCGAUUCCAAGCGGCACCAAAGGAAUCGCAUCACUUAGCUGUGAAGCGAAUUCUUAGAUAUUUGGCUCACACCCCAACACUAGGAUUAUGGUCUCCAAAGGGCUCAGAAUUUGAUCUGGUUGGAUUCUCGGAUGCUGAUUAUGCUGGUGACAAGGUGGAUCGCAAGUCUACAUCAGGCACAUGUCAUUUUCUAGGACGAUCACUUGUAUGUUGGUCUUCAAAGAAGCAGAACUGUGUAUCUCUCUCCACUGCUGAAUCUGAAUACACUGCUGCUGGAUCUUGCUGCGCUCAGCUUCUGUGGAUGAAGCAAACACUGAAAGAUUAUGGCAUUCAUCUGAAGCAAGUGCCACUGUACUGCGACAAUGAAAGCGCCAUCAAGAUUGCCAACAACCCAGUUCAGCACUCGAAGACAAAGCACAUUGAUAUUCGUCAUCACUUUCUCAGAGAUCAUGUUGUGAAGGAAGAUAUUGAUAUCAUACACGUCAACAUUGAAGAGCAAUGGCAGAUAUCUUCACCAAGCCCUUGGAUGAGAAGAGGUUUUGCAAGUUACGAUGUGAGCUAAAUAUUUUGGAAUCCUCAAAUGUCCUGUGAUCAGGCACACAUCCUAACACUUAUGCAUAUUGAUGACUUAGAUGUGCAACACAUGAAGUAAAGUAUAUCUUCAAUCAAUGAAGACUUACUUUCUAAGUGUGAAUACAUUAAUGUGGAAUUUGACUUCGGAGCGCCACGAUAAUUGUGCGCCGUGUCUGAGUCUAAUACUUCCUAUACGGUGGGUAACACCACCACCAAAUUUUUCUGUUUGAAGUGUUUUCGCUCAUGGCAUUACGUUCGGUAUGUCUUCACAUUUGGUUUGGCUUCAAUCUCAACUUGUCUUCAUGAUUAUCUUCACGAUGUUGAUUUGAUUGUCUUUCUUAGAUAUACAUAUAUAUACUAGUGUUCUGUCCUCUACAUAAUUCACUUAUAUCUAUAUCUUCUUGUUGAAUAUUUUGAACUAAGUGAAUGUGAUCGGACCCUAACCUCUCUAUGCUUUCUAUCUCAAACUCUAUCUCUCCAAAUCAUAUGCAUUCUAUUGAAACUGUCGAAUAUCUUCUCUGCAUCCUUGUCAGCAGAAGAUACAGAGACAAACAUUAUGUCCGUUUUCAAUGCUAAUUCCUUCACCUGAAACCCGGAGGAGUGGGAACGACCACCCGACAAUCCGGGCAUGCGUGGGAAUGUGGAACAACCUCCGAUAUGUUGCAUGAUGGCCACGUGUCCUUCAUAUGUGAAACGCUAGGGGCACCUGUGUAAUAACACUGUGCCAUCCCUGUCUCUAUAAAUACACGCCUCACCACAGUCAUUAUCCUUUAUUCCACUCUCGCGCAAACCCUAGCGCCACCGCUAGCCCUUGACGACGCCGGCGACGAAGCGCAUAGUUGCCUCGACCUCACCGACGCCGUCUUCACGCCGGCCGCGGAGAUCGUCUUCUCCGCCAUCGCCGUAGGUGUCCUCCGUCGCCAAGUUAGGGCACGGACGAUCAAUCUUCUCGGCCUCCUCUCCCACUCCGUCUAGCAGUUCUUUGUGUGGUAAAUAAAACUUCCUUUUCACGGCCCCCUUGAUCCUAUAGAUUCAUCACUUUCUACCAUAAGCAGUUUCUGUUCACACAAGUUGGAUCUAUUUCAUACUACGUCUCAUAAUAUUCCUAGUAUGUUCACUUAUGCUUCACAAAGUAGUUAGAUUCCUCACUUGUACUUAUUCGUGGAUUCGUACAAAUCUGGAACCAACUCUCUAUCUAUGAGUGAAUGUCUUCGCACUAUGAGGUCAAUGUCUUCUAAACUGAUUUAUCUUCAAAAUCUUCUGAGAAUGCAUAUGACCUCUUCCCCUUCCCUCGCACCUUAAUGCUGUCACAGGUACAUGUCCGUGGGAGAAUCCCUUGGUUCUCAUAGUCUGCAUUCAUUUGCAGAAUUCUUACAGCAUCAUAUAAAUUCUCCCGAAGCCAGUUCCUGCUUAACCAGCAAGCGAAAGCCUUUGAAACCUUUGAACGCAUUGAAGCCAUUCAGUUUGAAGAUCAUGGCUACAGAGAAAUCAGCAAGGAAGGGUGGUAGAAGGCGUCGAGGUGGAACAUCAAGAGAUUUGCCCGAUGACCUCUCAGAGCUGUACAAGACAGAUCCAUAAGAGGAUUACACUCAGCGCAAGACAUGAAUCCAAUGGAUUCGACAAUAUUGGGCAGAACAGUGGUUCAAGUACAGGUUUGUGACCAAGGAAUAUGCUGAGAAGAAUGCCAUCAAGCGACCAUGGGGAGACAUCCUAUACAGAAAUCUUCAACCAAGGGUCCAGAGAUGAAGCCAUUGAACAAGGCUUCUAUCCCUGCAUGGUCUGUGGACCACAGCCUGCGGAUGCAGACCCAUCGUCAUUGCUAUGGUGUCGUGACGACAAUCUGUUCAAGCGCAACUUCCAAUUUGCCAAGAAUUCGGUGAAGCAGAACAAGAAGUCAUUGGGACUAGACUUCAACCCUGGUCCCUCUGCUCCCUGUGUCGAUGGCACCCGCGAAGCUGAACCCAAUCUUGUUGGGCCCUUCUACAACCUGGAAGGUCUCAUCACUCAUAUCAUGGUUCAAGGGACAGCCGUGGAUGAGCCUGCAGAUGACGCUGAAUCUGAUGAAGCGCUUGCACCGCCGAAGCCAAAGAAACUAAAGAAGCCUAAAGCUUCAAAGUCUGCCUCAACACCAAAAAUCUCACGUGCGAAGCCACUGGCUACUACACCUCCUGAAGACAGUGUGCAGUCUGAAGAUCUAUCACGCAUCUCCAAGAAGACUGAGAUGAGAAAGAGUACUAAUCAGGCACUGACUGCUGCUGCUAUUCUGCGCAACGACGCCAUUGAUCUGUCCAGCGAUGAAGAUCUUGCAGAUAACGCUCUUGAGCAAUUGAUCAAGAGCAAGGAAGAAGCAGAGAUCUUCAAUGAUUUGCCUCUCUUUGAUGAGGCAAUCAUCCAUGACUUCAUUGAUGAGUGGUUUGACAUGCCCAACCUCAGCUUUGAAGAUCUGCAACUUCCAAUUGGCCUCAGUGUCGCCUUCACUGGCGCCAUUGCUUCUGAGCUAGCUCUAGCUCAGCACAUCGUUGAACUGAAGCAAAAGAUCGACUAUGAGAAAGCUCAGUUCAAGAAGCACAUGGUCAAGCUCAGCAUGCAAGAUGUGAAAAACUUCAAGAUUAUGCUGCACGAGCUCAAGGAAGCCUUUCUUAAGAAGCAUGAAGAAGCUCAAGGUUCUCGUGAGCGCAUGAAGAGCCUGGCUGACAAGUGCAUGCAAGCCUACAAUGAGGCUGAGAAGCGCAAGGCUCUUGGUCGUCCUGGCAUCGACCCCAGAUUGGCUGCAAAGAAGAAGAAGCCCUCAACUGAUCAAUCUGCACCUUCAAGGCAGGAAGAACCUCGCAUAGUCUUCCCAAGCAGCAUGACUGGCUCGAAGCCAAAGGUUAGGUCAACCGCUUCAGAAUUGAAGAAGACGAGGACUGCCGAGGCUGAAGCCAGAAAAAGGAAAAAUCCUGAAGCUUCUGAUGUCGCUCCCUCUAAGAAGAAGCGCAAAACCAAGAAGGAUCGGGUUGCUCCCACAGAGCCCUUAGUUGUUGAACCUAUCUCAAUGGUUAGCCCUGCAUCUGAACACCAUGAGCGACAACUAAUUGUGCAUGAGCCUGCUUCCAUAGAGGCUCAUGAAGUGGAAGACAUUCCAGUAGUUGAUCCCACCACUGCUGAAGACAUUGGUCACCAUGACAAUGUUGAAGAUGAUGUAGUUCUUCCUCAGAUCGAGAACCAAUUGGUAUCAUCGCAUGUGCUCGUGCAUAGCGAACUCAUCAGCAUUGGUCGUCCUCUAACGCCAAUUGCUCAGGAUGCAUCGUGGGCUGAUCACCCACAACAACAAGACACCCCGAGUACUCUGCAACAACAACAAGUCACACCACCUGUGCCAGACGAAGAAGACGACUUUGAGGCCCAGCCAACUCCAUCUCCAUAGGCGUCGCCAGCGCUAUGCAGGCUUCGCAAAGGACCAAGGCCUCAAAUCCCCCUUUCGAGCGUUCCAGAAGGAGAAGUGCCCCAAUCUGUUGCACGUCAAGUGUUCCCAGAAGCCACUCCGACUAUGAAUGUCUCCGUGUCUGAAGCCAAAGGUGCUGAAGACAAUCCGGCUGCAUCAGCCGAUGACAAACAAGAAGAAGAUAGUGUCCCUACACCCCCAAUUUAUGAAGAAGAUGUUCCUGAAGUGAACGUGUCUGUGCCUGACCCUCCAGAUUAACAAGUGGAGGUUGAGAAUCUUGAGGCUGCCACCACCAACACAAAUGAAGCCAAUGACAUAGUCAUGGCUGAAGCAAAUGUGGAGCCUGCACCAACCAAUGUGCCAGAGGCCAAUGAAGCCAAUGAUGCACCUGCAACAGAUGUGCAGCCUGAAGCCUCUGUUGAUGCCACUGCUCCUAUUCCGCCACCAAGGCCACACACUAUCGAGCAAGCAGUCAACUAUGGCCAACUUGUCACUGUCAAAUGGCCUAUUCUGACUCCUCCGCCUGCUGCUGGUCCUCAGUUUGACUAUCACGUUGAGCACAUGCCUCAGGUUCAGAAGCCAAUACCAAGGUUGCCCAGGUUUCCAGGCACUGCAUCUGCACCCGGAUCGUUCAAUAUCAAUGGCUUCAAGGCACACAACACCUUCUUUAAUAGCGCCAAGAACCCCUACACCAAGGCAAGAAUAUCUUCUGAUCGGUUCUGGAGCUAUCAGCAGCGCAUUUAUUACUCAUGCAUUCUGUACAAUCAAGGUCGCAUUUUCCCACAUAUGCGUCUUGACACUGAAGCCAUAACUGGACUGCCCUGUUUGGAAGAAGCUCUGGAUUGCUUCAGAGAGUUUGGUUUGCUGCAGUUCGUCAUUGAUAAGGAGCACUGGAAUGAAGAAUUGCUACUCCAAUUCUAUGCCACUCUUCAUAUCCGUGGCUACAACAGGGAUCCGAAGACUUGGGUCCUUGAGUGGAUGACAAGAAAUGAUCAUCAUGAAGCCAAAGCCUCUGAUAUCAUUGAGCUUACUGGCCUGCCCACUCCAGGAGAUCUGUAUGAACCUGGUUGUCAGCUUCACAGUGCUGCUAUGGAAAGCAUCUUCCACAAGCCUGAGCCCAAUAUGAGUCAGAUGCUUAGCAUGAUGAAGCCUUUGCCUCCAGAUGCUGAAUAUCCUAAGGAGUUCUUUGUUGAAGACCUUGAGUAUCUGCCACGUAAUAUCUAUCACAUCAUAAGGCGGACUCUCUGGCCCAUCAAAGGACAUUCUCCACAUGCCAAGCUAGAAGGUGCAAUGAAGACAUUGGUCUUUCAUAUUCUUCAUGGCAAAAGCUUCAAUGCACAAGACUUCUUCAUUCGCCAGCUUGCUGCAUCAGGAUCUGACAUUUUUGGCUUGAAGUUUUACGCUCCAUGGGUUAUGCGACUGAUCAAACUACACUCAGCUAUCACCUAUCAGCCCUCUGCUCGCAAUCAUAGGAUCUUUCUACCUGACGUUGAUAUGUCAGUUGAAGCCAUCUAUCCAGAGCCUGCCAAGGAGCCUCUUAGUCUUCAGAAUGCUGAGAAUCAAAGCUUCUCUCAAAACAUUGAAGGAGUUCAAGCAGUCACACGUGUUUAUCCUCUGGCUAGAACUACACGUGCACCUCACCGUGCCCUCACUGAAGCCACCGAAAGCACCAUUGCCCAACGGCCCAAGAAGCGAUCCCGUGUUCUCAAUGACCGUGAGAUUCUGGUUGCCCUUCAUCAUAAACAGGAUAGGCAUCAUGACUGGCUGAAGCGCCAAAUGCAAAGCCUCUUGGUGGACGUAAACAGGAUUCGCAAUCUUGCCACCAAUAAUGUCUUUGUUGCCCAUGAAACCUGUCGGUGUACAUAGAAAGGGCUGACACUUAUGUGCUCUGAGGAUGAUCUUUAAGAGGAUGGCUUCUCUGAACGCUUCAAGUUUGACUCAACACCUCCAAGAAGGACUGUGCUGCGACGAACUCCAUCUCUUGAAGACUCUGAGUUCUCCUCCUCUGCUGCAACUGUGAAUGCCAGAGUGACCGAUGAUGAAGACGAUGCUACUUCACCGCCCCCUACUUCUGCACGCAUCGACACUGCCCCGAGUUCGUCUGCACCGCCUAACAACACUAAUGACCCUGCUGCCUCACCUACUCCUCCUGGGAACGAGUAGAUGCUCUACGUCUUCAAACCUUUUUAGUCCUUACUGACAAAAGGGGGAGAAGCAUAUGAGUUUGAUAGUCUUCAAGCGGGUCCAUAUGGGUGGUGGUUUUAUAUUUUGCGUAGUGUUUACAACUCUUGCGUUUUGAUACAUUUGGUUCUUUGAGUUGUAACACUCAAACUCGAUGGUCGUCUGCUACUUAUUUUCUUUACUGUGAUGCGAUGAUAAAUUCCGCAUGUGCGACGAUAAAUUCUGCACUUAGAUCAUUUUGUAGACGUCCAUUUUUCAUUAUGCAUGUCGUUAUCUUCGUUACAUCAUAUCUUGCAUAAUGACUUGUCAUCAUAAGUUGAAGAGGAUCUCCACAAGUACAACCUGCCAUGUGCAUUUGCAUUCCAAAAGCAAAUUACUUAUAUGCACAUCUUCAGGGGGAGCCCUUGAAACUUAUGAAGACAAUCCCCUAUCCUUUACAAUUUCACAUAUUAUAUUCCCCGUUGAAAACUUCAACUAGUUUGUCAUCAAUCACCAAAAAGGGGGAGAUUGUAAGUGCAUCUAGUGCCAUCCCUAGUUGGUUUUGGAGUAUUGACGACAAACCUAGUUGAGGGACUAAUGUGUUUGUGAGAAUUGCAGGAUAACACAGGUACAAGUCCCUCAUUGAUUCGGUUUUCCCACCAGAGAUGACCCCUAAAAAUGUAAGAAGACAUUGAAGACAAAGGUGGUAUGUGAAGACAUUCACAUUGAAGACUAUGACAAGAGAAGACAUCGCAUGAAGACUAUGGAGCGCGAAGACUUAGUUCUUUCGUCGUUCUUUUUCUUCUUUGUUGAGUCAUAGGAACCACCGUACUGUUAAGUGGGGUCCAAGAGAACCAGUCAGAAUGACUGAAGUGAUGCUUAACCAAAAUCCUAUGUCUUCGAGUGAAGACUAUGAGAGCAAAUCUUGUCCAGAGUUGGAUAAGUCAGCUUUGCUUGUAGCCCAAGUAAAGUUGCCGUGUGUGUUUGAAAUCUGGCCGUUGGAACACGUGUCAGUUCCUUAGUGACCAAGGGUCAUUUCGGACAAAUCAGGUCGGGUUGCCUAGUGGCUAUAAAUAGCCCACCCCCUACAACCAUAAACGGUUGGCUGCUCAGAGUUAGAGUACGGCUUUUGUCGUUUGAGAGCAACCCACCUCGAAGCCUUUGAGAGAGAAUUCCUUGCGAGGAUAAAUCCCUAAACACCCAGAGCCAAAGAGUGUUAGGCAUCACUUAAGUGUUCCUGUCUAUGUGAUCUGAAGAUUUAUUACACUUGAGGACUGUGAAUCCUCCAGCCGGUUAGGCGUCGCCUUCUGAGCAUCCAAGAGUCAUUGUGGAUCACCGGUGAACGAAGUCUGUGAAGGUUUGGAAGUCUACCUUGAAGACUUACCAGAGUGAUUGGGCGAGGACUGGGUGUGCUUAGCUCAAGGGGAAUAAGGUGAAGACGAGGUCUUCUGAGUUGAAUCUCAGCCUCCCCAACCAGACGUACAGUUAUCACACCAACUGGAACUGGUCCAACAAAUCAUUGUCUUCAACAAGUCCCUGGUUUCAUCCUUCCCUUCCCUUUGCUUACUGUUAGUCCUUGUGAAGUCAUUGUAUGAUUGCAUUGUCUUUUGUCUUCAUUGAGUGACUACUUGUUCUGAUUGGCUUCACAAUAUCUUCCUACCUGAUCUUACUGCCUAGCUGCUAUUAGUCAUUAUGCUUUCACUUCAUUGAAUACUUGACUAUGGUUUGCCUAGUGUAGUCUACCUUCCGCUGCAUGGUAAUAGGUUUAUUUCUAUUGUUUGUCUUUGAAACUUCCAUGUUUUGAAGACUUCCAUAAAAAUUGCCUAUUCACCCCCCUCUAGUCGAUCACUAGCACUUUCAUUAACGCGGUUGAUGUAGUCGAACAUCUUCGCGAUCCAACCGAUCAAGUACCGAACAUACGACACCUCCGAGUUCAGCACAUGUUAUGCUCGAUGAUGUCCCUCGAACUCUUGAUCAGGCAAAGUGUCGAGGGAGAGUUUCGUCAACAUGAUGGCGCGGUGACGGUGAUGGUGAUGUGAUCUGCGUAGGGCUUUGCCUAAGCACUACGUGAAUAUGACCGAAGGAGUAAACCGUGGAGGGAGACGCCGCACACGACUUGGAACAAUUGGUGUGUAUCCAAGGGGGUGCCCUGCCCACAUAUAUAAAGGAGGGAGAAGGAGGAGGCCGGCCAAGGGGCACGCCAUAGGGGGGAAACAGACUAGGACUCCCAAUCCUAGUUGGCCCCCCUUUCCUUUCUUUCGGAGGGGGAAAAGGGAAGGAGAAGGAGAGGCAGGGGGAGAGAAGGUGUAACACCCACAAUGCGGCUAUAUCUCCCACGUGUCAGGGGACGACUUAGAGGCAUAGCCGCAUGGUAGGCAUGUCGCAAGAGGGGUAAUCUUUACACAUCCCAUGUACUGAAUAAGAAAAGGAUGAAGAGUCGGCUUACAAUCGCCACUUCACACAAUACAUAAAUAAUCCAUACAUCAUCCAAGAUACAAUCAAAGGUCCGACUAAGGAACCAAAAUAAAGGAAGACGACCCCAAAUGCUAGAUCCCCAAUCGUCCCAACUAGGCUCCACUACUGAUCAUCAGGAAAGGAAACAUAAUAGCGACCCAAGUCUUCGUCGAACUCCCACUUGAGUUCGGUCGCAUCCCCUACACUGGCAUCAUCGGCACCUGUAUCUGUUUGGAAGUAUAUGUGAGUCACGAGGACUCAGCAAUCUCACACCCGCGAGAUCAAGACUAUUUAAGCUUAAGGGUAGGAAAAGGUAAUGAGGUGGAGCUGCAGCAAAGCACUAAGCAUAUAUGGUAGCUAACUUACGCAAAAGAGAGCGAGAAGUGAAGCAACGCACGGUCGAGAAGCUAAUAGUGAUCAAGAAGUGAUCCUGAAGCUACUUACGUUCAAGCAAAACACGAGACAGUGUUCUCUUCCCGGACUCCGCCAAAAAGAGACCAUCACGGCUACACACGCGGUUGAUUCAUUUUAAUUAAGUUAAGUGUGAAGUUCUCUACAACCGGAUAUUAACAAAUUCCCAUCUGCCCAUAACCGCAGGCACUGCUUUUGAAAGUUCAAACCCUGCAGGGGUGUCCCAACUUAGCCCAUCACAAGCUCUCACGGUCAAUGAAGGACAUCCCUUCUCCCAGGAAGACCCAAUCAGACUCGGAAUCCCGGUUACAAGACAUUUCGACAAUGGUAAAACAAGACCAGCAAAGCCACCCGAUGUGCUGACAAAUCCCGAUAGGAGUCGCACGUAUCUCGUUCUCAGGGCACACCGGAUGGGCAAGACGUCGGGUUGGCAAAGACCCUGGUUGCCCAGGGGACACCGGACAUCGCCCAGUACGGACCAACACUCAGAGGAGCACUGGCCCGGGGGUUUAAAAUAAAGAUGACCCUUGAGUCCGUGGAAACCAAGGGAAAAAGCUUAGGUGGAAAAUGGAAAAACCAAGGUUGGGCCUUGCUGGAGGAGUUUUAUUCAAGGCAAAAUGUCAAGGGGUUCCCAUAACACCCAACCGCGUAAGGAAUGUAAAAUCAAGGAACAUAACACCGGUAUGACGGAAACUAGGGCGGCAAGAGUGGAACAAAACACCAGGCUUAAGGCCGAGCCUUCCACCCUUUACCAAGUAUAUAGAUGCAUUAAAGUAAAUAAGAGAUAAUAAUGAUAUCCCAACAAUAUCCAUGUUCCAACAAGGAACAAAACUUCAUCUUCACCUGAAACUAGCAACCUACAAGAGGGGCUGAGCAAAGCGGUAACAUAGCCAAACAACGGUUUGCUAGGAAAGGUGGGUUAGAGGCUUGACAUGGCAAUAUGGGAGGCGUGAUAUAGCAAGUGGUAGUUAACGCGGCAUAGCAAUAGAGCGAGCAACUAGCAAGCAAAGAUAGAAGUGAUUUCGAGGGUAUGGUCAUCUUGCCUGCAAAUUCUCAGAGUUGACGAAAGCUUGAUCCUCGUUAGCGUACUCAACAGGUUCCUCGAUCACGUACUCGUCUCCCGGUUCUACCCAAAGGAAGAACUCAAGCAAAGGACCAACAAUCAAUCACGGUGCAAUGCGCAAGCCACAUGAUGCAAAACAUGGCAUUGUAUGCAAGACAUGAUAUGCAAUGCAUAUGCGUGCUUCAGAAGGGAAAGAAUGAACAAGGCAUCAACUUGGCAAACCAAGUGUGCCACUGGGAAGAUGAGAUGAUUUUGGUUGAAAUCGAUAUAGAGAUCACCGGAGACGGAUGCACGGUUUGCAAAUGGCAAGCAAAACAAGAAUGGUGCAAUUCUGCGAUUAACAGCGCGAUGCCACUAAGCAUGCAACAAGAAACUAAGCUACUGCAUUCCAACAUAACAACGAAGCAUAUGGCAGUGAUUUACACAAGAUGCUUGAAAAAACAUGAACACUGAGCUAUGGCUAAAUCACACAAGAGUAGGUUCAAACUAGCAUGGCAAAAGUGCAAAAGAUAUCAGCUUCACAGACUUAGUGAAAAUACUAACAUGCCAGAAAUAACAUCAGGAAGCCAUGUUUAGAGCAAGCAAACAACACGCUACAGGAACAUAUCAUAGCAAAAAGAGUCAUGGCAUGAUUCUACUAAAUGCAUAGAACAAAAGUCCCUUACCGAACAUGAGCCAAAAAGGCACAGAAGAUAUGAUGGCACCCAUGUAAACAUAGCAAGUUUUAUUAAUAGUUUCAGACUUAGCAGAAAACAGAGCAUGGCAUAAACAGAAUUAUGAAGGCAACUUUGCGAGCUCAAACCACUCAUCACAAAGCCUUGCAUGACAAAACAAGCAUACCAAAAUAAAGAUGGCUUGUUCAUGAAGCUAACCAUGGAAAGAGAAAGUUCAUAGAAUGCAUGGAUCACUAGCAACAACCAUGGCAAAAUUGACUAACAUGUAAACAAUUUGCCAGGAACAUUUUAUAGCAAAAGUAGAGCAAGAACAAGACAUACUAGGGCACUCCAUAAUUGCAAACAGGGGCAUGGUUGGAUAGAGCAUAACCAUAUGUUCAAAAUAUCCUUACUGAAGGAUCUCAAAAUAAGCAUGGAUAUCACUAUAGCAUCAAGUUUACAUGGCAUCAAAAUAAUAGCAGGAAAAUGACUUAGCAAAAUCCUAAGUCCCUGAAAACAGCAACAUCACGAUGGCUACUUUGCAUGCAAGACAUCAACACCACAAUGAUCACAAAAAUGCAAGACAAGCACCUCUGUAAAGAUGGCAUGACAUAGAUCAAAACACAUGUAGAACUCAUGCCCAUAUGAAGCACACAUCAAAUGUGACAAGAAUGACAAAUCACCCUAAACUGAUAAGUAGCAUCAGUAAACAUUUUAUAGCACUCUUGCAUCGAUGAUUAUGACAUCAAUAUGAACUCAAACAAGCAUUCCACAAUGGAAUGAAAUGAAGAACAUCCCACAAUGAACAUUUUGAUAUAUCAUAUGCAUGAAAUGGAGCUAUGGUCAUGGAGAUAUGUGGCAAUGAAUAGAGGCAUAAAAUGUUACAGAGAUAACGACUUAGACGAAAAACAACCUCUCAGAUCAAGGGUUUUGACUUCGGCAUGGAAAACAAGGUUUUUCAGGGAAGCUCGAACUCGCCGAUAUAGCUGGAGUUGGGGAAGGAGGAGGCCGGAGCAGCGAGGCCGGGGCGUCGCCAGAGCUCGCGGACGCGGGGCUCCGCCGGCGGCGGGGAACGGCGAGGGCGCUCGGCGGAGCGAUCAGCGGCGGCCGGCGUGGAUGGCACGGGUGGCGGCAUCCGGCAUUGGAGGUGGAUCCCGGCGAGGCGAUGGGGACGGCUGGGCGACGCGUUGCGUGGNNNNNNNNNNNNNNNNNNNNNNNNNNNNNNNNNNNNNNNNNNNNNNNNNNNNNNNNNNNNNNNNNNNNNNNNNNNNNNNNNNNNNNNNNNNNNNNNNNNNNNNNNNNNNNNNNNNNNNNNNNNNNNNNNNNNNNNNNNNNNNNNNNNNNNNNNNNNNNNNNNNNNNNNNNNNNNNNNNNNNNNNNNNNNNNNNNNNNNNNNNNNNNNNNNNNNNNNNNNNNNNNNNNNNNNNNNNNNNNNNNNNNNNNNNNNNNNNNNNNNNNNNNNNNNNNNNNNNNNNNNNNNNNNNNNNNNNNNNNNNNNNNNNNNNNNNNNNNNNNNNNNNNNNNNNNNNNNNNNNNNNNNNNNNNNNNNNNNNNNNNNNNNNNNNNNNNNNNNNNNNNNNNNNNNNNNNNNNNNNNNNNNNNNNNNNNNNNNNNNNNNNNNNNNNNNNNNNNNNNNNNNNNNNNNNNNNNNNNNNNNNNNNNNNNNNNNNNNNNNNNNNNNNNNNNNNNNNNNNNNNNNNNNNNNNNNNNNNNNNNNNNNNNNNNNNNNGCGAGUGGCCAGGCGGUGGAGGCGGACGCGUCCGGCAGACACGGACGUGUCCGGCGGCGCGGGAGGAGCGGGGCUAGGGUUUUGGAUCCGGAAAUUUCAGAGGAUGCACAUAUUUAUAGGUAGGAGGAGGUAGGAGUGUCCAAAUGGGGUGUAGUUUUCGCCCACAAGAUCAUGAUCUGACGACGGAGGGCAUGGAAGAGGUUUGGAUGGGUUAUUAGGCCGUUUUGGAGGGGUGUUGGGCUACAACACACACGAGGUCUUUGCGGUUACCCGGUUAUCCGUUGGAGCAUCAAACGAACUCCAAAUGUAACGAAAUUUGACAGGCGGUCUACUGGUGGUGUACCAAGGCCACUUGGCAAAUGUCGGUCCAUUCCGAGAACGUUUAACACCCGCUCACGAAAAGAGACAAGAGGGGGUGCACCAGUGCACGUAGGAGUGUCGGAUUGCAAAACGGACAACGGGGAAAAUGCUCAGAUGCAUGAGACGAGAACGUAUGCAAAUGAGAUGCACAUGAUGACAUGAUAUGAAAUGCAUGACCUGAACAAAAUGCAAAAUGAAGCCAAAAACCCAACCACGAAGGGAGUCUCAUAACUUGAAGCCGAAAAAGGCAAGAGUUGGAGUUACAAAUAUGGCAAGUUACAUUCCGGGUGUUACAACACUCCACCACUACGAAAGGAUCUCGUCCCGAGAUCUAGGACUGAAAGAACUCCGGAUAUUCGGAACGGAGGUGGUCCUCGUGUUCCCAGGUGGCUUCUUGGUCGGAAUGGUGUGACCACUUCACUUUCAGGAAUUUGAUUGAGUUGUUGCGAGUCUUGCGCUCAGUUUCUUCAAGAAUAGCAACAGGAUGCUCAUGAUAAGACAAAUCUUCUUGGAGAUCAAUCUCUUCGAAGUUGAUGGUGCGCUCAAGAGUCUUGAAGCACUUGCGAAGCUGUGACACGUGAAACACAUCAUGCACAUUUGCGAAGUUGGACGGAAGCUCAAGUUGAUAGGAGAGAUCGCCUCGUUUGCCAAUGAUCUUGGAAGGACCCACAUAUCUAGGGGCAAGCUUCCCUUUGAUAUUGAAGUGACGAGUGCCUUUCAUUGGACAAACGUGGAGGUAGACAUGGUCUCCGAUCUCGAAAGCCAAGUCACGGUGCUUGCUAUCAUAGUAACUCUUCUGGAGCAAUUGCGCGGCUUUGAGAUUUUCACGAAUGACUUUACACAUUUCUUCAGCUUCUGUGAUUAAGUCAUUGCCAAGAAGUUGGCAUUCACCAGUCUCUGACCAAUUGAGAGGAGUACGACACUUUCUGCCAUAGAGAAUUUUGAAUGGCACCUUGCCCGAACUCACUUGGAAACUGUUGUUGCAGGAGAACUGGACAUAUGGAAGACAAUCUUCCCAUUUCAUACCGAAGGAAAUGACACAAGCCCUGAGCAUAUCGUCAAGAAUUUGAUUAACUCGCUCGACUUGGCCACUAGUUUGAGGAUGGAAGGUUGUGUUGAAGCGAAUGUUGGUGCCCAUGGCCUUCUGGAAGGAGUCCCAGAACUUAGAAGUGAAGAUGAUUCCACGACCUGAAUAUAUCAAUUGUGGAAUGCCGUGCAAGGAGACAAUCCUGGAGGUGUAUAGCUCUGUCAACUGAGCUGCUGUGAUAGAUUCUUUGAUUGGAAGGAAAUGAGCCACUUUAGUAAGCUUGUCAAUGACAACAAAGAUUGCAUCAUUUCCGCGCUUGGACUCGGGAAAUCCAGUCACGAAGUCCAUUUCAAUAUGGUCAAACUUCCAUUCUGGAAUAGCAAGAGGUUGGAGGAGACCAGCUGGCCGUUGGUGUUCUGCUUUCACUCUUCUGCAGACAUCACAUUCAUUCAUGAAUUGAGCAAUUUCUCGCUUCAUUCGAGUCCACCAAUACGACUGCUUGAGGUCAUAAUACAUCUUUGUACUCCUAGGAUGAAUGGAUAGAAGGGAAUUGUGCACCUCGUUCAUAAUGACUUUCCUUAGAUCACCUUAUGAACCACAAUCCGGUCCUCAAAGAAGAGAGUGUCUUUGUCAUCAAUGCGAUAGCACUUGUACUUGGGUUUGCUCUUGCCAAUCCCAUUUUUCACCUUCUUCACCAUGGAUCCAGGAUUUUUGCCUCGCGAAUUUGAUCUUCCAAAGUAGGAGAGACUUGGAGGUUGGAAAGAAAGCCUUGAGGAACAACUUGGAGAUUCAGUUUGCGGAAAGCUUCACAAGGGUCCGGUUGGAAGGGCUUGAGAAUUAAGCUAUUGCAGUAAGCCUUCCUGCUCAAAGCAUCUGCAAUGACAUUGUCCUUGUCUGGAGUAUAUCCAAUACUCGGAUUGUAUUCUUGAAUCAUUUCGACCCAACGAUUAUGCCUGAGGUUGAGGUUGGGUUGAGUGAACAUGUACUUGAAGCUCUUAUCAUCAGUGAAGAUGUCCACUUUCCUUCCCAACAAGAGAUGUCUCCAUGUUAAUAGAGCAUGGACAACUGCCGCCAACUCAAGAUCAUGAGUGGGGUAGUUCCUUUCGUUGGGCUUCAACUAUCGAGAGGUAUAAGCAACAACUUUCUUCUCUUGCAUUAACACAACACUGAGACCUUGCAGGGAGGCAUCACAGAAAACUUCGAAUGGUUUGGAUUCAUCAGGAGGAGUCAAGACAUGAGUUGUGACUAACUUCUCUUUGAGGGAAAGCAACGUCACACUCAGGCGUCCAGACAUACUUGAUGUGCUUCUGGAGGAGGUUGGAAAGAGUCUUUGCAAUCUUAGAGAAAUUCUCAACGAAUCUUCGACAAUAGCUUGCAAGACCAAGAAAACUACGGAGCUGCUUCACAUUCUGAGGAGGUCCCCAAUUCACAAUUGCAGACGGCUUCUCGGGAUUAGCAGCGAUGCCCUUGGCGGAGAUGAUAUGACCAAGGUAGAGAACCUCAUCAAGCCAAAACUCACACUUUGAAAACUUCACAUAGAAUUGAUGCUCUCUGAGUUUGUCGAGUACCAAUCUCAAAUGCUUGGCAUGAUCCUCCUUAUUCUUGGAAAAGACCAAGAUGUCAUCAAGAUAAACCAGGACGAAAUCAUUUGUGUAAGGGUUGAAAAUGAAGUCCAUCAUGCGAGAGAACGUUGGAGGAGCAUUGACAAGGACGAAAGACAUGACAGUAUAUUCAUAAGAACCAUAUCUUGUUCUGAAUGCUAUCUUGGGGAUAUCUUGUUCAUGAAUGCGAAUCUGAUGAUAACCCAUACGGAGCUCAAGCUUGGAGAAUACUUGGGCACCUUUGAGUUGCUCGAAAAGCUCAUUGAUGUUGGGAAGUGGAUACUUGUUCUUUAUUGUCUUCUUGUUCAAUGGGCGGUAGUCGACGCGGAGUUGUUCCGUUCCAUCCUUCUUCUUGACAAAAAGAACACCACAACCCCAUGGAGAUGAACUCGGUCUGAUCAGACCCAUACGCUCUUGGUCAUCGAGUUGUUUCUUCAACUCCUCUGGUCCAAGCUUGUAAGGACGCUUGCAAACAGGUUCUGUGCGAGGCUCAAGAUCGAUAACGAAUUCAACUGGCUGGUGAUGAGGCAUUCCUGGAAGCUCUUUUGGAAAGACGUCUUGAUAUCCACAAACGACUAGAAUUUGAGAGAUGGAAUUCAACUCGCCCUUCUCAUUGAGAGAAAACAGUUGAAUGGUAUCAUCACGAGUGGCAUAGACGAUCACAUCCUCAGAAGAGUGUGUCAAUUGAAUCUGCCUGGCAGCACAAUCAAGCUGAGCCUUGUGCUUAGAAAGCCAGUCCAUGCCGAGAAUUAGAUUGAUAUCUGAGUCACCAAGAACCAUUGGAGAAGAUAGAAAUUUAUAGUCACCCAUCUUGAUGGAAACAUCCGAGAUCAUCGUGGUAGCCCUCAUAGACUUUCCCGGAGAAACCACUCCCAUGGGUUUUCCCAACAUUUCCAAAACGAAGUCAUGCUUUGAAACAAAUGAUCUUGACAUGAAACAAUGCGAUGCACCAGUGUCAAAAAGAACUUUUGCAGGAAUAGAGUUAACUAGAAAGUUACCCACAAUUACUUCUAAAGAGUCCUCUGCCUGAGCUGCGUUCAUCAUGUUGACCUUAGCAUUCUUGGGAUUAUGCUUGACCACUGCGUUGCAAGAAGAUCUCACAGGAGGAGGAGGCGGAAGGCGCCUUUGAUUGAAGCAUCUGUUUGCAUAGUGCCCUUUCUGCUGAUACUUGUUGCAAGUAACCUCUGAGAGCAGCCGAUGAUAAGGAGCACUUGACCUUGGAGUAUGAGACUGAGCAUUGUUCUGAUAGCCUGGGUUGGGGGGGGGGGAAGAUCCAUUGCCACAUUUACUCUUCUGCUGGUAAGGCUGAUGGAACGGAGGAGGAGGAGGCAACCAGAACUUCUGUUGCUUAGCUGCCACUUGUGAUGAAGAAGAAGAUUGAACUGCAUCCCUGACUCUCUUCUUAGAUGCCUCACACUUGAGCUGAAUAGCUUCUUNNNNNNNNNNNNNNNNNNNNNNNNNNNNNNNNNNNNNNNNNNNNNNNNNNNNNNNNNNNNNNNNNNNNNNNNNNNNNNNNNNNNNNNNNNNNNNNNNNNNNNNNNNNNNNNNNNNNNNNNNNNNNNNNNNNNNNNNNNNNNNNNNNNNNNNNNNNNNNNNNNNNNNNNNNNNNNNNNNNNNNNNNNNNNNNNNNNNNNNGUUGCAAGAAGAUCUCACAGGAGGAGGAGGCGGAAGGCGCCUUUGAUUGAAGCAUCUGUUUGCAUAGUGCCCUUUCUGCUGAUACUUGUUGCAAGUAACCUCUGAGAGCAGCCGAUGAUAAGGAGCACUUGACCUUGGAGUAUGAGACUGAGCAUUGUUCUGAUAGCCUGGGUUGGGUGGGUGGGAAGAUCCAUUGCCACAUUUACUCUUCUGCUGGUAAGGCUGAUGGAACGGAGGAGGAGGAGGCAACCAGAACUUCUGUUGCUUAGCUGCCACUUGUGAUGAAGAAGAAGAUUGAACUGCAUCCCUGACUCUCUUCUUAGAUGCCUCACACUUGAGCUGAAUAGCUUCUUGCUUUAGUGCCAUGUUGUAGAAUUGAUCGAACUCGGUUGUCUCAAAAAUCACAAGAGCUAAUUGCAGAUCUUCUCUGAGGCCACCUCUGAAUUGAUAAAUCAUAUUCUUUUCAUCAGGGACGUCUUGUUUAGCGAAGCGAGCAAGUUUUUGAAAUUGGAUAUUGUAUUGAUACACAAACAUGCUGCCUUGCUUGAGAUUGCGGAACUCCUCACGCUUGCUCUCAGCAACGCUUGGUGGGAUGUGAUGAGCUUUUAAGUCUCGAUGGAAAUCAUUCCAGGUAAUCACACGACCUCCUUUGGAAUCUUGGUAUUGUUGAAACCACUCAGCAGCUUGGUCCUUGAGUUGAAACGAAGCAAACUUGACAAAGUCCUCAGGUCUGACAUUGCUACAUUCAAAAUGUUUGCAAAUGUCCACGAGCCAAUCAUCGAUGUCUGUGGCCUCGACACAGUUGCUGAAGGACUUCGGCUGGUUUGCGAGGAACUGGUUGAGGGUAGCAAACUGAGGCUGAUUGUUGCAUUGGCCUUGAUUUCCCUGGUUUCCUUGGCCUUGAUUUCCUUGGUUGCCUUGCCCUUGGUUGCGCUCUUGCAAGAGCUGCAAUAGCAUCUGAGUGUUGGCGUUGGUGGCUGCCAUGACAGCUUGCCAUGCCUCCGGAGGUGGAGGUGGUGGCGGAUUCUGACGCGUUGGAGGAGCCAUCCUGAAGAGGUUGACAUCCGUUAGCAUCUUGAAAGACAGAUAUUCAAGAUGAAUCAAUGGAUUGAAAUUGCAACAUAAAGUCUUAACACUCGAACAAGGAUGAACGAAUGAAUUCCAAAGUAAAUCAUCACACUUCCAUUAAGGUUGAGAAGCCACUUAGAUAAAGGUAGAUGAAUAAAGCAAUAAGGUACGGAUAUGAACAAAUAAGUGGUAAGGAUUACCCAAUCACAAAACAAAUAUCUGCGGGAACAAAUACUAGAGCUACUUGAAUUCCCACCUAUAAAACUCCCGAAACUUUUUGGUUAGGCAAUCAGGUGUUGGGGAUACAGGAGAAUCAUAAUAUCUCACCCAAAACUAGCAAAUCCUACAUCCAGCUGUAUCCAUCCUUCAACACAUAACCAAGAAACCUUCGGAAAUAAUUUACCUCAACCUUCGCAAAGCAUCCGUUAUACAAGUUAUGACAAUACUCCCGAACUCCUUCCCCAUUACUGGGUGGCGUCGAGGUUAUCUCACCAACAACUGCAUAAAAGAGAUUUUCGAUAUCGGCGAACUCAGGUAUUCCAGAACUGCAACGAUAAAAUUGUGACAACAACACCUUGGAGCUCAACUCCCCGGGACACUGCCACAACCCCUAAAUGACAGGAGGCACCAAGAACAAUGUUCUCGUCACAAAACCAUCAGAACGAUUCCAAGAUACCCGUGUGAUCCUAAUUUUUUUUCGUGAAAUUUGAGGAGAGAAGAGUCAAAACUCUACGUCAGGAGGCCUCACCAGAGCGAGGAAGGGACUAAGGAGUAAAAAGAAUCCUACUCUCCAAUAUAUAUAAUCCUAAGACUCAAAACAUUUUGUUCUAGACUCAACAACGUCAGCGAUUCGAUCAAGCACGGGGCUCCUAAGUCGGGGAAGGCUCUGAUUACCAACUUGUAACACCCACAAUGAGGCUAUAUCUCCCAUGUGUCAGGGCACGACUUAGAGGCAUAGCCGCAUGGUUGGCAUGUCGCAAGAGGGGUAAUCUUUACACAUCCCAUGUACUGAAUAAGAAAGGGAUAAAGAGUCAGCUUACAAUCGCCACUUCACACAAUACAUAAUAAUCCAUACAUCAUCCAAGAUACAAUCAAAGGUCCGACUACGGAAGCAAAAUAAAGGAAGACAACCCCAAAUGCUAGAUCCCCGAUCGUCCCAACUAGGCUCCACUCCUGAUCAUCAGGAAAGGAAACAUAAUAGCGACCCAAGUCUUCGUCGAACUCCCACUUGAGUUCGCUAGCAUCCCCUGCACUGGCAUCAUCGGCACCGGCAUCUGUUUGGAUGUAUCUGUGAGUCACGAGGACUCAGCAAUCUCACACCCGCGAGAUCAAGACUAUUUAAGCUUAAUGGUAGGAAAAGGUAGUGAGGUGGAGCUGCAGCAAAGCACUAAGCACAUAUGGUGGCUAACUUACGCAAAAGAGAGCGAGAAGAUAAGAAACACAUGGUCGAGAAGCUAAUAGUGAUCAAGAAGUGAUCCUGAAGCUACUUACAUUCAAGCAUAACACGAGACCGUGUUCUCUUCCCGGACUCUGCAAAAAGAGACCAUCACGGCUACACACGCGGUUGACUCAUUUUAAUUAAGUUAAGUGUGAAGUUCUCUACAACCGGAUAUUAACAAAUUCACAUCUGCCCAUAACCGUGGGCACAACUUUUGAAAGUUCAAACCCUGCAGGGGUGUCCCAACAUAGCCCAUCACAAGCUCUCACGGUCAACGAAGGAUAUUCCUUCUCCUAGGAAGACCCGAUCAGACUCGGAAUCCCGGUUACAAGACAUUUCGACAAUGGUAAAACAAGACCAGCAAAGCCACCCAAGACAAAUCCCGAUAGGAGUCACACGUAUCUCGUUCUCAUGGAACACCGGAUGGGCAAGAUGUCGGGUUGGCAUAGACCCUGGUUGCCCAGGGGCGCCGGACAUCGCCCAGUUUGGACCAACACUCAGAGGAGCACCGGCCCGGGGGUUUAAAAUAAAGAUGACCCUUGAGUCCACGGAACCCAAGGGAAAAGGCUUAGGUGGCAAAUAGAAAAACCAAGGUUGGGCCUUGCUGGAGGAGUUUUAUUCAAGGCGAACUGUCAGGGGGUUCCCAUAACACCCAACCGCGUAAGGAACACAAAAUCAAGGAACAUAACACCGGUAUGACGGAAACUAGGGCGGCAAGAGUGGAACAAAACACCAGGCAUAAGGCCGAGUCUUCCACCCUUUACCAAGUAUAUAGAUGCAUUAAAGUAAAUAGUAGAUAAUAAUGAUAUCCCAAUAAUAUCCAUGUUCCAACAAGGAACAAAACUUCAUCUUCACCUGAAACUAGCAACCUACAAGAGGGGCUGAGCAAAGCGAUAACAUAGCCAACCAACGGUUUGCUAGGAAAGGUGGGUUAGAGGCUUGACAUGGCAAUAUGGGAGGCGUGAUAUAGCAAGUGGUAGUUAACGCGGCAUAUCAAUAGAGCAAGCAACUAGCAAGCAAAGAUAGACGUGAUUUCAAGGGUAUGGUCAUCUUGCCUGCAAAGUUCUCAGAGUUGACGAAAGCUUGAUCCUCGUUAGCGUACUCAACAGGUUCCUCGAUCACGUACUCGUCUCCCGGCUCUACCCAAAGCAAGAACACAAGCAAAGAACCAACAAUCAAUCAUGGUGCAAUGCACAAGCCACAUGAUGCAAAACAUGGCAUGAUAUGCAAGACAUGAUAUGCAAUGCAUAUGCGUGCUUCGAAAGGGAAAGAAUGAACAAGGCAUCAACUUGGCAAACCAAGUGUGCCGCUGGGAAGAUGAGAUGAUUUCGGUCGAAAUCGAUAUAGAGAUCACCGGAAAUGGAUGCACGGUUUGCAAAUGGCAAGCAAAACAAGAAUGGCACAAUUCUGCGAUUAACAACACGAUGUCACUAAGCAUGCAACAAGAAACUAAGCUACUGCGCUCCAACAUAACAACAAAGCAUAUGGCAGUGAUGUAGACAAGAUGCUUGACAAAACAUGAACACUGAGCUGCGGCUAAAUCACAUAAGAGCAGGUUCAAACAAGCAUGGAAAAAGUGCAAAAGAUAUCGGCUUCACAGACUUAGUGAAAAUACUAACAUGCCAGAAAUAACAUCAGGAAGCCAUGUUUAGGGCAAGCAAACAACAUGCUACAGGAACAUAUCAUAGAAAACAAAGGCAUGACAUGAUUCUACUAAAUGCAUAGAACAAAAGUCCCUUACCGAACAUGAGCCAAAAAGGCAUAGAAGAUAUGAUGGCACCCAUGUAAACAUAGCAAGUUUUAUUAACAGUUUCAGACUUAGCAGAAAACAGAGCAUGGCAUAAACAGAAUUAUGAAGGCAACUUUGUGAGCUCAAACCACUCAUCACAAAGCCUUGCAUGACAAAACAAGCAUACCAAAAGCAAGAUGGCAUGUUCAUGAAGCUAACCAUGGAAAGAGCAAGUUCAUAGCAUGCAUGGAUCACUAGCAACAACCAUGGCAAAAUUGACUAACAUGUAAACAAUCUGCCAGGAAUAUUUUAUAGCAAAAGUGGAGCAAGACCAAGACAUGCUAGGGCACUCCAUAUUGCAAACAGGGGCAUGGAUGGAUAUAGCAUAACAAUAUGUCCAAAACAUCCUUACUAAAGCAUCUCAAAAUAAGCAUGGAUAUCACUGUAGCAUCAAGUUUACAUGGCAUCAAAAUAACAACAGGAAAAUGACUUAGCAAAAUCCUAAGUCCCUGAAAAUAGCAACAUCACGAAGGCUACUUUGCAUGCUUGCGCUAGUCAUCACAAUGAUCAAAAAAAUGCAAGACAAGCACCUCUGUAAAUAUGGAAUGGCAUAGAUCAAAACACAUGUAGAAGUCAUUGCCCAUAUGAAGCACACAUCAAAUGUGACAAAAAUGACAAAUCACCCUAAACUAAUAAGUAGUAGUAGUAAACAUUUUAUAGCACUCUUGCAUCGAUGAUUAUGGCAUCAAUAUGAACUCAAACAAGCAUGCCAGAAUGGAAUGAAAUGGAGAACAUCUCACACUGAACAUUUUGAUAUAUCAUAUGCAUGAAACGGAGCUACGGCCAUGGAGAUAUGAGGCAAUGAACAGAGGCAUAAAAUGUUACAGAGAUAAGGACUCAGACAAAAACAACCCCUCAGAUCUAGGGUUUGACUUUGGCAUGGAAAACGAGGUUCGUCGGGGAAGCUCAAACUCGCCAGAGUUAGCUGGAGUUGGGGAAGGAGGAGGCCGGAGCGGCAAUGCCGAGACGUCGCCGGAGCUCGCGGACGCGGGGCGGUACCGGCGGCGGGGAACAGCGAGGGUGCUUGGCGGAUCGGUCGGCGGCGGCAGGCGUGGAUGGCGCGGGUGGCGGCGGCCGGCGUUGGAGGUGGAUCUCGGUGAGGCGGCGGGGACGGCUGGGCGGCGCGUUGCACGGAGGAGGCGGCGGGGCGCGCGCAGGCGCUGGCGGCGACGGACGGGCCCGCGGGGGCCGACGAUGGGCUCGGCGGGCUUCAGCGGAGGUGGGCAACAAGGAGCCACGUGGCGCACCAUGAGUGGCCGGGCGGUGGAGGCGGACGCGUCCGGCGGACACGGACGUGUCCGGCGGCGCAGGAGGAGCGGGGCUAUGGUUUUGGAUCCGGAAAUUUCGGAGGAUGCACAUAUUUAUAGGUAGGUGGAGGUAGGAGUGUCCAAAUGGGGUGUAGUUUUCGCCCACAUGAUCAUGAUCCGAUGACGGAGGACGUGGAAGAGGUUUGGAUGGGUUAUUGGGCCGUUUUGGAGGGGUGUUGGGCUGCAACACACACGAGGCCUUUGCGGUUACCCGGUUAACCGUUGGAGCAUCAAACAAACUCCAAAUGGAACGAAAUUUGAUAGGCGGUCUACUGGUGGUGUACCAAGGCCACUUGGAAAAUCUCGGUCCAUUCUGAGAACAUUUAACACCUGCUCACGAAAAGAGACAAGAGGGGGUGCGCCGGUGCACGUAGGAGUGUCGGAUUGCAAAACGGACAACGGGGAAAAUGCUCGGAUGCAUGAGACGGACACGUCUGCAAAUGAGAUGCACAUGAUGACAUGAUAUGGAAUGCAUGACAUGAACAAAAUGCAAAACGAAGACAAAAACCCAACCACGAAGGGAAUCUCAUAACUUAAAGCCGAAAAAGGCAAGAGUUGGAUUUACAAAUAUGGCAAGUUACAUCCAGGGUGUUACAGAAGGAAAGGGGUCAUGCCCCUCCCCUUUGUCCAAUUCAUACUCCCUUGGGGGGGCACCACCCCUUGCGGGCUCCCCUCUCUCUCUCCACUAAGGCCCAUGUGGACCCAUUACUUCCCCGGGGGGUUCCGGUAACCUCCCGGUACUCCAAAAAAUACCCGAACCAUUCCGAUGUCCGAAUACCAUCGUCCAAUAUAUCAAUCUUUACCUCUCGGCCAUUUCGAGACUCCUUGUCAUGUCCGUGAUCUCAUCCGGGACUCUGAACAAUCUUCGGUCACCAAAACACAGAACUCAUAAUACAAAUCGUCAUCGAACGUUAAGCGAGCGGACCCUACGGGUUCAAGAACUAUGUAGACAUGACCGAGACAUAUCUCCGGUCAAUAACCAACAACGGAACCUGGAUGCUCAUAUUGGUUCCUACAUAUUCUACAAAGUGUUGGGAACGUAGCAUGCAAUUUCAAAAAAAUUCCUACGAUCACGCAAGAUCUAUCUAGGAGAUGCAUAGCAACGAGAGGGGAAGAGUGUGUCCACAUACCCUGUAGACCGAAAGAGGAAGCAUUAGUUUAACGUGGUUGAUGUAGUCGAACGCCUUCAUGAUCCAACCGGUCUUAGUACCGAACGUAUGACACCUCCAUGUUUAGCACACGUUCAGCUCGAUGACGUCCCUCGAACUCUUGAUCCAGCAGAGUGUCGAGGGAGAGUUCCGUCAGCAUGAUGGCGUGGUGACGGUGAUGGUGAUGUAAUCCGCGCAGGGCUUCGCCUAAGCACUAUGACACUGACCGGAGGAGUAAACUGUGGAGGGGGGCACUGCACACGAUUAAGAGAACAAUUGAUGUGCCUUUUGGGUGCCCCUCGCCACCGUAUAUAGAGGAGGAGAGGGGAGGCCGGCCGGCCCUAGGGGCGCGCUAAGUGGGGGGAGUCCCACUAGGACUCCUAGUCCUAGUCGGCUCCCCCUUCCUUCCAACGGAGAGGGGGAAGGGGAAAGAGUGGGAGAGGGAGAAGGAAAGGGGGGCCGCUGUCGGUGUCAAAACUGGAAGAUCUCGGGUAGGGGGUCCCGAACUGUGCGUCUAAGGAUCGAUGGUAACAAGAGACAGGGGACAUGAUGUUUUACCCAGGUUCGAGCCCUCUUAAUGGAGGUAAUACCCUACGUCCUGCUUGAUUGACUUUGAUGAGUAUAUGGGUUACAAGAGUUGAUCUACCACGAGAUCGUAAUGGCUAAACCCUAAUUGUCUAGCAUGUAUGAUUAUGAUUAUGAUUGCCUCUAUGGACUAAACCCUUCAGUUUAUAUAGACACCUGAGGGGGCUAGGUUUGUACAAAGUCGGUUUAUAGAGAAAGGAAUACUCAUAUCCGCACGCCAAGCUUGCCUUCCACACAAAGGAGAGUCCCAUCCGGACACGGGGGAAAGUCUUCUAUCUUGUAUCUUCACGACCCAUCAGUCCGGCCCACGUUGCAUAGCCCAGACGCCCGAGGACCCCGUAAUCCAGGACUCCCUCAGUAUCCCCUGAACCAUAAAUACCGCAUAUGCUAUCUUCUGAUAAUGCGGGUAUCUGGUUUUGCAUGGUGUGAGGACCGUCAAUACGUAAUAUACUGGUUUCUGGAGUGGGAAUUUAUGUCCUUCCUCUUCUCGUUCGACGACGAGCACCACACUCACCACCUGGUGAGUUGCCGACAUGUAAAGCAGCAUUGGUCCACCGAUGUUUGGUGCGAACAGGAUGGGGUUACUUGCUAGCAAAGUUUUUAUUUCAUCUAGCCCGGUUGUUGUAGCAUCCGUCCACACAAAGUGGUCGGUGUGUCGGAGCAGGCAAAACAGUGGCAACACAUUUUCUCCUAAUCUGGAGAUAAAGCGGCUCAAGGCUGCCAUGCACCCGACUAGUUUUUGGACCUGUUUGAGGUAUGUUGGUGUAGCCAAUUGUGACAAAGCUCAGAUUUUGGCUGGGUUUGCCUCAAUUCCCCUAUUGGAAACGAUGAAGCCCUGCAGUUUUCCGGCAAGGAGGCCGAAGACACACUUUUCCGGAUUGAGCUUGAUGUCAUAUGUAUGGAGGUUGUCGAAUGUGAGAUGCAGGUCGUCUACUAGUGACUCGAUGUGCUUAGUUUUGAUGACGACGUCAUCCACAUAUGCUUCGACCAUCUUGCCGAUUUGUUUCUCCAGGCAUGUUUGAAUCAUGCGUUGGUAGGUGGCACCGGCGUUUUUCAGCCCGAAGGGCAUAGUGUUAAAGCAGAAAGGCCCAUAUGGGGUAAUGAAUGCCGUUGCGGCUUGAUCAGACUCCUUCGUUUUGAUUUGAUGGUAUCCGGUGUAUGCAUCGAGGAAACAUAGUGAGUCGUGUGUUGCAAUAGCGUCAAUGAUCUGAUCGAUGCGGGGGAGGGGGAAGGGAUCCUUGGGGCAGGCCUUGUUGAGGUCUUUGAAAUCGACUCACAUGCGCCAGGAUUUAUCCUUCUUUGGUACCAUCACCAGGUUUGCUAGCCAGUCCAGGGGUUUUAUUUCUCUGAUGAACCCGGCUUCAAUUAACUUGGCUAGCUCCCCUCCCAUAGCUUGUCGUUUGGGUUCGGAAAAGCGCCGCAGUGUUUGCUUGACCGGCUUGUAUCCCUUUAAUAUAUUGAGGCUUUGUUCGGACAAUCUGCGUGGGAUUCCUGGCAUAUCAGAAGGGUGCCAGGCGAAUAUGUCCCAGUUCUCGCAUAGGAACACGCGUAAUGCGGCGUUGACCGUCGGGUCCAGCUAUGCUCCGAUGGAAGCUGUCUUCUUGGGGUCCAUUGGGUGAACUUGAAAUCUAACUAUUUCGUCUCCUGGUUCGAAGGAGGUGGAUUUGGGCCGUUUAUCGAGGAUUACGUCGUCCCUAUCCACCGUGGAACGCAGUGCGGUGAGUUCCUUGGCCGCUAGGGCUUCGGACAAUGCCUCAAGGGCCAGGGAUGCGGUUUUAUUUUCGGUGCGGAGUGCUAUGUCCGGAUUACUACAAAUAGUGAUAACACCAUUGGGCCUGGGCAUUUUGUGCUUCAUAUACCCGUAAUGAGGUAUAGCGUGAAACCGUGUGAAUGCAUCUUGCCCUAACAGGGCAUGAUAUCCAUUGUUAAAAGGAGCCACCUGGAAGAUUAUCUCUUCAGGCCUAUAGUUUUCUGGUGUGCCGAAUACCACAUCCAGCUUGAUUUUCCCCGAGCAUCUUGCUUCCCUGCUGGGAAUGAUUCCCCUAAAGGAUGUAUUGCUCUGCCUAAUGCGACUCCUGUCCAUUUGCAUUUUAUUGAGCAUGUACUCGUAGAUGAGGUUCAGUCCGCUGCCACCGUCCAUUAGCAGUUUAGUAAGCCGAAAACCGUCCACAAUGGGGUUGAGGACCAGAGCGGCUGGUGCCCGAACUGAGCGGGAUCUUGGUUCAUCAUUGGCAUUAAAAGUAAUUAUCAUAUCAUUCCAAGGAUUUAUUGUUGCUACAUGGCAGACUUCGGCAAGGUCGCGAAGCGCCCGUUUGCGCCGAUUAUUUGAUGAGAAGGUCUCGAAGACUGUGAGUACUUCGGGAUCAUGUUCCGAAGAGUACUUUUAUGGUGUAGAAUUGGUGAGGAUACCCUCACACUCUUGGCCACCUGCCGGAGUAUCCAACAUGCCCGUAGGCAGUGAGUUGGUUUGGUAUUCGGUGUCGUAUGUAUUUGACAGGGCCUGUUGAGACAUUCUUUGAAGACAAUUCUGUGUCCCAUAAAGGGCUUGAAUUUCUUGUCCACGGGAUGAUGAUUAGGUGCCCUGUGAGGGUGCAAUCUUUUUGCCCAUCCGGGAGAUGGCCUAAAGGCCUGCGGUUCCCAACGGGCUGUCUGAGUUUUCCAGGUGUUUUCCAUUGUGCAGUACUUCUAAACUAUGUGUGCCAAAUCUGUGAAGUGCAAGACACGACGGUGAUUGAGGGCAUUAAGGAUUCCCUCGUCCGUACAAUUGUUGUGAAACACUGAAAUUGUGGCGUCGUCGCAACAGUCCUUUAUCUUGUUUUUAACAAGGAGGAAUCUAGCCCAAAAGUGAUGGACUAUUUCCCGAGGCUGCUGCCGCACAUGCAUUAGGUCGCAUAUGUCCGGAGAGCCGGAGUUGCUUGGAGAAUAUUGCUUGUGGUGGGUGGGCAGGUUCGAAUUCACACCUUGGCCCACCGUGGAGUCCGGAGCUUGAAGAAUUUUCGAGGUUACCAGCCCAGGACCCGGAGUGUCCAGGGAAUUCUUAGGCUUGACGCCCGAUUUUGUGUUUGGAGGACAGGGAGUGUCCUCUCGAGGGUGGGUAUUCGGUUCUCCGGGUUCGGAAAUCCAAACAUAGUUGGUUCUCAAUGUAAGAAAGGAGUUAUUGUCAGCCUGUUCCUCCACAACCGCUACCUGAUGGGUGACAGACGGAGAUUUAAUUUCUCUCUGAUUGGGUUUAAGCCCGAUCCGAGCAUAGUCAGUUGAGACUCCUAGGGCGGUGAUGCGAUCUAGCAGUUCGUUCAAAGACGAUAGAUCUACCGGGUCCAUAUUGUUGGAAUAUUCGGGGCUGAUGCGAAGGGGAUUUUCAGUGACUUGGGGAGUUGCCUUCGGCUUAAUGGCAGGACGGGCACCCACAGUGAAGUCUCCGAGCCGGAGGGUUUGCCCUGGAAUUAGGGCUCUUUCUGAAGUGAUACUAUCAUUGAUGACAAGGCGAGCCAUCGGUCCUUCAGUUGACGCUAUAGAGGAACUCUCAAUGAAAGCACCAGUGUCAGUAUCAAAACCGACAGAUCUCGGGUAGGGGGUCCCGAACUGUGUGUCUAAGGAUCGAUGGUAACAGGAGACAGGGGACACGAUGUUUUACCCAGGUUCGGACCCUCUUAAUGGAGGUAAUACCCUACGUCCUGCUUGAUUGACUUUGAUGAGUAUAGGGGUUACAAGAGUUGAUCUACCAUGAGAUCGUAAUGGCUAAACCCUAAUUGUCUAGCCUGUAUGAUUAUGAUUGUGAUUGCCUCUAUGGACUAAACCCUUCGGUUUAUAUAGACACCGGAGGGGCUAAGCUUGUACAAAGUCGAUUUGUAGAGAAAGGAAUACUCAUAUCCGCACGCCAAGCUUGCCUUCCACACAAAGGAGAGUCCCAUCCGGACACGGGGGAAAGUCUUCUAUCUUGUAUCUUCACGGUCCAUCAGUCCGGCCCACGUUGCAUAGCCCGGACACCCGAGGAACCCAUAAUCCAGGACUCCCUUAGUCGCGCCCCCACCCCCUGUCCAAUUCGGACUUCUAUGAGGGGGCGCCACCUCCUCUCCACUAUGGCCCAUGAGGCCCAUUAACUUUCCCGGGGGGUUUCGGUAACCUCCGAGAACUCCAAAAAAUCCCCGAACCUCGUCGGGACCAUUCCGGUUUCCGUACAUAAACUUCCAAUAUAUCAAUCUUUCCCUCUCGACCAUUUCAAGACUCCUCAUCAUGUCUGUGAUCUCAUCUGGGACUCCGAACAAACUUCGGUCACCAAAAUACAUAACUUAUAAUAAAAAGUGUCAUCGAACAUUAAGCGUGCAGACCCUACGAGUUCGAGAAUUAUGUAUACAUGACCGAGACACAUCUCUGGUCAAUAACCAAUAGCAGAACCUGGAUGCACAUAUUGGUUUCUACAUAUUCUACGAAGAUCUUUAUCGGUCAAACAAUAAUAACAACAUACAUUAUUCCCUUUGUCGUCGGUCUGUUACUUGCCCGAGAUUCGAUCGUCGGUAUCAUCAUACCUAGUUCAAUCUCGUUACCGGCAAGUCUCUUUACUCAUUCUGUAAUACAUCAUCCUGCAACUAACUCAUUAGUCACAUUGCUUGCAAGGAUUAUAGUGAUGUGCAUUACCGAGAGGGCCCAGAGAUACCUCUCUGAUACUCAGAGUGACAAAUCCUAAUCUUGAUCUAUGCCAACCCAACAAACGCCUUCGGAGACACCUGUAGAGCAUCUUUAUAAUCACCCAGUUAUGUUGUGACGUUUGAUAUCACACAAGGUGUUCCUUCGGUAUUCAGGAGUUGAAUAAUCUCAUAGUCAGAGGAAUAUGUAUGAGUCAUGAAGAAAGCAAUAGCAAUAAAACUUUAACGAUCAUUAUGCUAAGCUAACGGAUGGGUCCUGUCCAUCACAUCAUUCUCUAAUGAUGUGAUCCCGUUCAUCAAAUGACAACACAUGUCUUUGGUCAGGAAACUUAACCAUCUUUGAUUAACGAGCUAGUUAAGUAUAGGCAUACUAGAGACACUGUGUUUUUGUCUAUGUAUUCACACAUGUACUAAGUUUCCGGUUAAUACAAUUCUAGCAUGAAUAAUAAACAUUUAUCAUGAUAUAAGGAAAUAUAAAUAACAACUUUAUUAUUGCCUCUAGGGCAUAUUUCCUUCAGUCUCCCACUUGCAUUAGCGUCAAUAAUCUAGAUUACAUAGUAAUGAUUCUAACACCCAUGGAGUCUUGGUGUUGAUCAUGUUUUUCUCGUGGAAGAGGCUUAGGCAACGGGUCUACAACACUCAGAUCCAUAUGUAUUUUGCAAAUCUCUAUGUCUCCCUCCUUGACUUGAUCGCGGAUUGAAUUGAACCGUCUCUUGAUGUGUUUGGUUCUCUUGUGAAAUAUGGAUUCCUUCGCCAAGGCAAUUGCUCCAGUAUUGUCACAAAAUAUUUCCAUUGGACCCGAUGCACUAGGUAUUACACCUAGAUUGGAUAUGAACUUGAAAGCACAAGUGCUCCCUAGGUGGUUUUGAUAAUUGAUGACAACAUAUCUCUUGUUGGACUAACAUUUCUAUCUAGCAUGUUUCAGAUAAGUUCAACAAUGGAGUGGCAUGGACUAAAGGUUGUGGGAACUCCUUCAAGAUGCUAAGGACAAAGGAUUGGCUAAAGCCUCAAGCUCAAGACUCUUCAUUUUACAUUUUAGUGAUCCAAGAUCACAUUGAGUCCAUAGGAAAAGCCAAUACUAUCAAGGAGGGAUGAGGUGUUGCUUAAUGAGCCUCUUGCUUCAUGUGCUUAGUGAUAUGCUCCAAAACCCUCAACUACUUUCCCAUAUCCACAUAUGACCUAAACCCUAAGCCAAACUCGGUCCUACCGAUUCUUUCUAUCCGGCGCCACCGAGUUUCAUUUGUCAUAAGCCACUGCCAAACCCUAGCAAUUCAGUUCUACCGAUAGGGAUCUCGGUCUCACCGAGAUGGGAUUGCAAACUCUCUGUUUCCCUUUCGUAACUUUUCGGUCUCACCGAAAGAGCGAAUCGGUCCCACCGAGAUUGCAAUGUAAAUUCAGUGUUUCCUUUUUGUAACUUUUCGGUCUCACCGAAAGAGCAAAUCGGUCCCACCGAGUUUGCCUGACCAGCUCUCUGGUUAGCUAAUUACCAAAAUCGGUCCCACCGAGUUUGUGUAAUCGGUCUCACCGAGAUUAUGUUAUGCCCAAACCCUAACCAUAUCGGUUCUACCGAGUUGCAUGUCAGUCCCACCGAAAAUCUCUAACGGUCACUAGGUUUACCUUUUCGGUCCGACCGAGUUUUUUGAUUCGGUCCCACCGAGAUUGGAAAACUGUGUGUAACGGUUGGAUUUUGUGUGGAGGCUAUAUAUACCCCUCCACCUCCUCUUAAUUCGUGGAGAGAGCCAUCAGAACACAUACACAAUUCCAACUCAUAUGUUCUGAGAGAGAACCACCUACUCAUGUGUUGAGACCAAGAUAUUCCAUUCCUACCAUAUGAAUCUUGAUCUCUAGCCUUCCCCAAGUUGCUUUCCACUCAAAUCUUCUUUCCACCAGAUCCAAAUCCUAUGAGAGAGAGUUGAGUGUUGGGGAGACUAUCAUUUGAAGCACAAGAGCAAGGAGUUCAUUACCUACACACCAUUUGUUACUUCUUGGAGAGUGGUGUCUCCUAGAUUGGCUAGGUGUCACUUGGGAGCCUCCGACAAGAUUGUGGAGUUGAACCAAGGAGUUUGUAAGGGCAAGGAGAUCGCCUACUUCGUGAAGAUCUACCGCUAGUGAGGCAAGUCCUUCGUGGGCGAUGGCCAUGGUGGGAUAGACAAGGUUGCUACUUCGUGGACCCUUUGUGGGUGGUUGCUUCUUCGUGGACCCUUUGUGGGUGGUUGCUUCUUCGUGGACCCUUCGUGGGUGGAGCCCUCCGUGGACUCGCGCAACCGUUACCCUUCGUGGGUGGAGCCCUCCAUGGACUCGCGCAGCCGUUACCCUUCGUGGGUGGAGCCCUCCGUGGACUCGCGCAACCGUUACCCUUCGUGGGUUGAAGUCUCCAUCAACGUGGAUGUAGGAUAGCACCACCUAUCCGAACCACGAGAAAAACAUCUGUGUCUCCAAUUGCGUUUGAAUUCUCCAAACCCUUCCCCUUACAUUCUUGCAAGUUGCAUGCUUUACAUUCCGCUGCUCAUAUACUCUUUGCAUGCUUGCUUGAUAUGUAUUGUGUAUGUUGAAAUUGUGCCUAAAACUCCACUCAAACCAAAAAGGCCUAAAAAUUGCAACUUUAGCACUAAGUGUCUAAUCACCCCCCCCUCUAGACAUAUCUACUUCUAGAUCCUACAGAACUCCUUCAUCCAGACUCCUUCAUUUUCUGCUUCCGAAGCAGCUAUGUACUCCGCUUCACACAUAGAUCCCGCCACGACGCUCUGCUUGGAACUGCACCAGCUUACAGCUCCACCAUUCAAUAUAAAUACGUAUCCGGUUUGCGACUUAGAGUCAUCUGGAUCAGUUUCAAAGCUUGCAUCGACGUAACCAUUUACGACAAGCUCUCGAAAAUAUGUUUCGUGAGCUUGCUGAAAAUGACGGCCCUCGAAAAUAUGUCACCUUUGGUGAUAAUUCAAAGGGUAAAGUGGUUGGCCUUGGUAAGUUGUCCAUCUCACAUGAUAGUUCCAUUCAAAAUGUCAUGCUCAUUGAAUCUCUCGGCUACAACUUACUUUCAGUAUCUAGACUUGCUGAUUUCGGUUUGAAUGUCCUAUUUACUGAGGUAGAUUGCCAAGUAUUUCGUCGAGACAAUCAUAAAAUGGUCUUUACCGGUAUGCGUAGAGGUGAUCUUUACAUUGUCGAUUUCUCUAAAAAGGCACAACCUAAAACUUGCUUUGUUGCUAAAUCCUCAAAAGGUUGGUUGUGGCAUAGACGACUAGGUCACGUUGGCAUGAGAAACCUUGACAAGCUUAUUAAAGGAAAUCAUAUCCUUGGAGUUAACAAUGUCAUAUAGACUGUGCAGUGCUUGUCAAGUAGGUAAACAGGUUGGAGGAAGACAUCCCGUGAAGAACAUCAUGACCACAAGGAGGCCACUCGAGCUACUUCAUAUGGAUCUUUUUGGUCCCAACGCCUACAAGAGUCUCGGUGGAAAUUCUUUUGGUCUAGUUAUAGUUGAUGAUUUUUCAAGAUUUAUGUGGGUGUUCUUUCUUAAUGACAAGUCGAAGGUCCAGAAGAUCUUCAAAAACUUCGCUAGGAAGGCCCAAAAUCAGUUUGACAUGAAGAUCAAGAAGGUUUGGAGUGACAACGGAACGGAGUUCAAGAACGCAAAUGUGGACACCUUUCUUGACGAAGAAGGGAUUUCACACGAGUUCUCGGCUACGUACACACCUCAACAAAAUGGAGUCGUUGAGAGGAAGAACCGGACGUUCAUCGAAAUGGCAAGAAUGAUGCUUGAUGAAUACAAGACGCCGAAGCACUUUUGGGCAGAAGCGGUUGAGACAGCUUGUCACGCAACAAAUCGCUUAUAUCUUCACAAGCUACUCGGCAAGACGGCAUACGAGCUUCUCACCGGUAACAAACCCCAAGUUGGAUACUUUCGAGUAUUUGGCUCAAAGUGCUACAUUCUUGAUAAGCAUUGUCGUUCAAAGUUUGCUCCUAAAUCUCAUGAAGGUUUUCUACUUGGUUAUGGCUCAAACUCUCACACUUAACGUGUCUACAACAAUUUCUCCCGAAAGGUUGAAGAGACGGUAGAUGUGAAGUUUGAUGAAUCUAAUGGCUCGCAAGUAGAGCAAUUGCCAAUUGAUGUAGGAGACAAAGACCCUUCAGAAGCAAUCCAAGACUUGUCCAUUGGCAAAAUUCGUCCAACGGAGGUGAAGGAGAGUACUUCAUCCGUCCAAGUGGAAGCUUCUACUUCACGACAAGGUGAACCAAGAAUUGACACAGAAGCAUCCACAAGUGGGACACACCAAGAUGAAGAAAACGAGGAAAUGCAUCAAGACGAACAUCAACAACCUCCUUCUCCACCACGACAAGAGAACGAUGACGUCAACAAUGAAGAAGGCCAAGAAGAAGAACAAGAUGAAGAAGAUGUUCAACGAAGACCCAAGAAAAAGCUCUCACGAGUUCGAGCAAGAAUUGCCAAAGAUCAUCCCGUCGAGCAAAUCCUCAAUGAUAUACAAACCGGGAGAAUCACUCGCUCAAAAACUCGUUUAGCUAACUUUUGUGAAAACUAUUCAUUCAUCUCUAGCAUUGAACCUAUGAAGGUUGAAGAAGCAUUGGAAGAUCCGGAUUGGAUAAACGCUAUGCAUGAAGAGCUACACAACUUUGAGAGAAACCAAGUUUGGACAUUGGUUGAGAAGCCCGACAACAACCACAACAUCAUUGGUACAAAAUGGGUGUUUCACAACAAGCAAGAUGAAGAUGGACAAGUGGUUCGCAACAAAGCACGUCUCGUUGCCCAAGGGUACACACAAGUCGAAGGUAUGGACUAUGGUGAGACAUAUGCUCCCGUUGCUAGACUUGAGUCCAUUCGCAUCUUACUUGCCUAUGCUAAUCAGCAUAAUAUCACCUUGUACCAAAUGGACAUUAAAAGUGCUUUUCUAAAUGGUGAAAUAGAGGAGGAAGUUUAUGUCAAACAACCUCCCGGCUUUAUCAAUCCUAAGAAACUAAAUCAUGUUUACAAACUUCACAAAGCUCUUUAUGGUCUUAAACAAGCUCCUAGAGCAUGGUAUAAAUGCUUGACCAAGUUCCUUAUUACAAGUGGUUUUGAAAUUGGUAAAAUUGAUUCUACUCUUUUUACUAAAAGGGUUAAUGGAGAACUAUUUGUAUGCCAAAUUUAUGUUGAUGAUAUCAUAUUUGGUUCAACUAACCCUCUCUUUAGUGAAAAGUUUGGAAAGCUUAUGUCAGAGAAGUUUGAGAUGUCUAUGAUGAGUGAACUCAAAUUCUUUCUCGGUUUGCAAAUCAAGCAAACUAAGGAAGGUACAUUUGUCUCUCAAACGAAGUACACCAAGGACUUAUUCAAGAAGUUCAAUAUGCAAGAAUGCAAAGGUAUGUCUACACCCAUGCCUACUAGUGGACAUAAUGAUUUGACCAAAGAUGGUGAACCGGUUGAUCAAAAGGUUUAUCGCUCUAUGAUUGGUUCAUUGUUAUACCUAUGUGCUUCACGUCCCGAUAUUAUGCUAAGCGUGUGCAUGUGUGCACGAUAUCAAGCUGCUCCUAAAGAAUGUCAUCUUAAGGCUGUGAAAAGGAUAGUGAGAUAUUUAAUCCAUACACCAAAUUUUGGCAUUUGGUAUCCUAAGAGGUCUUCUUUUGAUCUUGUUGGCUAUUCCGACUCGGAUUAUGCCGAAGACAAGGUUGAUAGAAAGUCCACUUCGGGUACUUGUCAAUUUCUUGGUAGAUCUCUUGUGUCUUGGUCUUCCAAGAAACAAAACUCGGUAUCCUUAUCCACCGCCGAAGCGGAAUACAUUGCCGCUGGUUCAUGUUGUGCUCAAUUACUUUGGAUGACCCAAACUCUUAAAGAUUAUGGGAUUUAUGUGAAACAUGUUCCACUGCUUUGUGACAAUGAAAGUGCUAUCAAAAUUGGUCAUAAUCCUGUACAACAUUCUCGAACUAAGCAUAUUGAAGUUCGUCAUCAUUUCAUUUGAGACCAUGUUGCUAAGGGUGACAUUAAUCUUAAGCACGUUCGCACCGAUAAGCAAUUAGCGGAUAUAUUUACUAAACCUCUUGAUGAGAAAGUAUUAUGCAGGUUGAGAGGUGAAUUGAACAUCAUUGCUGCUUCGAACUUGGAGUAGAAACUCCAUUGGAUACAUGCAAGACAUGAGCUUAUGACUAAUCCAUGAUAUAUCUCUUAUGAUGACUAUCUUAUGUCUUGGAUAUAUUUGUACCUUGCAUGUUGUCUAACCCAUGUAGGUGCUUGGUUGAAUCUAAUUCCAUGAGAUUGCGACUCACUCGCAUCUUGAGCAAUCUCUACAUCACCAAGACUCUACACAAUGGUGGUUGAAGACAAGGAAGCACAAAACCAUUCAAACAUAUCCUUUGACAAAUUCUAUGUUGAGCUUCAUGAUUGUCAUUUUUGGAUACACAAGUGCUCUUCCUUGCAAGAACUAACCCAUGUAGGUAGAUGAACUCAAACUCCAAGUGGUGCUCCCAACUCUUGAUGAGCUACAUCAACCUUGAGCACCCACACAAGUUCAACUACAUGAGCAAGAACCACACCACCACCCAAGGUAUGUUAUUCCAUCUUAUAGAAGCUUUACUCCAAGACAUGAGUCAACGCAACUCAACAAGAUGUGAAUACAUCAAGAUGCUUAAACGAAAAAUGGUAACCCCAUUUUGAGCUUAAACGAUGAGUAUGACCUAUGAUCAAGUGUUCUCACUUGACUCCUAAGUCAAUAUACUCUAACAUAGGUGACUAUGUCACCGCCCAACUCUAGAUGAAGUUCUCUUGUGUUCUUUUCUGUGUUAUUGCAUUUGUCUCAUGCAUGUUUAGUUUCUUUCUCUUUUUCAACAACACAAAAAAAACUCCAUCUAGAUCUUUCAGUUUCUUCUCUUUUCUCUUUGUUUUUGUUCUGCAUUUUCUGCAUUUAAUUCCUUGCAAAUCCUUUAGGCAAUUCAUUGCAAAUCUUUGUGAGAUCCUACAUGUCUAGUGAGCUGAGGUGACAAGUGUUUUUCUCUGUGUAAACUCAGUUUCACCGACUUGCAAUUUUCGGUCCAACCGAAUCUUUUCGGUACCACCGAAAUAUGCCACUCGGUGCCAUCGACUUUGCAAUCAGAAAAACAGUUUGCCACUUGUUCUACAUUUCUUCUGAUCCAGCUCCACUCAAUGAAUCUUGUCCUCUACAAGCAUCACAAUUUUAUCCUUUGCUUUGUGCUGAGUCUCAAGGACCAAACCUAUACGACGGAUUCCAGAAACCCUUCUUGGAAAUUAAUGUCAAAGGGGGAGAGAGAGAUCACAUCAAAGCUUGCAGGAGAAAGAGAUCACAUCAAAGCACAUCAAAGCUCAAGGGGGAGAGAAAGUAUCAAGGAUCCCAGAUGUUGUUAAGGGGGAGAGAGAGAUUUCCCAGAUGCUAUUAAGGGGGAGAGAGAGAUUUCCAGGGAGAGAAAAUACUCAAGGAUCCCAGAUGCUUGAUGUUCAAGAGGAGAGAUGUCACAUGUCUUUGUGGGGGAAAGACAUGUUCAUAUACGCUUAUUUGCAUUAACUUCUAUCCAUUUGUAUCUUUCAGCUCUGAUUUUCUGUUCCCUAUCUUAUCCCAAUAUCCCAUGUAAGAUUCAGGGGGAGCAAGACACCUAAGGGAAAGAAAUCAGUCAAAUUCAUUGCAUAUCUUUAUUCUUGGGGACAUGUUGAAUCCAAUGUGGUACCUUGCACUCACUCUCUACAUGUCAUCCCAGUCUUGGUAUUCUUGUGGUUUCUUUUGUUUACUCUGGCUAGUGGAUGUACCUGUGUUAUCUAACUUUGUUUGUGCAGGUUCAUUCCAUCCUAAGCCAACUCAAGACCACAAGGUAAGUAUAUGCAUCAAAAUCAUGAGUAUGAGGAGUUCUUGCUUAUGUACAUACUGUUUGCAAGAAGGACUCAUGAGCAUGAAGGUAUUCUCCUUGAUAAUCUUUUGCUCUGAUGCAUAUGGCCAAGAUACAUGUAACACAUUGCCUACUCUGUCAUGGUUAUGCUCUCACAUGCCUCUAUAUUUCAUAUUCACAUGAGUGCAUACAUGUAGGGGGAGCCUAUGCUUGUUACAUGUCCUUCCAAAGCUUUACUUGCUGUUCUUUAUAUCUUUAUCUAAAGCUUUGAUGUAUGUGGCCAUCAAUUACCAAAAAGGGGGAGAUUGAAAGCACAAGUGCUCCCUAGGUGGUUUUGAUAAUUGAUGACAACAUAUCUCUUAUUGGACUAACAUUUCUAUCUAGCAUGUUUCAGAUAAGUUCAACAAUGGAGUGGCAUGGACUAAAGGUUGUGGGAACUCCUUCAAGAUGCUAAGGACAAAGGAUUGGCUAAAGCCUCAAGCUCAAGACUCUUCAUUUUACAUUUUAGUGAUCCAAGAUCACAUUGAGUCCAUAGGAAAAGCCAAUGCUAUCAAGGAGGGAUGAGGUGUUGCUUAAUGAGCCUCUUGCUUCAUGUGCUUAGUGAUAUGCUCCAAAACCCUCAACUACUUUCCCAUAUCCACAUAUGACCUAAACCCUAAGCCAAAAUCGGUCCUACCGAUUCUUUCUAUCCGGCGCCACCGAGUUUCAUUUGUCAUAAGCCACUGCCAAACCCUAGCAAUUCAGUUCUACCGAUAGGGAUCUCGGUCUCACCGAGAUGGGAUUGCAAACUCUCUGUUUCCCUUUCGUAACUUUUCGGUCUCACCGAAAGAGCGAAUCGGUCCCACCGAGAUUGCAAUGUAAAUUCAGUGUUUCCUUUUUGUAACUUUUCGGUCUCACCGAAAGAGCAAAUCGGUCCCACCGAGUUUGCCUGACCAGCUCUCUGGUUAGCUAAUUACCAAAAUCGGUCCCACCGAGUUUGUGUAAUCGGUCUCACCGAGAUUAUGUUAUGCCCAAACCCUAACCAUAUCGGUUCUACCGAGUUGCAUGUCAGUCCCACCGAAAAUCUCUAACGGUCACUAGGUUUACCUUUUCGGUCCGACCGAGUUUUUUGAUUCGGUCCCACCGAGAUUGGAAAACUGUGUGUAACGGUUGGAUUUUGUGUGGAGGCUAUAUAUACCCCUCCACCUCCUCUUAAUUCGUGGAGAGAGCCAUCAGAACACAUACACAAUUCCAACUCAUAUGUUCUGAGAGAGAACCACCUACUCAUGUGUUGAGACCAAGAUAUUCCAUUCCUACCAUAUGAAUCUUGAUCUCUAGCCUUCCCCAAGUUGCUUUCCACUCAAAUCUUCUUUCCACCAGAUCCAAAUCCUAUGAGAGAGAGUUGAGUGUUGGGGAGACUAUCAUUUGAAGCACAAGAGCAAGGAGUUCAUUACCUACACACCAUUUGUUACUUCUUGGAGAGUGGUGUCUCCUAGAUUGGCUAGGUGUCACUUGGGAGCCUCCGACAAGAUUGUGGAGUUGAACCAAGGAGUUUGUAAGGGCAAGGAGAUCGCCUACUUCGUGAAGAUCUACCGCUAGUGAGGCAAGUCCUUCGUGGGCGAUGGCCAUGGUGGGAUAGACAAGGUUGCUACUUCGUGGACCCUUUGUGGGUGGUUGCUUCUUCGUGGACCCUUUGUGGGUGGUUGCUUCUUCGUGGACCCUUCGUGGGUGGAGCCCUCCGUGGACUCGCGCAACCGUUACCCUUCGUGGGUGGAGCCCUCCAUGGACUCGCGCAGCCGUUACCCUUCGUGGGUGGAGCCCUCCGUGGACUCGCGCAACCGUUACCCUUCGUGGGUUGAAGUCUCCAUCAACGUGGAUGUAGGAUAGCACCACCUAUCCGAACCACGAGAAAAACAUCUGUGUCUCCAAUUGCGUUUGAAUUCUCCAAACCCUUCCCCUUACAUUCUUGCAAGUUGCAUGCUUUACAUUCCGCUGCUCAUAUACUCUUUGCAUGCUUGCUUGAUAUGUAUUGUGUAUGUUGAAAUUGUGCCUAAAACUCCACUCAAACAAAAAAGGCCUAAAAGUUGCAACUUUAGCACUAAGUGUCUAAUCACCCCCCCCCUCGAGACACAUAUACUUCUAGAUCCUACAGAACUCCUUCAUCCAGACUCCUUCAUUUUCUGCUUCCGAAGCAGCUAUGUACUCCGCUUCACACAUAGAUCCCGCCACGACGCUCUGCUUGGAACUGCACCAGCUUACAGCUCCACCAUUCAAUAUAAAUAUGUAUCCGGUUUGCGACUUAGAGUCAUCUGGAUCAGUGUCAAAGCUUGCAUCGACGUAACCAUUUACGACAAGCUCUUUGUCACCUCCAUAAACAAGAAACAUAUCCUUAGUCCUUUUCAGGUAUUUCAGGAUGUUCUUGACCGCUGUCCAGUGAUCCACUCCUGGAUUACUUUGGAACCUCCCUGCUAAACUUAUAGCAAGGCACACAUCAGGUCUGGUACAUAGCAUUGCAUACAUGAUAGAACCUAUGGCUAAGGCAUAGGGAAUGACUUUCAUUUUCUCUCUAUCUUCUGUAGUGGUCGGGCAUUGAGUCUGACUCAACUUCACACCUUGUAACACAUGCAAGAACCCUUUCUUUGACUGAUCCAUUUUGAACUUCUUCAAAACUUUAUCAAGGUAUGUGCUUUGUGAAAGUCGAAUUAAGCAUCUGGAUCUAUCUCUAUAGAUCUUGAUGCCUAGUAUAUAAGUAGCUUCACCGAGGUCUUUCAUUGAAAAAUUCUUAUUCAAGUACCCUUUUAUGCUAUCCAGAAAUUUUGUAUUAUUUCCAAUCAACAAUAUGUCAUCCACAUAUAAUAUUAGAAAUUCUACAAAGCUCCCACUCACAUUCUAGUAAAUACAGGCUUCUCCAAAAGUCUGUAUAAAAUCAUAUGCUUUGAUCACACUAUCAAAGCAUAUAUUCCAACUCCAAGAUGCUUGCACCAGUCCAUAAAUGGAUCGCUAGAGCUUGCACACUUUGUUAGCACCUUUAGGAUUGACAAAAUCUUCUGGUUACAUCAUAUACAACUGUUCUUGAAGAAAUCCAUUGAGGAAUGCAGUUUUGACAUCCAUUUGCCAAAUUUCAUAAUCAUAAAAUGCGGCACUUGCUAACAUGAUUCGGACAGACUUACGCAUCACUACGGGUGAGAAGGUCUCAUCGUAUUCAACUCCUUGAACUUGUUGAAAACCUUUCACAACAAGUCGAGCUUUGUAGACAGUAAAAUUACCGUUAGCGUCAGUCUUCUUCUUGAAGAUCCAUUUAUUCUCUAUGGCUUGCUGCUACAUCUUGAGCUUGCGUUGGUUUUCCCUGAAGAGGAAGGGAUGAUGCAGCAGAGUAGCGUAAGUAUUUCCCUCAGUUUUUGAGAACCAAGGUAUCAAUCCAGUAGGAGGCUACGCGUGAGUCCCUCGUACCUGCACAAAACAAAUAAAUCCUCGCAACCAACACAAAUAGGGGUUGUCAAUCCCUAUAGGGCCACUUACGAGAGUGAGAUCUGAUAGAUAUAAUAUUUUUGGUAUUUUUGGUAUAAAGAUGCAAAGUAAAAAGUAAAAGCAAAGUAAAAAAGCAAAGCAAUAUUAAAGUAAUGGAGAUUGAUAUGAUGAGAAUAGACCCGGGGGCCAUAGGUUUCACUAGUGGCUUCUCUCAAGAGCAUAAGUAUUCUACGGUGGGUGAACAAAUUACUGUUGAGCAAUUGAUAGAAUUGAGCAUAAUUAUGAGAAUAUCUAUGCAUGAUCAUGUAUAUAGGCAUCACGUCCGUGACAAGUAGAUCGAAACGAUUCUGCAUCUACUACUAUUACUCCACUCAUUAAACGCUAUCCAGCAUGCAUCUAGAGUAUUAAGUUAAAAACAGAGUAACGCCUUAAGCAAGAUGACAUGAUGUAGAGAGAUAAAUUCAUGCAAUAUGAAAUAAACCCCCUCUUGUUAUCCUCGAUGGCAACGAUACAAUACAUGCCUUGCUGCCCCUUCUGUCAUUGGGUAAGGACACCGCAAGAUCGAACCCAAAGCUAAGCACUUCUACCAUGGCAAGAACUACCAAUCUAUUUGGCCAAACCAAACGGAUAAUUCGAAGAGACUUGCAAAGAUAACCAAUCAUACAUAAAUAAUUCAGAGAAGAUUCAAAUAUUAUUCAUAGAUAGACUUGAUCAUAAACCCACAAUUCAUCGAUCUCAACAAACACACCACAAAAAGAAGAUUACAUAGAAUAGAUCUCCACAAGAGAGGGGGAGAACUUUGUAUUGAGAUUCAAAGAGAGAGAAGAAGCCAUCUAGCUACUAACUAUGGACCCGAAGGUCUGAGGUAAACUACUCACACUUCAUCAGAGGGGCUAGGAUGAUGUAGAAGCCCUCCGUGAUGAUGGCCCUCUUUCGGCGGAGCUCCGGAACAGUCCCCAAGAUGGGAUCUCGUGGAUACAAAAAGUUGCGGUGGUGGAAUUAGGUUUUUGGCUCCUGUUCUGAUCGUUUGGGGGUACGUGUGUAUAUAUAGGAGGAAGGAGUACGUCGGUGGAGCACUGAGGGGCCCACGAGGCAGGGGGCGUGCCCUAGGGAGGGCGCCCCCACCCUCGUGACCUCCUCUUUGAUCCCUUGCAGUAGGGUCCAAGUCUCCUGUAUCACGUUCGGUGAGAAAAUCACGUUCCCGAAGAUUUUAUUCCGUUUGGACUCCGUUUGAUAUUCUGUUUAUCCGAAACACUGAAAUAGGCAAAAAACAACAAUUCUGGGCUGGGCCUCCGGUUAAUAGGUUAGUACCAAAAAUAGUAUAAAAGUGGAAAAUAAAGCCCAAUAUAGUCCAAAACAGUAGAUAAUAUAGCAUGGAGCAAUCAAAAAUUAUAGAUACGUUGGAGACGUAUCAGGCAUCCCCAAGCUUAAUUCCUUCUCAUCCUCGUGUAGGUAAAUGAUAAAAAGAGAAUUUUUGAUGCGGAGUGCUACUUGGCAUAAUUUCAAUGCAAAUCUUCUUAAUUGUGGUAUGAAUAUUUAGAUUAGAAAGAUUCAAGACAAAAGUUUAUAUUGACAUAUAAAAUAAUAAUACUUCAAGCAUACUAACAAAGCAAUUAUGUCUUCUCAAAAUAACAUGGCCAAAGAAAGUUAUCCCUACAAAAUCAUAUAGUCUGGCUAUGCUCCAUCUUCCCCACACAAAGUAUUUAAAUCAUGCACAACCCCGAUGACAAGCCAAGCAAUUGUUUCAUACUCUAACUUUUUCAAAACUUUUUUAAUCUUCACGCAAUACAUGAGCGUGAGCCAUGGAUAUAGCACUAUAGGUGGAAUAGAAUGGUGAUUGUGGAGAAGACAAAAAAGGAGAAGAUAGUCUCACAUCAACUAGGCGGAUCAACGGGCUAUGGAGAUGCCCAUCAAUAGAUAUCAAUGUGAGUGAGUAGGGAUUGCCAUGCAACGGAUGCACUAGAGCUAUAAAUGUAUGAAAGCUCAACAAAAGAAACUAGUGGGUGUGCAUCCAACUUGCUUGCUCAUGAAUACCUAGGGCAAUUUGAGGAAGCCCAUCAUUGGAAUAUACAAGCCAAGUUCUAUAACGUAAAAUUCCCACUAGUAUAUGAAAGUGACAACAUAUGAGACUCUCUAUAUGAAGAACAUGGUGCUACUUUGAAGCACAAUAUAUGAGACUCGCUAUAUCAUGAUGCUACUUUGAAGCACAAGUGUGGAAAAAAGGAUAGUAGCAUUGCCCCUUUUUUAUUUUUAUUUUUUAUUUUUGGGCCUUCUUUUUUUCUUUGGCCUUUCUCUUUUUUUUGGGACAAUGCUCUAUUGAAUGAUGAUCAUCACACUUCUAUUUAUUUACAACUCAAUGAUUACAACUUGAUACUAAAACAAAGUAUGACUCUAUAUGAAUGCCUCCGGCGAUGUACCGGGAUAUGCAAUGAAUCAAGAGUGACAAGUAUGAAAGAAUUAUGAACGGUGGCUUUGCCACAAAUACUAUGUCAACUACAUGAUCAUGCUAAGCAAUAUGACAAUGAUGGAUGUGUCAUGAUGAACUAGAUGGUGGAAAGUUGCAUGGCAAUAUAUCUCGAAAUGGCUAUGGAAAUGCCAUAAUAGGUAGGUAUGGUGGAUGUUUUGAGGAAGGUAUAUGGUAGGUGUAUGAUACCGACGAAAGUUGCCCGAUAUUAGAGAGGCUAGCAAGGGUGGAAGGGUGGGAGUGCGUAUGAUCCAUGGACUCAACAUUAGUCAUAAAGAACUCAUAUACUUAUUGCAAAAAUCUAGAAGUUAUCAAAGCAAAGUAUUGCAUGCAUGCUCCUAGGGGGGUAGAUUGGUAGGAAAAGACCGUCGCUCGUCCCCGACCGCCACUCAUAAGGAAGAAAAUCAAUAAAUAAAUCAUGCUCCGACUUCAUCACAUAACGGUUCACCAUACGUGCAUGCUACGGGAAUCACAAACUUCAACACAAGUAUUCUUUAAAUUCACAACUACUCAACUAGCAUGACUUUAAUAUUAUCACCUCCAUAUCUCAAAACAAUUAUCAUGCUUCAAUAUUUUCUUAGUAUUCGACACACUCAAAAGAAAGUUUCACAAAUCUUGAAUACCAAGCAUAUUAUUAUUAGGCAAAUUAUCAUGCUAUUAAGAGACUCUCAAAUUAAUUUAAGUGAAGCAUGAGAGAUCAAUAAUUUCUUUAAAAUGAAUCCACCACCGUGCUCUAAAAGAUCUAAGUGAAGCACAUAGAGCAAAAUUAUCUAGCUCUAAAGAUAUAAGUGAAGCACAUAGAGCAAAACUAUAACGCUCAAAAGAUAUAAGUGAAGCACAUGGAGCAAAACUACUACGGUCAAAAGAUAUAAGUGAAGCACAUAGAGUAUUCUAUCAAAUUUUAAUUCAUGUAUGGCUCUCUCAAAAGGUGUGUACAGCAAGGAUGAUUGUGGCAUACUAAUAAACAAAGACACAAAUAAUACAAGACGCUCCAAGCAAAACACAUAUCAUGUUGGUGAAUAAAAAUAUAGCUCCAAGUAAAUUACCGAUGGAAGUGGACGAAAAGAGGGGAUGCCUUCCGGGGCAUCCCCAAGCUUUGACUUUUUGGUGUCCUUAGAUUAUCUUGGGGGUGCCAUGGGCAUCCCCAAGCUUAGGCUCUUGCCACUCCUUGUUCCAUGAUCCAUCAAAAGAAUUCACCCAAAACUUGAAAACUUCACAACACAAAACUCAAAAUAGAAAACCCGUGAGCUCCCUUAGCGAAAGAAAACAAAAGACCACUUCAAGGUACUGUAAUGAACUCAUUAUUUAUUUAUAUUGGUGUUAAACCUACUGUAUUCCAACUUCUCUAUGGAUUAUAAACUAUUUUACUAGCAAUAGAUUCAUCAAAAUAAGCAAACAACACACGAAAAACAGAAUCUGUCAAAAACAGAACAGUCUGUAGUAAUCUGUAGCUAGCGCAAGAUCUGGAACCCCAAAUAUUCUAAAAUAAAUUGCUGGACGUGAGGAAUUUAUCUAUUAAUCAUCUUCAAAAAGAAUUAACUAAAUAGCACUCUUAAAAUAAAAAUUACAGCAGUUCUCGUGAGCGCUAAAGUUUCUGUUUUUUACAGCAAGUUCAACAAGACUUUCCCCAAGUCUUCCCAACGGUUCUACUUGGCACAAACACUAAUUUAACACAAAAAAACCAAAACAGAGGCUAAAUAAUUUAUUUAUUACUAAACAGGAGCAAAAAAAUCAAGGAAUAAAAAUAAAAUUGGGUUGCCUCCCAACAAGCGCUAUCGUUUAACGCCCCUAGCUAGGCAUAACAAGCAAGGAUAGAUCUAGGUAUUGCCAUCUUUGGUAGGCAAUCCAUAAGUGGCUCUCAUGAUAGUUUCAUAUGGUAAUUUUAUUUUCUUUCUUGGAAAGUGUUCCAUGCCCUUUUUUAAUGGAAAUUGAAAUCUAAUAUUCCCUUCCUUCAUAUCAAUAAUCGCACCAACUGUUCUAAGGAAAGGUCUACCAAGAAUAAUAGUGCAAGAAGGAUUGCAAUCUAUAUCAAGAACAAUGAAAUCUACAGGCACAUAAUUCCUAUUUGCAACAAUAAGAACAUUAUUAAUUCUUCCCAUAGGUUUCUUAAUAGUGGAAUCUGCAAGAUGCAAGUUUAGAGAGCAAUCAUCAAAAUUACGGAAAUCUAGUAAAUCACACAAAGUCUUGGGAAUAGUAGAGACACUAGAACACAAAUCACACAAAGCAUAAAAAUCAUGAUCUUUAAUUUUAAUUUUAAUAGUUGCUUCCCACUCAUCAUAGAGUUUUCUAGGGAUAGAAACUUUCAACUCAAGUUUUUCUUCAUAAGAUUGCAUCAAGGCAUCAACAAUAUGUUUGGUGAAGGCUUUAUUUUGACUAUAAGCAUGUGGAGAAUUUAGCACAGAUUGCAAUAAGGAAAUACAAUCAAUCAAAGAGCAACUUUCAUAAUUAAAUUCCUUGAAAUCCAAUAUAGUGGGUUUAGCAACAUCUAGAUUUUUAUUUCUUUCAAUCCCACGUUCAUCAAUUUCAUCAUUAAGAUCUAAAUACUCCGAAUGUUUAGAACGCCUUCUAGGUAAAGGAAGAUCAUAUUCAGUUUCAUCAAGAUUCAUAUUGCAAAAUAAAGAUUUAAUUGGAGACACAUCAAUAACUUCUAGAUCUUCAUCUUGAUUUUCAUAGGAAUUGGAAGAACACGCUUUAAUAAAGGCAUCUUUGGAAGCACGCAUCCUAACGGUUCUUUAUUUACACUCAUAAAUUGAAAUUCUCAUGGCUUUUAAGACUCAUUGAUAUCAUGCUUAGGUGGAAUAGAUCUAAGUUUCAAAGCAUCAACAUCAAGAGCAAUUCUAUCAACGUUCCUAGCCAAAUCAUCAAUCUUAAGCAAUUUUUCUUCAAUCAUAGCAUUAAAAUUCUUUUGUGAAGAAAUAAAUUCUUUAAUAUUAGAUUCAAAAUUAGAGGGAAUCUUAUUACAAUUUCCAUAAGAGUUGUUGUAGGAAUUCCCAUAAUUAUUAGAAGGAUUGCUAGGAUAUGGCCUGGGAUUAAAAUUCCCUCUAUAAGCAUUGUUACCAAAAUUAUUCCUACCAACAAAAUUCACAUCCAUAGAUUCAUUGUUAUUCUCAAUCAAAGUAGACAAAGGCAUAUCAUUAGGACCAGAAGAAACACUCUUAGUAGCAAAUAAUUUCAUAAGUUCAUCCAUCUUUCCACUCAACACAUUAAUUUCUUCUAUCGCAUGCACUUUUUAUUAGAAGUUCUUUCAGUAUGCCAUUAAGAAUAAUUAACCAUAAUAUUAUCUAGGAGUUUAGUAGCAUCUCCUAAAGUGAUUUCCAUAAAAGUGCCUCCCGCGGCUGAAUCUAAAAGAUUUCUAGAAGCAAAGUUUAAUCCGGCAUAAAUUUUUUGUAUAAUCAUCCACAAAUUCAAACCAUGAGUAGGGCAAUUACGUAUCAUUAAUUUCAUUCUCUCCCAAGCUUGUGCAACAUGUUCAUGAUCAAGUUGUUUAAAGUUCAUUAUAUUGUUUCUAAGAGAGAUGAUCUUAGCGGGAGGAAAAUACUUAGAGAUAAAAGCAUCUUUGCACUUGUUCCAUGAAUCAAUACUAUUCUUAGGCAAAGACGAAAACCAAGCUUUAGCACGAUCUCUAAGCGAAAAAGGAAAUAGCUUCAAUUUAACGACAUCAUUAUUGACAUCUUUUUUCUUUUGCAUAUCACAUAAAUCAAUGAAGCUAUUCAGAUGAGUAGCGACAUCUUCGCUAGGAAGGACAGCGAAUUGAUCUUUCAUAACAAGAUUCAACAAAGCAGUAUUAAUUUCACAAGAUUCAACAUCGGUAAGAGGAGCAAUCAGAGUGCUAAGGAAAUCAUUAUUAUUGGUAUUGGUGAAGUCACACAAUUUAGUAGUAUCUUGAGCCAUCGCGACAAACAAGCAAUCUAACACACGAGCAAACAAAAAGCAAACGGGCAAAAAGAGGCAAAUAGAGAGGGAGGAUAGAGAGAGAGGGCGAAUAAAACGGCAAGGCUGAAUUGGGGGGAGAGGAAAAUGAGAGGCAAAUGGAAAAUAAUGUAAUGCGAGAUAUAGGGAUUGUGAUGGGUACAUGGUAUAUUGACUUUUUGUGUAGACUCCCCGGCAACUGCGCCAGAAAUCCUUCUUGCUACGUCUUGAGCUUGCGUUGGUUUUCCCCGAAGAGGAAGGGAUGAUGCAGCAGUGUAGCAUAAGUAUUUCCCUUAGUUUUUGAGAACCAAGGUAUCAAUCCAGUAGGAGCCCACGCUCAAGUCCCUCGUACCUGCACAAAGCGAUAGCUACUCGCAACCAACGCGAUUAGGGGUUGUCAAGCCCUUCAUGGUCACUUACUCGAGUGAGAUCUGAUAGAUAUAAUAUUUUUGGUAUUUUUGGUAUAAAGAUGCAAAGUAAAAAGUAAAAGCAAAGUAAAAAAGCAAAGCAAUAUUAAUGUAAUGGAGAUUGAUAUGAUGAGAAUAGACCCAGGGGCCAUAGGUUUCACUAGUGGCUUCUCUCAAGAGCAUAAGUAUUCUACGGUGGGUGAACAAAUUACUGUUGAGCAAUUGAUAGAAUUGAGCAUAAUUAUGAGAAUAUCUAGGCAUGAUCAUGUAUAUAGGCAUCACGUCCGUGACAAGUAGAUCAAAACAAUUCUACAUCUACUACUAUUACUCCACUCAUCGACCGCUAUCCAGCAUGCAUCUAGAGUAUUAAGUUAAAAACAGAGUAACGCCUUAAGCAAGAUGACAUGAUGUAGAGAGAUAAAUUCAUGCAAUAUGAAAUAAACCCCAUCUUGUUAUCCUCGAUGGCAACGAUACAAUACGUGCCUUGCUACCCCUUCUGUCACUGGGUAAGGACACCGCAAGAUCGAACCCAAAGCUAAGCACUUCUCCCAUGGCAAGAACUACCAAUCUAGUUGGCCAAACUAAACGGAUAAUUCGAAGAGACUUGCAAAGAUAACCAAUCAUACAUAAAAGAAUUCAGAGAAGAUUCAAAUAUUAUUCAUAGAUAGACUUGAUCAUAAACCCACAAUUCAUCGGUCUCAACAAACACACCGCAAAAAGAAGAUUACAUAGAAUAGAUCUCCACAAGAGAGGGGGAGAACUUUGAAUUGAGAUUCAAAGAUAGAGAAGAAGCCAUCUAGCUACUAACUAUGGACCCGAAGGUCUGAGGUAAACGACUCACACUUCAUCGGAGGGGCUAGGAUGAUGUAGAAGCCCUCCGUGAUGACGGCCCUCUUCCGGCGGAGCUCCGGAACAGGCCCCAAGAUGGGAUCUCAUGGAUACAGAAAGUUGCGGUGGUGGAAUUAGGUUUUUGGCUCCUGUUCUGAUCGUUUGGGGGUACGUGUGUAUAUAUAGGAGGAAGGAGUACGUCGGUGGAGCACCGAGGAGCCCACGAGGCAGGGGGCGCGCCCUAGGGGGCGCCCCCCACCCUCGUGACCUCCUCUUUGAUCCCUUGCAGUAGGGUCCAAGUCUCCUGGAUCACGUUCGGUGAGAAAAUCACGUUCCCGAAGAUUUUAUUCCGUUUGGACUCCGUUUGAUAUUCUGUUUAUCCGAAACACUGAAAUAGGCAAAAAACAACAAUUCUGGGCUGGGCCUCUAGUUAAUAGGUUAGUCCCAAAAAUAAUAUAAAAGUGGAAAAUAAAGCCCAGUAUAGUCCAAAACAGUAGAUAAUAUAGCAUGGAGCAAUCAAAAAUUAUAGAUACAUUGGAGACGUAUCACUUGCCGAUCAUCGGGCAAGUCAACCAAAGUCCACACUUUAUUAUCAUACAUGGAUCCCAUCUUAGAUUUCACGGCCUCAAGCCAUUUCACAGAAUCUGGGUUCAUCAUCGCUUCCUCAUAGUUCGUAGGUUCGUCAUGGUCUAGUAACAUGACUUCCAGAACAGGAUUACCGUGCCACUUUGGUGCGGACCGUAUUCUAGUUGACCUAUGAGGUUCGGUAGUAACUAGAUCUGAAGUUUCAUGAUCAUCAUAUUAGUUUCCUCACUAAUUGGUGUAGGCAUCACUAGAACUGAUUUUUGUUAUGAACUACUUUCCAAUUCGGGAGAAGGUACAGUUACCUCAUCAUGUUCUACUUUCCUCACAUUCACUUCUUUCAAGAGAAACUCCUUCUCUAGAAAGGAUCCAUUCUUAGCAACGAAUAUCUUACCUUCGGAUCUGUGAUAGAAGGUGUACCCAACAGUUUCCUUUGGGUAUCCUAUGAAGACACAUUUCUCCGAUUUAGGUUCGAGCUUAUCAGGUUUAAGCUUAUUCACAUAAGCAUCGCAGCCCCAAACUUUAAGAAAUGGCAACUUAGGUUUCUUGCUAAACCACAGUUCAUAUGGUGUCGUAUCAACAGAUUUAGAUGGUGCCCUAUUUAAUGUGAAUGCAACCGAGCAUAACCCUAAAACGAUAGCGGUAAAUCGGUAAGAGACAUCAUAGAUCGCACCAUAUCUAAUAAAGUACGGUUAUGACGUUCAGACACACCAUUACGCUGUGUUGUUCCAGGUGGCGUGAGUUGUGAAACUAUUCCACAUUAUUUCAAAUGAAGACCAAACGCGUAACCCAUAUCUGCUCAAAUCAUCUGUGAAGGUCGGAAAAGAACGAUACCCGCCGCGAGCCUCAACACUCAUCGGACCGCAUACAUCAGUGUGUAUUAUUUCCAAUAAGUCAGUGGCUCGCUUCCAGGAUAACGGAGUCUUAGUCAUCUUGCCCAUGAGGCAUGGUUCGCAAGCAUCAAGUGAUUCAUAAUCAAGUGAUUCCAAAAGCCCAUCAGCAUGUAGUUGCUUCAUGCGCUUUACACCAAUAUGACCUAAAGGACAGUGCAACAAAUAAGUUACACUACCAUUAACUUUGCAUCUUUUGGCUUCAAUAUUAUGAAUAUGUGUAUCACUACGAUUGAGAUUCAACAAAAAUAGACCACUCAUCAGGGGUGCAUGACCAUAAAAGAUAUUACUCAUAUAAAUAGAACAACCAUUAUUCUCCGAUUUAAAUGAAUAUCCGUCUCGCAUCAAACAAGAUCCAUAUAUAAUGUUCAUGCUCAAUGCUGGCACCAAAUAACAAUUAUUCACGUCUAAAACUAAUCCCGACGGUAGAUGUAGAGGUAGCGUGCCGACGAUGAUCACAUCAACCUUGGAACCAUUUAUGACACCCAUCGUCACCUCGUCCUUAGCCAAUCUUCGUUUAAUCCGUAGCCCCUGUUUCGAGUUGCAAAUAUGAGCAACAGAACCAAUAUCAAAUACCCAGGCGCUACUACGAGCAUUAUUAAGGUACACAUCAAUAACAUGUAUAUCAAAUAUACCAUUCACUUUGCCAUCCUUCUUAUCCGCCAAAGACUUGGGGCAGUGCCGCUUCUAGUGACCAGUCCCUUUGCAGUAGAAGCACUCAGUUUCAAGCAUAGGUCCAGACUUGGGCUUCUUCCCGGGAGCAGCAACUUGCUUGCUAUUCUUCUUGAAGUUCCCCUUCUUCCCUUUGCCCUUUUUCUUGAAACUAGUGGUCUUGUUAACCAUCAACACUUGAUGCUCCUUCUUGAUUUCUACCUCCCCAGCCUUAAGCAUCGCGAAGAUCUCGAGAAUUGUCUUUUCCAUCCCUUGCAUAUUAUAGUUCAUCACGAAGCGUUUAUAGCUUGGUGGCAGUGAUUGAAGAACUCUGUCAAUGACACUAUCAUCAGGAAGAUUAACUCCCAGUUGAGUCAAGUGGUUAUGGUACCCAGACAUUCUGAGUAUGUGUUCACUGACAGAACUGUUCUCCUACAUUUUGCAGCUAUAGAACUUGUUGGAGACUUCAUAUCUCUCAACUCGGGCAUAUGCUUGAAAUAUGAACUUCAACUCCUGGAACAUCUCAUAUGCUCCAUGACGUUCAAAACGUCUUUGAAGUCCGGAUUCUAAGUCGUAAAGCAUGGCACACUGAACUAUCGAGUAGUCAUCAGCUUUAGUCUGCCAGAUGUUCAUAACGUCUGGAGUUGCUCCUGCAGCGGGUCUUGCACCUAGCGGUGCUUUCAUUAUGUAAUUCCUCGGUGCAACAAUGAGGAUAAUCCUCAAGUUAUGGACCUAGUCCGUGUAGUUGCUACCAUCAUCAUCUUUCAACUUAGCUUUCUCUAGGAACACAUUAAAAUUCAAGGGAACGGUAGCACGGGCCAUUGAUCUACAACAACAUAGAUAUGCAAAAACUAUUAGGACUAAGUUCAUGAUAUAUUAAAGUUCAAUUAAUCAUAUUACUAGAGAACUCCCACUUAGAUAGACAUCCCUCUAGUCAUCUAAAUGAUCAGAUGAUCCAUAUCAACUAAACCAUGUCCGAUCAUCACGUGAGAUGGAGUAGUUUUCAAUGGUGAACAUCUCUAUGUUGAUCAUAUCUACUGUGUGAUUCACGUUCGAACUUUCAGUCUCAGUGUUCCGAGGCCAUAUCUGCAUAUGCUAGGCUUGUCAAGUUUAACCCGAGUAUUCUGCACGUGCAAAACUGGCUUGCACCCGUGGUAUGUGAACAUAGAGCUUAUCACACCCAAUCAUCACGUGGUCUCUCGGCACGACGAACUGUAGCAAUGGUGCAUACUCAAGGAUAACACUUAUACCUUGAAAUUUAGUGAGAGAUCAUCUUAUAAUGCUUCCGAUGUACUAAGUAAAAUAAGAUACAUAAAUAUAAACAUCACAUGCGAUCAAAAUAUGUGACAUGAUAUGGCCAUCAUCAUCUUGUGCCUUUGAUCUUCAUCUCCAAAGCACCAUCAUGAUCUCCAUCGUCACCGUCUUGACACCUUGAUCUCCAUCGUAGCGUCAUUGUUGUCUCGCCAACUAUUGCUUCUACGACUAUCGCUACCGCUUAGUGAUAAAGUAAAGCAAUUACAUGGCGAUUGCAUUUCAUACAAUAAAGCGACAACCAUAAGGCUCCUGCCAGUUGCCGAUAACUUUUAUAAAACAUGAUCAUCUCAUACAACAAUUUAUAUCUCAUCACGUCUUGACCAUAUCACAUCACAAAAUGCCCUGCAAAAACAAGUUAGACGUCCUCUACUUUGUUGUUGCAAGUUUUACGUGGCUGCUACGGGCUUCUAGCAAGAACCGUUCUUACCUACACAUCAAAACCAUAAUGAUUUUCCGUUAAGUGUGUUGUUUUAACAUUCAACAAGGACCGGUCAUAGUCAAAUUCGAUUCAACUGAAGUUUGAGAAACAGACACCCGCCAGCCACCUGUGUGCAAAAGCAUGUCGGUAGAACCGGUCUCAUGAAUGUGGUCAUGUAAUGUUGGUCCAGGCUGCUUCAUCCAACAAUAUCGCCGAAUCAAAAUAACACAUUGGUGGUAAGCAGUAUGACUAUUAUCGCCCACAACUCAUUGUGUUCUACUCGUGCAUAUCAUCUACGCAUAGACCUGGCUCGGAUGCCACUGUUGGGGAACGUAGCAUGCAAUUUCAAAGAAUUUCCUACUGAUAUGUCUCCAACAUAUCUAUAAUUUUUGAUUGUUCCAUGCUAUUAUAUUAUCAACCUUGGAUGUUUUAUAUGCAUUUAUAUGCUAUUUUAUAUGAUUUUGGGACUAACCUAUUAACCUAGAGCCCAGUGCCAGUUUCUGUUUUUUCCUUGUUUUAGAGUAUCGCAGAAAAGGAAAAUCAAACGGAGUCCAAUUGACCUGAAACUUCACGGAACUUAUUUUUGGACCAGAAGAAACCCACGGAGUAUCGGAGUUGGACCAGGAGAGUCCCGGGCUGCCCACGAGGGUGGCGGCGCGCCCACCCCCUGGGCACGCCCCUGCCUCAUGGACAGCCCGAAGGUCCACCGACGUACUUCUUCCUCCCAUAUAUACCCAUAUACCCUAAAAACUUCGGGGAGCACAAUAGAUCGAGAUUUCCGCCGCUAGAAGCCUCCAUAGCCACCGAAAACCAAUCUAGACCCGUUUCGGCACCCUGCGGAGUGGGCAAUCCCUCUCCGGUGGCCAUCUUCAUCAUCCCGGUGCUCUCCAUGACGAGGAGGGAGUAGUUCUCCCUCAGGGCUGAGGGUAUGUACCAGUAGCUAUGUGUUUGAUCUCUCUCUCUCUCUGUCGUGUUCUUGAGGUGGUACAAUCUUGAUGUAUCGCGAGCUUUGCUAUUAUAGUUGGAUCUUAUGAUGUUUCUCCCCCUCUACUCUCUUGUAAUGGAUUGAGUUUUCCCUUUGAAGUUAUCUUAUCGGAUUGAGUCUUUAAGGAUUUGAGAACACUUGAUGUAUGUCUUGCGUGGGAUACCUGUGGUGGCAAUGGGCUAUUCUAUUGAUCCACUUGAUGUAUGUUUUGGUGAUCAACUUGCGGGUUCCGCCCAUGAACCUAUGCAUAGGGGUUGGCACACGUUUUCGUCUUGACUCUCCGGUAGAAACUUUGAGGCACUCUUUGAAGUACUUUGUGUUGGUUUGAAUAGAUGAAUCUGAGAUUGUGUGAUGCAUAUUGUCGGUGUCAAACCCGGCGGAUCUCGGGUAGGGGGUUCCGAACUGUGCGUCUAAGGCGGAUGGUAACAGGAGGCAGGGGACACGAUGUUUGCCCAGGUUCGGGCCCUCUCGAUGGAGGUAAGACCCUAUGUCCUGCUUGAUUGAUCUUGAUGAUAUGAGUAUUACAAGAGUUGAUCUACCACGAGAUCGUAGAGUCUAAACCCUAGAAGCUAGCCUAUGGUAUGAUUGUAUGUUGUCCUACGGACUAAACCCUCCGGUUUAUAUAGACACCGGAAGGGGAUAGGGUUACGCAGAGUCGGUUACAAGGGAGGAGAUCUACAUAUCCGUAUUGCCAAGCUUGCCUUCCGCGCCAAGGAGAGUCCCAUCCGGACACGGGAUGAAGUCUUCAAUCUUGUAUCUUCAUAGUCCAAUAGUCCGGCCAGAGGAUAUAGUCCGGCUGUCCGGAGACCCCCUAAUCCAAGACUCCCUCAGUAGCCCCUGAACCAGGCUUCAAUGACGAUGAGUCCGGCGCAAAGUUUUGUCUUCGGCAUUGCAAGGCGGGUUCUUCCUCCGAAUACUCCAUAGAAGAUUUUGAACACAAGGAUAUUGUCCAACUCUGCAAAACAAGUUCCACCUACCACCGUAGAGAGAGUAAUAUUUCCACAAAUCUAACCUGCUGACAUGUUUAGCAACAUGACAUCAUGCCAUGGCCCGGUCAUUAUUCAAACCGUUUUUCUCAACCAGCGCUGCACAUAUCGCGAGGCGGUUUCCUUGGCACGUAUUGUCGAAGCAGAGAUCGUGUCCCCUUAUCACGGGAUUCUCAUCAAUACGGAUAUGGGUAAUCCAACCACGCCAUCAACUACAACGCUUGGGGAAUAAGCGAUUUUACCAGGUAAAUGGGGGAGGCGCAUCACCUCUUCCGCCCUUAUAAAGGGACAAAGAUUCACCCUUUUUACCCACGUCUUCUUUCUCCUUGCCUAUCCAUUGUCGCACACUCGAGCUCCAGCGCCCAAGUUCGCGUCUUUCUCCUCAAACCACCCCAAGCAUGUAUGGAGAAGGAGGCAAGUGGAUGGUCUCCUCCGUCACGGAGGAGAACAUCACAAAGCUACAGGAAGCCGGAUAUCUGGCCGCGAAUAUCGCGCACCGGCUGCCAGAUGCGGGGCAGAUCAUCCCUACACCCAAACCCCAUGAGAGGGUAGUUUUCCUCACCCACUUUGUCCGUGGACUGGGAUUUCCCCUUCACCCGUUUGUCCGCGGGCUCAUGUUCUACUACGGGCUGGAUUUUCAUGAUCUGGCCCCCAAUUUCAUCCUCAACAUCUCGGCGUUUAUCGUCGUGUGCGAGGCCGUCCUCCGCAUCAAGCCCCACUUCGGCCUGUGGCUAAAGACCUUCAAUGUUAAACCGAAGGUGGUGGUCGGCUAGUAAGCAGAGUGUGGAGGCUCCAUGGUGGGCAAAAUGCCUAACGUCACCUGGCUCGAAGGCUCCUAUGUGGAGGCCAUAAAGGGAUGGCAAUCGGGGUGGUUCUACAUCACCGAGCAGCGCGACACCAACUGGGUGGCGGCCCCUGAAUUUCGAUCCGGAAUCCCCACGCGGCUCACUUCCUGGAAAGAGAAGGGCAUGUCAUGGGGUUCCCCGGUAGAGCUGACCGGACUCCAGACAUGCAUCAAGAACAUGAUGAGCAAGAAAAUCAAGCUCAUCAACGUGGUCCAGGUCAUGCUCUUCCACCGGAUUCUCCCGUGUCAACGACGGGUAUUCAAUUUGUGGGAGUUCGACCCGGCCAAGCACCAGACGCUGCGAGAGCUCUUUGACACAACGCACAAGGAUGUUUGGAAUGUGCUGUUCAAGGGCGUCGAGGUACCUCCUCCCCUUACCGAGGACCGCGGACUCAGCGCAAAGCGCCAUGCCAAUCCAUUAAGUUUUUAUAUCUCACAGGAUAUUUAUUUGCCCUAGUUUAAUCAUGUGUGGGAUCUAAGCUUCCAUGCCAUUAAGAGGACUGGGUAGUGACAGCGGAGCAGCUCGAUUGCCCAGCCCCUCUGCCUGAAGAUCCUGCAGAUGCUCUCCUAACGGAGAUGCUGGUUCCGGCGCCUUACGAGGUGCCAGUGAAGAAGGCCAAGAAGAAGGCCACUGGGGCCCGAAAGGGUCUCCGGCGCAAGGUUAUGUCGGACUCAUCGUCCGAUAACUCCGAAGCGCACUCCUCCCACGAAAACGAGGAGGAGGAAGAGAAAAGUUCUCCCCCCCCAGCCGGGGGAGACAAGAAAAGGAAGGUCGCCCCAAUCGGGGAGGCCGAAGGGUCCAAGAAGGGAAGGACCCUCCUUCCGAACUGCUCCACGUCGGCCGCCUACAACGGCGACGAGUGGUUACCCAGGGACAAGCCCCUGGCGAAGUCGCAAGUAUCCAGAUACCAUAGUAAUUCAUGGUAUGUUUUAUUGCACUGCUUCUCCUUAUGCCGAAUAUGAUUAUGCAGUCCAUCCCGAGCCCAUCUCGACGUAUCUUCGUCGGACGGUUCUUUGGACUCGUUGGAUAUGAAUAGCGAUUCACUUCCGACCGCCUCCACCCCCUGCCCUACGGACAAAGUCGAGGUGUUUUCUCCAAAGGCACCGAGCCAAGGGGAGGUAGUCCCGGGGGCGCCUCGAGGUGACCUUCCGGACCCUGGGCGCAAAGGGAGCGAGACUCCCACGGGCUCCAAGUUCGGCCCCCAACCGAACACUGCGCCGGAACCUUCGGUGGUUCCGGACUCUAGCAGGCGACCCCCCUUUAAGAGGGGCAAGCCGCCCGUGCCGGUGGCCUCUGUCCAUCCAGAGGCACCGGACAACUUGCUGGAAGUGCUUCUUGGUGCCUCCAUCAACGAAGAGCACCGUACUAUCAUGAGUGCGGUGAUCGAGAAAGUUCAGUCCGCCAAAAACGGACUAACCGAAGCUUGUGCCAGCCUCGUAAUAGGCUUUCAGGUAAGCAAUUAAAAUAUAGGAAAAUAUUACCGCAUAGACAGUAGCCCCUGGUUCUCUAUUUGGCGUUCGCGAAGAAAGGCCGAAUAGAGGAUCAAAUAAUGACUCAGGAGUCUAAUCAGAAUAUGUCUAUGUGCAUAUGCAGGCUUCACUACUGGCCGCUGCCGCACGUACUGCGGAGGUCGCUGCACUGAAGCAGGACCUUGAGCGGUCCGAGAAAGAGCUCGGCCUUACCAAGAGGCAGCUCGAGGAGAGCAAAGGUAAGGAAUACCUUGUCUAUAUAUUUAAAAGAAAUUCGGUUGUAAAGUAAUAGGAUCAUCAUGAAUUUGCCAGGGGCCACGACCGAGGUGGUGACCCUGAAGAAGGCGCUGUUCGAGGCCGAAGACAAAGCGGCCAAGGAGCGCAUUGAGCGGGAAAAGCAAGAAGCCCGGGUAGGCGAGGUGCAGCAAGAGCUCGAGGCUCUCCCCAAAAACACGAGUCCUUGGAGCUUGACUCUAAGACGCGAGAGUCCGAGCUUGCGAAGACGCUCGAAAGCGCCCGGAGCGCCAAGGCUGAAGCUGACAAGGCCCUCCAGGAGAUUGAUGCGGUGAAGAAGAUAGCAGCGGGUAAGGCAUUCAUUAUGCAAAGCAAGCAUGUGAAGGAAACUUUCCUUUUACUUACCCGAGUUCGGAGCUCUCCAGGAGCGUUCGCAGAUCUUCCCCGCAGUGUACUGGAUGCCGCGGAGUUUUACCGAGCUGAGGAGGGGAGCUCGGCGGAAAAGUUGUUCUGGUCUCAGUAUACUGGGACCAAACACCCAAUGCCCUUGAGCGACCAGCUGAAGCAACUGGUCGAGCUUCACAAGGCGGCCGAACAGGCCAUGAAGGGUCUUAUAGUCUGGAUGUGGCCUGGCGAUCCCCUACCUGGCAGCUACUUCGGUCUAGUGAGGCGGCUUGUGGAUGCCUGCACACGGCUUGAAGUCAUAAAGCGGUCUGUCUGCAUCGAGGGUGCACGCAGGGCUUUUGCCCGGGCGAAGGUGCACUGGGCGAAGCUGGACGCCGUAAAGAUGGUGAAGGAGGGGCCGCCGGAGGGCAAGGAGCAUCGCUGCCCCGAAAUGUAUUAUGACAGUGUCCUAAAGGGUUCCCACCUUAUGGCGGAGGAAUGUGCGAGAGAUGUAAUUUUUGAAUGAACAUUCUCAUGUGAUCAUGUAAUGUGAAACGAGUUCAUUUGCGCUAUGCAACGGUUUUUGAAUUUAAAAUAUUACCUUAUGUACAGCCGUUUAUAAAAUCUAAGAGUUUGCCAGUCGUCGGCUUCUGCCCCCAUGUAACUAGUACUGGGGUGUUUGGGAUAAACCUGAGCACUCUUUAUCCCAACUUUGGAUCCUUCGAGGGAGGUGUUCAGCACAACGAACCAGGCAAUUGGACUAUAAGGCUUUAUCACUCUCACUUAGCCAUAGAAGUUAGUAUUCGAAAGGCCGAAUUUGGGGCACUAUAUACGCCUAAGUCAGGCAAGGCCGACUCCUCGCCCGAAGCGGAAAAAGUCUUUAAGGACUUGAGACCUCUUGAACAGUGACCGGCUCUCGCCUUAUCAUGACAGUCAGUUUUUGGCUUUCUCUACUGAGGUGCUCGUCCGGAAGAACCGGGACACAAUCGCAUUAGUUCUCCCAGCGCUACCUUAGCCGAUAUAGCUGAACGUAAGGUACCAAAACAUGGGAGCCGGGCAAACCCAACUAUUUGACCCAAGACAUGAUUCAGAGCUGAUGCAUAUAAUGCUAUAAGUUCGGGGUGCCGCACUGUCGAAAGUGUUCAGACCUCUCACGCCGUAUUAUGGGGUAAACAAAAGCCCCUGGCAUACUGACCGUACCAGAAUGUAUAGGUGCAAGUUGUUGAAAUGAACAUAUAAGAAAAAGGGGAUGGAUAAUGCAAUAAUAGACUAAUGCUAUGCAUUGUUAUUUAAAUAAUACGUCGAAGCAUACUGAUAUAAGUAGUGCAAUAAGCCAAAAAUAGGACUAUUUGACAUGUCCUAUCCAAGGGCAAGCUGCAUAUGGGUAGUAAAAAGUGGGCAUAUCGAUUGUUAUUAGAGACCACCUGGGGGUUCCCCUGUACGUCUUAGCUUCUUGCCUCCUUGGUUGUUCCUUCCCGUAAUGUGUCCAACAAUCAUACUACCGGAAAGGGCUUCCAGAGAGUAAGGUCCUGAAAGAGAAAAAAUGAUAAAGGUAUGCAGCCCCUAGGGCGGUUAAGCCGCAUUUCGGGACGUGCCUUGAUCGUGCCCCCGCCUAUGCCCAUGGUAUUUUCAGGGCAUAAUUAUGUACGCACGGCUUAGAUUUCAUCGCUUGACUGGGACUAGGACGGGGGCCGAAUUGCUAAGCGAGCUCUGAACGUGCCAGGUGAUCCUGUUGCAGGUUACUCCGGACUCGCUUGAUGGUGUCCAGGAGCUGUAUCGCCGAAUUAGCGGUUUGCCUUAAAAGGCUGCUUUGUGCUUCUGCUGCGAGGACCGCAGUGUGCUCUUCCAUGCGGAGCGAGCGUUCUGUGUUUCUAUUGACUGUUAUGACCCCCCUAGGUCCUGGCAUCUUGAGCUUGAGGUAUGUGUAAUGCGGUACCGCAUUGAAUUUUGCAAAUGCGGUUCGCCCGAGCAGUGCGUGAUAGCCACUGCGGAACGGGACGAUAUCGAAGAUUAACUCCUCGCUUCGGAAGUUUUCCGGAGCUUCAAAGACCACCUCCAGUGUGAUUGAGCCCGUUCAAUGGGCCUCUACACCUGGGAUGAUGCCCUUAAAGGUGGUUUUGGUGGGUUUAAUCCUCGAGGGAUCUAUACCCAUUUUGCGCACUGUAUCCUUAUAGAGCAGGUUCAGGCUGUCGCUGCCGUCCAUAAGGACUUGAGUGAGGUGAAAUCCGUCGAUGAUGGGGUCUAGGACCAAUGCGGUGGAUCUGCCAUGAUGGAUACUAGUGGGGUGGUCCCUGCGAUCGAAGCUGAUCGAACAGGAGGACCAUGGGUUGAACUUUGGGGCGACGGGCUCCAUCGCAUGGACGUCCCUUAGUGCACGCUUCUGUCCCCUCUUGGAAAUGUGGGUUGCGUAUAUCAUGUUCACCGUCUUCACUUGUGGGGGGAACCUCUUCUGUCCUCCCGUGUUCGGCGGCCGGGGCUCCUCCUCGUCAUCACUAUGCAGCCCCUUCUCCUUGUUUUCUGCAUUUAACUUGCCGGCCUGCUUGAACACCCAGCAUUCUCUGUUGGUGUGAUUGGCUGGCUUAUCAGGGGUGCCGUGUAUUUCACACGAGCGAUCGAGUAUGCGAUCCAAACUGGACGGGCCCGGAGUACUUCUUUUGAAUGGCUUUUUCCGCUGAGCGAAUCUAGAGCCUCUGAAUCUAGCAUUGACUACCCUAUCAUCGGCGUUAUCGCUGUUGUUGCGGCGCUUUUGUCUGUUAUGGCGUGGUCUGCCGUUGGCAUCUUUGGUAUCCGAAGUGCCCGGAUUCCUUGAUGUGUUGUUGCUGCGAGCCAGCCAACUAUCCUCGCCCGUGCAAAAGCGGGUCAUGAGUGUCGUGAGGGCUGCCAUACACUUCGGCUUCUCCUGGCCGAGGUGCCGGGUGAGCCACUCGUCACGGAUGUUAUGCUUGAAUGCAGCUAAGGCCUCUGCAUCCGGACAGUCGAAAAUUUGUUUUUUCUUAGUUAGGAACUAUGUCCAGAAUUGCAUGGCCGAUUCCCCUGGCUACUGAGUUAUAUGGCUCAAGUCAUCAGCAUCCGGUGGUCACACAUAAGUGCCCUGGAAGUUGUCAAGGAAUGCGUCUUCCAAAUCCUCCCAACUGCCGACGGAGUCUGCUGGCAAGCUAUUCAGCCAAUGCCGAGCUGGUCCUUUGAGUUUUAGUGGGAGGUACUUGAUGGCAUGCAGAUCAUCACCGCGAGCCAUGUGGAUAUGGAGGAGGAAAUCCUCAAUCCAUACAGCAGGAUCUGUUGUACCAUCAUAAGAUUCGAUAUUUACGGGUUUAAAACCCUCCGGGUAUUCGUGAUCCAUAACUUCAUCAGUGAAGCAUAGGGGGUGUGUGGCGCCUCUGUGCCAGGCUAUAUUAUGAUGCAGUUCAUAUGAGUCUUGUCUGCUGUGUUCGGCCCGGUCGGAUUUACUUUUAGUGUAUCUGGCAUGACGGUCAUCGUCGCGCGUUGGCGCGCGCCCCCGUGACCCGUAUAUCGACCUUGCAUGCUUUGCACUGCUUUCCAAUAAGUCUAGCAGGUCCCGUGUGUUGCCCCGGGCCUUGGUAUUUUUGUGGCGGCGGGGUGCAUGCUGAACUUCAAGCUGAAAUGCCUCUCUGGCUCAGCCACGAGGUGGCCGGUCAGCCGCAUUGUACACUGGUGAUGUAGGUUUCAAUGCUUCCUCCUUGAGGUGAGGUAGCAACUUGCGCUUUGGGUAACUCUUGGAGGGGCGCUCGAGUUCGUAUUCCUCGGCCGCAAGGACUUCGGUCCAUCUGUCUGCUAGCAAAUCUUGAUCAGCUUGAAGCUGCUGUUGCUUUUUCUUCAAGCUGUUUGAUGUGGCUAUAAGCCGGCGCUUGAAGCACUCCUACUCGAUGGGAUCCUUAGGCAUGAUAAAUUCUUCAUCGCCAAGGCUCACCUCGUCUUUGAAGAGAGGCAUAUAAUUGUCAUCCUCCGAUUCUCUAUCUGCUGCCCGCUCUGGAGGGCUAGCUUAUUCGCCCUCCCGCUCUAAAUCAUGUUGGAGGGGAUUGUUGUUGUCUUCGGCACUAUCCGGAGUGUUAUUAUCUCUUGUUCCGGUAUCACUACUUUUGCUAUGGCAGGAGUUAGAGCGGCGCCGCUGACGUCGGCGCUUGGGUUGCUUCUUGGAGGGGUCAUCCUCCAUUGUCUCGUCGCCAUUUCCUUAUUUGGGGGUGUCCUCCAUGUAUAUAUCAUAUGAUGAGGUGGCGGUCCAGCACCCUGUGGGCGGUGGUUCCUGUUCGUCUCCUGCAUCAUCGUCCAUACCGUUGAUGUCUUCGGAGUCGAAGUCAAGCAUGUCGGUUAAAUCGUCGGCAGUGGCUACCAAGUGGGUAGUGGGUGUGGAGCGAAUUUCUUCUUCGUCCGCAUCCCAUUCUAGCCGGACAUAGUUCGGCCAAGGUUCUCCUGACAAGGAGAGAGACCUUAAUGAAUUAAGCACGUCGCCAAAAGGUGAGUGUUGAAAGAUAUCCGCGGAGGUGAACUCUAUGAUCGGCUUCCAAUUGGGUUCGAUAGGCACGGACACAGAUGGCUCGGAGUUCGUGGCCGGAGACGAAUCUAGUGGUUCGGCAACACGGCUCUCGUAAGGGUUGAAGUCAGUAUCCGGCUCUAUCGCCACUAAGAGUGCGGCCUCCAUGGCGGGGUCUAUCCCUCCGCUCUCGGAUGGCACGAUUUGCUCCGGAUUGACGGCCGGAGUAGUUGCAUAUGCGAUCUCCCGAACACUGUCCGACGGCAGACUUACGUCGUGCUCGUCGUGACUGUGCGACGCACCGGACACGGGCUCGUCUUCAAUCUUGUAUCUUCAUAGUCCGAUAGUCCGGCCAAAGGAUAUAGUCUGGCUGUCCGGAGACCCCCUAAUCUAGGACUCCCUAACAUAUCGUAUAAUCAUACCCACGGAUACUUGAGGUGACAUUGGAGUAUCUAGGUGACAUUAGGGUUUUGGUUGAUUUGUGUCUUAAGGUGUUAUUCUAGUACGAACUCUAUGAUAGAUUUAACGAAAAGAAUAGCUUCGUGUUAUUUUACUAUGGACUCUUGAAUAGAUCGAUUAGAAAGGAUAACUUUGAGGUGGUUUCGUAUCCUACCAUAAUCUCUUCAUUUAUUCUCUGCUAUUAGUGACUUUUGAGUGACUCUUUGUUGCAUGUUGACGGAUAGUUAUAUGAUCCAAUUACGUUAUUAUUGUUGAGAGAACUUGCACUAGUGAAAGUAUGAACCCUAGGCCUUGUUUCAACGCAUUGCAAUACCGUUUGUGCUCACUUUUAUCAUUAGUUACCUUGCUGUUUUUAUAUUUUCAGAUUACAAAAACCAUUAUCUACUAUCCAUAUUGCACUUGUAUCACCAUCUCUUCGCCGAACUAGUGCACCUAUACAAUUUACCAUUGUAUUGGGUGUGUCGGGGACAUAAGAGACUCUUUGUUAUUUGGUUGCAGGGUUGCUCGAGAGAGACCAUCUUCAUCCUACGUCUCCUAUGAAUUGAUAAACCUUAGGUCAUCCACUUGAGGGAAAUUUGCUACUGUCCUACAAACCUCUGCACUUGGAGGCCCAACAACGUCUACAAGAAGAAGGUUGUGUAGUAGACAUCAAGCUCUUUUCUGGCGUUGUUGCCGGGGAGGUUAGCGCUUGAAGGUAUAUCUUUAGAUCUUGCAAUCGAAUCUUUUUGUUUCUUGUUUUAGCACUAGUUUAGUUUAUAAAAGAAAACUACAAAAAAUAUGGAAUUGAGGGUACCUCAUAUGCUUCAUCUUUUUAAUAUCUAUCAUGAAAAUAAGGAUUCCGAUAGUUGUGCUUAAGUGCUAGAAGAAGAAUGCAUUAGAAUGUUUGGCACUAAAUAUUUGAAUGAUGAGCAUGAUUGCAAUGUUCUUAGUAUGAAUUUCUUGAAUAUCCAUGAUGCUAAUGAUAUGCAAAGCCACAAGCUUGGGGAAGCUAUGUUUGAUGAAGAUGAUAUUUUUUGUCCCCCAAGUUUUGAUGAGAAAUUUUAUUAUGAUGAAAGCAUGCCUCCUAUUUAUGAUGAUUAUAUUGAUGAAAGUGGAUUUGGAGAGGUCAUGACUUUAUUUUGUGAUGAAUCCACUAUUUCGGAAGAGGUUCCAAUUGAUUAUGAGAACAAAGUUGCUAUCUAUGAUGAUUGUUGUGAUGACUUGUAUGCUAUAAAGAAUAAUGAUAUCCAUGAAACUUGUCAUCAUGAUUUUAGUUUUCAAUUGGAUUAUGCCUCACAUGAUAGUUAUUUUGUUGAGUUUGCUCCCACUACUAUUCAUGAGAAGAAAUUUGCUUAUGUGGAGAGUAAUAAAAUUUCUAUGAUUGUAGAUCAUGAAAAGAAUGCUUUAUGUGAUAGUUAUAUUGUUGAAUUCAUUCAUGAUGCUACUGAAAAUUCUUAUGAGGGAGGAAUAUAUGCUUGUAGGAAUUGCAAUAAUAUCAAGUUUCCUCUCUAUGUGUUGAAAAUCUUGAAGUUAUGCUUGUUUUUCUUUCCUAUGCAAGUUGAUUCUUGUUCCCACAAGUUGUUUGCUCACAAAAUCCCUAUGAAUAGGAAGUGGGUUAGACUUAAAUGUUCUAGUCAUAUUCUUCAUGAUGCUCUCUUUAUGUUUCAAUUCUUAUCAUUCAUGUGAGCAUCAUUGAAAUCAUCAUGCCUAGCUAGGGGCGUUAAACGAUAGCGCUUGUUGGGAGGCAACCCAAUUUUAUUUUUGUUCCUUGCUUUUUUCUCCUGUUUAGUAAUAAAUAAUUUAUCUAGCCUCUGUUUUGGUUGUGUUUUUUGUGUUUAAUUAGUGUUUGUGCCAAGUAGAACCGUUGAGAAGACUUGGGUAAAGUCUUUUUGAUCUUGCUGUAAAAAACAGAAACUUUAGCGCUCACAAGAAUUGCUGCCAUUUUUAUUUGGAUAGUGCUAUUUAGUUAAUUCUUUUUGAAUAUGGUUAAUAGAUAAAUUCCUCACGUCCAGCAAUUUAUUUUAUAAUUUUUCGGGUUCCAGAAGUUUGCGUUAGUUACAGAUUACUAUAGACUGUUCUGUUUUUGACAGAUUCUGUUUUCUAUUUCUUGUUUGCUUAUUUUGAUGAAUCUAUGGCUAGUAAAAGAGUUUAUAAACCAUGGAGAGGUUGGAAUACAGUAGGUUUAACACCAAUAUAAAUAAAGAAUGGGUUCAUUACAGUAUCUUGAAGUGGUGUUUUGUUUUCUUUCGCUAACGGAGCUUACGAGUUUUGUGUUAAGUUUUGUGUUGUGAAGUUUUCAAGUUUUGGGUAAAGAUUCGAUGGACUAUGGAAUAAUAAGUGGAAAGAGCCUAAGCUUGGGGAUUCCCAAGGCACCCCAAGGUAAUAUUCAAGGACAACCAAGAGCCUAAGCUUGGGGAUGUCGUGUAAGGCAUCCCCUCUUUCGUCUUCGUUCAUCGGUAACUUUACUUUGAGUUAUAUUUUUAUUCGCCACAUGAUAUGUGUUUUGCUUGGAGCGUCAUUUUAUUUUAUUUAGUUUUGCUUGCUGUUUGAAUAAAAUACCAAGAGCUGAAAUUCUUAAAUGUUAGAGAGUCUUCACAUAGUUGCAUGAUUAUUCGACUACUCAUUGAUCUUCACUUAUAUCUUUCGGAGUAGCUUGUCAUUUGCUCUAGUGCUUCAAUUAUAUGUUUUUAGAGGACUGUGGUGGUUUUAUUUUAUAGAAAUAGAUGAACUCUCAUGCUUCACUUAUAUCAUUUUGAGAGUCUCUAAACAGCAUAGUAGUUUGCUUUGGUUAUGUCAAAAACAGCAUGGUAAUAAAUGAUUUAUCUAGCCUCUGUUUUGGUUGUAUUUUUUGUGUUUAAUUAGUGUUUGUGCCAAGUAGAACCGUUGAGAAGACUUGGGGAAAGUCUUUUUGAUCUUGCUGUAAAAAAACAGAAACUUUAGAGCUCACGAUAAUUGCUGCCAUUUUUAUUUGGAUAGUGCUAUUUAGUUAAUUAUUUUUGAAUAUGAUUAAUAGAUAAAUUCCUCACGUCCAGCAAUUUAUUUUAUAAUUUUUGGGUUCCAGAAGUUUGCGUUAGUUACAGAUUACUAUAGACUGUUCUGUUUUUGACAGAUUCUGUUUUCUAUGUCUUGUUUGCUUAUUUUGAUGAAUCUAUGGCUAGUAAAAGAGUUUAUAAACCAUAUAGAGGUUGGAAUACAGUAGGUUUAACACCAAUAUAAAUAAAGAAUGGGUUCAUUACAGUAUCUUGAAGUGGUGUUUUGUUUUCUUUCGCUAACGGAGCUUACGAGUUUUGUGUUAAGUUUUGUGUUGUGAAGUUUUCAAGUUUUGGGUAAAGAUUCGAUGGACUAUGGAAUAAGAAGUGGCAAGAGCCUAAGCUUGGGGAUUCCCAAGGCACCCCAAGGUAAUAUUCAAGGACAACCAAGAGCCUAAGCUUGGGGAUGCCCCGUAAGGCAUCCCCUCUUUCGUCUUCGUUCAUCGGUAACUUUACUUGGAGCUAUAUUUUUAUUCGCCACAUGAUAUGUGUUUUGCUUGGAGUGUCAUUUUAUUUUAUUUAGUUUUGCUUGCUGUUUGAAUAAAAUACCAAGAUCUGAAAUUCUUAAAUGUUAGAGAGUCUUCACAUAGUUGCAUGAUUAUUCGACUACUCAUUGAUCUUCACUUAUAUCUUUCGGAGUAGUUUGUCAUUUUCUCUAGUGCUUCACUUAUACGUUUUUAGAGCACGGUGGUGGUUUUAUUUUAUAGAAAUAGGUGAACUCUCAUGCUUCACUUAUAUCAUUUUGAGAGUCUCUAAACAGCAUGGUAGUUUGCUUUGGUUAUGAAUUUAGUCCUAAUAUGAUGGGCAUCCAAGAGGGAUAUAAUAAAAACUUUCAUAUAAAGUGCAUUGAAUACUAUGAGAAGUUUGAUACUUGAUAAUUGUCUUGAGAUAUGGAGAUGGUGAUAUUAGAGUCAUGCUAGUUGAGUAGUUGUGAAUUUGAGAAAUACUUGUGUUGAAGUUUGUGAUUCCCGUAGUGUGACGCCGCCGAUUCAAUCGUACACUAAUCAUACACGCAAACGUGUACGAUCAAGAUCAGGGACUCACGGGAAGAUAUCACAACACAACUCUACAAAUAAAAUAAGGCAUACAAGCAUCAUAUUACAAGCCGGGGGCCUCAAGGGCUCGAAUACAAGAGCUCGAUCAUAGACGAGUCAGCAGAAGCAACAAUAUCUGAGUACAGACAUAAGUUAAACAAGUUUGCCUUAAGAAGGAUAGCACAAACUGGGAUACAGAUCGAAAGAGGCGCGGGCCUCCUGCCUAGGAUCCUCCUAAACUACUCCCGGUCAUCGUCAGCGGGCUGCACGUAGUAGUAGGCACCCCCCGAGUAGUAGUAGUCGUCAUCGACAGUGGCGUCUGGCUCCUGGGCUCCAUCGUCUGGUCACAGCAAUCGGGUAUAGAAAGGGGGAAAAGAGGGAGCAAAGCAACCAUGAGUACUCAUCCAAAGUACUCGCAAGCAAGGAGCUACACUACAUAUGUAUGCAUUGGUAUCAAAUGGAAAUGGGGUAUCAUAUGUGGACUGAACUGCAGAAUGCCGGAAUAAGAGGGGGAUAGCUAGUCCUUUUGAAGACUACGCUUCUGGUAACCUCCAUCUUGCAGCAGAAGAAGAGAGUAGAAGGUAAGUUCACCAAGUAAAAUCGCAUAGCAUAAUCCUAACCGAUGAUCCUCCCCUCGUCGCCCUGUGAGAGAGCGAUCACCGGUUGUAUCUAGCACUUGGAAGGGUGUGUUUUAUUAAGUAACCGGUUCUAGUUGUCAUAAGGUCAAGGUAAAACUCCAAGUCGUCCUGUUACCGAAGAUCACGGCUAUUCAAAUAGAUUAACUUCCCUGCAGGGGUGCACCACAUUUCCCAACACGCUCAAUCCCCUUUGUCCGGACACACUUUUCUGGGUCAUGCCCGGCCUCGAAAGAUCAACACGUCACAGCCCUACCUAGGCACAACAGAGAGGUCAGCACGCCGGUCUAAAUCCUAUGGCGCAGGGGUCUGGGCCAUCGCCCAUUGCACACCUGCACGUUGUGAACGCGGCCGGCGAGCAGACCUAGCCUCCCUUAUACAAGAGCAGGCGUUCCAGUCCAACCCAGCGUGCGCCGCUCAGUCACUGACAUCAAGAAGGCUUCGGCUAAUACCACGACGUCGAGUGCCCAUAAAUGUCCCUGCGUAGUUGGUUAGUGCGUAUAGGCCAGUAGCCAGACUCAAAUCAAAUACCCAGAUCUCGUUAAGUGUGUUAUUUUGAAAUAACCGCGGACGCCGACCAGGGCCAGGCCCGCCUCUCUCCCAGGCGGUCUCAACCUACCCUGUCGCUCCGCCAAAAAGAUUCACUCAGAGGGCCGUCCGGACAAACGUCCUUUCGGACCCAAUCCGUGAAUCACUCGCGGGUACUCUACGAGCUGACCCGACUUUAGUCACCACAUGUUUCAUGUAUAAAGUAUAUAGUAUAUACCCAUGAUCACCUCCCGAGUGAUCACGGCCCUAUAGAAUAGCAUGGCAGACGGACAAGAAUGUAGGGCCACUGAUGAUAAACUAGCAUCCUAUACUAAGCAUUAGGAUUGCAGGUAAAGGUAACAACAGUACUAGCAAGGACAGGCUAUGCAUCAGGAUAGGAUUAACGGAAAGCAGUAACAUGCUACUCUACUCUAAUGCAAGAAGCGGAGAGAAGAGUAGGCGAUAUCUGGUGAUCAAAGGGGGGCUUGCCUGGUUGCUCUGGCAAGAGAGAGGGUCGUCAACACCGUAGUUGUACUGGGUAGCGGUGGCGUCGGUCUCGGUGUCUAGCGAGAGAAGAGGGGGAAGAAACAAUAAAUAUAAAGCAAACAGAUGCAUAGUGAUGCAUGACAUGACAAGUAUCGGUGCUAGGGAUGCCCUAACGCGGUAUGAGGUGGUACCGGUGAAGGGGGGAAACAUCCGGGAAAAUAUCCCCGGUGUUUCGCGUUUCCGGACAGAUGACCGAAGGGGGAAGUUGCAUGUUCGCUAUGCUAGGGAUGCAUGGCAGACGAACGGACUGCGUAUCCGGGUUCGUCUCAUCGUUCUGGGCAACUUUCAUGUACAAAGUUUUUCCAUCCGAGCUACGGUUUAUUUUAUAUUAAUUUUAAAAGAUUUAUAUCAUUUUUAGGAUUUAUUUAAUUAUUUAAAUCAACAUUAUCCAUAAUAGUGUUUGCUGACGUCAUCAGUUGAAUUGGUCAACCUGACAGGUGGGUCCCACUAGUCAUAGACGGUUUAGCUAAUUAAGAGUAGUUAAUUAGGUUAAUUAGUCAUUAGGUUAAUUAAUCAUAAUUAGUUAAUUUAAUCAAAAUUAAUUAAGUUAAUUAUUUAGUUAAUUAAUUAUUUGAUUAAUUAUUUAUUUGUUUUAAUUCCUUUUUUUAUUAAAUCAUUCUGGGGCCAGGCCCCACAUGUCAUUGGCCCUAGGGGAAACAAAAGAAAUGGGCAGCCAGAUGAAGGUGUGUGCGAUAUACAGCUCGGAUGAACUGUUUGUGAUUAGGCAACACAAAAGAAACGCUCAGCCAGAUCAAAGGUGUGUGCGAUAUACGGCAUUGGUUCACUCAGAUGAACUAUUUUUGGUGAGACAAGAGAACAUAAACGGUUCAAUAUAACAAGAUGUGUGUGAUACGCGGCAAAUAGGUCUGUAAUCAAAAAUGUGUGCCAGGACUGAUAACAACACAGACGGUUGCUGCUAAUAAGAUGUGUGUGUUGUGCAAUGGGAUUGCAUACAAAACAACAACAUUAUAUACACCCUUAUAAGGACAUGGUUGCAUAAUCAAAUUAAACAUCCACUUACAUAGGUGGCUACUACAACCAUGGCAUUUGCACACACCAAAGUAAACUAUUACAUGCAUAAUUACAUAGGUGGCUACUACACACAUGACAUUUCCACACACCAAUAAAGUAAACUAUAUAUUACAUGCAUGAUUAACUAGCAUAAAUGAUCAUCUGAUCAUCAUCUAUUUCUUGUGACGCUUGCUCUGCUUGUGGCUCGAUCCGGGCUCGUCAAUUUGGGUAAUGAGGCACUUCCUCAUGUUAACGAUCCGCAUGUACAUCUCGUAGCAUGUGUACAUGCUCUUGGUCGCUAACCUGAGGUGAGAUUCAUCUAGUUGCCGCAUCCAGGCCAUGUGCCAGGAUAGGGGACUUGUUCUCUGGGAAUCUUGCAUCAUCUUUUCGUAGUAGGGGUCGAUGAUGGCCGAGGCGAGUUCGACUAGGGAUUCCUUCUUCGGGCUGCCCCAGACCCUAUAGUGGUCACGGAUUUCAACAAGGUUCUUGCAGGCCAAGCCCGUAACACUGAGCGUGUCAGGACCCCGACUCAAUGCCACAUCGAUCUAGCAUGUAACACAUCAUAUGACUUUGCGGCCUCACGCACGGUAUUCCCACGGGUGUCGCCUUACCUUUGCCCGGGACCGUUUGCGCCUUUUGGCACACGUAUAUGACAGUGUCGCUAGCAUCCAUAUGAUAAGGAGCCCGGGCUGACAUGGCUAGUCGUAAACCCAAAGCGGCACAGACUUACAGGGACAGGCAUCCAUGACCCAGCAUCGAACGUGUCGGUCAUCAGCGAGUGAAUUCAGGCUGUAGCACUGGGCUAGCAGGACUCCGGUGAACCGGGCUGUAGCGGGCUAACAGGACUCCGGUAUUCAUCGCGUGACAUUUCCCCGAAGGGACAGACACAGGAACGAAGAAGGACACAUGCCGGCCAACCUAAGUGUUCCGGAGCAGUAGCAAGCUACCAUGGCUCGGUGGAAACACUAGGAGACAUUUCCCCGUAAGAGAGGCUACUAAAGAUAAACAACUAGAUGGUCAGAUCCCACACAUACCAAGCAUUUCGAUAACAUACACACAAUAUGCUCGAUAUGUGCAAAUACAACAUGGCAUCACAACAUGACUCUAUGACUCAAGUAGUUUAUUCAAUAGGCUCCGAGGAGCGAGAUAUUACAAACAUGGGUCUCAUGACCCAACACUCAGAGCAUACAAGUCAAAGCACAAGCGGAAGCUAUCAUGUCUGAGUACAGACAACUAUAAAUGAAAAAGGCUGAGAAGCCUGACUAUCUAUCAGAUCCUGCCGAGGGCACAAGAUCGUAGCUGAGGUAUCAAGCUAAACGUCGAAGUCCACGUGAAACUACUAGCGAGACCAAAGUCUCUCUGCAAAAACAUAAAAUAGGCAAACGUGAGUACAAAUGUACCCAGCAAGACUUACAUCAGAACUAACUACAUAUGCAUCAUUUUCAACAAGGGGGUGGUGGGGUUUAACUGCAGCAAGCCAGCUUUGACUCGGUGGCUAUCCUGAACUACGACUGCGAGUAACUUUUUUGAGGUGGCGCACACGAGUCCACAUAUUCACCAUAUCAAUACACCACUAUGGAUCCGCUCCCGUCUCCCUACGAGAACGCCAUCCAUAGCACUCACGCUUAUCUUACGUAUUUUAGAGUAUCCACUUUCACUUGUCUAUGAACUGAUAUAAGCAACCCAGAAGUCCUUUUCCGCGGACACGGCUAUUCGAAUAGAUCAUAUUAACCCUGCAGGGGUGUACUUCUUCAUACAUGUUUCCACCACUUAGCGUCUGCACACGACAUGUGCUCGGCAGACUUCAAGCGAAAGCCGACGUGGGUGUAGACCACGACCUACCUAAACACUCAAGUCUCUAGUCCAGGUUUAUCGCCUAUUCGGGUUCCAUCCAUGAGGAGAUCCGGCCGGAGUUUCGCUCACAGCCCCAAACGAUGUGAACAGGGUUCCCAAGAUACCAAACGGGCAUCCGGUACGCCGUGCCACGUACCUACCGCAUCACAGCCCACCCCUACGGUCAGCGCUGUCCACGGCCUCCAGUAAGCUACAAACACCAGAAACUACUUGCAACUCCUGGACAGAGAACUAGGGUGAAUAAGAAGUCGAGCGGGGUCAUAUUUCAGGGCCCAAUGUAUGGUAGUAGCUGAAUCAUGGAUCACAAACACAGAACUCAGUUCCUGAGGACGGCUGCAAUGAGACAACCCACCAUGUACUCCUACAUGGCCUCUCACCGCUACCUUUACCAAAUCGUGUUCACACACUUAGCUCACACACAGUAGGACAUGUUCACACGCCUCUGAUUCAUCCCUGAUGAAUCAGACCCGACUCAACUCUAAGCAGUAGCAGGCAUGACAACAAACAUAAAUGAGUAGGCACAUCAGGGCUCAAACAACUCCUACUCAUGCUAGUGGGUUUCAUCUAUUUACUGUGGCAAUGACAGGUCAUGCAAAGGAUAAAGGGGUUCAGCUACCGCAGCAGGUAACAGUUGAAUCGUUGUUGUCCUAAUGCAUUAAAAGAGAGCAGGAGCGAGAGAGUAGGAUUGUAUCGGAAUGAACAAGGGGGUUUUGCUUGCCUGGCACUUCUGAAGAUAACAUUGAGUCUUCAUCAGUGUCAACGAUCACAACGUCGGACAUCGUCUACCGGGAGGGAACAGAUACCGGCAACAAGAAGAAAAACAAUCAAUGCAAUGCACAAUAUGAUGCAUGAUCAUGACAUGGCAAAAUGAAUGUGUUUUGGGCUAAUGCAACUAGCAACGGAUUAAAUGAAGUUGGUUUGAAUACAAGAUUCAAAUUCAAACUCCAUAUGUGAUUAUUCAAAUGCCAUUCACUUCAUUUGCCCUAAACAGUAGUGAUAAGUUGUUCUAACAUGCAUGAAAAUGGUACAGAUGGAUUCCUUGAAUUUUUCUGAUAAUUUUUCAUAUAUAAAUUAUUUAAUUUGGAGUUACGGUUAAUUUUCUAUGAUUUAUUGAAGUUUAUACAAUUUUCUGGAAUUUUCUGAUUAUUUAGAAUUAAAAUAAUUCCAGAAAAUGAAUUAUGGCGUCAGCAUGACCUCAUGCUGACCUCAGCAGGUCAACGGGCGGUCCAGGUCAAACCUGACGUGUGGGGUCCACACGUCAGUGACAGGGGGGGUUAACCGGGGUUAAUUUAAUUUAAUUAAAAGGUUAGGGGGGUCGGGCCCACUGGUCAGUGUCAGGAUUAAUUAACAGAGUUGAUUAAAUUUAAACUAAUCCUAAACUAGAAUUAGUCAGGGCCGGGCCCACAUGUCAUUGACCCAGGGGAGGUCAAACCCCCUGGUCAACCGGGGCUAAUGCGUCGGCGUUUAGCCGCCGGCGACAGCAAACGCGGCGGAGGGGCUCGGGAUCGCCGCUCCGGCGACCAUUCGGGCGGCGGAGACCACCCACGCGAAGCCCAGACUCGCGCGCGUCUGGUAGUGCAAGUGGGAGGAGCUGGGGUGGCCGGAGCUGCCGGCGGCGAGCUCUUUUGCGGCUGCCGGAGCUCGGGCAAUCUCGGGGUGGCGUUACAGAGCACGGGAGGAGGCGUUGUGGGUGUCUACGGUUUCAUGCGAUCGUGCUGAUCACGAUGGUGGGCUCGGGAACGAGCUGCGGUGGCUGUGGCCACGGCCACGCCAUGGCCGGCGGCGAGAAGCUCUCGGCCGCGGUGGGAGUUGGGGCUAGGGGGCGAGAAUGGAGGGGGCGAGCACAGGAGAGGCAGCGGAGGCUCACAGCGGAUCCAUUCGAGGCGGAGACGAGGCCGGGGAUGGUCCGGAGCCGGCGAAUCGAACGGCGGCGAGUUCCGGUGGCCGAGGAGGGGAACGGCGUCGUGGGCGGCGAUGCAGGGCUCCCGGCGUCAUGUGAGUUGGUGGGGACGAAGAGGAAGGCGCGGCGGUUCCUCUGGAAGCAUCGCCGAGGCGAGGGGUGGACACUGGCCGCGGUGGAGCUCGUCGGUGCUCUCGGGUGCUCGUGGUUGAUCGUGAGAGAGAGAGAGCAGAGGGGAUAGGGACGGAGGGAGAGAUACGGGAGAGUGAGAGAGUUCGUGGGGCCGCGUGGCGUCUCCAGGGAGUAGUGGAGGCAAGCAGGGAGGCAGGAGGUGGCCGAAGCAGGGAGGAGGUGGCCGGGGCGCGUGGCCGCGCGCGCCGGGCGCGUGCCCGUCCUCCUGGCAGAGGAGGAAGGCGACAGGGGAGGGAGGCGGCGGUGGGCUGGGCCAGCGGGAGGAGCUGGCCAGCUGGGCCGGCCAGGUGGGCUGCACGGGUGAGGCCAGGUAAAACUCUCUCCCUUUUAUAAUUCUGUUCUGUUUUAUCUUUUCUAUUUUCUGCAAUUUGUUUUUGAUUUGAUUUAAAAUAUCAAAUCAUUUUAUAAAAUCCUGGAAACAGUUAUGGGUGUUUCUGAAUUAUUUAAGUGACCCCUAACAAUUUUCCAACAUUUAUUUGAACAUUUAAAUUAUUUAUAGUAUUUAAAUGCCCAAAGUCAAAUACAAUAUGGUUUAAUUCAGUGACCAAAAAUGCCCUGCAAAAAUAUAAACCAUUUUUGGUAGAUGCUUCCACCUCAAACCAGAAAUGUUGAACAUUUUUAGAGGACAUUUUGAGUUCAAUGAAAAAGGUUUUAUUUUGACCCUAGUUGAAUUCAUUUGGUGUUAGGGCUUAGUCAAUCCCCAUUUCAAUUUUAGGCAAAAUUUAAACAUGAUGCAACACAUGACUAGCUAGCUCAGAGCAAACCAGAAGCUAGGGAUGUGACAACUCACCCCCACUAAACAAGAAUCUCGUCUCGAGAUUCGAGCGUAGGGUAAGGUGAAGGGGAAACGCAACUAGUAUAAUCUUCUCGAUCCAGGGUGCACUUCAGUUGAACGUUGAUUCAGUCACCAUCAUUGUCUUGAAGUCUUGCUCUGAGAAAUCCUGUCAACAUGACAUGGAGGGAAGAAGGAGACUCUAGAAGGACUGAUCUUUUGAAGAUCGAAACACUCAGGAUUAACUCCAGGAAUGACAUUGCAACAUCUCUCGAGCUGAGAGACGAAGCACACCUCUAGAGGAAUGGAGUGGAGCAGGUGACGAGGUUCACUAGGUAGACAACAAUUCCACACUUAAGAGGGUGGUAAACGAUUGUCCACAUAGCGAGGAGUUAAGUUGCCAUGAUAUCACGACGAAACAUCCUGGAGGGGGGGGUGAUUUGUAGAUUAUUAUCUUAAGUGGCAAAAAGAAUUACCUUUGAUUCAAGGAUCAUUGAAACUCUUUAUACCAGCUUAAGGCAAAUCAUAAUCGAUCAUUUGGAGGGGGUCGGUAGAAUGACAUACUCAAACUUGGAUGAUGUGGAUUACCUUGUUGAAGACAACGUAAUGGAUGAAUUUGCUUAUCACCGGAAAUGGAAGAGACCCAUGGUAGAAUGACACAUUGGCGGUGCAAGCUGGGAACAACAUGCAAAUGCUGGGAAUGAUUCUGGUAACUGGGGAAGAACCCAACAAUAGAGAGUGAAUUCACUGGUUGAAUAGAUCAUAGCAUAACCGAGGAAACUGGGAGGAAUCCUGGUUAGAGCCGAUGGUAACACGUAGCGCUUGUACGUGCUCUCAAGAACUUGAGCAUUUCCACAAUCAUCAAGAUUUUAUCAACAUCCGUGUCAAGGGUGCUGUCAACACAACAUACUACCAUGAUGAAUAGCGAUGGACGAUGCAGGUGCAAAGGAAGACAACACCUUCUCAGAUUUCACCUUAGCGAAGCCAAGGAACAAAAUCUGGAUGAUCGACCGAGAGACAUUUAGCACUCCGCUUCUAAUGUUCUCCUUGAUGUGCUAGGGUAACCCAUUCAUAGAUAUGGUUUGAUAUCUAGAACAUCAAGUAAAGGUCGGACUUCGGGAGCAAUAGAAUCCAUAAGGAACAGUUACGGAGGUAAGUCCUACGAAAUCUUUAUGGGGAGGUGGCUAACUUCCUCAACCAGGAUACUACAAUAAUAGGUCUUCCGGCUGGGUGUGUUGGCCACGACAUCCACUUUACCGGUUAUCGAGGGACCAAUAUUAUAGUUCUUGGGAAAUGUUCCAACCAUCAUAUCUGCCUGAGACUCAGAUCUGGUUGGUGUCAGGAUAUUCCAGACUCAUCGAGUCUAGGAAGAAAAAUGAAAGUUUGCAACACAAAUCGACGAGAUAACGUUGCGAGAUUCUCGGGAAAUGAACUACGAUAGCAAGCUCCAAAACAUGAGCUGGUUCUGCUACAAACAUGGGAACACGUUGUUCCAGACAAGCAUGCCCACAUGGUAGUCUUACAAUAAAACACUACCGAGUUCUGGUUGGGAGCCAUCAUCGAGGAUAUCGAAGUCUUUACGCAAGUCCAUGGAUUAGAUCCCAAGCACAAACUUCUUUUCCUUGAACAAGUCAAUCAGUGGCUUGGUGUGCUAGGAUACACAUAUGGAAUGAAGAUGAUCAGUCUAUCAAACCACAGAAUACUUCGCACGUGCAUAACUGACUUGGGCGGGUUCCGGAGGAGGCAAAAACAUGCUUUCUUGAAUUCACGUCGGCAACUUACAUCAAAUGCACAUGAAUCAAAAGAAGUCACUUCUUUUAUCCAAACAUAUACUUCAUGAACGGGGCAUGAAGAAAAUGCUUUCAAAAGUUUCCAACACUAACUUAAUGUUCAACAACAUCAUGGAGGAGAUAAGAAUGUUGUCAAUGGGCUCAACAACAACUCAUCGGAAUUUCCAUAUCACUGGACUUCCACCAUCGUGUGAACGCGGUGAUAGCAUUGGUCAGCCCCAAAAGAUAUAAUGGUGUAUGCUCGAGGGAUCAACCACGAGGAAGACAACAUUAGAACAUCGUUGGUUCUGACUUGAUUUGACGAUAGCCCACACUCAAAUCAAAGGAUUGAUAAGACAAUAGGUCCAGCAACUGAUCACAGGGACCAAUCGAUGAAGAUAUCAUCUUUCUUCAACACACACUACACAAGAAUAUCCCUUUGGAACGAACUAAGUCAGGCAAGCUUUUAUCUUCCAACCCUCCAAGUUAUUGUUUAGCUUAACCAACUAGCUCAGGGAUAUCUAACACCGAUUCUUGGAGAGAAGGUGGUUCACAAGAAACCUACUAGAUCACGAGCUCAACAUAACAGUCAGGUGACAGCCUGGUGAUACUUUCGAGAAGAUAUUCGAAAAUCACGAGCCACCGGUAUGUUACUAGGCUCGAGAACAAUCUCGCUUUUGAGGGCAAGACGAUAUGAUCAAAUGAGUGAGGACUUGACAAGAUCCUAACUCAUCAAUCGAAGGGUGCACCGAAAUAAGGACUAGGUAGCAUGAUCAGUCUUAGAAGGAUGAUUCGAAAACCAACAUACUAAGAAUGAAAUUAUUAUCCUUUAACUACCAAGCAACAGAGUUGCUAGCAGUAUUGAUUUCACACAUCACAAUUCAUUUGUCGGUAUUCCGGUUGCAUCAACACGAGGGCCGAGGAAUGAACAGUGAUGGCAAGAAGUAUCACUGUACCAAGAGUUCAUGGGAUGGUGUGCAAUUCCUAUAACAAUCUUGAUAUAAAAUAUGUAAUACUCCAAGGUAGAGCAGAACAAAAGCUGGAUUAGCAAUUUGAUCUGCGGAGCACAACUUCUUUGACCCAAUCCUGGAUAUGGAUGAGGUACUGGAGUUUGUUUCUCCAAGUCAUUCAGGACAGAAUGGCUUGACGGACCACACGAGUAAUAAGCAUUGACAACACGAAUGCACAAUUACUCCUGACUAUCAAUUGAUAGACGAAGGUCAGUAGACAACUAAAGAGGGACAACUCAAAGGAACAUAUAACUUUCUGAGUUGUGGAUGCAUAGACUAGUAUGUCGAACCAAGUUCAACAUAAUUCUUCCGGAUAACCCAUGCAGAAGGGUUGAGCUGGCAGAGUCACAAUAUAGAAUCGAGAACCCAUCGAGAGCACUCUGAUUGUGAUCUUUCGAUCAGCGAGGAACAUCUGCCAUAAGCGGUUCAUAGUAUUUGGAAGAAAGGAAUACCACGAACAUCGAGGACUAAUGCAAAGGUUACUAAUAACCUAAAGGAACUAGCAAUUACUAUCAACAUGAAGUAGGUAGAGUGAAUCUCGGGUUCAGAACCCAGGAGUAGAAUACCUACUACUAAGUAGCAUCACGGGAUGCUUCCGAGAAUAAAGGCCAGAAUCUUCACACUAGGACACAAAUCAUGGCUAGACCACUAGAUGAUCCCCUAAGCACUUAGGGUCAUAAUAAUAGCUCCAACAUAUAUGUCAAGGCAAUAAUUUACCUCAACUCACCGAUUAGUGUGGUUAAUCUGGCCCAAAGGAACAUCGGAACGGGAGGAAGGAAUUUUGCAAAUGCUUCAGACUAUUCAGAAACCUGGGGUGACUCGGACAACAUAACGGCUGUAAAUGCUCAGAAAAGAUUUGAGACAUUCACAAAAAUGGUGGCAUAACCACUCAGAAGCACAAUAUCAAGGUUUCGAGAUCAACAGUUAACAUACGGAAGUAGUAGGAGCUGAACUGAGGCUUGAAUCAACAAUCUUAUAAGUCUACGGAUUAGUAACACGUGAUCCUGAUAGAAAGAAGGGAAAGCCUAGUUCUUAAUCCCCGUAGAAGAGAAGAUGAUGACUCAGAUCAGAAGGCCAUGAGGUAUAAGGAGUAAAAAGAGCCUUACGUUCCAUCCCACAAUCAAUUCCCUUAUAUAACUAAGAAUUUCUAGACUCAACUUCGACCAGUUUGGCUUGGUAAACCUACAGGCAGUCAAGCUCUGAUACCAACGCUGUCAGGACCCCGACUCAAUGCCACAUCGAUCUAGCAUGUAACACAUCAUAUGACUUUGCGGCCUCACGCACGGUAUUCCCACGGGUGUCGCCUUACCUUUGCCCGGGACCGUUUGCGCCUUUUGGCACACGUAUAUGACAGUGUCGCUAGCAUCCAUAUGAUAAGGAGCCCGGGCUGACAUGGCUAGUCAUAAACCCAAAGUGGCACAGACUUACAGGGACAGGCAUCCAUGACCCAGCAUCGAACGUGUCGGUCAUCAGCGAGUGAAUCCAGGCUGUAGCACUGGGCUAGCAGGACUCCGGUGAACCGGGCUGUAGCGGGCUAACAGGACUCCGGUAUUCAUCGCGUGACAUUUCCCCGAAGGGACAGACACAGGAACGAAGAAGGACACAUGCCGGCCAGCCUAAGUGUUCCGGAGCAGUAGCAAGCUACCAUGGCUCGGUGGAAACACUAGGAGACAUUUCCCCGUAAGAGAGGCUACUAAAGAUAAACAACUAGAUGGUCAGAUCCCACACAUACCAAGCAUUUCGAUAACAUACACACAAUAUGCUCGAUAUGUGCAAAUACAACAUGGCAUCACAACAUGACUCUAUGACUCAAGUAGUUUAUUCAAUAGGCUCCGAGGAGCGAGAUAUUACAAACAUGGGUCUCAUGACCCAACACUCAGAGCAUACAAGUCAAAGCACAAGCGGAAGCUAUCAUGUCUGAGUACAAACAAAUAUAAAUGAAAAAGGCUGAGAAGCCUGACUAUCUAUCAGAUCCUGCCGAGGGCACAAGAUCGUAGCUGAGGUAUCAAGCUAAACGUCGAAGUCCACGUGAAACUACUAGCGAGACCGAAGUCUCUCUGCAAAAACAUAAAAUAGGCAAACGUGAGUACAAAUGUACCCAGCAAGACUUACAUCAGAACUAACUACAUAUGCAUCAUUUUCAACAAGGGGGUGGUGGGGUUUAACUGCAGCAAGCCAGCUUUGACUCGGUGGCUAUCCUGAACUACGACUGCGAGUAACUUUUUUGAGGUGGCGCACACGAGUCCACAUAUUCACCAUAUCAAUACACCACUAUGGAUCCGCUCCCGUCUCCCUACGAGAACGCCAUCCAUAGCACUCACGCUUAUCUUACGUAUUUUAGAGUAUCCACUUUCACUUGUCUAUGAACUGAUAUAAGCAACCCAGAAGUCCUUUUCCGCGGACACGGCUAUUCGAAUAGAUCAUAUUAACCCUAUAGGGGUGUACUUCUUCAUACAUGUUUCCACCACUUAGCGUCUGCACACGACAUGUGCUCGGCAGACUUCAAGCGAAAGCCGACGUGGGUGUAGACCACGACCUACCUAAACACUCAAGUCUCUAGUCCAGGUUUAUCGCCUAUUCGGGUUCCAUCCAUGAGGAGAUCCGGCCGGAGUUUCGCUCACAGCCCCAAACGAUGUGAACAGGGUUCCCGAGAUACCAAACGGGCAUCCGGUACACCGUGCCACGUACCUACCGCAUCACAGCCCACCCCUACGGUCAGCGCUGUCCACGGCCUCCAGUAAGCUACAAACACCAGAAACUACUUGCAACUCCUGGACAGAGAACUAGGGUGAAUAAGAAGUCGAGCGGGGUCAUAUUUCAGGGCCCAAUGUAUGGUAGUAGCUGAAUCAUGGAUCACAAACACAGAACUCAGUUCCUGAGGACGGCUGCAAUGAGACAACCCACCAUGUACUCCUACAUGGCCUCUCACCGCUACCUUUACCAAAUCGUGUUCACACACUUAGCUCACACACAGUAGGACAUGUUCACACGCCUCUGAUUCAUCCCCGAUGAAUCAGACCCGACUCAACUCUAAGCAGUAGCAGGCAUGACAACAAACAUAAAUGAGUACGCACAUCAGGGCUCAAACAACUCCUACUCAUGCUAGUGGGUUUCAUCUAUUUACUGUGGCAAUGACAGGUCAUGCAAAGGAUAAAGGGGUUCAGCUACCGCAGCAGGUAACAGUUGAAUCGUUGUUGUCCUAAUGCAUUAAAAGAGAGCAGGAGCGAGAGAGUAGGAUUGUAUCGGAAUGAACAAGGGGGUUUUGCUUGCCUGGCACUUCUGAAGAUAACAUUGAGUCUUCAUCAGUGUCAACGAUCACAACGUCGGACAUCGUCUACCGGGAGGGAACAGAUACCGGCAACAAGAAGAAAAACAAUCAAUGCAAUGCACAAUAUGAUGCAUGAUCAUGACAUGGCAAAAUGAAUGUGUUUUGGGCUAAUGCAACUAGCAACGGAUUAAAUGAAGUUGGUUUGAAUACAAGAUUCAAAUUCAAACUCCAUAUGUGAUUAUUCAAAUGCCAUUCACUUCAUUUGCCCUAAACAGUAGUGAUAAGUUGGUCUAACAUGCAUGAAAAUGGUACAGAUGGAUUCCUUGAAUUUUUCUGAUAAUUUUUCAUAUAUAAAUUAUUUAAUUUGGAGUUACGGUUAAUUUUCUAUGAUUUAUUGAAGUUUAUACAAUUUUCUGGAAUUUUCUGAUUAUUUAGAAUUAAAAUAAUUCCAGAAAAUGAAUUAUGGCGUCAGCAUGACCUCAUGCUGACCUCAGCAGGUCAACGGGCGGUCCAGGUCAAACCUGACGUGUGGGGUCCACACGUCAGUGACAGGGGGGGUUAACCGGGGUUAAUUUAAUUUAAUUAAAAGGUUAGGGGGGUCGGGCCCACUGGUCAGUGUCAGGAUUAAUUAACAGAGUUGAUUAAAUUUAAACUAAUCCUAAACUAGAAUUAGUCAGGGCCGGGCCCACAUGUCAUUGACCCAGGGGAGGUCAAACCCCCUGGUCAACCGGGGCUAAUGCGCCAGCGUUUAGCCGCCGGCGACAGCAAACGCAGCGGAGGGGCUCGGGAUCGCCGCUCCGGCGACCAUUCGGGCGGCGGAGACCACCCACGCGAAGCCCAGACUCGCGCGCGUCUGGUAGUGCAAGUGGGAGGAGCUGGGGUGGCCGGAGCUGCCGGCGGCGAGCUCUUUUGCGGCUGCCGGAGCUCGGGCAAUCUCGGGGUGGCGUUACAGAGCACGGGAGGAGGCGUUGUGGGUGUCUACGGUUUCAUGCGAUCGUGCUGAUCACGAUGGUGGGCUCGGGAAUGAGCUGCGGUGGCUGUGGCCACGGCCACGCCAUGGCCGGCGGCGAGAAGCUCUCGGCCGCGGUGGGAGUUGGGGCUAGGGGGCGAGAACGGAGGGGGCGAGCACAGGAGAGGCAGCGGAGGCUCACAGCGGAUCCAUUCGAGGCGGAGACGAGGCCGGGGAUGGUCCGGAGCCGGCGAAUCGAACGGCGGCGAGUUCCGGUGGCCGAGGAGGGGAACGGCGUCGUGGGCGGCGAUGCAGGGCUCCCGGCGUCACGUGAGUUGGUGGGGAUGAAGAGGAAGGCGCGGCGGUUCCUCUGGAAGCAUCGCCGAGGCGAGGGGUGGACACUGGCCGCGGUGGAGCUCGUCGGUGCUCUCGGGUGCUCGUGGUCGAUCGUGAGAGAGAGAGAGCAGAGGGGAUAGGGACGGAGGGAGAGAUACGGGAGAGUGAGAGAGUUCGUGGGGCCGCGUGGCGUCUCCAGGGAGUAGUGGAGGCAAGCAGGGAGGCAGGAGGUGGCCGAAGCAGGGAGGAGGUGGCCGGGGCGCGUGGCCGCGCGCGCCGGGCGCGUGCCCGUCCUCCUGGCAGAGGAGGAAGGCGACAGGGGAGGGAGGCGGCGGUGGGCUGGGCCAGCGGGAGGAGCUGGCCAGCUGGGCCGGCCAGGUGGGCUGCACGGGUGAGGCCAGGUAAAACUCUCUCCCUUUUAUAAUUCUGUUCUGUUUUAUCUUUUCUAUUUUCUGCAAUUUGUUUUUGAUUUGAUUUAAAAUAUCAAAUCAUUUUAUAAAAUCCUGGAAACAGUUAUGGGUGUUUUCUGAAUUAUUUCAGUGACCCCUAACAAUUUUCCAACAUUUAUUUGAACAUUUAAAUUAUUUAUGUAUUUAAAUGCCCAAAGUCAAAUACAAUAUGGUUUAAUUCAGUGACCAAAAAUGCCCUGCAAAAAUAUAAACCAUUUUGGUAGAUGCUUCCACCUCAAACCAGAAAUGUUGAACAUUUUUAGAGGACAUUUUGAGUUCAAUGAAAAAGGUUUUAUUUUGACCCUAGUUGAAUUCAUUUGGUGUUAGGGCUUAGUCAAUCCCCAUUUCAAUUUUAGGCAAAAUUUAAACAUGAUGCAACACAUGACUAGCUAGCUCAGAGCAAACCAGAAGCUAGGGAUGUGACAGAGCGCUUUUACAUCAUCGGAGGUUUCCACCAUGGCAAACUUGUAGUCAGUGCUAUUGACAAACCUGUUGAAACGGUCGCAAGGCUCUGUGGCCAUGCAGUAGUGGUAGAUGAGGACAUGAUGGCGCAUGCACAACUGGGCGACGACGACCUUCUGAUCUAUGCCAGGACGAUCAACGAUGUACUGGAGGUCGAUUCCGACCACCUGGUACUUGUCUCGAGCAAGCAACUGCUCAACGUUGUUGAUGUAGUCGUCCACCAUGAUCGGGUCGAUGAUGUACACCACCGAGAGAUCUGUCUCCCUCGCGUGGAUCUCCACUCUAUGCUCACCGAACUCCAUUGGAGCGCCACUAGACAUCCCCUCUCUAUGUGUCAUCGUGGGUGUGCUUGUUGUGUGUGGGGCACGAUUGAAAGGUUGAAGAGACUAAGGUUAUAAUGGCCGCAGGAAUUAAAGGGGAAGUCAGACGGCUAGGAAUAUAUGCAGGCCCUGAUGGCAGUUCUAAUUUGCAGCGGUUAACACCACCGUGCAGCAUGUAACUGCAUCAUGUGGCAACGCGCGCGGCGCAAGCAUGCACAUGGGCCCCCCGACGUGAUCGUGCGCACACCCAACCGCUGGCAAAGCGCGCACGGAGGGGCAUGAGUAGAGCGCUCCGCGGUCGCCUCAAAUAUAUAUAUAUAUAUAUAUAUAUAUAUAUAUGCAUAUAGCAGUUGAACACGCAAGGAAAAUGUGUCCACAAGCCCAGCGCGCCGACGGACGCGAGCAAAGCACGCCAACGGACGCGAGCAGAGCGCACCGCGGCACCUAAUGGCGAGCACAGUGCGCUGUGGCGCCUAACGACGAGCAGAGCUUGCCGAGGGACGCGAGCAGAGGCUGACACAGUGAUAGGUGGCAAAUAAGACGAACUGUGCGAGCGAUGUCAGAGACAUCAAGCACGAAUCAGAUUAGAGUUGCGUGUGUGAUACAUGACAUACAGUUGAUCCAUCUGACCUAUUUGUGAUGGAAUAAGCCUUAUGUGUUGCCGGCAAACGCUUGUUGGUAUAUAACCUUAAAUUUAACCAAAAAAGUGUUAAUGCAUGUUACAAAAAUUGUAUAGCUGGAAACUAUGUUCAAAUAUGACUCCAACAAUAUAAUCUUUGGCGACAUGCAUUCGUAUUUUAUUAGUUAAAUCCUACUUAUAAACCAGGACGGGGGUAUAGUAAGUAACUAAAUCGCAAAUGUUUUUUUAUUAACCGUAUGUGUACUCAGCCUUUCGUCCUCCUCUCGCACGUCUUGUCGCCCCGCUUCCGCAGACGGCUUACAUCGCAAGCUUGCGUAGCGCGGGGGGGCGUUCUUUUGGCCAAACGGUGGCGCCAAUGAAUCGCCAGUGAGUCUGUUCCCGCGCAAGCUCCCCGCCCAACUUGGUGAAAUCCCCCAAAAUCCCAAUGCUUACGGGCCUGCUAUAUAAACCCUCACGGCCAGCGAGUCCUGCGUCGCAUUUUCCCCUCCCUCCCUGUAGCUUAUCUUGUCUGCUUCUCCCAUAAUCGCCAAUGGCACUGGUCCGUCGUCGUCGCUCAGCCACUCCACCGUCCUCAGAGGACAGCACUAGCUGGGAGGCUACACCGCAGCGGCGGCGUAGUCCCCGACGUAGUGUAGUGCGCGUGGCGUCCCUGUUGGGUGUGCGCGGAACACCCACCACACGCUUCACUGUCACUGUCCAUCGGCAGCUUUUGCCUGCCGCCGUUGCCGCCACACCACCGUCGAAAGCCAGGGCCAUCUCCCGCUCCGCCGCCGCGGCCCGAAGGUGGGAGGUGGUCGUCGUUGCUGCCACCCCACUGCCGGCCACCAUGGCCAUCACUCGCUUCGCCACCGCGGCCCGAAGGCAGGAGGUGGUGGUCGUGGCCGCCAGCCCACCGUCGACCGCCGGGAUCAUCACCCGCUUCGCCGCCGCAGCCUGAAGGCGGGAGGCGGAGGUGGAGGACCGCACAUGCGUCAGCGACCUUGCGCACUACAUCGAGUUCCUGCGGGAGGAGGAGGAGCGCUGCGUCGAGCAUGCAAAGAGCCUUACCGCAGUCGUGGCCGCAACACACGCCGACGCAGAGGCGAGGAAUCAGGAGAUCUAUGAGCAGUCCGUCCGCUUCAAGAGGGAUCGUUUGGAGCGGUAGUGGGCGUUCAAGCUGGUGAGCGUCGCUGAACGUGCAGUAGCGGCAGACACCGUAUUGCAUUUGUCCAGCUCGUCGGUAGGCUCCUCCUCCUCUGCCUCUUACUAAGCGCACUCGGCAGAGGAGAGGCUGCCGGAAGUAGCACAAAGCCCCUCUGUAGUAGUAGUAGUAGUAUUUAGGGGCUAUUUUGUUCAGUUCAUCUGACUAUAGAUGUGUGGUGGAACUGUACAACGUACUUAAAAUUAGCUAGUAUAUAUAGUUGAACUAUCUAUUUUAGUACGUGGUUGGCAACAAUUGGGGAAAAGUUUGGUCAGUUCAGCUAUCGAGUUGAACUAUUUGUAUAAAUUAAGAACGCAUGCUUAAUCUAUGAAUGAAAUCCAUGCUUAAUUACUGAAUUUUAGUUGCAAAAAUUAGAUAGUGCUAGUGAUUUUUAGCUGCAUAUUUUGACAAAUCACAGUGUUACAAGGAUUAAAAAUGGCAAUGUUACUAAAUCAACAAAUGUCAAACUUUCCAGUUUGACAAAUGGCAACAUACCCAAUAUGACAGAUGCAAAUCUUACCAAAUUGUUUGUAUGUGGUUGCACACGGGUCAUCCAAAACAACCAUUUGCGUUGAAGGGAUGCACAAAUCCUGCGCUGCGAAUUUUUCCUCGACUUAAGGGGGAAGACCAUAGCUCUCACUUUGCAUACGGGUGUUCUAUCUAAAACGUUUGCGAUCAAGAGCUGCAGAAAUCCUGCUCGGCACAUUUUCUCUUGGCUUCCUGGGGAAGCUGUCGGUUUGCAUACGGGUGUUCUAACUAAAACGUUUGCGAUCAUGAGCUACACAAAUCCUGCACGGCGUACAGCUCGCACGCUUCCCGGUGAGCCUCCACAUUGGAGUACAGCUCACACGCCUCCCGUUUAGUCAAGCACUCAAGCACCUGUCCGCACGGCACCUCCUAGCCAUUAAAAGAGUGAGGCGUGGCGUCACGUGAAUGGUUAACAAAACGCACACAAUUUAUAUGCAAUGGAGCAUGUGCAUGUAGUUCAAAUUUGAAUUAUGCACAUAAAAUUCCAAGAAAACCCAGUUAAUGUAUAAAAAUGUCCAAACGAACCAUGAAAAAUUCCAAAAUUAAACAAAACACUCAUGUUAUUCUAUGUUGACACUAGAAUUUUUUUGAAAGCAAUAAGAGUCAACGAAUAUCGUUUCAUCCCCAAAGGUGGCAUGUUCCCUACCGAAACCAUCACGCUUGUUGUGAGACGCUUAUACCCAAACCUGCCCCAAAUGGGACAAUUUUUUUACCACAACAUGUUGAUGCCGCUCCAUGAUAGCAUGCCAAGUUUCAUGAAUUUCAGACGAGUUUUGGAUUUACUAGAAUUUAAAAACCAGGUAUCUCAGUGUUUGCGGACGAGUGAUGGUGGCAGGGUGUUUGAAAUUCAUUCCCAUUUCUUGCAUGGGACCUAAGCAUGGAACCAAUGACAUAGAUUUGAUUUCUCAACCAGUUUAUAUGCACCGGAGCAUGUGCAUGUAGUUCGAAUUUGAAUUAUGCACCUGGAAUGCCUACAAAACACAGUUAAUGUAUAAAAAUGUCCAAACGAACCCUGAAAAAUUCCAAAAUGAAACACAACACUCCUGUUGUUCUAUGUUGACACUAGAAAGUUUUUGGAAGCAAUAAGAGGCAACUGAUAUUGUUUCGUCCCCAAAGGUGGCACGUUCCCUACCGAAACCAUCACGAUUGUUGUGAGAAGCUCUGGUUUGGGAGAAGCUUAUACCCAAACCUAACCCAAAUGGGACAAAAAAUUUACCACGACAUGUUGAUGCCGCUACAUGAUAGCAUGCCAAGUUUCAUGAAUUUCAUACAAGUUUUGGAUUUACUAGAAUUUCAAAACCAGGUAUCUCAAUGUUUGCGGCCGAGUGACGGUGGCAGGGUGUUUGAAAUUCAUUCCCAUUUCUUGCAUGGGACCAAAGCAUGCAACCAAGGACAUAGAUUUGUUUUUUCAACCAAUUUAUAUGCAUCGGAGCAUGUGCAUGUAGUUCAAAUUUGAAUUAUGCACCUGGAAUGCCUACAUAACACGGUUAAUGUAUAAAAAUGUCCAAACGAACCCCGAAAAAUCCCAAAAUUAAACACAACACUCCUGUUGUUCUAUGUUGACACUAGAAAUCUUUUGGAAGCAAUAAGAGGCAACUGAUAUCGUUUCGUCCCCAAAGGUGGCACGUUCCCUACCGAAACCAUCAUGUUUGUUGUGAGACACUCUAGUUUGGGAGAAGCUUAUACCCAAACCUGCCCCAAAUGGGACAAAUUUUUUACCACGACAUGUUGAUGCUGCUCCAGCAUGCCAAGUUUCAUGAAUUUCAGAUGAGUUUUGGAUUUACUAGAAUUUAAAAAUAAAGUAUCUCAUUGUUUGCGACCGAGUGAUGGUGGCAGGGUGUUUGACAUUCAUUCUCAUGUCUUGCAUGGGACCUAAGCAUGCAACCAAGGACACAGAUUUGAUUUUUUAACCUGUUCAUAUUCAGUGGAGCAUGUGCAUGUAGUUCAAAUUUUAAUUAUGCACCUGAAAUGCCUACAAAACCAGGUUAAUGUAUAAAAAUGUUCAAACAAACCCUGAAUAAUUCCAUUUUUUUUACAACACAACUAUAGUUGCAUGUUCCCUGCAGAUAAGAGUUCUAGCAAUUCAAACACCGUCCUUUGUAGUUGUGACCCCAUUACGUAAUUCAAAUCAAAACGAAAAAUCAAGUAGAUCGCACACAGUUUAUUAUCACCAACCGUGUGAGAUGAAGCACAAAAUAUCUUGGAGAACCGUCGGAGUGUCAAGCGCACUAGCCCGCUCCUCAAAAUAUCAUUUCACUGUUCAAUCAUCGCUGGUGAAAGAUGGGGAUGUGGACCCGCGUCGUAAGGGCAACUUCAGCGGCCCACUUCGGCGAGAGCGCGGUCACAGCCGCCAGGCGCGUGCUAAUAAGCUUCAUGAGGGCGACCGCAAUCUGGUUCCAGGCAGCCAAGGCAGCCCAAACGGUCGUUGUUGCUUCUCAAGCGGUGGCAGCAGCAUCUGCCUCGGGGAUAACAACUGGUGAGAGCGGCACAGCAGCUGUCCGUUCCGUAGUGGCGGCCUUAGCCCUGAUAGUGGUCGCCCACGACCAUGUCGAGGCCGUCCAUGCCCAGCUCGUGGCCGUCACCGCACAAAUCGAACGAAGCUUCUCCGACAACGGUCGGCAACCCACGGCCGAAGAGUUGGCAAUCGCCAAGAGAGUUCGAGCAGUCGUCCGUUCCUACGCAGCAUACCUUGCCACGACGGAGCCCGCCAAAUCCCAGAUCACGGCCGCCCAUGCCCAGCUCGUGGCGACCUAUUCCAAAGAUAUGGCGGACGCGGAUGGCGAGAUGCUUGCGGAGUAUGGUGGAAUUGAUGCCAUGGAGCCCCUUCCCCAAGAGACCAUCGGGCGCGAGCUGGACAUCGAGGUGGCGGCGGAGAUCGACGAGCAUCAGCCGUAGUAGUACUCUUUAUUUUUUUUAAUUAAGAGCGCCCGUCUUUAAUUUGUUAGAGUAAUGUUUAGGUCAGCUAGCUCUGUUUAAUUGCUGAACUUGCUCGAUUAAAAAGUGUGGGUGUGUUGUAGUCUCCUUUGUGUACCCAAAUUAUGCAAUGACGUGGAUGACCACUGUAAUCAUGGAAACUCGAACCAAAAUUUUUGACGUUCAAACUCAUCACACACGGGUUAAGCUAUCUGAAUCGUUUGUGAUGUUCACAUAUCAUACAUAGUUCGGAAUAAGGGACAGUGUCUCAUGACACUUUGCACGCCAGUUUUUUCGCUGAAGCGAUUCCAAAUUUUCGGCUUCCGCGGAAAUAUCUACCUCCCCCCCCCCGCCCUUACAAAAAGCCACAUAUCCCCUGUUUCCACCUUCCUUUCCAAGUUGAAACCUUCACUCUUUGCUGCUCGGCCUCGCCUAUCCAGGCAGGUAAUCCACGCUCGACCCCCAUCUUCCUCCUCCUUCCACAUCCCACAUGCCCCGACCGCCAGCGCGAGCACGACACCUUCCACCCAAAUCACCGACCCCUCCACCAAAUAAGCGCCACCCUAACCCAUGGUGCACGCAGUAUAGCCAGGAUCUCAAGGAGCAUUUAGCAGUGGAGAAGCAAAUCGCGGCCGCACGCGUGGAUGAGGUCGCGAUGGCUGCCAUUCGUGUCGACCCCCAGAUCUUGGAGGAGCACCUUGCCAUUUGCUAGCUACGCCGGUUAAGCAUGCUUGGUUUACCUUUUGCGUGUGCUUCUCCUGCCUUUCCUUCACAAAUUCUAGUGAAUUGUGUUAUCUAAUUUUACCAUGCAAUCUGUUGCUCUAGUGUAUACGUUCUAUAUGUCGUGCAAUGCGGUGCUCACUUAUUAACUGUUUUGUUAAUUAGUUGUCAUCUUCAGUUAACUUUUUGGUUCAAAUCUGCAAAUGUGAUGUUCAGUUCUUCAGGCUGCAAUUUUGUAUUGUCUUCCAUGUGAGAAAUAAAUCGAUGACGUCCCUCCGAGUUCUGCACACGUUCAGCUCGAUGACGUCCCUCAUCCUCUUGAUCCAACAAAGGUGUCAAGGAAGCAGAUGAGUUCCGUCACUACGAAGAUAUGACCGGAGGUGUAAACUGUGGAAGGUGGUGCCGCACACGGCUAAAAAAUGUUGGUGUGUGUUCUAGGCGCCCCCUCCCCACAUAUAUAUAUAUAUGUGGGAGGGGGAGGGGAGCAGCCUUGGGGUGCCCCAAGUAGGAAGAAUCCUACUUGGGGUCCUAUCCCAGUUCACACCUCCAUUUCCAUAUUUUCUGAGAGGAAAAAGGGAAGAGGAAGGGGAGAAGGAAAGGGGGCCAAACCCGCUCUUUUCCUUUCCCCACUCGGCCUCCUUCCUUGGGGGCGGGGGCACGCUUGUGGGCUGGUGUGCUUCCCUCCUAUGGCCCAUGUGGACCAUAUCAUUCCCCUGGGGUUCCGGUAACUGAUACGUCUCCGUCGUAUCUACUUUUCCAAACACUUUUGCCCUUGUUUUGGACUCUAACUUGCAUGAUUUGAAUGGAACUAACCCGGACUGACGUUGUUUUCAGCAAAAUUGCCAUGGUGUUAUUUUUGUGCAGAAAUAAAAGUUCUCGGAAUGACCUGAAAAUCAAUGGAGAAUUAUUUUGGAAUAUAUAAAAAAUACUGUAAGGAAGAUCCAUGUCAGGGGGGCCUCCACCUGUCCAUGAGGGUGGGGGCGUGCCCUACCCCCUGGGCGCACCCCCUGCCUCGUGGGCCCCCUGACGCUCCAAAGACCUCAACCCUCACUCCAUAUAUUCACUUACAGGAAGAAAAAAACCAAAGAGAAGGAUUCACCGUGUUUUACGAUACGGAGCCGCCGCCAAGCCCUAAACUCUCUCGGGAGGGCUGAUCUGGAAUCCGUUCGGGGCUCCGGAGAGGGGAAUCCGUCGCCAUCGUCAUCAUCAACCUUCCUCCAUCACCAAUUUGAUGAUGCUCACCGCCGUGUGUGAGUAAUUCCAUCAUAGGCUUGCUGGACGAUGAUGGGUUGGAUGAGAUUUAUCAUGUAAUCGAGUUAGUUUGUUAGGGUUUGAUCCCUAGUAUCCACUAUGUUCUGAGAUUGAUGUUGCUACGACUUUGCUAUGCUUAAUGCUUGUCACUAGGGCCCGAGUGCCAUGAUUUCAGAUCUGAACCUAUUAUGUUUUCAUCAAUAUAUGAGAGUUCUUGAUCCUAUCUUGCAAGUCGAUAGUCACCUACUAUGUGUUAUGAUCUGGCAACCCGAAGUGACAAUAAUCGGGACCACUCUCGGUGAUGACCGUAGUUUGAGGAGUUCAUGUAUUCACUAUGUGUCAAUGCUUUGGUCCGGUACCCUAUUAAAAUGAGGCCUUAAUAUCCCCUAGUUUCCAAUAGGACCCCGCUGCCACGGGAGGGUAGGACAAAAGAUGUCAUGCAAGUUCUUUUCCGUAAGCACGUAUGACUAUAUCCGGAAUACAUGCCUACAUUACAUUGAUGAAUUGGAGCUAGUUCUGUGUCACCCUAUGUUAUGACUGUUACAUGAUGAACCGCAUCCGGCAUAAUUCUCUAUCACCGAUCCAAUGCCUACGAGCUUUCCAUAUAUUGUCCUUCGCUUAUUUACUUUUCCAUUGCUAUUGUUAUAAUCACUAUAAAACACCAAAAAUAUUACUUUUGCUACCAUUACCUUUUACCACAGUUACCACUACUAUCAUAUUACUUUGCUACUAAAUACCUUGCUGCAGAUAUUAAGUUUCCAGGUGUGGCUGAAUUGACAACUCAGCUGCUAAUACUUGAGAAUAUUCUUUGGCUCCCCUUGUGUCGAAUCAAUAAAUUUGGGUUGAAUACUCUACCCUCGAAAACUGUUGCGAUCCCCUAUACUUGUGGGUUAUCAAGACUAUUUUCUGGCGCUGUUGCCAGGGAGCAUAGCUCUAUUCUUUGAGUCACUUGGGAUUUAUAUAUGCUUAAUCAUUAUGAAGAACUUGAAAGAUCCAAGAACCAAGAUUUAUCCCUCAACUACGAGGGGAGGCAAGGAACUGCCAUCUAGCUCUGCACUUGAUUCACCUUCUGUUUUGAGUAAGCUUGCGACACCUAAACCUGCUUCUGCUAUUAAUUCUGAUAUGUCGCAUGUUAUUGAUGAUGCCACUUCUGCUAUGCAUGAUACUUAUGAUGAAAUUACUUCUCUGCUUGAUACUACUGUGCCACUUGGUGAAUUUCUUGAUGAACAACUUGCUAGGGCUAGAGAGAAUGAAAUUAUUGAAACUGAUAAUAUUGAUGAAAGUGAUGAUGAAGAUUCUCCCCCUAGAUAUGAAUUUCCUGUUGUUCCUGAGGGUUAUGUUGUGGAUGAAGAAACUGCUAGAGAUUUUCUUACUUGCAAUGAUAGGAGUGAUCUUAAGAAACUAUUAGCUAAGCUGAAACAAAAAACUCUAAAUGCUAGAAUGAAAUAUGAUCCCGCUUAUGCUACUUCACCUAUCUUUGUUACUGAUAAGGAUUAUGAAUUCUCUAUCGACCUUGAUAUAGUUACUUUGGUUGAAUCUGAUCCUUUCUAUGGCUAUGAAUCUGAAACUAUUAUCCCGCAUCUUACUAAAUUAAAUGAUACUAGCAAAAGAGCCCGUGCGUUGCAACGGGAGAAAAACAUAACACACGCUCUUAACCCAACAACCAUCACUCAAUAGGUCCAUCUUCUUUAUUUUUGCAAGAAAACAUAUUUAUGUUACCACUUAUCCUCCUUCUCACCCUCGCCGGCGAUGGCCUUGGUGUUCACGCAAAACAACAAAAACAUGUUUAAAUAUGGUUAAUCCUAAGACGUCUCUCUCUCCCUCUCUCCUCCCUCACCCUCUCUCUCUCUCUCUCUCUCUCUCUCUCUCGCUUUCUCUCACUCUCGCGAUGAGAAAUCUGUUGUUUUCCCUUGCGACAUUUUUCAGAGGUAUGCAUGUGUAGUUAUCGAUGUUUUCUAUUAACUAUAUGGUUGUAGUGGGGUGUUUAUUUACAAUCCGGAUCACCGCUGAUACGAAACAAAAACGGAUCUUGCGCUAGAAAUUAUAAGUUCGCUUCAAAAACAAUAUUUUAAAAAUAUUUAACAGGUAAAAUUAACAUCAUAUUUAGAUUCCACACAUUUUUCUAAUAAAAUUUCAUAUAUAAUAUGUUAAAAUCGAAGUUACGGUUUAAAAGAUACAGAUAAUUUAGAAAAUCAUUUGUUUGAUUUAAAUAUAUUCCAAAAUAAUAUUUAUAAUACAUAAUAGGUAAAAAUAAUCUCAUAUUCAUAUUCUACAUAUUUUUCUAAUCAAAUUUCAUAUAUAGCAUGUACAAAUCAGAGUUACGGUUUAAAAGAUAUGGAUGAUUUAAAAAAGUAUUUGUUUGACUUAAAUAUGAUCCACGGAUGAAUUACAUAAAACAGCAGGGGUUUUUUCGAAAACCGUAAAAUAACGGUUUGGGUGUGACUUAAAUCCGAACAGCGGGUUGAUUUCAAGAAAACACAGGGACUUUUGCGUAAAAUGCGAAAACGAUUCGUUUUGACUUAAAACAGGACAGCGGGUUGAAUUCUCUGAAAUAGAGGGACUUUUCUAAAAAAUGCCACGACGGACGAAAGAAACCCAAUUUGCUUUAUUAUUAGGUAAAGAUAGGCAUCCUAUUCACUAAUUAUGAGAAAACUCGCUAUUAUUAUAUCCUUAAAUUAUUUCUGUUCUCAUUAAAGGGUGAAGCUAAGAUAUGGUUUAAUUCUCUUGAUCCUGGUUGUGUGCGUAGUCCCCAGGAUAUGAUUUAUUACUUCUCUGCUAAAUAUUUUCCUGCUCAUAAGAAACAAGCUGCUUUAAGGGAAAUAUAUAAUUUUGUGCAAAUUAAAGAAGAGAGUCUCCCACAAGCUUGGGGGAGGCUUCUCCAAUUACUUAAUGCUUUGCCUGAUCAUCCUCCCAAGAAAAAUGAAAUACUUGAUAUCUUUUAUAAUGGACUAACCGAUGCUUCCAGAGACCACCUGGAUAGUUGUACUGGUUGUGUUUUCAGGGAAAGAACACCAGAUGAAGCUGAAAUUUUAUUGAAUAAUAUGUUGACCAAUGAAAAUAAUUGGACACUUCCUGAUCCAAUCCCUGAUCCAAUUCCUGAACCAACUCCUGAGCCAACUCCGGAGAAAAGGGGUAUUCUAUUUCUCAGUCCUGAAGAUAUGCAAGAGGCAAAGAAAUCUAUGAAAGAAAAAGGUCUAAAAGCUGAAGAUGUUAAGAAUUUACCUCCAGUUGAAGAAAUACAUGGUCUUAAUUUACCGCCUGUUGAAGAAAUACAUGGUUUUAAUCCAUCACCUAUUGAAGAAACACAUGGUCUUGAUAACCCAACAGAGGUAGUAAAGGUAAAUUCUCUCUAUAGAGAUGAUAAAGCUGAAAUCCCAUUUACUAUGUUUGCUAGCCCAUGCUUGGAUGAGUUUGAUGACUUUAUGGUUAAGCAAGAAAACUUCAAUGCUUAUUUUGGUAGGGAAUUAAAAUGAAAUGCUGAUAUGCUUGAACACUUGGGUGAUUAUAUGGCUAAUGUUAAAGGUGAACUUAAACUUAUUAGUAAACAUGCUUCUAUGGUUACCACUCAAGUAGAACAAGUACUUAAAGCUCAGAAUGAAUUGAAUAGUAAAAAUGAUAAUGUUGUUAGAGUGGCUACUAGAACUUGUAAAAUGACUCAGUAACCUUUGUAUCCUGAGGGCCAUCCUAAGAGAAUUGAGCAAGAUUCUCAGAUAAAUAAUAUUGAUGCACCUAGUCCUUCUAAGAGGAAGAAAAAUAAAAAUGAUAGGACUUUGCAUGCUUCUAGUGAACCUGUUAUUGACACACCUGAGAAUCCCAAUAAUAUCUCUAUUUCUGAUGCUAAAACACAAUCUGGUAAUGAGCAUGAACCUAGUGGUAAUGUUAAUAAUGAUGUUCAUGUUGAUACUCAACCUAGCAAUAAUAAUGAUGUAGAAAUUGAACCUGUUGUUGAUCUUGAUAACCCACAAUCAAAGAAUCAACGUUAUGAUAAGAGAGACUUUGUUGCUAGGAAGCACGGUAAGGAAAUAGAACCAUGGGUUCAGAAACCCAUGCCUUUUCCUCCCAAACCAUCCAAGAAAAAGGAUGAUGAGGAUUUUGAGCGCUUUGCUGAAAUGAUUAGACCUAUCUUUUUGCGUAUGCGAUUAACUGAUAUGCUCAAAAUGAAUACCUAUGCUAAGUAUAUGAGAGAAAUUUUGACAAAUAAAAGAAAGAUACCGAAAGCUGAAAUUUCCACUAUGCUUGCUAAUUAUACUUUUAAAGGUGGAAUACCUAAGAAACUGGGAGAUCCAGGAGUACCAACUAUACCAUGCUCCAUUAAAAGAAACUAUGUUAAAACUGCUUUAUGUGAUCUUGGAGCCGGUGUUAGUGUUAUCCCUCUCUCUUUAUAUCGUAGACUUGAAUUGAAUAAGUUGACACCUACUGAAAUAUGUUUGCAAAUGGCCGAUAAAUCAACUGCAAUACCUGUCGGCAUUUGUGAGGAUGUGCCUGUUGUGGUUGCAAACGUUGCUAUUUUAACGGACUUUGUUAUUCUUGAUAUUCCCGAGGACGAUACUAUGUCUAUUAUUCUUGGAUGACCCUUUUUGAAUACUGCAGGGGUUGUUAUUGAUUGCAACAAAGGCAAUGUCACUUUUCAUGUUAAUGGCAACGAGCAUACGGUACACUUUCCAAGGAAACAACCUCAAGUUCAUAGUAUAAACUCUAUUGGAAAAAUUCCAUCGAUUAUUUUUGGAGGCUUUGAAUUUCCACUACCUACUGUCAAGAAGAAAUAUGAUAUUCUUAUUAUUGGGGACGUGCAUAUCCCCGUUGAGGUAACCUAGUGUUAUUCGAAAAUUCUCUAGUUCCAUGUUAUUCGGAAUGAGUUUGUUAACAUGACCUGAUCAACCUUGUUAGUAGAUUCCUUUUGAUGAGCAUGAGAUGGAUGAACUGUACCCUCUUUUUACUUUCUGUUAUUUAUAUUAAAUGAAGCAAAAAUAGUAAUUUCUGUCUGUUUUCUGAAUUAUCCAAGCAAUUAAAAAUUACCCCGAAAAUAAAAGUUCUCCAAAUGGCCUGAAAUUUAAAUAUGAUUUUUUUGGAAUAUUUGAGAAUAUUUGGCACUUAGAACACAGUAGGGGGAGCAAGCACCUGGCCACGAGGGUCCAGGGCGCGCCCCUGCCUCGUGGGCCCACGGCGGCUCCCCUCCACUUAUUCCAGCUACCACACACUCUUUCUUCCUCCCACAAACAUCACUAGCCAGCUCAAACCCGAGUCCAAGCUCAUCUUGCUGCCAUUUUCGAUCUCCUUGCUCAAAGCACCUCUCACAAGACUGCUUUGGGGGAUUGUUCCUUGGUAUGUGACUCCUCCAAUGGACCAAUUAGUUUCUGUUCUAGUGCUUUAUUCAUUGCAUAUUUUUCUGCUUAGGUGACCCUGUUCUUGAGCUUGCAUGUCAAAUUUAUAUGGUCAAAAGUAUUUUUAAUGCAUGAUAUAGUCUCUAGGUACUUUUGGUAGUAGUUGCUAUCAAUUUUGUUGAGUUUGGUUCACUUUUAUUUUGAAGUUACUAAAAUUUCAGAAAUUUUUCAGAGGAAGAAAUAUGUUUAGGAAAAUGUACCAAGGUGGUCCUUCAAGGAAGCAAGGACCCAGGCUCACCAUAUGCGAUGCCGACGAUGAACCACCAAGGGAAGCUCAAGUGCGGGCUUGUGAAUGGCCGUCAGAGGACUUUAUGGAUCAAGCAGGAAUCAAGGAAGAAUUUAACGCGUAUGUGCGUAAUGCCAAUCUUGAGAGCUUCGAGGUAGAUAAGUGCCGCCAAUACCACUAUCUCACUGAUUCAUUUGUGAGAAGGUUUGAAUUUUCAUCAUCAUGUAAUUUUCAAACUGUCCUAUUUGAUCUUUAUGAAAAUUCUUAUACUAUGACUUAGAAGAUUUUACCACUGCUUGUAAACUUCCACAAUGGGACAGCACUAGUGAGCCUUGCAAAUCUGAGUUUAGAGAUUUUCUUGCAAGUAUAAUUGUGGGGGAAUCUAGAGAUAUAACACAAGCUACCAUAGGGAGCAUUCAUUUUCCUGCUAUACAUUAUUUUGCUCUCUUCAUAGGUAGGUGCAUAAUGAUAAGGAUGAAGUAUGUCACAUGUGUGUCCCUGACCUCAGUGUUCUCAGGAGUGCUAUAUUAGGAGAUAAACAUUAUAAUUGGGGAGCCAUUAUUGCACAUAGGUUGCAUAAUAAUAAAUCUAUUGGAGAUUUCUUCGGUGGAAUUUAUGCAACCCAUCUAGCUAAUUUUCUUGAUAUGCCCAUACGUGGGUAUGAUAUUGAGUUGCCUCCUGUUUAUUUAGAUUAUGAGGCCAUGGUUCGUCAUCAGUUUGUUGAGAGGAACAAUCAGUUCCUCCAGUACGGACUAAUCUUUGAAAGACGAUGCACCUAUCACGUCGCUCUCCCUGCUCCUGCUUUCUUUGACUCUUAGGAAAAAGGGAGAUAUGUUAUAACCAGGGAGGAGGCAGACAAAUAUAAGAGGAGGACGGAUACGGCCCGUGUCCAAGCGGCAGCUCAUGAGGCAAUAGCUGCUGCAUCACAGUACGACCCCAGUUACAACUUUGGAUAUCCGCCAGGCCAGUUGUGGCCAUAGACCAACUUAGGCCAAGGCCUAACCUUGCGGGAGUACGUAUUUCUCACCGACAUUUCAUUCAUGCUCACACACUCAUUGAUAGUUGUCGGUGCUCAUACUUUUUCACUGUAUCAUCCAUGCUAGUUUAUUUCCCUUUUUAUGCUUUCUUCUUGUGUGUUUAAUAAACCUUAAGAACAACAAAAAAUUAGUUGUAGUUUUUAAUUAGUUUACUUUUCAUGUUAUAGUAGUAGUAGUAAUUAAAAAGAAAACCCAAAAAGAUUUCUCGUUCUUCUUUUGCUUGUUGGGAGCUUUCCCGUGUACAUAGUUGUAUUUCUUUUCUUUGGGGGUCGAGAGGAGAAGACCCUAAUUAAAAUGUUAAAGUGGCUCUUAUAUGCAUUACUGUUGAUCCGACAAAAGAGCCCAUAUUACCUUGUCUUCUCUCUUGAAUUGAAUGCUUGCAGAUUCCAGCUUAGUCCAAUGCACGUGCACCAAUAUUAUUAUUCACAUCAUUCGGUCAUGCAAGUGAAAGGCAAUAAUGAUGAUUAUAUGAUGAACUUAUUGAGAUGAGAAAAGCUGGUAUGAAUUCGACCUCUCUUGUUUUUGUAAAUAUGAUUAGUUCAUCAUUCCUGAUUCAGCCUAUUAUGAAUAAACAUGUUUGCAAUGACAAUUAGAGAUUAUAGUUGCUUAUGCCAUGCUUAAUUAGCUAGGAGCUUAUAAUGGUUUACCUUGCGUGCCAAUAUGCUAUUAAAAUGGUUGUGAUGUGGUAUGAUAGGGUAGUAUCCUCUUUUGAAUGAUUCGAGUGGCUUGACUUGGCACAUGUUCACGCAUGUAGUUGAAACAAAAUCAACAUAGCCUCUAUGAUAUUUAUGUUCGUGGUGCAUUAUAUCCUACUCAUGCUUGCAUUUGAUGUUGAUUAAUUUUAAUGCAUGUUCAUGACUGUGGUCACUCUCUAGCUGGUUGCUUCCCAGUCUUUUGCUAGCCUUCACUUGUGCUAAGCGGGAAUACUGCUUGUGCAUCCAAUUCCAUAAACCUCAAAGUUAUUCCAUAUGAGUCCACCAUACCUAUCUAUAUACGGUAUCUACCUGCCGUUCCAAGUAAAUUUGUAUGUGCCAAACUCUAAACCUUCAAAUAAACAUUCUGUUUUGUAUGCUCGAAUAGCUCAUGUAUCAACUAGGGUUGUCCGUAUAUUCCAUGUUGGGCGGGUUAUUCUCAAGAGGAGUGGACUCCGCUCCUCACUCACGAGAAAAUGGCUGGUCACCGGGAUGCCCAGUCCCAUGCUUUAUGCAAAACAAAUCAAAAUAAUUGCAAAUAAAACCCCCCUGGGACUCUUGUUAGUUGGAGGCACUCGUUGUUUCGAGCAAGCCAUGGAUUGAUGCUUGUUGGUGGAGGGAGAGUAUAAAAUUUACCAUUCUGUUUGGGAACCGCCUAUAAUGUGUGUAGCAUGGAAUAUAUCGCCAUCUCUUGGUUGUUAUGUUGACAAUGAAAGUAUACCGCUCAAAAUAUUAUUCACCUCUAUUUCAAAAUCGAGCUCUGGCACCUCUACAAAUCACUGCUUCCCUCUUCGAAGGGCCUAUCUAUUUCCUUUUAUGUUGAGUUAUCAUCCUCUUAUUAAAAAGCACCAGUUGGAGAGCACCGCUGUCAUUUGCAUUCAUUACUGUUAGUUUACAUUGAGUAUGACUUGACUGGAUCUCUUUUACCAUGAAUUGCAAUGUCUAGUCAGUCCUUGAUCUUUAAAGGUGCUAUGCAUUUAUGUUUUGCGGUCUCAGAAAGGGCUAGCGAGAUACCAUCUUGUUAUAUCAUAUCAUGAUUGUUUUGAGAAAGUGUUGUCAUCCGAGAUUUAUUAUUAUUGCUCGCUAGUUGAUUAUGCCAUUGAUAUGAGUAAACAUGAGACCUAAAUGUGAUUGUGAAUAUGGUUAGUUCAUAAUCUUUGCUGAAAACUUGAAUGCUGGCUUUACAUAUUUACAAAAACAAGAGCAAACAAAGUUUGUGAAAGUUUUUCUUUAUCACUUUCACUUUAUCAACCGAAUUGCUUGAGAACAAGCAAAGGUUUAAGCUUGUGGGAGUUGAUACGUCUCCAUCAUAUCUACUUUUCCAAACACUUUUGCCCUUGUUUUGGACUCUAACUUGCAUGAUUUGAAUGGAACUAACCUGGACUGACGUUGUUUUCAGCAGAAUUGCCAUGGUGUUAUUUUUGUGCAGAAAUAAAAGUUCUCAGAAUGACCUGAAAAUCAACGGAGAAUUAUUUUGGAAUAUAUAAAAAAUACUGGAAGGAAGAUCCACGUCCUACCCCCUGGGCGCGCCCCUGCCUCGUGGGCCCCCUGACGCUCCACUGACCUCAACCCUGACUCCAUAUAUUCACUUUCGGGGAGAAAAAAACCAGAGAGAAGGAUUCAUCGUGUUUUACGAUACGGAGCCGCCGCCAAGCCCUAAACUCUCUCGGGGGGGCUGCUCUGGAGUCCGUUCGAGGCUCUGAAGAAGGGAAUCCGUUGCCAUCGUCAUCACCAACCUUCCUCCAUCACCAAUGUCAUGAUGCUCACCGUCGUGUGUGAGUAAUUCCAUCGUAGGCUUGCUGGACGGUGAUGGGUUGGAUGAGAUUUAUCAUGUAAUCGAGUUAGUUUUGUUAGGGUUUGAUCCCUAGUAUGCACUAUGUUCUAAGAUUGAUGUUGCUAUGACUUUGCUAUGCUUAAUGCUUGUCACUAGGGCCCGAGUGCCAUGAUUUCAGAUCUGAACCUAUUAUGUUUUCAUCAAUAUAUGAGAGUUCUUGAUCCUAUCUUGCAAGUCAAUAGUCACCUACUAUGUGUUAUGAUCCGGCAACCCCGAAGUGACAAUAAUCGGGACCACUCCUGGUGAUGACCGUAGUUUGAGGAGUUCAUGUAUUCACUAUGUGAUAAUGCUUUGGUCCGGUACUCUAUUAAAAGGAGGCCUUAAUAUUCCCUAGUUUCCAAUAGGACCCCACUGCCACGGGAGGGUAGGACAAAAGAUGUCUUGCAAGUUCUUUUCCGUAAGCACGUAUGACUAUAUCCGGAAUACAUGCCUACAUUACAUUGAUGAAUUGGAGCUAGUUCUUUGUCACCCUAUGUUAUGACUGUUACAUGAUGAACCACAUCCGGCAUAAUUCUCUAUCACCGAUCCAAUGCCUACGAGCUUUCCAUAUAUUGUUCUUCACUUAUUUACUUUUCCGUUGCUAUUGUUACAAUCACUGUAAAACACCAAAAAUAUUACUUUUGCUACCAUUACCUUUUACCACCGUUACCACUACUAUCAUAUUACUUUGCUACUAAAUACCUUGCUGCAGAUAUUAAGUUUCCACGUGUGGUUGAAUUGACAACUCAGCUGCUAAUACUUGAGAAUAUUCUUUGGCUCCCCUUGUGUCGAAUCAAUAAAUUUGGGUUGAAUACUCUACCCUCGAAAAUUGUUGUGAUCCCCUAUACUUGUGGGUUAUCAGUAACCCCCCUCGGUACUCCAAUAAAUACCCGAUACUAUCUGGAACACUUCUGAUGUCUGAAUACCAUCGUUCUAUAUAUCAAUCUUUACCUCUCGACCAUUUCGAGACUCCUCGUCAUGUCUGUGAUCUCAUCCGGGACUCCGAACAAUAUUUGGUGACUAAAUCACAUAACUCAUAUAAUACUAAAUCGUCAUCGAACAUUAAGUAUGCGGACCCUGCAGGUUCAAGAACUAUGUAGACAUGACCGAGACACCUCUCCGGACAAUAACCAAUAGCGGAACCUGGAUGCUCAUAUUGCCUUCUACAUAUUCUAUGAACACGUAAUUCCCUUUGUCAUCGGUAUGUUACUUGCCCGAGAUUCGAUCAUCAGUAUCUUCAUACAUAGUUCAAUCUCGUUACUGGAAAGUCUCUUUAUUCAUUUCGUAAUGCAUCAUCAUGUAACUAAGUCAUUAGUCACUUUGCUUGCAAGGCUUCUUAUGAUGUGUAUUACCGAGAGGGCCCAGAGACACCUCUCCGAUACUCGGAGUGACAAAUCCUAAUCUCGAUCUAUGCCAACCCAACAAACACCUUAGGAGAUACCUGUAGAGCAUCUUUAUAAUCACCUAGUUACGUUGUGACGUUUGAUAUCACACAAGGUAUUCCUCCGGUAUCCGGGAGUUGCAUAAUAUCAUAGUCGAAGGAAUAUGUAUUUGACAUGAAGAAAGCAAUAGCAAUAAAACUGAACGAUCAAUAUGCUAAGCUAACGGAUGGGUCAUGUCCAUCACAUCAUUCUCCUAAUGAUGUGAUCCCGUUAUAAAAUGACAACUCAUGUCCAUGGUUAGGAAACCUUAGCCAUCUUUGAUCAACGAGCUAGUAAAGUAGAGGCUCACUAGGGACUAAGUGUUUUGUCUAUGUAUUCACACAUGUAUUAAGGUUUCCGGUCAAUACAAUUCUAGCAUGAAUAAUAAACACUUAUCAUGAAUAAGGAAAUAUAAAAUAACAACUUUAUUAUUGCCUCUAGGGCAUAUUCCUUCAGAUAUCAUAUUGUGCAAGACAAUCGGUACUAGCACAUACUAGAAUUCAUCUUGUUCCCCCAAGAACUAAUGAAUUACUCAAACAUGGUGAUGGAGUACUGAUAGCCCACAAGUAUAGGGAAUCAAUUGUAGCCUCUUUCGAUAAGUAAGAGUGUCGAACCCAAUGAGUAGCUAAAGGUAGAAAAAAUAUUUCCUCAAGUUCUAUCGACCACCGAUACAACUCUACGCAGGCUUAACGUUCGCUUUACCUAGAACAAGUAUGAAACUAGAAAUACUUUGUAGGAGGGUUUUAGGAUUAUUAAAGUAGUGCAUAAUAUCUUUCACAUAAUGAGCAUCGAGGGUUUUAGGAGGUUCCCCAUCUCCACCAGUAGCAAGUACACCUAAUGUUUUUGGUAUUUAAUGUUCCAUAUGCAUAACUAAAGAUAUAAAACAACUUAGAAUAGCAAAUAAAAUCUAUUUAGUGAUAAAGCAAACAAACGCACACGAGAAUAUUCACCCCACGCUAUUGCUCCCCGGCAACGGCGUGCAGAAAAAGGUCUUGAUAACCCACAAGUAUAGGGGAUCAAUUGUAGCCUCUUUUGAUAAGUAAGAGUGUCUAAACCAAUGAGGAGCUAAAGGUAGAACAAAUAUUACCUCAAGUUCUAUCGACCACCGAUACAACUCUACGCACGCUUAACGUUCACUUUACUUAGAACAAGUAUGAAACUAGAAGUACUUUGUAGGUGUUGUAGGCUAGGUUUGCAAGAUAAUAAAGAGCACAUAAAUAAAAGCUAGGGGCUGUUUAUAUAAAGACACAACUAAGUUAGUUUUAGUAGAGAGCUUUUUGUCAUGAGAAAUUUAUUUGUCCCUAGGCAAUCGAUAACUAGACCGGUAAUCAUUAUAGCAAUUUUAUAUGAGGGAGAGGCAUAAGCUAACAUACUUUAUCUUCUUGGAUCAUAUGCACUUAUGAUUGGAACUCUAGCAAGCAUUCGCAACUACUAAAGAUCAUUAAGGUAAAACCCAACCAUAGCAUUAAAGUAUCAAGUCCUCUUUAUUCCCAUACGCCAUAACCCACUUAUCCGUGUUUGUGUUUCACUCACUCACGCAACACAGACAAUAAGCAAACCAUGAACAUAUUGCAAACCCUACAGCGGGGAUCCCUCACGCUUGCGCAACACGGAGAGCACCAUAGGACAGCACCAAUAAUAAAACAUGCAACUCAAACCAAUCACGGUCAUCAAUGAACCCAUAGGACAAAACAGAUCUACUCAAACAUCUUAGGAUAGCCAUACAUCAUUGGGAAAUAAUAUAUAGCAUUGAGCGCCAUGUUUAAGUAGAGAUUACAGAGGGGAGAAGAGGUGUUACACUGCUGCAUAGAGGGGAAGAGAGUUGGUGAUGACGGUGGUGAAGUUGUUGGUGUAGAUCGUUGUCACGAUGAUGGCCCCGACGGUGUUCCAGCGCCCCCGAGAGAAAGGGGGAGAGAGCCCCCCUUCUUCUUAUUCCUUCUUGACCUUCCCCCUAGAUGGGAAAAGGGUUUUCCCUCUAGUCCUUGGCUUCCAUGGAGGUAGAGGGGCGGGAGCUCCUCCGAGGUUGGAUCUCUCUCUCUCUCUCUCUCUCUCUCUCUCUNNNNNNNNNNNNNNNNNNNNNNNNNNNNNNNNNNNNNNNNNNNNNNNNNNNNNNNNNNNNNNNNNNNNNNNNNNNNNNNNNNNNNNNNNNNNNNNNNNNNNNNNNNNNNNNNNNNNNNNNNNNNNNNNNNNNNNNNNNNNNNNNNNNNNNNNNNNNNNNNNNNNNNNNNNNNNNNNNNNNNNNNNNNNNNNNNNNNNNNNNNNNNNNUUUGUGCCCUUCUGUUUCCACGCUCCCUGAUUCUGUCCUUUCACCGUUUCUUAAAUUCCCAGAGAUCCGUACCUCCGAUUGGGCUGAAAUUUUAACACAAUUUUUAUCUGGGUAUUUUCUUUCUUGCGCCAUAAGAAGGGCACCGACUGCCUAACAAAGUGGCCACAAUGGCCCAGGGCAUCGUCUCAUGCUGAUUCUUUUUCCCAAAAAUCACAUACAUUCCAAAAAAAAUCUCCGUAAGUUUUUACCCCGUUUGGACUCCGUUUGAUAUGGAUUUCCUGUGAAACAAAAAACAUGCAACAAAUAGGAACUGGCACUGGGCACUGGAUCAAUAUGUUAGUCCUAAAAAGAGUAUAAGAAGUUGCCAAAAGUAUAUGAAAGUUGUAGAAUAUUGGCAUGAAACAAUCAAAAGUUAUAGAUACGACGGAGACGUAUCAGCAUCCCCAAGCUUAAUUUUUGCUCGUCCUCGAGUAGGUAAAUGAUAAAAAAAAGAUAAUUUUUGAUGUGGAAUGCUACCUAGCAUAAUCUUGAUCAUAUAAUCUAAUCAUGGCAUGAAUAUUAAGACAUGAGUGAUUCAAAGCAAUAGUCUAUCAUUUGACAUUAAGACAGUAAUACUUCAAGCAUGCUAAUAAAGCAAUCAUGUCUUCUCAAAAUAAGCCAAAGAAAGUUAUCCCUACAAAAUCAUAUAGUCUGGCUAUGCUCCAUCUUCAUCACACAAAGUAUUUCAUCAUGCACAACCCCGAUGACAAGCCAAGCAAUUGUUGCAUACUUUUAAUGUUCUCAAGCCUUUUCAACUUUCAUGCAAUACAUGAGCGUGAGCCAUGGAUAUAGCACUAUAGGUGGAAUAGAAUAUGAUGGUGGAGGUCGUGUGGGGAAGACAAAAAGGAAUAAAGUCUCACAUCGACGCGGCUAAUCAACGGGCUAUGGAGAUGUAACACCCCGGAUGUAACCUAACUUAAUUGUAUUCCAACUCCUGCCUUUUCCCGGCUUUAAGUUAUGAGAUUCAUGGUUGGGUUUUGUCUUCGUUUUUUUUCUUGUCAUGCAUUUUUUCUUUUCUUUUCAUGUCUCUUGUUGCAUCAUGGCAUCAUCAUGUGCAUUUUUUUCUUUUCUUUUCAUGUCUCUUGUUGCAUCAUGGCAUCAUCAUGUGCAUCUUUAUGUUGUGAGCUUCUGCAUUUGAGGCUUGUUCUUUGGGAUCCUAGUUUCAUAUUAUUGCGUUUGUGUUGAUUUUUCUACAGCAACCCCAACAUAUUAUAUAUGUUUUUGGGGUAGAAAAAUCCAAUGAAUCCAGUGGUGGCCUUAGUUUCUGCAUUUGAGCAAGUUCAUGAACCUGUCCUUUUCCAUCAUGUUGCUGUUUUGUCUUCUAGGUGUUUAUUCAUGCAAUCUUUCUAUGAGGUGGUUAAGCACCUGGUUAGCUUCAUUUUCAUGUAUACUUCAUGCUAGAACUUGUUCCAUGCCAUGACAUGCCUUGUAGUGAGUUAAUCAAGCUUGUAAAGAUGCCAUGUUGAAUCUGUUUUUGUCAUGUCCUGGAAUUUCUCUAAGUCUGUAAUCUGUUUAUGUUUUUGCCAUGUUCACAUGCUUGCAAUUGUAUUUUCUGAUCCCUUUUGGCUCAAGGUCACUAAGGGACUUUUGUUAAGCUCUUUGAGUAGCUCCAUGUCAUGCCUUGCUUUUCCAUGUUCAGUUCCUGUAGCAUAUAGUUUUCUUGCUCCAAAGUGUGCUACCUGAUCUGGAAUUCCAGACAAGUGUUAAUUUCACUAAGUCUGAAAUCUGUUUACCAAUUGCACUUUUGCCAUGCUUGUUUGAACUUGUUAAUGGAUAAAUUGGCCGUAGCUCAGUGUUCAUAUUUUGUUAAACAUCAUGAAUGGAUCGCUGCCAUGUAUUUUGUUGCCAUGUUUGGGUGCUGUAGCAUGUUUGUCUUGUUGCAUUUAGAUGGCUACUUGCUGUAUAUCGCAGACCGGUGCCAUAUUUGAAUCGCUUGCCAUUUCCAAACCGUGUCUCCGAUUCCGGUGUUCUUUAUAUCGAUUUCAACCGAAAUCACCUCACCUUUCCAGUGGCACACUUGGUUUUCCAAGUUGAGGCCAGGUUCGUUCAAUCCUUUCCAAAUCUUGCAUAUGCAUCACAUAUCGCAUCCCGCAUAGCAUACCAUGUUUGCAUCAUGUUGUUUGAGCUUUGCAUGUGGUUGAUUGUGUCCCUUUUGCUUGUUUGUCUUGUUUGGGUAGAGCCGGGAGAUGAGUUCGCUAAUGAGGAGCCCGUUGAGUUUGCUUUCGAGGAUCCAGUCAACUCUGACAACUUUGCAGGCAAGAUGAUCAUACCCUCGAAAUCACUUCUAUCUUUGCUUUGCUAUAUGCUCGCUCUUUUGCUAUGCCUAUGCUACGAUGCCUACCACUUGCUUAUCAUGCCUCCCAAAUUGCCAUGUCAAACCUCUAACCCACCAUGUCCUAGCAAACUGUUGAUUGGCUAUGUUACCGCUUUGCUCAGCCCCUCUUAUAGCGUUGCUAGUUGCAUGUGAAGAUUGGAGCCCGUUCCUUGUUGGAACAUUAUUUUCUUGUUGGGAUAUCAUUAUAUUAUCUUGUUAUCUUAAUGCAUCUAUAUACUUGGUAAAGGGUGGAAGGCUCGGCCUUUUAGCCUAGUGUUUUGUUCCACUCUUGCCGCCCUAGUUUUUCGUCAUAUCGGUGUUAUGUUCCCGGAUUUUGCGUUCCUUAUGCGGUUGGGUGAUAAUGGGAACCCCUUGAUAGUUCGCCUUGAAUAAAACUCCUCCAGCAAUGCCCAACCUUGGUUUUACCAUUUUCCACCUAGCCUCUUUUUCCCUUGGGUUUCCGGAGCCCGAGGGUCAUCUUAUUUAAACCCCCCAUCGGGCCAGUGCUCCUCUGAGUGUUGGUCCACCUCGUCAGCCGCCGGUGGCCACCAGGGGAAACUCUGGGCUGGCCUACCGGAAGUUUAGACAAUCUGAGUGUGCCCUGAGAACGAGAUAUGUGCAGCUCCUAUCGGGAUUUGUCGGCACAUUCGGGCGGUGUUGCUGGAUUUGUUUUAACUUGACGAAGUGUCUUGUAGAACCGGGAUACCGAGUCUGAUCGGAAUGUAUCGGGAGAAGGUUUAUCCUUCGUUGACCGUGAGAGCUUGUCAUGGGCUAAGUUAGGACUCCCCUGCAGGGAUUUGAACUUUUGGAAGCCGUGCCCGCAGUUAUGGGCAGAUGGGAAUUUGUUAAUGUCUGGUUGUAGAUAACUUGAACCUUAACUUAAUUAAAAUGAAUCAACUGAGUGUGUUACCGUGAUGGUCUCUUCUCGGCGGAGUCCGGGGAGUGAACACGGUGUUGGAGUAAUGUUUGCGCAGGUUGUUCUCUAGUUAUUUGUUCGUGCAUUGCCUUCUCUUCUCGCUCUCAUUUGCGAAUAGGUUAGCCACCAUACAUGCUAGUUGCUUGCUGCAGCUCCACAUAUUGACCUUGCCUUACCUAUUAAGCUUAAAUAGUCUUGAUCGCGAGGGUGCGAGAUUGCUGAGUCCCUGUGGCUCACAGAUUACUUCCAAACCAGAUGCAGGGCCUGAUGACUCCGUUCCAUAUGACGCGCUUGAGCUCAAGUGGGAGUUCGACGAGGACUCACGCCGUUACUAUGUGUCUUUCCCUGAUGAUCAGUAGUGGUGCCUAGUUGGGGCGAUCGGGACCGUGUCGCAUGUUGGGUUGAUCUUUUAUUUUGGCACCGUAGUCAGGCCAUGAGUGAUUGUAUGAUGUAAUGCUAUUUAUGUACCUUGUUUGAUGUGUCGAGUGUAAGCCAACUAUGUUACCUUCCCCUUUUAUUAUCUAUAUUACAUGGGAUGUUGUGAAGAUUGCCUUACUUGCGACAUUGCUUUCAAUGCGGUUAUGCCUCUAAGUCGUGCUUCGACACGUAGGAGAUAUAGCCGCAUCGAGGGCGUUACAGGAGAUGCCCAUCAAUUGAUGUAAAUGCGAGGAGUAGGGAUUGCCAUGCAACAAAUGCACCAGAGCUAUAAGUGUAUGAAAGCUCAAACUGAAAACUAAGUGGGUGUGCAUCCAACUUGCUUGUUCAUGAAGACCUCUGGCAUUUGAGGAAGCCCAUCAUCGGAAUAUGCAAGCAAAGUUAUAUAAUGAAAAUUCCCACUAGUAUAUGAAAAUGAUAACUCAAGAGACUCUCUAUAUGAAGAACAUGGUGCUACUCUGAAGCACAAGUGUGGUAAAAGGAUAGUAGCAUUGCCCCUUCUCUCUUUUUCUCUCAUUCAUUUUUUGUUUUUUUUUUGUUUUUUGGGCCCUCUCUUUUUUUCGUCCAGAGUCUCAUCCCGACUUGUCGGGAAUCAUAGUCUCCAUCAUCCUUUCCUCACUGGGGCAAUGAUCUAAUAAUGAUGAUCAUCACACUUUUAUUUACUUACAACUCAAUAUUACAACUCGUUAUCUAGAACAAAGUAUGACUCUAUAUGAAUGCAUCUGGCAGUGUACCAGGAUGUGCAAUGAUCUAGCAUAGGAAAGAUAUAAAAAAGGACAAGCCAUGGAAAUAUCAUGCUAGAUAUCUUACGAUCAUGCAAAGCAAUAUGACAAUGAACGCUCAAGUCAUGUAUAUGAUGAUGAUGGAAGUUGCAUGGCAAUAUAUCUCGGAAUGGCUAUGGAAAUGCCACGAUAGGUAGGUAUGCUGGCUGUUUUGAGGAAGAUAUAAGGAGGCUUAUGUGUGAUAGAGCGUAUCGUAUCACGGGGUUUGGAUGCACCGGCAAAGUUUGCACCAACUCUCGAGGUGAGAAAGGGCAAUGCACGGUACCGAAGAGGCUAGCAAUGAUGGAAGGGUGAGAGUGCGUAUAAUCCAUGGACUCAACAGUAGUCAUAAAGAACUCACAUAAUUAUUGCAAAAAAUUAUUAGCUAUCAAAACAAAGUACUACGCGCAUGCUCCUAGGGGGAUAGAUUGGUAGGAAAAGACCAUCGCUUGUCCCCGACCGCCACUCAUAAGGAAGACAAUCGAUAAAUAAAUCAUGCUCCGACUUCAUCACAUAACGGUUCACCAUACGUGCAUGCUACGUGAAUCACAAACUUCAACACAAGUAUUUCUACAAUCCACAAUUACCCACUAGCAUGACUCUAAUAUCACCAUCUUUAUAUCGCAAAACUAUUGCAAGGAAUCAAACAUAUCAUAUGCAGUGAUCUACAAGUUUUAUGUAUGAUUUUAUGACUAACCAUGUGAAUGACCAAUUCCUGUCAACUCUCUAAAUAGAUAUAAGUGAAGAAAGAGAGUUUAAUUCUUUCUACAAAAGAUGUGCCCACACUCUAACAAAUAUAAGAGAAGCGAAAGAGCACUCUACAAAUGGCGGUUUUCUAUGUGUAGGAAAACAGGCAAUCCAAACUUCAAAUGAUAUAAGUGAAGCACAUGAAGCAUUCUAUAAAGCCAUACUCAAAAGAUAUAAGUGAAGUGCAAAGAGCAUUCUAUAAAUCAACCAAGUACUACCUCAUACCAGCAUGGUGCAUUAUUCAAAGAAAAAGAAAAAUCACACGACGCUCCAAGAUUUACGCAUAUCAUGUGACCAAUAAAAAUAUAGCUCCAAGUAAAAUUACCGAUGAUCGUUAGAAGAAAGAGGGGAUGCCUUUUGGGGCAUACCCAAGCUUAGUUGCUUGGAAGUCCUUGAAUAUUACCUGGGGGUGCUUCGGUCAUCCCCAAGCUUGGGCUCUUGCCACUCCUUAUUCCUUCAUCCAUCAUGAUCUUACCCAAAACUUGAAAACUUCAAUCACACAAAACUUAACAAAACCCUCAUGAGAUCCGUUAGUAUAAUAAAACAAAUCACCACUUCAAGUACUAUUGCAAACUCAUUCAUAUUAUUAUUUUUUCAUUGUAGCUACUGUAUUAUAACUUCUUUAUGGCUUAUACCAUCGAUAAAAUCGAUAGUUUCAUCAAAACUAGCAAAACAAUGCAUAAAAAACAGAAUAUGUCUUAAACAUGAUAGUCUGUAGUAAUCUGAACCUCAACCAUACUUCUGUAACUCCAAAAAUUCUGAAAAAUGAGGACAAAAUAAACAAUUUGUAUAUAAGUAUUGUGCAAAAAGUUUUAGAAGCGUUUGACUUUCUAGUAAAAAAAGUAAAAUCACGCACUAUAGCCACAGUUUUUGCACCGCACAAACCAAACAAGCAAUCUAAUCAUCCUAAAGGAAAAUCUUGGAACAUUAUUUUUAUAAUACAAUGGAAUUGUACAAGGGUAUAAUUAUUUUUGUGAGAAUCUUCAUGAAAAAUUCUACAUUGUUUCCAUGAGCAUGAACACAAGUGUUCAAGGUCGACCCUCACUUCACCAAUGCAUCACCUUUCAAUCCUUCUCUUUUUGUGAAGUUUUAAGUUCCCCUCUAUAUUUUUUAUUUUUAAACUUUAUAACAGCACUCAGCAGAAAUAAAUGACUCUCUAAAACUUCCGGGUUGUCUCCCUGGUAGCGCUUUCUUUAAAGCCAUUAAGCUAGGCAUAUAGUGCUCAAGUAACGGAUCCACCCGGAUCCCAAGGUAUAUCAAAGCCAAUUUUAAUUAACAAUGAUUUGUGAUUUAGUAGUGAACACAAAGUAACAUAUAUCAUGUAAUGACGAAGUUUAACUCUCUUCCUAUGCAUCGGCAUGUCAUAAAAGAACAAUUCAUGCACACAAAGUAAAGGCCAAUGCAUAGUAUAAACAGUUUGUUGCAAUUUUAUCGGAUUGGAAACAUAGAGAGGCGGAGAUGUAGUUCCUCUCUCAUAAUAAUUGCAAGUAGGAGCAACAAGCACAUGCAUAUUAUAUUUAUCAAAAUCAUCAUCUGCAAUAGUAGAACGCAACCCAUCAAUAUAAUCCUUAAUAAGAGCAAACUUCUCCGAUAUAGUGUAGCUGGGAGAAUUCAAAAAGAUAAUAGGACUAUCAUGCGUAGGUGCAAUAGAGACAAUUUUGAUUCUUAACAUAACAAACUAUAGCAAGUUCAUCUCCAUAAGCAUAACUCAUAUUGGCAUCAUGGCCACAAGCAUAGCAAUUAUCAAGUUCAUCAGAGAGGGAUAUUUCAAAUGAAUCAACGAGAUCAUAGCAAUUAUCAUAGCAUUCAUCCUUCGGUAAGGAUGAAGGGACAUUAAACAAUCUAUGAGUUGGAGGGUUACUCUCAUUAGAAGGUGGGUACAGGUAGCUAAUCCGCUCUUCCUCCUUUUGUUCUUCGCUCUCCUCAUCAUCUUUUUCAUCCAAUGAGCUCACAGUUUCAGCAAUUUCUUCUUCCAUAGUUUCUUGCAAAAUAUUAGUCUCGUCUUCGACAGCGGAGGAGUCCUCAAUAAACGCAUCAAUAUCGGCAUUGUAUUCAUAAUUCUCAUAGCAAUAAUUAAGUAUAGCAAAAUUUUCAGGUCUGUAAACAUCAUCAUAAAGAUCUUCACACUUUUUAAACAAAGAUUCAAUUUCAUAAGCACCCUUAAAAGCAACGAAUUCUUCUAUUCGUUCCACAUCAUGGUAAUCAUAUAUACCAUUAGCAUAAGAAGCCAAGGUUUUAUUAUCAUUAAAUUUACAUGAAAAGGGAAGGUGUGGAGCCUUCAUCCUAGAGCAACAAGUACAAUCAUAUCUCAAGCAUAGUUCACGAGCAUACCAAUGCAACAUAUGAAUUUGAUCCCAUAAUAGUUUCCCUUUUUGUGUCAAUCGAUAAUCCCUAAAGUAUUCACGUUGAUCCAACAUGUCUCCCAUUAUAUAAUUGAAUGGGGUUUUCUCAGGAUUAUUAAAGUAGUGCAUAAUAUCUUUCACAUAAUGAGCAUCGAGGGUUUUAGGAGGUUCCCCAUCUCCACCAGUAGCAAGUACAGCUAAUGUUUUUGGUAUUUCAUGUUCCAUAUCCAUAACUAAAGAUAUAAAACAACUUAGAAUAGCAAAUAAAAUCUUUUUAGUGAUAAAGCAAACAAACACACACGAGAAUAUUCACCCCAUGCUAUUGCUCCCCGGCAACGGCGCCAGAAAAAGGUCUUGAUAACCCACAAGUAUAGGGGAUCAAUUGUAGCCUCUUUCGAUAAGUAAGAGUGUCUAAACCAAUGAGGAGCUAAAGGUAGAACAAAUAUUCCCUCAAGUUCUAUCGACCACCGAUACAACUCUACGCACUCUUGACGUUCGCUUUACUUAGAACAAGUAUGAAACUAGAAGUACUUUGUAGGUGUUGUAGGCUAGGUUUGGAAGAUAAUAAAGAGCAUAUAAAUAAAAUCUAGGGGCUGUUUAUAUAAAGACACAACUAAGUUAGUUUUAGUAGAGAGCUUUUUGUCAUGAGAAAGUUAUUUGUCCCUAGGCAAUCGAUAACUAGCCCGGUAAUCAUUAUAGCAAUUUUACAUGAGGGAGAGGCAUAAGCUAACAUACUUUAUCUUCUUUGAUCAUAUGAACUUAUGAUUGGAACUCUAGAAAGCAUCCGCAACUACUAAAGAUCAUUAAGGUAAAACCCAACCAUAGCAUUAAAGUACCAAGUCCUUUUUAUUCCCAUACGCCAUAGCCCACUUAUCAGUGUUUGUGUUUCAGUCACUCACGCAAUGUAGACAAUAAGCAAACCAUGAACAUAUUGUAAACCCUAUAGCGGGGAUCCCUCACGCUUGCGCGACACGGAGAGCACCAUAGGACACCACCAAUAAUAAAACAUGCAACUCAAACCAAUCAUGAUCAUCAAUGAACCCAUAGGACAAAACGGAUCUACUCAAACAUCAUAGGAUAGCCAUACAUCAUUGGGAAAUAAUAUAUAGCGUUGAGUACCAUUUUUAAGUAGAGAUUAAAGCAAGGAGAAGAGGUGUUACACCCCUGCACAGAUGUAGCGACCCGACCCAAAAUGGAUCGAAGUCUCUGUGCUUAAGUGUCAUCCCUGGAUCGGUAUGCUGACACACACAGUACACGAGGAAUUAUAACAGAGUUCAAUCACACUUUAUUACAUCGAGGUUCUCAAAAGAGUAUUUAUUACAAUAAUAUGGUCAAAGGCCAUCUCAAUAAAAAUAACUGCGGAAGCAUUGAAGGUAAAUGAGUCCAUCCAACUCCACGGCAAACUGAGUGUAGAACAACGACCUAUCGCACCUUUAAUCUUCGUCGGAAAAGUCUGCAACAUGAGACGUUGCAGCCGUGUAGGUCAGCACAUGGAAUAUGCUGGCAAUUUCACACCAUAGAAUAAUAAUAAAUGAAAAGACUAUUUCUAUAUGCAAAUUUAGCUAGUGGAGGCUCUAAGUUUUAUUUUGCAUAAAUCUAAUUUUACCCUACAACAAAUGAUUUUAUUUAUUACUACUAAGUUAAAAUGCCAUUAUUGAGAAGGUUCCUCCAACUCAAUCCCAAAAUUCCCAAGUUAUUAGUAACCCAAUAAUUUCAUUAAAUAGAGUGAUGAGAUCAACCAAUAAUUCACUUCUAGAUACUCAAAUUGUCCAUAACCGGGGACAUGGCUAAUCAUGAUUAGUUUGUACACUCUGCAGAGGUUUGCGCACUUUUCCCCACAAGACUCGACCGCCUCCAUGAUCGGAAGAUCGAGACAUAGCCUUUCAAAAGUGUUUCCCCUUAACCCUUGGUAGACUGGUACACCUACUGUCCCCUACAUCAGCUAGUCUACCACGGAAAGAGACAUAGCCUUUCAAAAGUGUUUCCCCUUAACCCUUGGUAGCUUGUGGCUGCACACGGAAGUUUCUAGGCAUGAAAUAUCUUAUGAUCCCUUUGAGCUUGGGUGGCGGACCUAGGGUUAUCACAUGGGUACUCCGGUAUUCCCCUUGGGCAAGCACUGGUUACUCCAAGUGCCCCAAACAAUCCACCCAUAUGUGUAUUAAAGUUGCCACCUUAUGGUGUCCCAAAAUUAUUAUCUCUCACAACUUACAUGGAUCACACAUACCAAUCCCCGUCUACGAGCAUGGCUAAGCAAUAUAUGAUAUAACGAAUAUUCUCGGGCUGAUCAAAGGUCAUAGGUUCCUACCACAAGAACUACAAAGCAUAACCACAUGUUCCCAAUCCUACUCAUGCAAUCUUUGAGGGUGAAACUAAUGCAUAGUAAAAACUGGGUAUUGAAAAUUAUGAUCAAAGUGUGAACUUGCCUUGCUGAUGUUCGCUGAACUGUAAAGAUUCGUGGUAGCAAGCUUCGCACUCUGGAUGAUCUAACGUAAGUAAGCAAUAACAUACAUAAGCAUAUAAGCAAAGAUCCAAAAAGAAAACAAAUGAAAGACUUCAAAAAACUCCAAAACAACCAAAUAAAGUUUCUGUACAUAACAUAAUUUUUACAGUAGCAAAAAUAUGUGUGUUCGGGUCUAACAGAAAGUACACGUUACGAGCUUCGAUUUGCAAAAAGAAUCACCUAAAAUGGAGUUACGAAACUCAAUUUAUGGCCUAACGAAGUUUGAAUUCAAAUCUGUUUGAAUUCAAAUUUUAAAAUUUUCAAAAAUAUUUUUCGUUUGGUUCUCUGGAUAGAUGGGGUUUCUAUGAACUAGUAGGAAAAAGAAUCAACUAAAUCGGAUCUAUAUACUAAAAGAUAAACAAGAAAGAAGAUUUGGUAAAGAAUCUGAAUUUGGAAAAAUUCCUGAAAAAGAAAACAAAAUGGGCCAGAGACAAGUGGCGCUCUAUGAUUCGUUGGCUGGGUGCUCACCGGACUUGUCGCCGGAGACGAGGAAGAAGGUGGCUCCGGUGUGCUUUGACGAAGGACGCGUGCGGAAUGAUGUAGAGGAGGAUGAGGUGAACCACUUGAACAAGUUGUGGUGGUAGAUUGCUUCCUGUAUGCACGGUGAGAGGUUGCCGGAAUUCAUGAACUCCGGCGAGCAAUUGGCGAGGUUAGGGAGGGGCAAAAACUCCAGAAGGAGAGGGCUUCAGACGAGGGUUGGGAGGGGCUCCCAGGGGUGCUUUAUAUAGGGCAGGGGAGGUCCAGAGUUGGGUGGGGCGAGAUGUGUUAAUGGCUGCAGUUUUAAGCGCUCAUGAUGGCCAUUAUGGUUGUCUUUGAGGCGCACCAGGGAAUGGGAGGGGUCGAGGGAGGUGAGGGGGUUCCAUUCAGAGGCGUUUUGGAGCGGGGGAGAGGAAGAUGAGGGGAGGAAGAGGUAGAGGCGCCAUGGAUGAACAUUCUGUCAGUGUUCACGUACAGAGAGGAGGAAGAAGGAGAUAGCACCUGGGCCUGGGCCUGCUGGGUUGCGUAUUUUUUUUAAAACAUUUUUUUACAGAAGCAAAGAAACACCGAAAAUACAAAUAAAAGUUAGCCUAAAAAUCCCAGAAAAUUCACAUAGUUAUACGGUCUUAUAUAUGACCUAGUGAACUUUUAUCUGGCCUAAAAUGCAAGUUUUAAAAAAUAAAUAUUUUUGCUAAACUAAUAAAAUAAAUUGCAAAUAAAACCCAACAAUUAUAUUUUGAUUCCAAAUUCAAUUUCCAAUAUUUUCCUUCUGUUUUUGAAGAAGUCAUUUUAUCUUCUCUCUUUAUUUUAUUUUUGAUAUAAUGGAAAUGAAUUAAUUUGGUGAAACCAAAUUUGAUCCAUAUCCCAACUUUGAAAUUUCAAAAGUGGGUUUUGGGGAAACUUCCAACUCUCUCUUUUGGUCCUUGAGUUGCUCAAAGUUCCUUGGAUCAAAAAUCAAAUAAAACAAAUGGGGCAAAAACGCAUAAAUCAUGGAUGCAUAUGAAUGAUCUAUUAUAAACAUCCAAAUUGAAAAUUGGGAUGUUACAACAGAAGGGGGGAGAGUUGGUGAUGACAGUGGUGAAGUUGUUGGUGUAGAUCGCGGUCACGAUGAUGGCCCCGACGGUGUUCUGGCGCCACCGGGAGAGAGGGGGAGAGAGCCCCCCCCCCAUUCUUCUUCUUCCUUCUUGACCUUCCCUUAGAUGCGAGAAGGGUUUCCCCUCUGGUCCUUGUCUUCCAUGGUGGCGGAGGGGCGAGAGCCCCUCCGAGAUUGGAUCUCUCUCUCUCUCUCUCUCUCUCUCUCUCUCUCUCUUUCUUUUUGUUUCUGGGUUCCCCGAUUCUGGCCUUUCACCAUUUCUUAAAUUCCGGGAGAUCCUUAACUCCAAUUGGGCUGAAAUUUUAACACGAUUUUUAUCCGGGCAUUAGCUUUCUUGCGCAAGAAGAAGGGCACCAACCGCCUUACGGAGUGGCCACAAGGGCCCAGGGCAUCGUCUCGCGUUGAUUUUUUCCCAAAAAUCACAUAUAUUCCAAAAAAACUCCAUACGUUUUUAUCCUAUUUGGACUCCGUUUGAUAUGGAUUUUUUGUGAAACAAAAAACAUGCAACAAACAGGAACUAGCACUGGGCACUGGAUCAAUAUGUUAGUCCCAAAAAGAGUAUAAAAAAUUGCCAAAAAUAUAUGAAAGUUGUAGAAUAUUGGCAUGAAACAAUAAAAAAUUAUAGAUAUGAUGGAGACGUAUCAAGUACAUAGAGGUGAGGGACAAUUUACAAGCCAACAUGAAGUUGGAGAUGGAGAGAAACAUGACGACAAUGAUGACGAGGGCACCGGCCUUCCGGCCGGCGCUGAACGUGGGAGGCGCCUCCUCCCUUCUCCUUUCCUUGUCUUGGCCCUUCUCUAUGGUGGAGUUUGCUGCAAUGAAGGUGUGGUGGUUGUAGAUGGAACUUUUGGAGGAUGAAUAUGAGAUGAGCCAGCGGCUAGGGUUGGAGGUCUUCAUAUAGGGGUGCUCCUCGGGUGGCAUCCGUUGAUCUAGCCUCAUCCCCUUCAUCCAUGGGCUCAAGGGGAGCCAAAUCCACGUCCCAAACAAGCCUUGGUCGUCAAGGAUCUCGUAGGGAAAGCGGGGAUGAAAUUGGAGCAAAAUUUGGAGAGAUAUGGCCAAUUUCCGUGCCAGUCUAGAGCUCAAAUGAGCGGCUCCCGUCGCAUGAAAGGUUGUCUUUCCUUCUGGACUUGGGAGCUGCUUCUUUAUUUCGGUCGCCAUUUCUACAUAUGAACUCCAAUUUCGACAUUCUUAGGCUCGUUGGAUUGCUAGCAAAAAGCAUGAUGCAUUUGUGGAAUUAUAUCUUCAUUUUGUACACUUUGAUAAAUGUCAAAUCAUCAAACUCUCCAAAGGGCCUUGAUCUGGUGCUUGGAACUUCUCCAGUUUGACCCCUAGCUCCACUAUUUUGAUGUCCCAAGUCCAUGAACAUGUAAACACACUUACAAAGACUACUAAACAAAGGAAAGCUAAAUAAAAAUAAAAGGUGUGCAUGGAACUUGCUAAAACAAGUAAACACCGAAAAAUAUGCAUUGGAGAAAUGAAUAAGUGCUAGAUGGAUAUGAUAUGAGGGUUUUUGGCACUAUAAUAUACGCUAAAAUGUAUGCAUAAAAUCCACUCAUAAGGCGGCGGCUUGGGGUGAUGAAGAUGGCUAUGGUGAUGAUGACGAAGACUGGUUUCUUCUGUGAUGUUCUGUUAUCCAUUUAGCGUUGGCCCCUUUAUAAAUGUUGUCCAGGUGGACGAGGAGACUCGGUUUCCAUGCCAUGCGACCGCUCAUAUGAGUGGGCUCGGUCACAUGGAAUGCCGCCUUUUGCUCUAUUUCUUCUGGUGUGCCUCCCACUUGAUUAUUUCUAUCUCCACUUUACUUCUUUCCAAGUAUUGGCUUGAUUUCUUCCAUAGAUAGCCCAUUUCCCAUGGAAACAAAAUAAAUAAAGAAUUUUUGGAAUUCUAUGCAUUCAUUAGUCAUUAGUGGCAAUAGUGGAGCGAAAUAUCUCAGUUUUAAUGAAAUAUAUCUGUUUAAACUCAGGUUAGAGAAGUGUAAAAAUAACAGUCAUCAUCAUGUACCAGUAUCUCCAACGUCAUCUACUUCGACCAGUCUUCACCAAUGUCAUCGUCAACAACAUUGCUCUUACAACAGUCACGGCUACAAACAAAUAGUACGUGUGUCGUGGCCUGUUCAUGUCUGUGAUAUGGUUACUGUUGCAUAUGCGAUGUUGUUGCAUACGUUUUCUGUUUAUUAGUGUGCAUCGACUGUUGGAUAAUUCAGCAAUUUUGUAAUUAAUUUUAGAAUAUAAAUUGACUAAAAUUAUUAUUAAGGGCCAGUUCUUUUGGCUGAUUUUGAAAACUGCCCACCGAAUCACGUGCCCAAAUAAUCAGCCGUCUAGUUCUUUUCUACGACUCUAGCAUGUGCUUGUUGUAUGAGUUGUGUGCUAAAACAUUUGUAACGCCUCCUAGAUUGAAACCGCAUGUUGAAUUGCGAACACUGGGUAAUUCAAAUAGUUUCACGUCUAAUAUGAACAUGAAAGCGAGUUGCAAAUCUCAUGAAGUGUUUAAUAUUAUAAUUUAAAAGCAAGUUGCAAAUAUCAUAAAGUGCUUGAUAUUACAUUUUAAAAAGUGAGUUGCAAACUACAAAUAGAAGGAUGAUCUCAAGGUACAAGCAUACGACAAUGAUGCAGAGGGAAAGCACAAACGAUGCCUCCUGCAGGGAGGAUGUAGAGGGGCGACGACCAUGGAGGUGACAUGUAUGGUUGUGGAGGAGACGGGAAGGCCGAGCGCGGAGGUGACAGGGAUGGCGGGGGAUGGGACUGGGAUGGUUGUGGAGAAGACGGGAAGGCCGGACGCAGGUGACGGGGAUGGCAGCGGACUUGACAGGACAGUGUCAUAGGGGACCUGCCAUCGACGGAUCUGACAGUGCCGGGUCGGCUCGCCAGUUGGCGAGCGAACCCUAUCUUGGUUUGAGUGCUUGUGGGAGGAAAUAUGCCCUAGAGGCAAUAAUAAAGUUAUUAUUUAUUUCCUUAUAUCAUGAUAAAUGUUUGUUAUUCAUGCUAGAAUUGUAUUAACCGGAAACAUAAUACAUGUGUGAAUACAUAGACAAAUAGAGUGUCACUAGUAUGCCUCUACUUGACUAGCUUGUUGAAUCAAAGAUGGUUAAGUUUCCUAGCCAUAGACAUGAGUUGUCAUUUUAUUAACAGGGUCACAUCAUUAGAGAAUGAUGUGAUUGACUUGACCCAUUUCAUUAGCUUAGCACUUGAUCGUUUAGUUUGUUGCCAUUGCUUUCUUCAUAACUUAUAUAUGUUCCUAUGACUAUGAGAUUAUGCAACUCCCGUUUAUCGGAGGAACACUUUGUGCACUACCAAACGUCACAACGUAAAUGGGUGAUUAUAAAGGUGCUCUACAGGUGUCUCCGAAGGUAUUUGUUGGGUUGGCGUAUUUCGAGAUUAGGAUUUGUCACUCCGAUUGUCAGAGAGGUAUCUCUGGGACUUCUCGGUAAUGCACAUCACUGAAGCCUUGAAAGCAUUGCAACUAAUAAGUUAGUUGCGGGAUGAUGUAUUACGGAACGAGUAAAGAGACUUGCCGGUAACGAGAUUGAACUAGAUAUUGGGAUACCGACGAUCGAAUCUCGGGCAAGUAAAAUACCAAUGACAAAGGGAACAAUGUAUGUUGUUAUGCGGUCUGACCGAUAAAGAUCUUCGUAGAAUAUGUAGGAGCCAAUAUGAGGAUCCAGGUCCCGCUAUUGUUUAUUGACCGGAGACAUGUCUCGGUCAUGUCUACAUAGUUCUCGAACCCGUAGGGUCCGCACGCUUAACGCUACGAUGACAGUUAUAUUAUGAGUUUAUAUGUUUUGAUGUACCAAAGGAGUUUGGAGUCCCGGAUGAGAUCAGGGACAUGACGAGGAGUCUCGAAAUGGUCGAGACGUAAAGAUUGAUAUAUUGGACGACUAUAUUCGGACUUCGGAAAGGUUCCGAGUGAUUCGGGUAUUUUUAGGAGUACCAGAGAGUUACGAGAAUUCGCCGGGGAGUAUAUGGGCCUUAUUAGGCCAUACGGGAAUAGAGGAGAUAGGCCAAAAGGAAGCAGGCCUGCGCCCCCCCUCUGGUCCGAAUUGGACAAGGGGUGCAGCCCCCUUUUCCUUCUCCCUCUCCUCCUCUUUCCUUCACUCCUACUCCAAUAAGGAAAGGAGGAGUCCUACUCCCGGUGGGAGUAGGACUCCCCCCUUGGCGCGCCUUCCUCCUAGGCCGGCCGCCUCCCCCUUGCUCCUUUAUAUACAGGGGCAGGGGGGCACCUUUAGACACAACAAUUGAUCAUUGAUCUCUUAGCCGUGUGCGGUGCCCCCCUCCACCAUAAUCCUCGAUAAUAUUGUAGCGGUGCUUAGGCGAAGCCCUGUAACGGUAGAACAUCAAGAUCGUCACCACGUCGUCAUGCUGACGGAGCUCUUCCCCGACAUUCUGCUGGAUCGCAGUCCGGGGAUCGUCAUCGAGCUGAACAUGUGCUAGAACUCGGAGGUGUCAUAGUUUCACUGCUUGAUCGGUCGGGCCGUGAAGACAUACGACUACAUCAACCGCGUUGUCAUAACGCUUACGCUUUCGGUCUACGAGGGUACAUAGACAACACUCUCCCCUCUCGUUGCUAUGCAUCACCAUGAUCUUGCGUGUGCGUAGGAAUUUUUUUGAAAUUACUACGUUCCCCAACAUUGGCAUCCGAGCCAGGUUUUAUGUGUUGAUGUAAUAUGUACGAGUAGAACACAAGUGAGUUGUGGGCGAUAUAAGUCAUACUGCUUACCAGCAUGUCACACUUUGGUUCGGUAGUAUUGUUGGAUGAAGCGGCCCGGACCGACAUUACGCGUACGCUUACGCGAGACUUGUUCAACCGACGUGCUUUGCACACAGGUGGCUGGCGGGUGUCAGUUUCUCCAACUUUAGUUGAACCGAGUAUGGCUACGCCUGGUCCUUGCGAAGGUUAAAACAUCACCAACUUGACAAACUAUCGUUGUGGUUUUGAUGCGUAGGUAAGAACGGUUCUUGCUCAGCCCGUAGCAGCCACGUAAAACUUGCAACAACAAAGUAGAGGACGUCUAACUUGUUUUUGUAGGGCAUGUUGUGAUGUGAUAUGGUCAAGACGUGAUGAGAUAUAAGUUGUUGUAUGAGAUGAUCAUGUUUUGUUGAAGUUAUCGGCAACCGGCAAAAGCCUUAUGGUUAUCUCUCUGUUGCAUAAGAUGCAAGCGCCAAAUAAUUGCUUUACUUUAUCGCUAUGCGAUAGCAAUAGUUGCAAGAGCAAUUGUUGGCGAGACAACCUUGUGACGACACAUUGAUAUAGAUCAAGAUGAUGGAGAUCAUGGUGUCAUGCCGGUGACGAUGGAGAUCAUGACGAUGCUUUGGAGAUGGAGAUCAAAGGCACAAGAUGAUGAUGGCCAUAUCAUGUCACAUAUUUUGAUUGCAUGUGAUGUUUAUCUUUUAUACAUCUUAUUUUUCUUAGUUCGACGGUAGCUUUAUAAGAUGAUCUCUCACUAAUUAUCAAGGUACAAGUGUUCUCCCUGAGUAUGCACCGUUGCAAAAGUUCUUCGUGCUGAGACACCACGUGAUGAUCGGGUGUGAUAGGCUCUAUGUUCAAAUACAACAGGUGCAAAACAGUUGCACACACGGAAUACUCAGGUUAAAACUUGACGAGCCUAGCAUAUAACAGAUAUGGCCUAGGAACACGAAGACCGAAAGGUCGAGCAUGAAUCAUAUAGUAGAUAUGAUCAACAUAGUGAUGUUCACCAUUGAAACUACUCCAUCUCACGUGAUGAUCGGACAUGGUUUAGUUGAUAUGGAUCACGUGAUCACUUAGAAGAUUAGAGGGGUGUCUGUCUAAGUGGGAGUUCUUAAGUAAUAUGAUUAAUUGAACUUUAAUUUAUCAUGAACUUAGUCCUGGUAGUAUUAGCAUAUCUAUGUUGAAGAUCAAUAGCUCGCAAUGUUGCUCCCAGUUUAUUGUGUUCCUAGAGAAAAAUUAUGUUCAAAAAUGUUAGUAGCAAUGAUGCGGAUUGGAUCCGUGAUCUGAGGAUUAUCCUCAUUGCUACACAGAAGAAUUAUGUCUUUGAUGCACCGCUAGGUGACAGACCUAUUGCAGGAGUAGAGGCGGACGUUAUGAACGUUUGGCUAGCUCAAUAUGAUGACUACUUGAUAGUUUAGUGCACCAUGCUUAACGACUUAGAAUCGGGACUUCAAAGAUGUUUUGAAUGUCAUGGACCAUAUGAGAUGUUCCAGGAGUUGAAGUUAAUAUUUCAAGUAAAUACCCGAGUUGAGAGAUAUGAAGUCUCCAACAAGUUCUAUAGCUAAAAAGAUGGAGGAGAAUAGCUCAUGUAGUGAGCAUGUGCUUAGAUUGUCUGGGUAUUACAAUCGCUUGAAUCAAGUGGGAGUUAAUCUUCCAGAUAAGAUAGUGAUUGACAGAAUUCUCUAGUCACCAUCACCAAGUUAGUAGAACUUCGUGAUGAACUAUGAUAUGCAAGGGAUAACGGAAACGAAUCCCAGGCUCUUCGUAAUGCUGAAAUCAAUGAAGGUAGAAAUCAAGAAAAAUAUCAAGUGUUGAUGAUAGACAAGACCACUAGUUUCAAGAAAAGGGCAAAGCGAAGAAGGGGAGCUUCAAGAAGAAUGGCAAGCAAGUUGCUGCUCAAGUGAAGAAGCCCAAGUCUGGUCCUAUGCCUGAGACUAAGUGCUUCUACUGCAAAGGGACUGGUCACUGGAAGCGGAACUGCCCCAGGUAUUUGGCGGAUAAGAAGGAUGGCAAAGUGAACAAAGGUAUAUUUGAUAUAUAGAUUAUUGAUGUGUAUUUUACUAGUGUUCGUAGCAACCCCUCACUAUUUGAUACUGGUUCAGUUGCUAAGAAUAGUAACUCGAAAUGGGAGUUGCGGAAUGAACAGAGACUAGUUAAGGGUGAUGUGACGAUGUGUAUUGGAAAUGGUUCCAAGAUUGAUAUGAUCAUCAUCCCACACUCCCUAUACUUUCGGGAUUAGUGUUAAACCUAAAAUAAAUGUUAUUUAGUGUUUGCGUUGAGCAUGAAUAUGAUUGGAUCAUGUUUAUUGCAAUACGGUUAUUCAUGUAAGUUAGAGAAUAAUUGUUGUUCUGUUUACAUGAAUAAAACCUUCUAUGGUCAUACACCCAAUGGAAAUGGUUUGUUGGAUCUCGAUCGUGGUGAUACACAAUUUUAUAAUAUUGAAGCCAAAAGAUGCAAAGUUAAUAAUGAUAGUGCAACUUAUUUGUGGCACUGCCGUUUAGGUCAUAUUGGUGUAAAGCGCAUGAAGAAAAUCCAUGCUGAUGGGCUUUUGGAAUCACUUGAUUAUGAAUCAGUUGAUGCUUGCGAACCAUGCCUCAUGGGAAAGAUGACUAAGACUCCUUUCUCCGGAACAAUGGAGCGAGCAACAGAUUUGUUGGAAAUCAUACAUACUGAUGUAUGAGGUCCGAUGAAUAUUGAGGCUCGCGGCAGGUAUCGUUAUUUUCUGAUCUUCACAGAUGAUUUGAAAAGAUAUGAGUAUAUCUACUUGAUGAAACACAAGUCUGAAACAUUUGAAAAGUUCAAAGAAUUUCAGAGUGAACUAGAGAAUCAUCGUAACAAAAAUAAAAGUUUCUACGAUAUGAUAACAGAAGUAAAAUAUUUGUCAUAGGCUCUAUAUACGGUAUGCCAUGCUGAGUACCGCACCUGAUGUGUGCCUUGCCACAUGUCUGGCAAGAGGGUACAAAGUUGAUCCAGGAGUGGGUCACUAGAUAGUGGUCAAAAUUAUCCUUGGAGUAAUAAGGACAUGUUUCUCGAUUAUGGAGGUGAUAAAGAGUUCGGCGUAAAGGGUUACAUCGAUGCAAGCUUUAACACCUAUCCGAAUGACUCUAAGUAGCAAACCGGAUACGUAUAGUGGAGCAACCAUUUGGAAUAGCUCCAAGUGGAGCGUGGAAGCAGCAUUUAUAAUAUGACCUAGAGAUUUGCGAAGUACAUACGGAUCUGAAUGUUGCAGACCCGUUGACUAAAACCUCUCUCACAAGCAAAACAUGAUCAAACCCAGAACUCAUUGAGUCUUAAUCACAUGAUGAUGUGAACUAGUUUAGUGACACUAGUAAACUCUUUGGAUGUUGGUCACAUGGUGAUGUGACCUGUGAGUGUUAAUCACAUGGCGAUGUGAACUAGAUUAUUGACUCUAGUGCAAGUGGGAGAUUGUUGGAAAUAUGCCCUAGAGGCAAUAAUAAAUUGAUUAUUUUUAUAUUCCUUGUUCAUGAUAAUCGUUUAUUAUCCAUGCUAGAAUUGUAUUGAUAGGAAACUCAGAUACAUGUGUGGAUACAUAGACAACACCAUGUCCCUAGUAAGCCUCUAGUUGACUAGCUCGUUGAUCAAUAGAUGGUUACGGUUUCCUGACCAUGGACAUUGGAUGUCGUUGAUAACGGGAUCACAUCAUUGGGAGAAUGAUGUGAUGGACAAGACCCAAUCCUAAGCCUAGCACAUAGAUCGUGUAGUUCGUUUUCUAAAGCUUUUCUAAUGUCAAGUAUCAUUUCCUUAGACCAUGAGAUUGUGCAACUCCCGGAUACCGUAGGAAUACUUUGGGUGUGCCAAACGUCACAACGUAACUGGGUGGCCAUAAAGGUACACUACAGGUAUCUCCAAAAGUGUCUGUUGGGUUGGCACGAAUCGAGACUGGGAUUUGUCACUCCGUGUGACGGAGAGGUAUCUCUGGGCCCACUCGGUAGGACAUCAUCAUAAUGUGCACAAUGUGAUCAAGGAGUUGAUCACGGGAUAAUGUGUUACAGAACGAGUAAAGAGACUUGCCAGUAACGAGAUUGAACAAGGUAUCGGGAUACCGACGAUCGAAUCUCGGGCAAGUAUCAUACCGCUAGACAAAGGGAAUUGUAUACGGGAUUGAUCGAAUCCUCGACAUCGUGGUUCAUCCGAUGAGAUCAUCGUGGAGCAUGUGGGAACCAACAUGGGUAUCCAUAUCCCGCUGUUGGUUAUUGACCGAAGAACGUCUCGGUCAUGUCUGCAUGGUUCCCGAACCCGUAGGGUCUACACACUUAAGGUUCGAUGACGCUAGGGUUAUAAAGGAAGUUUGUAUGUGGUUACAGAAUGUUGUUCGGAGUCCCAGAUGAGAUCCCGGACAUCACGAGGAGUUCCGGAAUGGUCCGGAGGUAAAGAUUUAUAUAUGGGAAGUCCUGUUUUGGUCACCGGAAAGGUUUCGGGUUUUACCGGUAGUGUACCGGGACCACCGGAGGGGUCCGGGGGUCCACCAAGUGGGGCCACCAACCCCGGAGGCUUGCAUGGGCCAAGAGUGGGAAGGGACCAUCCCCUGAGUGGCUAGUGCGCCUCCCACAAGGCCCAAGGCGCAGCUAGGAGGAGAAGGGGAAACCCUAGGCGCAGAUGGGCCUAAGGCCCACCCUAGGGCGCGCCCCCCUCUCCCCCUCUUGGCCGCCCCCCUCCAUCCCAUCUAGGGCUGCUGCCCCCCUAGGGGUGGGAACCCUAGAGGGGGCGCACCCUCCUCCCCUCCUCCUAUAAAUAGUGGGGGGUUUUGGGCUGCCCAACAUACGAUUUGAUCUCUCCCUAGCGCAGCCCUACCCCUCUCCCUCCUCGUCUCUUGCGGUGCUUGGCGAAGCCUUGCUGGAGUACCACGCUCCUCCACCACCACCACGCCGUUGUGCUGCUGCUGGAUGGAGUCUUCCUCAACCUCUUUCUCUCUCCUUGCUGGAUCAAGGCAUGGGAGACGUCACCGGGUUGUACAUGUGUUGAACGCGGAGGUGCCGUCCAUUCGGCACUAGGAUCUCCGGUGAUUUGGAUCACGACGAGUACGACUCCUUCAACCCCGUUCUCUUGAACGCUUCCGCAUAGUGAUCUACAAGGGUAUGUAGAUGCACUCUCCUUCCCUUCGUUGCUAGUUUCUCCAUAGAUUGAUCUUGGUGAUGCGUAGAAAAUUUUGAAUUUCUACUAUGUUCCCCAACAGUGGCAUCAUGAGCUAGGUCUAUUGCGUAGAUUCUAUGCACGAGUAGAACACAAAGUAGUUGUGGGCAUUGAUUUUGUUCAAUAUGCUUACCGUUACUAGUCCAAUCUUGAUUCAGCGGCAUUGUGGGAUGAAGCGGCCCGGACCGACCUUACACGUACUCUUACGUGAGACUGGUUCCACCGACUGACAUGCACUAGUUGCAUAAGGUGGCUAGCGGGUGUCUGUCUCUCCCACUUUAGUCGGAUCGGAUUCGAUGAAAAGGGUCCUUAUGAAGGGUAAAUAGCAAUUGGCAUAUCACGUUGUGGUUUUUGCGUAGGUAAGAAACGUUCUUGCUAGAAACCCAUAGCAGCCACGUAAAACAUGCAAACAACAAUUAGAGGACGUCUAACUUGUUUUUGCAGGGUAUGCCAUGUGUUGUGAUAUGGCCAAAAGGAUGUGAUGAAUGAUAUAUGUGAUGUAUGAUAUUGAUCAUGUUCUUGUAAUAGGAAUCACGACUUGCAUGUCGAUGAGUAUGACAACCGGCAGGAGCCAUAGGAGUUGUCUUUAUUUAUUGUAUGACCUGCGUGUCAUUGAACAACACCAUGUAAUUACUUUACUUUAUUGCUGACCGGUAGCCAUAGUAGUGGAAGUAAUAGUUGGCGAGCAACUUCAUGGAGACACGAUGAUGGAGAUCAUGAUGAUGGAGAUCAUGGUGUCAUGCCGGUGACAAGAUGAUCAUGGAGCCCCAAGAUGGAGAUCAAAGGAGCUAUAUGAUAUUGGCCAUAUCAUGUCACUAUUAUUUGAUUGCAUGUGAUGUUUAUCAUGUUUUUGCAUCUUGUUUACUUAGAACGACGGUAGUAAAUAAGAUGAUCCCUCAUAAUAAUUUCAAGAAAGUGUUCCCCCUAACUAUGCACCAUUGCGAAGGUUCGUUGUUUCGAAGCACCACGUGAUGAUCGGGUGUGAUAGAUUCUAACGUUCGAAUACAACGGGUGUUGACGAGCCUAGCAUGUACAGACAUGGCCUCGGAACACAUGCAAAACACUUAGGUUGACUUGACGAGCCUAGCAUGUACAGACAUGGCCUCGGAACACAAGAGACCGAAAGGUCGAGCAUGAGUCGUAUGGUAGAUACGAUCAACAUGAAGAUGUUCACCGAUGUUGACUAGUCCGUCUCACGUGAUGAUCGGACACGGCCUAGUUGACUCGGAUCAUGUAAUCACUUAGAUGACUAGAGGGAUGUCUAUCUGAGUGGGAGUUCAUAAGAUGAACUUAAUUAUCCUGAACAUAGUCAAAAGGUCUUCGCAAAUUAUGUCGUAGCUCGCGCUUCAGUUCUACUGUUUAGAUAUGUUCCUAGAGAAAAUUUAGUUGAAAGUUGAUAGUAGCAAUUAUGCGGACUAGGUCCGUAAACUGAGGAUUGUCCUCAUUGCUUCAUAGAAGGCUUAUGUCCUUAAUGCACCGCUCAGCGUGCUGAACCUCGAACGUCGUCUGUGGAUGUUGCGAACAUCUGACAUACACAUUUUGAUAACUACGUGAUAGUUCAGUUAAACGGUUUAGAGUUGAGGCACCGAAGACGUUUUGAAACAUCGUGAAACAUAUGAGAUGUUUUGAGGGCUGAAAUUGGGAUUUCAGGCUCGUGCCCACGUCAAGAGGUAUGAGACCUCCGACGAUUUUCUUAGCCUGCAAAUUAAGGAGAAAAGCUCAAUUGUUGAGCUUGUGCUCAGAUUGUCUGAGUACAACAAUCAUUUGAAUCGAGUGGGAGUUGAUCUUCUAGAUGAGAUAGUGAUGUUUCUCCGAAGUCAUUACCACCAAGCUGCUAGAGCUUCGUGAUGAACUAUAAUGUAUCGGGGACAUAUAUGAUGAUCCUUGAGAUAUUCGCGAUGUUUGACACCACAAAAGUAGAAAUCAAGAAGGAGCAUCAAUUGUUGAUGGUUGGUGAAACCACUAGUUUCAAGAAGGGAAAGGGCAAGAAGGGAUACUUCAUGAAACGGCAAAUCAGCUACUGCUCUAGUGAAGAAACCCAAAGUUGAACCCAAACCCGAGACUAAGUAAUAAGGGGAACAGCCACUAGAGCAGAAUUACCCUAGAUACUUGGUAGAUGAGAAGGCUGGCAAGGUCGGUAGAAGUAUACUGGAUAUACAUUAUGUUAAUGUGUACUUUACUAGUACUCCUAGUAGCACCAGGGUAUUAGAUACCAGUUUGGUUGCUAAGUGUUAGUAACUCGAAAUAAAAGCUACGGAAUAAACGGAGACUAGCUAAAGGUGAGAUGACGAUAUGUGUUGGAAGUAUUUCCAAGGUUGAUCAAAUAUGUACGCUCCCUCUACCAUCAAGAUUGGUGUUUGCGUUGAGCAUAGACAUGAUUGGAUUAUGUCUAUCGCAAUACGGUUAUUCAUUUAAGGAGAAUAAUGGUUACUCUGUUUAUUUGAAUAAUACAUUCAAUGGUCUUGCACCUAAAAUGAAUGGUUUAUUGAAUCUCGAUCGUAGUGAUACACAUGUUCAUGCCAAAAGAUAGUAAUGAUAGUACCACCUACUUGUGGCACUGCCACAUAAGUCAUAUCGGUAUAAAACGCAUGAAGAAGCUCCAUGUUGAUGGAUCUUUGGGCUCACUCGUUUUUUGAAAAGUUUGAGACAUGCAAACCAUGUCUAUUGGUGUAUAUGCAUGAAGAAACUCCAUGCAAAUGGACCAUUUGGACUCACUUGAUUUUUGAAUCACUUGAGACAUGCAAAUCAUACCACAUGGGCAAGAUGACUGAAAGCCUCGUUUUCAGUAAAAUGGAACUAGAAAGCAACUUGUUGGAAGUAAUACAUUUUGAUGUGUGCAGUCCAAUAAGUGCUGAGGCAUGUAGUGGAUAUCGUUAUGUUCUUACUUCACAGAUGAUUUGAGUAGAUGUUGAGUAUAUUUACUUGAUAAAUCAUGAGUCUGAAUUAUUGAAAGGUUCAAGUAAUUUCAGAGUGAAGUUGAACAUCGUCGUGACAAGAGGAUAAAAUGUCUCUGAUAUGAUCGUAGAGAUGAAUAUCUGAAUUACGAGUUUGGCACAGAAUUAAGACAUUGUGGAAAUUGUUUCACAACCAAUACAGCCUGGAACACCAUAGUGUGAUGGUGUGUCCGAACAUCAUAACUGCACCCUAUUGGAUAUGAUGCAUACCAUGAUGUCCCUUAUCGAAUUACCACGAUAGUUUAUGGGUUAGGCAUUAGAGACAACCACAUUCACUUUAAAUAGGGCACCACGUAAUUCCGAUGAGAUGACACCGUAUGAACUAUGGUUUAGAGAAACCUAAGCUGUCAUUUCUUAAAAGUUUGGGGCUACGACACUUAUGUGAAAAAGUUUCAGGCUGAUAAGCUCGAACCCAAAGCGGAUAAAUGCAUCUUCAUAGGACACCCAAAACAGUUGGGUAUACCUCCUGUCUCAGAUUCGAAAGCAAUAAGGGAUUGUUUCUAGAAUCGGGUCCUUUCUCGAGGAAAAGUUUCUCUCGAAGGAAUUGAGUGGGAGGAUGGUGGAGACUUGAUGAGGUUAUUGAACUGUCACUUCAACUAGUGUAUAGCAGGGCACAGGAAGUUGUUCCUGUGGCACCUACAUCAAUUGAAGUGGAAGCUUAUGAUAGUGAUCAUGAAACUUCAGAUCAAGUCACUACCAAACCUCGUGGGAUGACAAGGAUGCGUACUACUUCAGAGUGGUACGUGAUCCUGUCUUGGAAGUCAUGUUGCUAGACAACAAUGAACCUACGAGCUAUGGAGAAGCGAUGGUGGGCCCGGAUUCCGAUAAAUGGCACAAGGCCAUAAAAUCCGAGAGAGGAUCCAUGUAUGAAAACAAAGUGUAGACUUUGGCAGAACGGCUCGAUGGUCGUAAGGCUAUUGAGUACAGAUGGAUUUUAAAAGGAAGACAGACAAUGAUGGUAAGUAUCAUCAUUAAGAAAGCUCGACUUGUCGUUAAGAUGUUUUCCGACAAGUUCAAGGAGUUGACUAUGAUGAGACUUCCUCAUUUGUAGCGAUGCUAAGAGUCUGUUGGAAUUAUAUUAGCGAUUGCUGCAUUAUUUAUGAAAUCUUGCAGAUAGGAUGUCAAAACAUUGUUUCCUCGACGAUUUUCUUGAGGAAAGGUUGUAUGUGAUACAACCGGAAGGUUUUUUCAAUCCUGAAAGAUGCUAAUAAGUAUGCAAAGCUCCAGCAAUCCUUCUAAGGACUGGAGUAAGCAUCUCGGAGUUGGAAUGUAUGCUUUGAUGAGAUGAUCAAAGAUUUUGGGUGUAUACAAAGUUUAUGAGAAACUUGUAUUUCCAAAGAAGUGAGUGGGAUCACUAUAGAAUUUCCGAUGAGUAUGUGUUGUUAACAUGUUGUUGAUCAGAAAUGAUUUAGAAUUUCUGGAAAGCAUGCAGAGUUAUUUGAAAAGUGUUUUUCCAUAGAAAACCUGGAUUAGGCUACUUGAACAUUGAGCAUCAAGAUCUAUGAGGAUAGAUCAAGAAAAAUGCUAAAUGGUACUUUCAAAUGAGCACAUACCUUGACAUGAUCUUGAAGGUGUUCAAGAUGGAUCAGUCAAAGAAGGAGUUCUUGCCUGAGUUGUAAGGUAUGAAGUUAAGACUUAAAGCUCGACCACAGCAGAAGAAAGAGAAAGGACGAAUGUCGUCCCCUAUGCUUUUGUCAUAGGCUCUAUACAGUAUGCCAUGCUGAGUACCGCACCUGAUGUGUGCCUUGCCACAUGUCUGGCAAGAGGGUACAAAGGUGAUCCAGGAGUGGAUCACUAGAUAGCGGUCAAAAUUAUCCUUGGAGUAAUAAGGACAUGUUUCUCAAUUAUGGAGGUGAUAAAGAGUUCGGCGUAAAGGGUUACAUCGAUGCAAGCUUUAACACCUAUCUGAAUGACUCUGAGUAGCAAACCGGAUACGUAUAGUGGAGCAACCAUUUGGAAUAGCUCCAAGUGGAGCGUGGAAGCAGCAUUUAUAAUAUGACCUAGAGAUUUGCGAAGUACAUACGGAUCUGAAUUUGUAGACCCGUUGACUAAAACCUCUCUCACAAGCAAAACAUGAUCAAACCCAGAACUCAUUGAGUCUUAAUCACAUGAUGAUGUGAACUAGUUUAGUGACACUAGUAAACUCUUUGGAUGUUGGUCACAUGGCGAUGUGACCUGUGAGUGUUAAUCACAUGGCGAUGUGAACUAGAUUAUUGACUCUAGUGCAAGUGGGAGACUGUUGGAAAUAUGCCCUAGAGGAAAUAAUAAAUUGAUUAUUAUUAUAUUUCGUUGUUCAUGAUAAUCGUUUAUUAUACAUGCUAGAAUUGUAUUGAUAGUAAACUCAGAUACAUGUGUGGAUACAUAGACAACACCAUGUCCCUAGUAAGCCUCUAGUUGACUAGCUCGUUGAUCAAUAGAUGGUUACGGUUUCCUGACCAUGGACAUUGGAUGUCGUUGAUAACGGGAUCACAUCAUUGGGGGAAUGAUGUGAUGGACAAGACCCAAUCAUAAGCCUAGCACAUAGAUCGUGUAGUUCGUUUGCUAAAGCUUUUCUAAUGUCAAGUAUCAUUUCCUUAGACCAUGAGAUUGUGCAACUCCCGGAUACCGUAGGAAUACUUUGGGUGUGCCAAACGUCACAACAUAACUGGGUGGCCAUAAAGGUACACUACAGGUAUCUUCAAAAGUGUCUGUUGGGUUGGCACGAAUUGAGACUGGGAUUUGUCACUCCGUGUGACAGAGAGGUAUCUCUGGGCCCACUCGGUAGGACAUCAUCAUAAUGUGCACAAUGUGAUCAAGGAGUUGAUCACAGGAUGAUGUGUUACGGAACGAGUAAAGAGACUUGCCGGUAACGAGAUUGAACAAGGUAUUGGGAUACUGACGAUCGAAUCUUGGGCAAGUAUCAUACCGCUAGACAAAGGGAAUUGUAUACGGGAUUGAUCGAAUCCUCGACAUCGUGGUUCAUCCGAUGAGAUCAUCGUGGAGCAUGUGGGAACCAACAUGGGUAUCCAGAUCCCCCUAUUGGUUAUUGACCGGAGAACGUCUCGGUCAUGUCUGCAUGGUUCCCGAACCCGUAGGGUCUACACACUUAAGGUUCGAUGAUGCUAGGGUUAUAAAGGAAGUUUGUAUGUGGUUACCGAAUGUUUAUCGGAGUCCCGAAUGAGAUCCCGGACGUCACGAGGAGUUCCGGAAUGGUCCGGAGGUAAAUAUUUAUAUAUGGGAAGUCCUGUUUUGGUCACCGGAAAGGUUUCGGGUUUUACCGGUAGUGUACCGGGACCACCAGAGGGGUCCGGGGGUCCACCAAGUGGGCCCACCAACCCCGGAGGCUUGCAUGGGCCAAGAGUGGGAAGGGACCAGCCCCUGAGUGGGCUGGUGCGCCUCCCACAAGGCCCAAGGCGCGGCUAGGAGGAGAAGGGGGAAACCCUAGGCGCAUAUGGGCCUAAGGCCCACCCUAGGGCGCGCCCCCUCUCCCCCUCUUGGCCGCCCCCCUCCAUCCCAUCUAGGGCUGCCGCCCCCCCAGGGGUGGGAACCCUAGAGGGGGCGCACCCUCCUCCCCUCCUUCUAUAAAUAGUGGGGGUUUUGGGCUGCCCAACAUACGAUUUGAUCUCUCCCUGGCGCAGCCCUACCCCUCUCCCUCCUCAUCUCUUGUGGUGCUUGGCGAAGCCUUGCUGGAGUACCACGCUCCUCCACCACCACCCUGCCGUUGUGCUGCUGCUGGAUGGAGUCUUCCUCAACCUCUCCCUCUCUCCUUGCUAGAUCAAGGCAUGGGAGACGUCACCGGGCUGUACGUGUGUUGAACGCGGAGGUGCCGUCCGUUCGACACUAGGAUCUCCAGUGAUUUGGAUCACGACGAGUACGACUCCUUCAACCCCAUUCUCUUGAACACUUCCGCAUAGCGAUCUACAAGGGUAUGUAGAUGCACUCUCCUUCCCUUCGUUGCUAGUUUCUCCAUAGAUUGAUCUUGGUGAUGCGUAGAAAAUUUUGAAUUUCUACUAUGUUCCCCAACAUGUAAUGGUGUGUCCAAACGUCGUAACCGUACUUUAUUAGAUAUGGUGCGAUCUGUGAUGUCUCUUACCGAUUUACCACUAUCGUUUUGGGGUUAUGCAUUAGAGACAACUACAUUCACAUUAAAUAGAGCACCAUCUAAAUCCGUUGAGAUGACACCGUAUGAACUAUGGUUUGGCAAGAAACCUAAGAUGUCAUUUCUUAAAGUUUGAGGUUGCAAUGCUUAUGUGAAAAAGUUUCAACCUGAUAAGCUCAAACCCCAAUCGGAGAAGUGCAUCUUCACCGGAUACCCAAAAGAAAAUGUUGGGUACACCUUCUAUCACAGAUCCGAAGGCAAGAUAUUAAUUGCUGAGAAUGGAUCCUUUCUAGAGAAGGAGUUUCUCUCGAAAGAAGUGAGCAGGAGGAAAGUAGAACUUGAUGAGGUAAUUGUACCUGCUCCCUUAUUGGAAAGUAGUUCAUCACAAAAAUCUGUUCCUGUGACUACUACACCAAUUAGUGAGGAAGCUAAUGAUGAUGAUCAUGUAACUCCAGAUCAAGUUACUACCGAACCUCGUAGGUAAACCAGAGUGAGAUCCACACCAGAGUGGUACAGUAAUCCUGAUCUGGAGGUCAUGUUACUUGACCAUGACGAGCCUACGAACUAUGAGGAAGCGAUGAUGAGCCCAGAUUCCGCGAAAUGGCUUGAGGCCAUGAAAUCUGAGAUGAGAUCCAUGUAUGAGAACAAAGUAUGGACUUUGAUUGACUUGCCCAUUGAUCGGCGAGUCAUUGAGAUUAAAUGGAUCUUCAAGAGGAAGACGGACGCUGAUAGUAGUGUUACUAUCUACAAAGCUAGAAUUGUCGCAAAAGGUUUUCGACAAGUUCAAGGUGUUGACUACAAUGAGAGUUUCCCACUCGUAUCUAUGCUUAAGUCUGUCCGAAUCAUGUUAGCAAUUGCCACAUUUUAUGAAAUCUGGCAAAUGGAUAAACAAAACUACAUUCCUCAGUGGAUUUAUUAAAGAAGAGUUGUAUAUGAUGCAACAAGAAAGUUUUGUCAAUCCUAAAGGUGCUGACUAAAUAUGCAAGCUCCAGCGAUCCAUCUAUGGACUGGUGCAAGCAUCUCGGAGUUGGAAUAUAUGCUUUGAUAAGUUGAUCAAAGCAUAUAGUUUUAUACAGACUUGCGGUGAAGCCUGUAUUUACAAGAAAGUGGGUGGGAGCACUACAACAUUUCUAAUAAGUAUAUGUGAAUGACAUAUUGUUGAUCGGAGAUAAUGUAGAAUUAUUCUGCAAAGCAUAAAGGAAUGUUUGAAAGGAGUUUUUCAAAGAAAGACCUCGGUGAAGCUGCUUACAUAUUGAGCAUCAAGAUCUAUAGAGAUAGAUCAAGACGCUUGAUAAGUUUUUCAAUGAGUACAUACCUUGACAAGAUUUUGAAGUAGUUCAAAAUGGAAUAGUCAAAGAAGGAGUUCUUGCCUGUGUUACAAGGUGUGAAGUUGAGUAAGACUCAAAACCCGACCACGGCAGAAGAUAGAGAGAGAAUGAAAGUCAUUCUCUAUGGCUCAGCCAUAGAUUCUAUAAAGUAUGCCAUGUUGUGUGCCAGAUCUAUUGUAUACCCUACACUAUUUUUGACAAGGAAGUACAAUAGUGAUCUAGGAGUAGAUCACUGGACAUUGGUCAAAAUUAUCCUUAGUGGAAUAAGGAUAUGUUUCUCGAUUAUGGAGGUGAAAAAAGGUUCGUCGUAAAGGGUUACGUCAAUGCAAGUUUUGACACUCAUCCAGAUGACUCAAAGUCUCAAUCUGGAUACAUAUUGAAAGUGGGAGCAAUUAGCUAGUGUAUCUCCGUGCAGAGCAUUGUUGACAUAGAAAUUUGCAAAAUACUUAUGGAUCUGAAUGUGGCAGACACGUUGACUAAACUUCCCUCACAAGCAAAACAUGAUCACACCUUAGUACUCUUUGGGUAUUAAUCACAUAGCGAUGUGAACUAGAUUAUUGACUCUAGUAAACCCUUUGGGUGUUGGUCACAUGACGAUGUGAACUAUGGGUGUUAAUCACAUAGUAAUGUGAACUAUUGAUGUUAAAUCACAUGGCGAUGUGAACUAGAUUAUUGACUCUAGUGCAAGUGGGAUACUGAAGGAAAUAUGCCCUAGAGGCAAUAAUAAAGUUAUUAUUUAUUUCAUUAUAACAUGAUAAAUGUUUGUUAUUCAUGCUAGAAUUGUAUUAACCGGAAACAUAAUACAUGUGUGAAUACAUAGACAAACAGAGUGUCACUAGUAUGCCUCUACUUGACUAGCUCGUUGAAUCAAAGAUGGUUAAGUUUCCUAGCCAUAGACAUGAGUUGUCAUUUGAUUAACGGGGUCACAUCAUUAGAGAAUGAUGUGAUUGACUUGACCCAUUCCAUUAGCUUAGCACUCGAUCGUUUAGUUUGUUGCUAUUGCUUUCUUCAUAACUUAUAUAUGUUCCUAUGACUAUGAGAUUAUGCAACACCCGUUUACCGGAGGAACACUUUGUGUUCUACCAAAUGUCACAACGUAAUUGGGUGAUUAUAAAGGUGCUCUACAGGUGUCUCCUAAGGUAUUUGUUGGGUUGGCGUAUUUCGAGAUCACAAUUUGUCACUCCGAUUGUCGGAGAGGUAUCUCUGGGCCCUCUUGGUAAUGCACAUCACUCAAGCCUUGCAAGCAUUGCAACUAAUAAGUUAGUUGCGGGAUGAUGUAUUACGGAACGAGAUUGAACUAGAUAUUGGGAUACCGACGAUCGAAUCUCGGGCAAGUAAAAUACCAAUGACAAAGGGAACAACGUAUGUUGUUAUGCGGUCUGACCGAUAAAGAUCUUCGUAGAAUAUGUAGGAGCCAAUAUGAGCAUCCAGGUUCUGCUAUUGGUUAUUGACCGGAGACGUGUCUCGGUCAUGUCUACAUAGUUCUCGAACCCGUAGGGUCCGCACGCUUAACGCUACGAUGACAGUUAUAUUAUGAGUUUAUAUGUUUUGAUGUACCGAAGGAGUUCGGAGUCCCGGAUGAGAUCAGGGACAUGACGAGGAGUCUCGAAAUGGUCGAGACAUAAAGAUCGAUAUAUUGGACGACUAUAUUCGGACUUCGGAAAGUUCCGAGUGAUUCGGGUAUUUUUAGGAGUACCAGAGAGUUACGGGAGUUCGCCGAGGAGUAUAUGGGCCUUAUUGGGCCAUACGGGAAUAGAGGAGAUAGGCCAAAAGGAAGGAGGCCUGCGCCCCCCCCCCUCUGGUCCGAAUUGGACAAGGGGUGCAGCGCCCUUUUCCUUCUCCCUCUCCUCCUCUUUCCUUCACUCCUACUCCAACAAGGAAAGGAGGAGUCCUACUCCUGGUGGGAGUAGGACUCCACCCUUGGCGCGCCCUCCUCCUAGGCCGGCCGCCUCCCCCCUUGCUCCUUUAUAUACAGGGGCAGGGGGCACCUCUAGACACAACAAUUGAUCAUUGAUCUCUUAGCCGUGUGCGGUUCCCCCCACCACCAUAAUCCUCGAUAAUAUUGUAGUGGUGCUUAGGUGAAGCCCUGCGACGGUAGAACAUCAAGACCGUCACCACGCCGUCAUGCUGACGGAACUCUUCCCCGACAUUCUGCUGGAUCGGAGUCUGGGGAUCGUCAUCGAGCUGAACGUGUGCUAGAACUUGGAAGUGCCGUAGUUUCGGUGCUUGAUCGGUCGGGCCAUGAAGACGUACGACUACAUCAACCGCGUUGUUAUAACGCUUCUGCUAUCAGUCUACGAGGGUACGUAGACAAUACUCUCCCCUCUCAUUGCUAUGCAUCACCAUGAACUUGCGUGUGCAUAGGAAAUUUUUUGAAAUUACUACGUUCCCCAACACUUGUGGCUAGGAACGAACGAGAGUAGGGGCGGACAUGGGGCUUUUCGCCGGAUAGGCUCAUUUUAGGCCCGAGUGACAUUUCGGUCAUAAUUAUGAUGUCCUAUAGGGAUAGACAUUAAAAAUGAAUCAUUUUUAAGGGUCUCGUGGGAAUCGCCAAAAUUGUCAACUUUUGACGAUUCUAAAAUACACUGCGAUUUUGGAUGAUUCUAGACAAUUCCUAAGAAAGAAAUGAGUUUUUUUUACAAUUUUGAUUUUCCAGACCAUGAUUCUUCAUAAUCGAGUCAAAAAGAAUUGUCCCUUAAUGCUUAAUGUGUUGGCUUGAUCCUUCUGAUCUAUGACUGUCUUCAUCGGUGAUGGUUACUGUUCUGGGGCGCUAUUCUUAUUAGGCUUUAGCACAACGGUUUCCCGGCUGUCUACUACAACAAGGUUUGACCGGCACCUGUGAGGGAGGGGCGAUGACAACGGCGCCCCUUUGGCUCGCUCUAGUGCUUGUAGUCGUCGCUAGGUGGUCCACAUACAUGAUUGUAAUUUUUAUUACUUUUUUUAUUCUUUGUACUACCAAAGACAAAUAGAUUGAAAGUUUGUUGAGGGGGUUCUCCAGCGUGUUGGACCAUGCGCCGUUGCAUCUGUCGAGGAGUCUCCACAUGUAUCACAAAAAGCGACUCCGCUUUGAGGUGCACUGGACUAAAUUGGAGGGUUUCGACGAAGCCGUCUGCGAGGCUUGGGCAUGCGAUGAGGAGAUCGUAGACCCUUUCAAACGCUUGGAUGCUUUAUUCCGUAACAUGGCUACCUAUCUUCAAGCUUGGGGCCAACGCAAGUCGGGCAACAUCAAGACCCUGAUGGCCGUAGCGAAUUGGAUCAUUUUCAGAUUCGACUGGGUGCAAGAAGUAAGGAUCUUAACAGACAUGGAGUGCUGAUUGCGGAGAACGCUAAAGUUGGCCUUGCUGGGUUUGGCGUCCCUAGAGAGGACCAUUGACCGCCAAAGAUUGUGGAUUAGAUGGUUAUGGGAGGGAGAUGCGAACACUAAGUUGUUCCAAGCAGUGGCGAACGGCAGAAGGUCAAAAAACUUCAUACCCAAGAUCAGGCAAGGCACGAAGAUUAUCACGGAUCAGGACAAAAUCAUGGACGUGUUUGCGGACGCGUACAACAACAUCUUGGGAAAGGCCAGCGCUAGAGGACACUCGUUGGAGCUGGACCUUCUGGGCAUGUCGGAGCUUGAUAUUUCGAAUCUGGAAGGGAUUUUUACAGAGGAGGAAGUUUGGCAUGUGAUCAAAGAAUUGCCGCAAUAUCGUGCGUCUGGGCUGGACGGCUUCAUUGGGCUUUUCUACCUCAAAGCCUGGCAUGUCAUCAAGUCUGAUAUCAUGGCAGCGCUGCUUAAGUUGUUUGUUGGCGAUUGCAGGGGGUUCGGCAAACUCAACAAAGCUCAUAUCGUUCUCAUCCCCAAAUCUCCAGAGGCUCUAGACGUUAAGGACUACAUGUCCAUUAGCCUCCCCCGCAGCUUUGCCGAGCUGUUCGCGAAGCUGAUGGCCACGAGAGCUAGGAAGCGCAUGCAUGAAGUAGUCAGCAUCAAUCAGUCCGCCUUCAUCAAAGGGCGGAGCAUCCACGAUAAUUACCUGCUGGUCUGGCAGGUUGCUAGGAAAAUCCACGCCUCCAAGAUACCAUGUCUCUUUCUCAAGCUGGAUAUUGCUAGAGCUUCCGACUCCUUAUCUUGGCCGUUCCUGGUGGAGGUACUUGUUGGGGAACGUAGUAAUUUCAAAAUUUUCCUACGCACACGCAAGAUCAUGGUGAUGCAUAGCAAAGAGAGGGGAGAGUAUCGUCCACGUACCCUCGUAGACCGUAAGCAGAAGCGUUAUGAGAACACGGUUGAUGUGGUCGAACGUCUUCAUGAUCCGACCGAUCCAAGUACCGAACGCACGGCACCUCCGAGUUCAGCACACGUUCAACUCGAUGAAGUCCCACGAACUCCGAUCUAGCAGUGCUUCAUGGGAGAGUUCCGUCAGCACCACGGCGUGAUGACAGUGAUGAUGUUGCUACCGAUGCAGGGCUUCGCCUAAGCACCGCUACGAUAUGAUCGAGGUGAAUUAUGGUGGAGGGGGGCACCACACAUGGCUUGGUGAAAGAGGACAUGCAGUGCCCCCAUGUGUGGUUUUGGUAAUUGAUGACAUUCUCUAUGGACUAAUGGUUGCAUUGAGUUAUAUUUGAAGGAUUUGUCCAUAGGCAUGUCUUGAAGUCCAUGUGUUGGUUUCAAGGAGUUUAUGUGUGGACUAAGGUGCUAUUAAGGAAUUAUCCAAAGAUUGGUCAUGUGAGUGUUGCGCUUAUUGCAAGCAUGUCUUGAAGAAGAAGAAGAUGGUGUGAUCAUUCAUUUAUACCUUCAAAACAUCAUCCAAAUGAAGAGAGUUAGAAAGAUUCAAGGUUGAUCAAGACUAUGUACAAAGAGUUAUUCAAGUUGAUCAACAAACAAAGCGUAGAAGAUGUACCAAGUGGGAUCAAGUGAUCUCAUGGUAUGGUAUGUUUCCAUGGGCUUGCAUCAAGAGGAAUAUAUCAUACAACCCAUGGAGAGGAUGACAUCAAGUGGUGAUCGUCAUCAAGAUUGCGGUAUGCAAGUUCAAGUGGAGCAUCACGAAGAGAUCAUCCUUGAAGCUUGAUGUCCAUUGUGGUGUCAAUGGACUUGUGAAGAUGUGCCAAAGAGUGGCUCACCCAUAGUGGAGUAUGGGGGAGCAAUCAACUAGUCUUCAUCGAGCCAACGCAAUCAAGAUGGGUGGUCCAACUUGAGGGAGUCAAGGUCGUCAUCAUCUAGCUCAAGUGGACUAUGUGCAAGGCAAAGGUUUUCCCUUGAUAGGUUUUCUAUUUUACCAGUCUCAUGGUGGUAGUUGGGAGACUGGGUUAUAUGAUCAAUUGCCAUACUAUCAAGGGGGGCUCUCGAUGAGUAGCUUGAUCGUAUCAUUCGUAGAGAGCUCAAACCAUUGCAUCCUAGCAUCAUCUUUCUUGGUUCUUGUUUGGUUCUCUUUGUGAGUUUUGGAGCUUAUGGUCAUCUUGAUGACAAGCUCGAGUUCAUCGAAAACGGAGUUCACUUGCAUCUUCUAUGAUGUUUUCGAUGUUGGAGGUUAUGCCCGUUCUUCUCUGUUGGAGGUCUCACUCCUCCAUUUGUUUAGCAUUCCUCCCCUACCUCUUCUUACUAUAAUCACUCGUUGUUGGAUGCUACUCGUCGUCAUCUAUCCAACAAGCUUGAGUUUGCGCAAUUCGGAGAUCAUAUGCAGAAGUUGUGGCAGUUUAGGCUUUAUUGCAUCCUCUAUUUUCUCUAUUGUGUUCUUGAAAGCCUCAAGCGGUAGUACUGCUCUCUAGACUGGUAGUACCGCUUGUAAGAGGCAGUACCGCGGCCCUGUGUCGUGCGUAGUACCGCUGUUUCUGGGGAUGCGCCUUUUUCGUGUCGAGUUUCGCGGUAGUACCUCUUAUAAGCGGUAAGCGGUACUACCUCUCCACCCGAGCGGUAGUACCUCUUAUAUGCAGUGAGCGGUACUACCUCUCCACCCGAGCGGUGGUACCUCUUAGAAGCAGUAAGCGGUACUACCUCUCCUCAGAGUGGUACUACCUCUCUGGCAGAACUACAGCUCGUGUUUUUCUCUCUCGUUGGGUUGUUUUGCUCGUGCUAAGCGGUAGUACCGCUCCUCCAAGCGGUAGUACAGCUAGUACGCAACCUGAGCACAUAACGCUUGGAUUCGGGAGGUCCUAUAAAAGGGGGUCUUCUUCCCCAUUGAACCUUAUAUUUUGAGCUCGUGUUCUUCCCCCAUUGUUGACCUUCUUUGAGCUUGCUAACUCUCAAUCCCUCCAUGCAUUCUUGCUAGUUUUUGAGGGAAAAGAGAGAGGAGAUCUAGAUCCACAUUUCCACCAAUCACUUUCUCCUCUAUGUGAGGGGAACCCCUUGGAUCUAGAUCUUGGAUUUCUUGGUGUUAUCUUUCUUGUCUUCCUCUCAUUUUCAUCCCUAGCAUUAGUUGCUUCGGUGCGAUUUGAGAGAGAAGGACUUGGGCACUCCGUGUGCCCUUGCCAUUGCAUUUGGUGCAUCGGUUUGAGUUCUCCGCAGUGAUACGUGUAAGUUACAAGUUGAGAAGCUUAUUACUCUUUGGUGCUUGAUACCUUUGAGCUUGUUCCUCUUGGGUGCUUGGGCGCCCUAGAUGGUUGGUGGUGUUCGGAGCUCAAUCAUUGUGGUGUAAAGCUCUAAGCAAGCAUUGGGGUCUCCAAUUAGGUUGUGGAGAUCGCCCCGAGCAAUUUUACGGGUUCCGGUGACCGCCCCCAAGGGUUGCCAAAGUGUACGGGUUCGGUGACCGCCCCCAAGGGUUGCCAUUUGUAUGGGUUCGGUGACCGCCCUCAAGGGUCCCUUAGUGGAAUCACGACAUCUUGCAUUCUGCGAGGGCGUGAGGAGAUUACGGUGGCCCUAGUGGAUUAUUGGGGAGCAUUGUGCCUCCACAACGCUCCAAACGGAGAUUAGCAUCCGCAAGGGUGUGAACUUCGGGAUACAUCGUCGUCUCUGCGUGCCUCGGUUAUCUCUUACCCGAGCCCUUUACUUAUGCACUUUACUUUGUGAUAGCCAUAUUGUUUCGUGUCAUAUAUCUUGCUAUCACCUACUAGUUUUUCUUGCUUAGCAUAAGUUUGUGGUGCACAUAGGUGAGCCUAGUUAUUAUAGGUUUUGUCCUUGACAGCUAGGUUUAUUCCGCAUUUGUUCAAUCCUAAAACGUAAUUAUUUUAAAGCGCCUAUUCACCCCCCUCUAGGAGACAUCCUCGUUCUUUCAAUUGGUAUCAGAGCCUUUUCUCUCUUUAUAGGGCUUAACCUCCUAGAGAGUAAGGAUGUCGACUAGGGGUUUAGGAUUCUCUGACACUCUUAGUUUCGAUGGCACAAAUUUGAUGUUUGGGUAAUUCGCAUGCUUAAUCUCUUUAGGGUCAUGGACCCAAAUUUAGAGAGAAUUGUAGAUAUGGGUUUUUCUCCUCUAAAGAAUCCCCGAAGAUUAUCUUUAGAGGAUGAGAAAAACUCUUAUCUUAAUGCUCAAGCUUCUAAUGUGCUUUUCGAUGCUUUGAGCAAUGUAGUUAUUUUUCAACUCAUGCCGUUUCGGGAUGCUCAUGAGUUGUGGACAAAGCUUCAAGAUAAACAUGGAGUGUCCAAGUUUUAUGGGGAUGAUUGUUCUCCCUCCACCUCCGGCCGUGUUGUUUUCUCAACUUCUUCUACUUCACCUACAUGUGGAUUGCCACAAGGUAAUGAUAUGGUGAGUAGUGGUGUUCAUUGCAAUGAUGAUAGUGUGCUUAUCGUUGAUGAUUCCUCAUUACUACCUUAUUGCAAUGCUCCAUCUUUGGACUUCAACACUUCUAGCUCUCUAAAUGUUUCACAUGCUCGUGUUGAUAGUCCUUGCAUAUCAUGUAGAAAUUGCUUUACUAAAUCUCAUAAUGAUGUGCUUGCUAUAUCUUGUUGUCAUGAUAAAAAUGCAUCUAUUUCCUCGAAUCGUUGUGCUAACAAUGUAGAGGAAAUCCAACACCCCAUGGAACAAGAUGUGAUCUUGAAAGGUGCCUCAAGGCAUCCUACAUCAUCAUCGAUUGCGUUUUGCCUUAUGGCUAAGGCUUCAAAGGUAUCUCCCACUUUGAAUCCCAAGAUAUCUUGUGAUGAUAUUGUUGAUGACAAGAGUGAUGAUGAUGUUGAUUAUGAUGAAGAGAAUGAUGAUGUUGCCUCCUUAAAAAUUAAGGGGGAAAUGAUUUUUAAAGCUCUUCUUAAGAAUAACAUUGCUCGUUCCAACUUCAUGGAAAGCAUGUCUAUUGCUAUUGAGGGCAAGAAAUAUAUUGAUGAGUUGGAAUCUCGCCUUGAGGAGCAUGAGGUCACCAUUGAUAAAAUGGAAGGUCAUGGGCGUGAUUACGCUAAUGAGAUUGCGAACCUCUCUCAAGAUUUUGAACUUGAACAAACCACCAAGGAAUCUCUUGAGGAGACUGUUGCUCUAGAAUUAUCUAGAGUGAAGGAAUCUCAUGAUAGAGCUCUUGAGGUGGCCAAUGUUUUUGAAACGAAAAAUGCUAAGCUUGAAGUUGCUCAUGCUAGACUCCUUGAGGAUUUUGAGCACCUCGAAAAUGGCUCAAGGGUCAUCAAGGGUGAGCUCAUCAAACUCAUCGAGUCUCAUGCACAACUUAAAGCCUCAUAUUCAAAAGAGCUUGUAAAGUUGCCUUCUCCUCUUGCUAUUAUUGAUGAUGCUUGUGCUACUAACUCUAUUACAUGUGAAGCAUCCAUUUUUAAGGAGAAUGUUGAGCUACGGGCUCAACUUGAGUUGCUAUCUAGCAAAUAUGGGAAAUUGGAAGAAAGUCAUGAAAAGCUCUCAAACUCUCAUGAUGAUCUUCUAGUAUCCCAUAAUGUGCUAAAGAUGGCUCAUGAGGCCAUGCUUGCCAAGGUAACAUCUAGUGAGCCUCAUGUGUAUACUAGCACUACUUCUAGUCAAAAUGCUAUAUUGCUAUGUGCUAGUCCUUGUAAUUCAUCUACUCACAAUGUUGGUACAUCUUGUGAUGAAUUGCUUUCCUUGACUUGUUGCUCUAACUAUGAAGCUUAUACUUCCUCUAGUACUUGUGUUGAGACUAACCAUGUAGAGGAAAUCAAAGAUCUCAAGGCCCAAGUCACUUCUUUGAAGAAAGACUUGGAAAAGUGUCAUGAAGGGAAGGCCACACUCAACAGUAUCUUGAGUGUGCAAAAAUCCCCCAAUGACAAAGGUGGACUUGGAUUCAACUCCAAUAAGAAGAAGAAGUCCAAGAGCAACAAGAAGAAGGGCCAAAAACAAGUCAAGAAUUUGGUCAUGAUCAUUUGCUUCAAGUGCAAAAUUGAAGGACAUCAUGUUAGAUCUUGCCCUUUGAAGAAGAAGGCCAUUAGUGACAAGCAACAAGGGAAGCGGCCACAAGUUCAUUCUCAUGCUCAACCUCAAGUUGAAGAAAGGCCUCUUCCCAAGAAACCUCAAGCUAGUGCUUCUCAAGUUGAGAAAUCAAGUGAGAAGAAAGUGAAGAGUAGACGUUGCUACCUAUGUUGUGAUAAAGGUCACCUUGCCUCCUCAUGCACUAGUGGUAACUUAUCCAACCCAAUUAUUAUUGAUGAUAUCUAUAUUCUUGGGAAGGAUAAGGGUGGCAAUGUGUUUGCCAAGUUUGUUGGUACUCAAAGUGGUGUCAAGCAAAGAACCAUUUGGGUAGCCAAGCCUAUUGUGACUAACCUCCUUGGACCCAACUUGGUUGGGGACCAACUAGCUCAAACUUGAUCAAUAGGUGUCUAUGGAGGGCAUUGGAGACUUGGCUACAUUAUGAAGAAUUAAGGGGGUUUUCACCAUUCAUAUUUUCUCAAGCCAAGUCAUUCGGAUUAUCAAGUUUCUAUCUUAUAUCCAAUGUUCCUCCUUGCAGUAACUUGUACUUAAAUUGCUUACAUUAAAAGUUACUUGCCCCCUUGCAUGUUUUGGUUUUGUUCCUUGCAUGUGUUUGUAUAUGAUGUGUCUCCAAAGUGCUUUUGUGUAUGUUGGUUUGCACAUCAUGUGCAUGUGUGUCGUUCGUUGAGCCUUUGUGCAUCUUGGUCAUAUCUUAGUUGGCUCUUGUGAGAGAUUAAUGGAAUAUCCCAUUAUGGGGAAGUGAUGUGCUUUUGUGCACUUCACAAUCCUAUAAAGGUGGGUACAUGGGUAAUACCACUUAGUAUUGAUAUUACAAGAUUAUCUAGUCGCUACAUGGUAUGUCUUCUCAUGAGAAAUUCAAAUUCUAAGUAGUCCAUUAAUUAUCUCUUGUUGGAUCCUUUUAAUUGCCUCUUGUCUAUAUUUAAUUGGUAUCACAUUAUGGGGGAGUAAUAUGCUAUGUAUAUUACUAGCCUAGAAAAUGUGUACAUUUGAGAUAUUGUCACCUAGUGCUGAUAUUGUAGAUUAUCUUGUUCCUAGGUGGCAUGUUAGCUCUACAAGUUGCAAUUUGGUUAUGUUUGGUGUAAAGAUGAUGUUGGAUAUCCUUGAUAUCUACCACCGGGAAUUAUUUCCAAAUACUUCUUGUCUUUUGACAAUGGGUACUCUCUUAUGUGUGGUAGAAAUUAUUGAUCAGCUUUACAUUGGCUUUUGCUUUUAUUUGCCUUUUCUCUUGCCAAAGAUUGUAUUAACCAGCUUUGUCUUCCAUACCACUUGUGGAUCUUGUUUAUUUCUUGAUCUUGUCUAGUGUUUUCUAGAUAUAGUGAAAGUGGUGAUCCCAACUUGUGCAUUUUGUAUUCAAAUGCAAAUUCUCUAUAACGCACUAGUCUUGGGGGAGCUAUCCUAUUUUCUAUAAAACACUCAUCUUGCGAUCCUUAUCAAGUGUGUGUUGGUGGAAGGCAAGCCAUUUUGGUUUUGGUACUUGUGCCAUCAUGAAACUUUGUAGAGAGCUUGGUUUGUUUGGAACCAUCCUCUCCUUUGGGAGUUUGAUAUCUUUUAUUUUGAGUGUAUCAAUGGAUGUCUCAUUCCUUGAUGUAUCUUUCAAUGGAUAUCCUCCAAGUGAUGUUUUAUUCAUUUGGUAUCUCUUCUUCCUUGGUAUUUCUUUGUCAAUUGGUAUCGGUUCUUGAGAGUAUUGAGCAUGCAUAUUAACUUCAUGUAGUAUCUUUGGCAUGCUUUAUUUUUGACCCAAUAUAUAGGGGAAUCUCCACCAAGUCUCAAAUUGAAUGAGAUGUGCAUGAAAUUCUACUUCAUAUCUAUAUGCACAUAUUUAUAUGGAGUUUGUCCUAUGUAUUGUUGGUGUUUCUAACUCUUUGGUCCCAAUGAGUUUGGAUACCAUUUUGUUUGUGUUGUUGUUCUAGGAACAAUUGGAGAUGCAUUGGAUGCUAGGCUCGCUCACAAGGAAGGUGGUGUCACCAUGUGCUUAUUGGAGUCAAGCUAGGAUGCUUAAUGAACUACUAUCUAUUACCUUCAAUUGGUUUCUUCUACAUCCUUCCAAUGAUAUCUCGGUAACAAGUAUCUAUUCAUGCAUUCUUUUCUUGCAUUCAAUCUUGUGUAGGUUGCAUCUUGGCAUGAUAUUCAUUCCAGCUUGUGACACUUGUUUCCUUUCUCAAAGCAUCUCAACGAUGAUCUCAUGUUGCUAGUUGUGAUGUCUUUGAUGGUUGUGUAGUAGGAAUUUAUUUAUAUACAAUAAGACCAUAUCUAGCCAUGUGUUAUGCUUUCAAGCAAAUAUCUUAUUGGUAUAUUUAUGAUUUCCUUGUGGAUAUCUUGUUCUUUCCUUUUUGUAACUAUUUCAUGUGUAUAUCCUUCUUUGUAGAUAUAUAUCAUCAUGAUUUCGUCUACCUAGAAUCUUAUACACUUGAGAGAAGUUGCAUAUCUAGUUGAUAUCCUUUCUUUCACAUCCACCUUGUCUUUCUUAUGUUAUUUCUUUGGUGGCUCUGUGAAAGCUUUUGCCUUGAGUGUGUGUCUUAUCUCGUUGCAUCUUGAUGCACUCUUGUGUGGUGAAGAUUAUUUUCCUCAUGCUUAUCUUUACAAGGCUUUUGCCAUCUUAAUUGGUAUCCCUCGUCUUGAUGAGGCUUUCAUCUCUAUCUUCACCACGGGUUGUCACAAGCAUAAGUUCUUUAUAUGCUUAUUAGUAAGCUUGUGAACCCAUUUACUUGUUGUGUGUGGGAAUGAUAGGCCUUUCACCAUGUUGCCUCAUUCUUUCAAGACUUUAUUGAUGCUUAAUGCGCAUCCGUACAUUAGUCUUCUCAAGUGCAUUUCCUUGACUCACACACAUCAUUUUGGUUGAGCCCAUUCUUAAGUUUCCUCUUUCACUUGUUGCUCAACCAUGUGUUUGUUGCAAGUACUAGGCUUAGUUUCCUAUUUGCUCACUUGCACUUGUUGUAAGUUUCUAUUGAUUUUGGGGGAGCUAUGAUCCUAUUUUGUGCACUUUGUAUCCAAAUACAAAAAUUCUUAUGUGUGCACAAAUCAUGGGGAGCUUCUCUAGUUUCCUUAGAACACUUCUUUGCUCAUAUCAUAAUAUCAUUUAUUCAUGUGGCUCGUAGGAUCUUUGGUCUAGUUGGUUCGAUUGAUAUCCUUUGAUUGCUUGCUUAAAUUGGUAUCUUUUGAUUGCUUGAUUGCUUGUGUCUCUCUUUCUUAUGUCCUUGUGGCAUAUAUUUCUUUAGCAAUCUAUGUGCCUCAAUAUAGUUUGUGUUCCUCCAAGUAUUUACCUUUGAAUAUGUGUAUGGCAUUCCACUAUCUUUUUGAUAAAUACACAAUUUAUGGAGGAACACUUUUUAUAUUGGCCUUCUAAGCUUUUCGCCCAUUUUGGCAAUCGAUGCCAAUGGGGGAGAAGUUUCAGAGAGUUUUGUGGAGAAGGUUUUCAGAGUCUUCUCCUUGCUUUGGUUUUGUUCCUAAUCAUUCGCAUCUCAUUCUCCUGCAUCAUUGGUUGUUGCAUUGCAUGGUGAUGCAUAAUUAAACUCUCUUGAAAGUGAUUGUCAUCAAUUACCAAAAUGGGGGAGAUUGAAAGGACAUGCGGUGCCCCCAUGUGUGGUUUUGGUAAUUGAUGGCAUUCUCUAUGGACUAAUGGUUGCAUUGAGUUAGUACCGCUAGUACGCAAACUGAGCACAUAACGGUUGGAUUCGGGAGGUCCUAUAAAAGGGGGUCUUCUUCCCCAUUGAACCUUAUCUUUUGAGCUCGUGUUCUUCCCCCAUUGUUGACCUUCUUUGAGCUUGCUAACUCUCAAUCCCUCCAUGCAUUCUUGCUAGUUUUUGAGGGAAAAGAGAGAGGAGAUCUAGAUCCACAUUUCCACCAAUCACUUUCUCCUCUAUGUGAGGGGAACCCCUUGGAUCUAGAUCUUGGAGUUCUUGGUGUUCUCUUUCUUGUUCUUCCUCUCAUUUUCCUCCCUAGCAUUAGUUGAUUCGGUGGGAUUUGAGAGAGAAGGACUUGGGCACUCUGUGUGCCCUUGCCAUUGCAUUUGGUGCAUCGGUUUGAGUUCUCCACGGUGAUAUGUGUAAGUUACAAGUUGAGAAGCUUAUUACUCUUGGUGCUUGGUACCUUUGAGCUUGUUCCUCUUGGGUGCUUGGCCGCCCUAGACGGUUGGUGGUGUUCGGAGCUCAAUCAUUGUGGUGUAAAGCUCCGAGCAAGCAUCAGGGUCUCCAAUUAGGUUGUGGAGAUCGCCCUGAGAAAUUUGACGGGUUCCGGUGACCGCCCCCAAGGGUUGCCAAAGUGUACGGGUUCGGUGACCGCCCUCAAGGGUCCCUUAGUGGAAUCACGACAUCUGGCAUUGUGCGAGGGCGUGGGAGAUUACGAUGGCCCUAGUGGCUUAUUGGGGAGCAUUGUGCCUCCACACCGCUCCAAACGGAGAUUAGCAUCCGCAAGGGUGUGAACUUCGGGAUACAUCGUCGUCUCCGCGUGCCUCGGUUAUCUCUUACCCGAGCCCUUUACUUAUGCACUUUACUUUGUGAUAGCCAUAUUGUUUCGUGUCAUAUAUCUUGCUAUCACCUAGUAGUUUUUCUUGAUUAGCAUAAGUUUGUCGUGCACAUAGGUGAGCCUAGUUGUUAUUGGUUUUGUGCUUGACAGCUAGGUUUAUUCCGCAUUUGUUCAAGCCUAAACCGUAAUUAUUUCAAAGCGCCUACUCACCCCCCUCUAGGCGACAUCCUCGUUCUUUCACUUGGAACAAUCAACUUGUGUGUCUUUGGGUGCCCCCCACCCCCUGUAUAUAAAGGAGCAAGGGGGGAGGCCGGCCAGCCUUGGUGCGCCCCAAGGAGAGGAGGAAUCCUCUUCCUACUAGGAAGAGGAUUCAUCCUUUCCUAGUCCAACUAGGAAGAGGGAAGGGGGAAGGAAAGAGAGGGAGAGGGAGAGGGAAAGAGGGGCUGCGUGCCCCUCCCCUAGUCCAAUUCGGACUCCCCAUGGGAGGGUGCGCGCCACCUCCUGGGCUGCAGCCCUCUCUCUCCCCUCAGGCCCACUAAGGCCCAUCCCCGGGGGGUUCCAGUAACCCCUCCCGCGCUCCGGUUUUCUCUGAAAUCAUCCAGAACACUUACGGUGUCUGAAUAUAGCCGUCCAAUAUAUCAAUCUUUACGUCUCGACCAUUUUGAGACUCCUCGUCAUGUCCGUGAUCACAUCCAGGACUUCGAACUACCUUCGGUACAUCAAAACACAUAAACUCAUAAUACCGAUCGUCACCGAACUUUAAGCGUGCGGACCCUACGGGUUCGAGAACUAUGUAGACAUGACCGAGAGUCGUCUCCGGUCAAUAACCAAUAGCAGAACUUGGAUGCUCAUAUUGGUUCCUACAUAUUCUACGAAGAUCUUUAUCGGUCGAACCGCAUAACAACAUACGUUGUUCCCUUUGUCAACGGUAUGUUACUUGCCCGAGAUUCGAUCGUCGGUAUCUCAAUACCUAGUUCAAUAUCAUUACCGGCAAGUCUCUUUACUCGUUUCCGUAAUGCAUCAUCCCGCAACUAACUCUUUAGUUGCAUUGCUUGCAAGGCUUAUAGUGAUGUGCAUUACCGAGAGGGACCAGAGAUACCUCUUCGACAAUCGGAGUGAAAAAUCCUAAUCUUGAUCUAUGCCAACUCAACAAGUACCAUCGGAGACACCUGUAGAGCACCUUUAUAAUCACCCAGUUACGUUGUGACAUUUGGUAGCACACAAAGUGUUCCUCCGGUAAUCGGGAGUUGCAUAAUCUCAUAGUUAUAGGAACAUGUAUAAGUCAUGAAGAAAGCAAUAGCAGUAAACUAAAAUGAUCAAGUGCUAAGCUAACGGAAUGGGUCAAGUCAAUCACAUCAUUCUCCUAAUGAUGUGAUCCCGUUUAUCAAAUGACAACUCAUGUCUAUGGUUAUGAAACAUAACCAUCUUUGAUCAACGAGGUAGUCAAGUAGAGGCAUACUAGUGACACUCUGUUUGUCUAUGUAUCUACACAUGUAUUAUGUUUCCGGUUAAUACAAUUCUAGCAUGAAUAAUAAACAUUUAUCAUGAAGUAAGGAAAUAAAUAAUAACUUUAUUAUUGCCUCUAGGGAAUAUUUCCUUCAGUACUAAGGGCACGAGGGUUCGUAUGGAGAUGGGUUAGUUGGGUGACUGCGUUGCUAUCCACGGUGAGCACCAGGAUCAUUUUCAACGGAGUCCCAGGAAGCAUCAUCUACCACACUCAGGGUCUAAGGCAAGGGGACCCCGUCUCCCCUAUGCUUUUUGUGAUCGCCAUGGACACUCUCUCUUCCCUCAUCAACACAACCAUGACCGAGGGUGUCCUCAACUCCUUCAGAGGGAUCGAGCCGAUGCAGAGGCUUUCGGUUUAUGCUGACGAUGUAACGAUGUUUGUGAAGCCUUCAGUGCAAGAUCUGUAUUGCAUAAAGGAGCCGUCGGAGGUUUUUGGUGAAGCUUCAGGCUUAAGGAUUAAUUUCACAAAAUCGGCUGCGAUUUUGAUAAGGGGAUCAGAGGAGGAUGGGCGUAGAGUGAGGGCAGUGCUGCAAUGUCAGCUAGGCGCAUUCCCUUGCAAAUACCUUGGAAUCUCGCUCGCGAUCCACCAAUUGGGAUGUACGGACUGGCAACCGUUGCUCGAUCAAGUCAGGAAGGUGGUACCUACAUGGCAAAGAGGGUUGAUUCAGAGGUCUGGAAGAUUGAUCCUUGCCAAAUCAGUUGUCUCUGCAAGGCCGGUACAUCAGCUCAUGGUGCUUGAUGCCCCUGGAUGGGUCUUUGAAGACAUGAAGAAAUGGAUGAGGGCGUUCUUUUGGGCCGACAAAGACAAGGUAAAUGGCGGGCAAUGCCUUGUGGCUUGGGACACGGUGUGCCGUACAACAUGUUUUGGCGGCCUGGGAUUCCGAGAUCUACGCAUGCAGGAGAUUGCGCUGUGUGUGCGGUGGGAAUGGUUACGCAGGUCUGACCCAUCUAGACCUUGGCACGGUAUUCCUAUGACAGAGGAUGCAAAGGUCAGGCUUGUGUUCAAUAGUCUUGUUAAGAUCAAUGUGGGCGAUGGCAAGAGGGUGUUGUUCUGUAUGGAUCGUUGGAUCCAUGGGUUUACAGUCAGUGAGAUUGCUCCCCUCAUCCUCGGGAUGGUGAACAUGAGGGAACGCAACAGAAGGACAGUAAAACCGGCCUUGUCGGGGAAUGCAUGGACGGUGGACGUUCAAGGUGACAUCUCCUUCACUGCGCACAUGCAGGUGUCCAAUCUAUGCCUAGCCAUCGCCACAGUCCCGACUAAUGAUCAGAGUCCGGACCAGUUUCCUUGGCCAGUAGACAUCUCAGGAACUUACACAACAAGGUCGGUCUACCAAAGGUUAUGCAUGGGCAACGACAAAAGGCAUUUGGAGGAGCUGGGCACCCUUACGGUGCAAAUUUUUUGCUUGGCUUGCGGUGUAGUAUCGGCUUUGGACUUCUGGCAGGCGAGCCAGACAAGGCCCCCAAGAUGAGAGGUCGCCGUGCUUCACGUGCCUUUAAGAAGAAGAUAACACGGAUCACAUCUUGGUGCAUUGCGUCUACGCAUGAGAGGUGUGGCACCUAUGCCUCGAUUCUUUCCAGCUUAACAUCCACGCGCCGACCACCAACACUACCUUUUCCGAAUGGUGGCUGGAGCAAAUAUUGAGGUUAACAGGCAGAGUGCGACGAGGAUUCGACUCCUUUGUCAUAGGGACGGCAUGGGCUCUGUGGAAGCAGCAUAACGCUAGGGUGUUCAACAGGCCGCGCGAUCAGAAGACACCUCCCCAACUGGUAGCGCCAAUUCGUUCUGAGAUUGUAGAUUGGACUAGUGCAGGGCUCAGUGUUGGAGGUCUAGAUCCUUUCGUGAGAAUGUAACUGUGUGAGUUUGGGUUGGGGUCGGAGUGGUGUUUGCCAUCUUGGAUGUUCGCAUCUCCGUUUGGUCUCUUGUAAAUAUUGUUCUGUCUUUUAUAAAAAUAUGGUACGCCAUUGGCGUACUCUUGAAAAAAAGUUUGUAGUUUCAAAAAAAGAAAAAAGAAAAAAAGUUUGUCCAGAAAAAAGUGAUGGCUUCGAAGAGGCCUGAUAUGGGAGCCGCACCAGUAGCUACGGCCGCGUGCUCCUCCACUAGUGUGCCCUGAUCCGCGGUAGGCGCCAAGCGGCAGAUUGCACAAUAUUCUGGUUGGCGGCAGUACUUGAAUUUGCUGCCCGCCAAACGGUGUUAAAAUCACGCGCCAACUCCCGGCCCGCGCACUUCUCGAGCCAACUUCCCCUCCCAUGCCGCCACUGUCUCCCUCCGCAAGCCGCGUGCGUGACCUCCCAUUCCGGUCGCCGUCCUCUUAGCCACUAGCAUGCUUAAAACCUAACCGUAGCGCCGGGAAACCAGCACCAAAUGAAGCAAGCAACCACCCAUGGACACGCCCAUGCCGAAACGGCCUCGCCUCGUGCCGGCACCAGCGCCGGCGCCUCGGACAAUCGCCGACAUGGCCCCGGAGAUCCUCCUCCGCCUCCCUCCGGACGACCCCACGCGCCUUGUGCGCGCCUCCCUCGUCUGCUGGUGCUGGCGCCACCUCCUCACCGACCCAGCGUACCUCCGCCGCUACCGCGCAUUCCAUCGAACACCUUCCAUGCUCGGUUUCGUCCUCAACCUGAAGCAGCAUUACCAAGGCAUGGCCCAGCUCGUCCCCACCUCCUCCUUCUGCCCCGCCGCCUCCGACCGCCCCGACCUGAAUGUGCUGGACGCCCGCCACGACCGCGUGCUCCUCCACACCGCUCAGGGCCAGCGCCUCGUCGUCUGGGACCCCGUCAAGGGUGAGGAGUUCAAGAUCCCCCGCGUGCCGGCCUACGCGCUUGGCUUCAACGCGGUCGUGCUCUGCGCCGCGGUCGGCUGCGACCACCUCGACUGUCAUGGCGGACCCUUCCGUGUCGCCUUCAUGGGAUGCGGCGAACAUGGCAUCACGUUCGCCUGCACCUACUCGUCGGAGGCCGGUGCCUGGAGCCAGCGAGUUGAGAUCGAGCAGCCGGCAUUUGUUGACGGGCGACCGAGCUUCCUUGUGGGGUACACGCUCUACUUCACCUGCAACCCGUACCUCAAUUUCAGAAUGUUGGGGUACGACAUCAUCAGGCAGGAACUCUCGGUGAUUUGGCCGCCGUCCCAGCACGAGUACUACUCUUGCACCGUCCUCGUGAAAGCGGAGGAUGACAGGCUGGGGUUCGCCGGCGUGCGAAAUGGCACGCUCUACCUCUGGUCGAUGAAGGAUGGCACCAACGGAGAGGUGGAAUGGGUGCAGCGCAGAGUUAUCCAGCACAAGACGAUGCUCCACACUCGUGGCCUCUCGACGCCACCUGAGGUCGUUGGCUUCGCGGACGGCCACAGACUCAUUUUCGUUAGAGCAUCUCCAACAGGCGUCGGUCGCGCCGCAUGCAAAAAACAGAUAUGCCGCGCGCGUAUCGCCUGGUUUGGCACGGCGCGCAGCGCUGGCUCCAGCAGCCGCGCUAAAAUGCAGCGCGCAAAAAUGCAGCGUGCGCGACUCGCCGGUGCAUUGCAUAUGGCAUUUUCAACACAAAAUGAUAAACAUUUUCCAACACAAUAAAAAUUUCACGCAAACAAGUUGAUGAAGUUCAUGCCCACAAGUUUAAAAUCAUGCCCACAAGUUCAUCCAACCAAGUUCAAAAUGCAAAUCAAGUUCAAUACACAAAUGAAAGACACAUCAUUCCUCGUCCUCGUCCUCGUCUUCGUCCUCGCCCUCAUCUUCGGAAGACGAUUCUUCCGCCUCCGAAGAUGAAUCUUCCUCCCUCUCCUCAUCGCGCAGUGCAUCACGUGAAGUCCGAUGGUGUUGGCAAGAUCUUCAACGGCAUCUUCAUGGGAAUGUGUGCGAGGAGGCACAUCGAAAGACAUUCCGCCCAUGGCGGCCGGAGGUGCACCCAUGCCUCCCAUGAGUGAAGCAAAACUCAUGCCUCCCAUGGUGGCCAUAGCGUCGGGGGGUGCUCCAAUGCCAGGCAUGCCUCCCAUUGCACCUAAACCGCCCACGGUACCUCCAAAGCCACCCAUGGCGCCGAGGCCACCACCACCCAUGGCGCCGAGGCCACCGCCACCCAUGGCGCCGAGGCCACCGCCACCCAUUGCGCCAAGGCCAUCGCCACCCAUUGCGCCGAGGCCACCACCACCCAUUGCGUCAAGGCCACCACCACCCAUUGCACGAACCAUGGCUCUUUUUUGGAUCAAGACUUCUUCUUGGUCAAGAUUGACAUGCUCCUUUUGCGCCGCAUUGAGGUUAGUUGUGUCCAAGAAGAACAAGUGCUUCUCCCAUUCCAACAACCUAGUUCGCUCCUCAUUGCUCACCUUCCUCUCCUCCAAAGCCACCUUCCUCUCCUCGGCCGCGGCAUCUUGGGUCCUUGCCAUUUUCCUCACCUCGUUGGCUUCUUUUCUUGCCUUCACAAUAGCUUCCAUAGCAUUUUUGAGCUCAUCAUCUCCUUUCAUCUUCUUCUUUUCGGUUUUGUCUUUCUUGCACCCAUCCGGUCGCUUUGGCUUCGAGUAUGAAACCGAGUUGGGUGUGGGGCUUCUCUUGCCGUCAUCACUUGAUGCAUCAUCCUCCUCAUCAUCAUCAUCCAACUUAGUUGUUCACUUCCAUUUGUCGCUCAAAUGCAAAUCAUCCAAAUCUUCACGCUUCUUCCAUUUCUCAUCAUUCUUCAACACUUCAUAGCAAUGAGGCAAAGUAAAUACCCUUCCUUUCUUGAUCUUCCCCUUCUUGGUUUUCCUCUCCUCUUCUUUGAACAAGUUUUGCGCAAUGUUGUACUACAUGAAAACAAAGCAAGUUAGCACCAACAACAAGCAAAACAAAGAAAGUUAGCACUAACAUGUAAGAUGAAAUGGCACUUACUCUAUCGUCCUCAUUUGUGCCACUUGGGUUCAACUUGUCAACCGCCUUUUGACAGGCCGCCCACCUUUGACAAUCCGAGUUGAUUGUCGACCAUCGGGACCUAAGUGAUCGGUUGGAGCGGUCAAUUCCACUCAUGUUGCGAGCACAAAAGUGUUCCUUCAUCUGGUUCCAAUAAGCAUCUCUACUUUGAUCACCUCCAACGGAUGGGUCCCUCGACACUUGCAACCAAGUAUUACAUAGUAAGAUGUCAUCGGCGUUGGUGUAAUUGCCCGCUCUUCCUUUCGGUGUGUCGGCAAUGCCCUCACCCUCCUCGUCCACCUCGAACUCAUGGUCUUCAAAAUGCAUGUCAUUGGUUUGAGACCAAUGCGAAUUGUUGGAGCCAACACCCAUCGUUGACAUGUAUGCAUCAUCAUUGAGACUACAAAUUUUUUUGCACAAUGCAAAUAAGCUAUCUAUAUGUGACGAAUGCAUUCAAAAAAUAACAAAAAAAGAAAAGUUAGUUUUUUUUACCUUGGAGGCAUUUCGUCGAACAUGUUGUGCGCGCCGGCCGCCGGCUCAACGAGUGACCUUGCCGGCGCUUCGGCAGCCGCCGCACCCGUCGCACGCCCCGCAAGCUUAUUCCUCCUUGCCUUGGAGGUGCCGGAGCCGUCCGCCGCCUUGUUUUUCUUCGCCGAUGUCUUUCCCUUCUUUGGCUGCGCCGCAUUGGGGAGCUUUGAGGAGGAGGGGGCGGCGGCUCGGGCCGGCGCCGACGUGACGCCACCUGCCGCCGAGGUCAUCCGCGGCGGCAUGAAGAGGCCGCGCGCGAGGCCGCUGGUCGGAGGAGCUCCGGCGGAGGCGAGGCCAACGCCACCCGGGCUAGGGUUUGUGGCGGCGGCAGCGGCGGGGUCGCGGCUAUAGGACGGAGUGAGCGGGGUGUCGGCGCGUGCGUCCAUGGGUGCGGGUCACCGGCGCCGGUGCGCACGGGGUUUUGGAGGGGGAGAAGAAGAGCGCAGCGCGAGCGUCGAGUGUGCCGCGCGCGGAAGCGGGCGCCGCAAAUACACCGCACGAGGUACUGCUUCCUGCCGCGUGCCCAACUGGUUAUACCGUGCGCGCGGUUAUUGCACGCCCGCUGGAGCCAUCCGCCGGGUUGCGCGCGCGCUAAAGUGGGUAUAUUUACGGCGCGGCGCCUGUUUAGCGCGCCUGUUGGAGAUGCUCUUAGGACAGGCAACACGGUAUUCUCCAUGGAGCUCAAGUCAGGCCAUGUCCGUAAGGUAUACACCUGCAGGUCAAGAAACUACGACGUCAUCAUUGUUCCCUACAUGAGCUUCUGCACUCCAGGUACGUAUUGAUGCACGUUUGAGAAUUAUGAUGUGUGAAUAUUUGCAAUGCCAUAUGCUUUGAGCUGCUCUUGCAGUCUUGCUCAUAGGCAGGUUGCGCAAGGCUGUAAUCUUAUAUGCAUCUCCUUGCCCCUACUGCCUAGUAUAUGUAAUCUUCAGGUUGUUUGUUUGUUUCAGCUUCUCCUUGAAGAACCUGUUUCAUUCAAAUUUUAUCGACAAUUCUCGACAUUGGCUUAGAUAUAGUACUUCCUCCGUCCCAUAGUAUAAUACACUAGUGUAAAAAAGCUCUUAUAUUAUGGGACGGAGGGAGUAAAUCUGAAUAAUUUUAUUAUUUUAGAUUUCAUACCUAACUAGUCGGAAUAAAGAGCUACAACAUGGUUAUAAGCUUAAUCAAUUGUAUCUUUUCAGAUCGUGCUAUGGGAAAACUGCCAUCGCCAUGAGGACCCACUGUUAUCCUGUAACAAGGAUCUGCUGCCCUUGGCUUGUUUCAUAGAUGGAGCUCCAAGUGUUAUGCUUCCAAGCUGGACUGUCUAAGUAGUUACCAUGGUCAAUGUUAGUAUGUUUAGUUACAGUGUGGCAGUUGAAACAAGGACAAAAGUUAUGUAAUCAUUGGUCAGUUUAGUAUGUUCCCUUUGCAGUUGUGAAGCUUAAGCAAGACAAUGAUGGUCAAUUAGUAUUUAGUAUUGUAUCUUUGAGUAGAUUGUGCAAGCUCCUGUGGAAUUGAUACUACAGAGUAAGUUACAAUGCAGAUUUGUUGAUCUACUCUCCAGUUGUGAC
rnacentral:lncRNA from 1 species